AAAGAUCGACCUCUGGGCUAUCCGGUCUGGAUACAGCCGGAUAAUCAAAGCCCACUCCCGCCACUUCCUAGCUCUCUCACUCCUCUUCCUCCUCCCUUUCUCUUUCUUCUUAUCCAUCUACCCCUUCAUCGCCAUUGAAUCCUACCUCAGCUUCCUUCAGCAAGAUCCCUCCAUCUUCCCCACUAAAAUCUUUAUCCUAAAUCUCCUUUACACCAUCCCCAUCUCCAUCUUCUCCCUCUUGGCCACAGGUUCCAUCACUUACAGCAUUUUCCACGGCUUUUACGGUCGACCCUUCAAGCUUUUAUCCGCUAUUAAGGCGGCUUUCACUUCCUUCUUCCCUCUCUUCUCGACUUGCCUUGUAACCCAGCUUAUCGUUUCUGGGAUCAGUUUGAUCCUUGGUUUAGCCUUUUCUGCAGUAGUCAUUUUAGGCUUCCAAGUUCAUUACCCUUCACCUUAUUUCAUUUUCCUUUGCCUUGUUUACGUGAUUAUUCUCUUGUGUAUUGUGGUUCAUUUACAAGUGAAUUGGAUAUUUGCUUACGUAGUCGUCGUCGUUGAAUCAAGCUGGGGGUUUGACCCAUUAAAGCGAAGUCGAAAUUUAGUUAAAGGAAUGGAAGGGGUUGCUUUGAAGAUUAUACUGCUUUUCGGCUUCGUCAUUUCGAUUAAUACCUGGCGCUCAGUUAUGACAUACGGAGAUUCAGCUGCUGAUAAAUGGACAAGUUGGGUAUUUGUUUUGAAUAUUGACGUCACUUCCACCUUCUCUAUGAUGUUAAUGUUUUGUAAUUUAGCUGCAAAUACAGUUUUCUAUAUAUAUGCCACGGCUCUACAUGGAGAGCUUGCUGAAGAUGAGGAAUUUGCAGUCAAGUAUUUAAGUUUGGCUGUGGAUGAUGGGAAAGUUCCUAGCGUUGUUUCAAUGGUUUAAUGCUUGAUGAAAACAGGGAAUUCGAGUUCCAUUUAUGUUCUGUUUUUUGUUUUUGUUUUUUUUAAGUCUUGCUUUGCAUAGAUAACAUGCUUUCACCAGUGGUGGAAAACUUGAUGGGAAAGUUCCUCGCGUUGUUUCAAUGGUUUAAUGCUUGAUGAAAACAGGGAAUUCGAGUUCCAUUUAUGUUCUGUUUUUUUGUUUUUGUUUUUUUUUUAAGUCUUUGCUUUGCAUAGAUAACAUGCUUUCACCAGUGGUGGAAAAACUAACACGAAAGCGAUUGAGAAGUAGAUAGGAAAAGAAAAAAAAAAUCAAAUCAGAGAAAAAUUAGGAGAGAAGGAGAAUGAAGAGUUACAGUUACUUUAGUGUGUAAUUAAGAGGUUCUUUGACUUUUUAUGCUUUUAAAAUAAGGAAAACAUAGGCGAAGCAGGAGGCAGUUUACCUACCUUUACAUGUAUGAAGGUAACUUGGGCACGAAGGUAACUUGGGCACAACUCACUUUUGGUUAGUUUUUCCUAAUAUUUUUUUCUCCUUAUUUUCAAUCUUUUUCUCUUAAAUAAAUUCAAAUUUAACUAAAACUAUUAAAAAUAAAAAGGAAAAAAUUGAUUUAUCAUUUUUCUAUUAAAAAUAAUAAAAAUGACGUGGAAUUACAAUUUCAUAUAAUCUCUUUUCCUCUUAUCAAGUUUUGAAUGUGGUAGGUCACAACCAACCCCUCAAUUAAUUUCUUUUUUUUUGGAUUAAAGUGAUGCUGAUGGGCUUUGACAUGGUAUCCAUAAAAAAAAUAUUUUUUCAAUUUAUUUUAAUUGAUACAAAUUUUUUAAAAAUAAAUUUACCAGUGCUGGCAUACCAAAAACAUCCAUUAAAAACAUUUUUUAUUUUUUUUGCACUGUAAAUAUUCAUAUUUUCACGGUAUUUUGAAAAAUACAUAUGAGUGUCGUUUGACAUAAUGCGGCACCAAAUUUUUUUUUUCCAAAUAUGAUGAUUGAGAGGAAAAAUAGGUGGUGUUGCCUGACACUCAGGCGGCACCAACAAUAGUCGUAGCAAACGAGUCAUUUUUGUAUAUAAUUUUUCCUCCAGGUUAUUUUUAUAAUUAAUUAGUCUUUUAGGGUUAUUUUAAAAAAAGCUGAAAAGUUAGUAUAUGAUUCUAUGUGAAAUUAAAUGUCAAUGAACUAAAAUGAAUAAAUGAAAUAAUACAUUAUAUGAUUAUGGUGUGAUGAAGGGUUGAGGUACAAUUGAGAAUAGGGUUGGUGAAUGAGGGUUACGGUAGGUGAAAGGGAUACAAGAUUUCUAUUUACGAUAUGUUCAUGCUUAUGUUCUUCAGAACAUGGUGUAACAUGACCAUGUGUCACACACGGUUGAGACACACUCCCGUGCCUCUACUAUGUGGACAAAAAUAGGUCAUUUGUAAAGCCAAUUUGCCACCCUUUUUCUCAUGUUCACCUAGCCAUUAAAAUGGUCUCAAUUCAUCACAUAUAUGGGCAGCCAAAUCAUACCAAAUCACAUAUAAUUCAUGUCAUUUCAUAAUCAACCAUUUCACUACUUAAAUUCUCAACCAUAAUAAUGCCAAAACAAUCAAACUUGCAUAACUUUUAAAUGCAUUUCAUCGUCAUCAUCUUAUCACAUAUUUCAAACCACAAACUUACCAUUUCAACAUUCCAGAAUCAAUCCAUCACAUAAGCAUUAUGUACAUCAUAUAUCUUAAAUCAUUUAGGCCAACUUAAAUGAUCAAAUUCACACCAACAUUUAUAAGUCAAAUCUCAUGGCUAAAAUUAAGUCACAAAAUAUACCAUAAUGACACUAGCCUAUACAUGCCAUAUACCAUAUAUACAAAGCUCCCAAAAGUACCAAAGAGAUGAUUGAUAGUGCGAUGACGUAUUCCCAACGAUCCCCGAGUCUGAGCUAGCUUCGGUAAUCUAUAAAACAUGGAAAGAACACACAAAGUAAGCUUUAAAAGCUUAGUAAGCAAUAUACAAAUAAAGCUAUUAUAUGAACAUAUACAUAUCAAUUCAAAUAUUCUAAACAUAGCUAAACACAUUCAAGUUCCCAAACCUUUCUCAUUGUACACAUGUUCAAUAUCUUUAUAGAAAUCACCAAGUAAAUAAGUUAUGAAAAAUCACAUAUAGAUACACAACCUUUCUCAUUGAAUACUCAUUCAAUUUCAUAUAUAAUUUCAUCAAUUUCUUCUAUUUUCAAUACUCGUAUGAAUCUCAUACGUACCUGAGUCACUUAGCUCAAAUUCACAUUCGAACUCGUUUUGACAUAGCCCGUUGAACCAUUCGGAAUCGAUAAGGAUACUUGAAAAUCUCAUAAGCUCGUACAAUGACAUUUCCCAGAUAUGGUCUCACAUUGGAGCUUUACUCAUCAAAUCAUUUGAAAUACUAUCUUUAUACAAAUAGUAUACUUGAGUUGCACAAUUCUAUAAUUAUGAACGAACACAUUUAUAAAAUAUAUAUUCCAUGUUCAUAUAUCAUAGUCUUAUGUCUCCAUAUAUCAAAUAUAUAACCAUCAUUUUCUUGUGUUUCAGAUAAAUGCAUAUAACCAUACAUAAGCAUGCCAUUUACUAUUUCUUCCUAUCUAUCACAAUUUCAAAUGAUAGAUUCAUGUGAAUGAGCUCAAUAAUAACCAUGAAAGUACUUACCAUAUUCUUUCACACAUGUUCCACUUAUAACAUAUUUUUUUUGUAUUUGGCUUGACAUUUACUAAGCAGUAUCAGAUAUUCAUUUAUUAGGCAAUAUCAAAUAUUCAAAUUAUUCUUUAACAUAUAUAACAUUUAAUUCAAACAUGAAUUUAUAACAUUUUUCAUUUUAACAAAGUUUAACAUUUACCAAAUAUAAUCGAGCAUGUGAUCAAUUUAUGCAUAAUUCACUCACAUAUUUUCCUCCUCCUUCUCUUCUCCAUUCCACGUCCUUAAUGUAGCUUAUAAGUAACAUUAUCUAUAAUUUCACUAUUUACUUAUAUUUAUAUUCCAAAGCUAUCCAUCCGUGUCAUAGUCACUAAAUUAUUUUUAACUCGAGAUAUGGAGCUCAAAAUUAAGAUCAGCUAAUUUUUCCUAAAACUAGACUUACAUAUCUUCUUACCAUAAAAUUUUCAGAAUUUUUGGUUUAGCCAAUAAGUACAGUUUAUUCUUUAAAGUCACCUCUGUUCUGCUAUCUGACAGUUUCGACCCUUCUUCACUUAAAAUUAAUUAUCUCCUCGUACGUGAUUUGAAUAAUGCUCCUAUUUGUUUCUCUUGAAAUUAGACUCAUUCAGGAUUCUAAACAUAUAAAUUUAAUCCCAUAAUUUUUUUUUUCAAUUUUUGAUGAUUUUCCAAAGUCAGAACAGGGGAACCCGAAAUCAUUCUGACCUUGUCUCACACAUUUUAUUAUAUCUCAUGAUUUACAAUUCCAUUGCUUACAUCGUUCCUUCUAUAAGAAACUAGACUCAAUAAGAUUUAAUUUUAUACUUUAUUCAUCCUCUCAUUCGAUUUCUACAAUUUUUGGUGAUUUUUCAAAACAGUUCAAAACAGUUUUAAUGCAAAAUGUUGAUUUCCAUUUUAUCCCAAAUUUCACAGUUCAUACAAUUCAGUCCUUGCUCAAUUAACCCCUUAAUUGAGCUAAUUUUUCUCAAUUAAUACUUUAGUCUAUCAUUUUAAACUACUUCAUAACCCUUGAAAUCAGAACUUUAGCACUAGACCUUAAUUCCAAACUCUUUCAUAAUUACGUCCUAAAAUCAAUUUCCAUCAAUUUUACUUGAUAAAAUCAUCAUAUAUCAAAAUUUAAACUACAAUUCUAUAUUUAUUCAUCAUAUGCUUCCAGCACUCAUCUAUAGCAACUUUAAAAAUUAGCCAUGGAAUAAAAAACUAAUGACAUAUUAAGUUGGACCCAAUAGUAAAAGUCCAAAAUCUUAGAAAUUUCAUUUUCAGCUGAUGAAAAUGAAGAGAAAAUGAAGAAAAUUCUAGAUAUUCCAAUUUGGUCCCAUUUUUAUUUAGCUAAUUUUGGCAAUUUUCAAUUUUGUCCUUAUUUCACUCAUUUCCUGAUUUUUCUCAGCUGUUGCAACCCAAAAUAUCUUCUUUGGGCUUAUUUGCACUUUGGGUCCUUCCUCAUUUGACAAUUAAACUAUUUAAUCCUUCUAGCAACUUUUACACAUUUUUCAAUUUAGUCCUUUUUAUUUAAUUAAUCACCCAAACGUCAAAAUUUUCUAAUGAAAUUUUAAUAUUACCUUAUUGACACUCCGUAAAUAUUUAUAAAAAUAUUUAUAGCUCGGUUUAUAACACCGAGAUCUCGAUACUUUUUUUCUCAAUUUCUUGACCAAAUAAAUCUUUAUAAAACACAAUUUACUAUUUUAAAAAUAUUUUAAAAGCUACAUUGACUCAUAAAUAUUAAAUAGUAUAAUCUACGAGUUUAUUUUUUGGAUUUGUUGGUCUCGAACCACUAUUUUCGACAUCGCUGAAAUUUGGGCUAUUACAUGUUCUGUAUGGCGUUCAUCGCCUAUAUUCUGGCAGCAUGGCUGUACUAUAUCUGAUAUGUGUCAUAACGGCACGGUACGGUGUGUAGGGCUGGGUGGGUGUUUUUAACCCCAUAUGGUGUGAUGGAAUGGUCGGUGUUGGUGUGUAGAGGAUGGGUGUAGGAUUCUGUUUAUCUAAUUUGCAUAACUAUAUCUGUUAUCUAUAUCUGAAAUGGACCUAAGUCUGAAUUUGUAUCUGACUGUAUAUAUAUAUGAGAUUUCUGUAUAAUUUGUAUACUUAAUUCUGUUGGGUUACACACUGAUUAUACAAAAACUCACAUCUAUUAUCUGUUCUGUUGAGGUAAUCCACAAACUUAGGAGGAUCGGUGCGGUAGAGACUCAACGGUGACCACUCUACUGAGAAUUGUUAUGCUUAGUAAUUUUUAUGGUUUUUACUUAAUAUUUUCUGGAGUUGAUUGAAAGUUUGUAAUUUCUAGGACUCUCUAGACUGAACUAUAUUUAGACUUUUGGUUUUGGUUUUGGUUUGUUUACUUGUUUAUUUGCAUGGUUUUGAAAAUGACGGUUUUACCCAAACAAAAAGGUUUUUCUGAAAAUACGAAUUGGAUUUCCAAAAUAUAACGGUUAUAUUAGAUUUUCGCUGGAAAAUAUGUUUUUGGAAAAUAAACCAAUAAAUUAACGUUUUUGAAAAUGGUUAUAAAAUAAUAUGAGUUAAUAAAGAUGAUUUAACGCAACGACUUCGUUUUCAAAACCCAUUCUUUGUGACAUCUCAAGAUUCAGCCAUAACGUCUAGGCUGGGUUUAGGGUGUUACAUUUACUACUUUAAUAAUAUUAUGUAUAGUAUUAUCAGAGGAAAGUAGUGUUGAUGAUACAAAUUUUAGUUUAAGAUAUGAAAUUAUGGUAAUUUACAAUAAAAAUGGAAAAAGGACUAAAUCGUAAAGUUUAUAAAGUAUGUCAUAACAUUGUAUAAAGUGGAAAGAGGGCUUAAGUGAAGAACUGUUAAAGUUAUGGUGUUAUAUGUGAUAAAUGUGUAAACUAAUAAAGGAUAUAUAAGUUGAGUUCUUUCCUCCCAUUUUAUUAUAUUUGACAAACUAAGGAAAAGUCCCAUCUCAAAACAAAUGUAUACAAUUAAAAAAAAGAUUGAAUAAGAAAUAAGCUUUAGGCCUAAUGAUCUAUAAUAUCAAAUUUAAUUUAUUUAAUCAUCACAUUAUUCAAUUCAACCCAAAAACAUAUUAUGACAAAAAUUAUAUUUUUUCCCUAACUUUUCAACAUUUUAUAAUUUAGUCCUUAGGCUCGUAAAAUGAAUUUCUUUCAAUUUCAUCACAACCCAAGCCUAGCCAAUUUUUAUUUGUACUCAUAACAGCCCACAUUUUUCAUUUAUUCGCACUUUUUAACACAUUUUAUAGACUUUUACAAAUAAGUCCCUAUUUAACGUUUUUAUCAAAAAUCACUUUACAAAAGUCGUUUAACUAACCACAAACAUGCAUUUUCUACCAUCAAACAUCAAAAUACAUACAUAUCCAACAUGGUUAAAAUUUUAGACUUAAAUUUUCUUUCAAAUUAGUUCUUGAAAUAGCUAAAUCAAGUUAGAACUAUCUCAAAAAUAUAAAAAUCAUUAAAAACAGGACAAGAUUGAAAGCUUGGCCAAAACCCUAGCUAUGGUUUCCCCCAAAAUUUCGACUAUAAGGGACUAAAUUGAACAAGAUGACAUCUUUUAUUUAGUUAUUUUGGCUUUAUUUAGCAAAUUACCUAUUUACCCCUCAUUUAAACUUUGAAAUUUUACUUACCCAUGUCCAUUUUUGUCUAUAUUAAAGUAAAAUAGUCUAGUUAACAUUUAAGGACCUCUAAUUUAAGAAUUCAUAACAAUUAAACACCUUUAGCUUAUAGAAUUCAAGUUUUGCACCUAUUGCAAUUUAGUCCUUUUAGUCAAAUUGAGUACUCAAUCGAUAAAAUUUCUUAACAAAAUUUUCACACAAUUAUUCUAUCAUGCUAUAGACCUUAAAGAAAUAGUAAAACAAAUAUUUCUACUUUAGAUUUGUGGUCUCGAAGUCACUAUUCUGAUUUGACCCAAAAAUGGGCUGUUACAACUCUCCCCUUUAGGGAUUUUCGUCCCCGAAAAUCUUACCAGAAAAGAGGUUAGGGUACUGUUUUCUCAUAGCUUCCUCUGGUUCCCACAUAGCCUCUUUGACCCCGUGUCGUUGCCACAAAACUUUCACUAGAGCUAUGCUUUUAUUUCUCAACUGUUUAACCUCUCGAGCUAACACUUUGAUCGGUUCUUCACCAUAUGUCAUAUAGGGUCGAAUAUCAAUCUUUGUUGGAGAAAUCACAUGCGAAGGAUCUGAUCGAUAUCGUCGCAACAUUGACACAUGAAAUACAUUGUGGAUCUUUUCCAACUCAGAUGGUAAAGCUAAUCGAUAUGUCACCGGCCCUAUUCCUUCAAUAAUCUCAUGCCUAAAGAAACGUGGACUCAACUUGCCUUUGUGAUCAAAUCUAAGAAUUUUCUUCCAUGGUGAUACUUUCAGAAACACUUUAUCACCAACCUGAAAUUCAAUAUCCUUUCGUUUUAAAUCCAGGUACGAUUUCUGUCGAUUCGAAGCUGCUUUUAAACAUUCACGAAUUACUUUCACUUUCUCCUCGGUUUCUCUAACCAAAUCAACCUCGUGAAUCUAUUUCUCAUUGAGCUUGGUCCAAUAUAGCAGAGUUCGGCACUUGCGACCAUACAAUGCUUCAUAUGGUGCCAUCUUUAUACUCGACUGGAAACUAUUUUUGUAAGCAAAAUUGACUAAUGGUAGAUAUUUCUCCCAACUACCUUCGAAAUCUAAAACACAACAGCAAAACAUAUCUUCGAGAAUUUGAAUUACCCUCUCUGACUGACCGUUUGUUUGCGGAUGGAAUACGAAACUGUAAUUCAACUUCGUACCUAAUGCUUCUUGCAAUUUCUUCCAAAAUCGUGACGUAAACCUCGGAUCUCUAUCUGAAAUAAUAGAAGUAGGCACUCAGUGCAAUCUAACAAUCUUAGCAAUGUACAAAUCAUCCAGUUUAUCAAGUGAAUAAUCAGCAUGUACAUGAAUAAAAUGAUCCAAUUUCAUCAAUCUAUCAACAACGACCUACACAACAUCUUUCUUCUUUGGAGUCAGAGGUAAACCCGAUACGAAAUCCAUCAUAACUCUAUCCUAUUUCCACUCAGGUAUGGUCAUAGGAUGAAGUAAACCUGAAGGCACUUGAUGUUCGGCCUUCACUUGUUGACAAAUCAAACAUCUCGUUACAAAUUCUGAAAUGUCUCGUUUUAUUCCUAACCACCAAUACAAUUUCUUCAAAUCAUUAUAUAUCUUUGUACUUCCAGGAUGGAUAGAUAGACAAUCAUUAUGUGCCCCGUAAAGAAUUUUCUAAAUCAGUUCAGUAUCUCUCGAUACACAAAUCCUACCUCAGAACCUCAAAUAAUCAUCAGACAGAAUCUGAUAUUCAGAAUCACUAUUUGAUUGGCACUGGACUCUUUUAGCUUGCAACUCAUUAUCACCUUUCCAAGCUUCGCAAAUUUGUUGAAGAAAUACCAGUCUAGCUUUCAACUCGGCCAAAAUCGAUCCAUCAUCGGAUAAGGCUAACCGUGUGUUCAUCACCCUUAAUGCAAACAAAGACUUUCUAUUUAAGGCAUCUGUAACUACGUUCGCUUUCCCUGGGUGAUAGUCAAUCACUAACUCAUAAUCUUUCAAUAGCUCGAACCAUCUUCAUUGUCACAAAUUCAAAUAUUUUUGAGUCAUUAAAUACUUUAAACUCUUAUGAUAAGUAAAGAUAUGGCAUUUCUCACUGAAUAAAUGGUGUCUCUAAAUUUUUAAAGCAAACACAAUAGCGGCUAAUUCCAAGUUGUGCAUCAGAUAAUUCUUUUUGUGGGGUUUCAACUGUCUUGAGGCAUAAGCUAUCACUUUACCCUCUUGCCUCAACACACAACCAAGACCGUUAAUGAUGCAUCGUUGAAAAUCACAAACUCUUUCCCCGACUCAAGUUGCACUAAACACCGGUGCCUCAACCAACAAUGCUUUCAACUAUUCAAAACUUUUUGAUAUUUCUCAGACCACUCGAAUUUCACAUCCUUUCGUAACAAUUUGAUCAUAGGUGGUUGCAAUGAUCGAAAAUCCUUUAACAAAAAGUCGAUAAUAACCAGCCAAACCCAAAAAGAUUUUAACUUCGGAUACAUUUCUUGGUGGUUUCCAAUCAACAACUGCUAAAAUCUUACUCGGAUCAGCUCGUAUACCUUCCGCUGAAACAAUGUGUUCCAAAAAUCUGACUUCUCGGAGGCCAAACUCACUUUUGCUGAAUUUAGGAAACAAUUUCUUAUCUCUCAAGGUCUAUAAUACAAUUUUUAAAUAUCCAGUAUGCUUAGACUCAUUUCGGGAAUAAAUUAGGAUGUCAUCAAUAAACACAAUCGCAAACUUAUCUAAAUACGAUUAGAAAAUUUGAUUCAUCAAGUCCAUAAAAACUACAAAAGCAUUAGUUAAUCUGAAAGGCAUAACAAGAAAUUCAUAAUGCCCAUACCUCGUUCUAAAUGUGGUUUUUGGCAUAUCCGAGUCCUUAACUCUUAACUGAUAAUAGCCUGAUCUCAAGUCUAUCUUCGAGAACACUGUUGCCCCUUUCAACUGAUCAAACAAAUCAUCAAUUCUCGGUAAAGGAUACUUGUUCUUUAUCGUAACCUUAUUAAGUUGAAGAUAAUCAAUACAAAUUCUCGUGGAUCCGUCUUUAUUCUUGACGAAUAACACUGGUGCACCCCAAGGCAAAAUACUCGGUCUCGUAAAAACCUUAUCUGUCAACUCUUGCAACUGCGACUUCAAUUCAGUCAAAGCCAUUGUAACACCCUAUACCCGUAUCCCACACUGGGGUGAAGUACGAGGCAUUACUCAUCUCAAUCUCAUACAUUCAAAUGACCUUACGUUACCAAGACUCGGUCUGAAUCUAAAAUUUUUCAAUUUCUACCUUAACCAUCUAUUUACGAGCCUACGAUCCCCAAUUCGACCAUUAGAAAUUAUUCGGGGACCAUUUUGGGUCAUUAACUAAUCUUAGAAAAAUUUACCUUUAAAACAGGGCACACGCCCGUGUGGAAGGGUUACAUGCCCGUGUUCCCUACCCGUGUGGCCAAUUUAUUUCUACAAAUUCAUAAAUCAAGUGCAGACUUCACACGGGCUGGCCACGCGCCCGUGUCCUUCACACGGCCUCGACACGCCCAUGGUUUAGCCAGUGUGCAAAAACCUUGACAUUCUAUUUCUAACGUCAGCAAUUCUAAAUUGUCACACGGCCAUGGCACACGCUCGUGUGCUAAGCCGUGCCCUCCACACGGUUGAGACACGAUGCAUUCUGACUUAAAAUUUUUAGAUGCAGGGGACACACGGCCGGACCAUAUACCCGUGGGGCUAACUGUGUGUCACACACAGCCUAGACACACGCCCGUGUGUCUACCAGUGUGGACAAUAUAAGGUUAUUUUCCAAUCCUCAUUGCCACCCUUACUUACCUAUUUUCAUACUAAAACCAACCAAUACCAAAGCAAACAUAUUUUCUAUAAUCAUUUUAACUACAAUAGACAUUCAUGCAAUCAUGGAAAUGCAUUUUUUUUAUAAAAUCAAAAUGAAUGUUAGUCAUCAUUCAAGGCUUAAUGCAAAGUGUGGGAAUCUAUCCCAAGCCAGAACAUUUGAUCACAUCUUAAAGACACAAAAUGAUAAAAUCUAAACCCUAUACAUGCCAUAUUCAAAUAGAUAAAUCCAACUAUACCGAAUGUUUCGGCUAAUAGUGUGAUCGAUAUCUCUAACUACAAGUGAUCCUUGAGCUAAUUAGACGACACUGAAAGAAAAAUAGAAAGAAGGAGGGAGUAAGCAUAAAAGAUUAGUAAGUUGCAUAUAAAUAAAUAUACAACAACAAUUUCAUCAAUAAUCAAUAUAUUCAUGACCCAGAUGUAGGCGUAGAUGUAACUUACUCAUCACCAAACAUAUAAGUCACAUAAUAUAAUAUGUAUAUUGAGUUCAUAUCUCAUACGUACCAAUUAGGUACCUAUACCAUUCAUAACACGGUUAUACUUUUCUCAUUAACUCAAAACAUAACAUCCACGUUAAACCAUUCAGAGUAUCACCGGAUAUUAAUUAAACCUCGAAUAUGUGUAAGGUGCCGAUGCCAUGUCCCAGACAUGGUCUUACACUGGCUCAUAUCUCAAGUCAAUUCCAUGUCCCAAACAUGGUCUUACACUGACUAUCAUCUCGUAGCCGAUGCAUGUCCUAGACAUGUCUUACAUUGGCUUACAUCUCGAGGCCGAUGCAUGUCCCAAACAUGUCUUACACUAGCAGUCGUCUCAAUACUGAUGCCAUGUCCCAGACAUGGUCUUACACUAGCUUCCAUAAUGUGGCCGAUGCAUGUCCCAGACAUGUCUUACAUUAGCUCAUACAAGUGACCCAAUUAUUACGGCAUGAAUGUCCGGUCUACUUCUUAAGGUUCCAACGGAAAUUCUAUUAUCUCAAUUAUCAUUAUCAAUCAAUUCAUGCUAUAUCGAUUCAAUGAAAAUUCAAACACAUAUAUCAACAACAUAGUUGUAUUAUUUACAUACAACUUACCUUGGAUUACAAAAUGCACACGACUAGUCGAUUUGCUUGGCUUUCCCUCGGUCAAGGCUCGAAUUUGACAACUCUUUAUCUAUAAUAGUAAAAUGCACUCAUUUAGUCACUAAUCACAAUUAGGCAAUCAAAAAUUCACAUUCUUGGUAAAAUGACCAUUUUGCCCCUAGGCCAUGGAAAAAUGACCAUUUUGCCCCUAGCUCAAAAAUUGAUUUUUAUCGAAUUUCUUCGUAUCUCAAGCCUAACCGAACCCUUUUUACUCUUAUAUCAACUUCAAAAUCUCACUAUUUCAUACACUAAUCAUUUAUUUUGCAACUUAUGCAAAAUAGCCCCUUUAGGUGUUUUCAUGCUAACAUAUUUCACAAAGAUUGUUUAGAACUCUUCUAAGACUCAUAUACUUCCAUAAAAUUUCAGAAAAUAACAUGAAAAUUCACAUGGUGAAACCCUAAACUUAUUACCAUUUUGCAAGAUAGUCCUACCAUUUGAAAGCCCAUGAUACAAGCAUUCCACAAAUGUAAAAAUCAACAAGAAAAUCAUCAAGAUCACUUACAUUAUGAGAGGAAUAAGUUGAUGUAAAUUUUCAGCUUUCAAACCUCCAUAUUUGCUGAUAUUUUUGGUGAAGAGAAGAGAUGAUGAAGAAGAAAAAUAAUAGAUAGGCCUUAGGCAUUAUUUUAUCACCAAAUCAUGGCAUCAUUUACCAAAACCUUUGACUAUUUGUUUCAAUUCAUCACAUGGCCGGCCAAGCUACUCCAUAAGGGUAUAUUUUCCCUUUAAAGACCCCCAAUUUAAGUUCUCUAGCUAUUUAACACAUUUGGGCACUAAAAUGCAACUUUUGUCUUUUAUACGAUUUAGUCCUUUUUUUAUGAAAUCGGGCUUCCAAACAUCAAAAUUAACUCACCAAUUUUUUUAUACACUAAUAUAUUCAUGCUAUAACUUCAUAAUAAUAAUAAAAAAUAAUUUUCCCAACUUUGAAUUUGUGGUCCUAAGACCACUGUUCCGACUAGGCCCUAAAUCGGGCUAUUACAGCCAUUCUAUAUGAAGCUAUCGAUAUCGGUGAAGUUUUCGGUACCAAAUCAAUAGUAAACUCAACCUCUCUAAUUGGUGGUAAUCCAGGCAAGUCCUCUGGGAACACAUCUGGAUAUUCACAAACUACUGGCAUAGAUUCAAUCUUCAAUUCAAACACUUUCGUAUUCAGUACAUACGCAAGAUAAGCUUCACAACCCUUUCUCACAUACCUCUGAGUCGACAUCGACGAAAUCACAAUAGGCAACUCACUCGGCUCAUCCGAAUCAAUCCAAAGAAUUUCAUGAUUUUGACAUUUCAAUUCAAUAAUCUUUCAUCUACAAUUCACUACGACAUCAUGUAGAGUGAACUAAUCCAUUCCAAGAAUUAUAUCAAACUCAUCAACCGGUAGAAGCAUUAAAUCAGCUGGAAAACAGUGACCCCAAAUCAUUAAAGGAAAAUUCUUGCAAACUUUAUAAACUAGAACUUAUUUGCCUAAGGGGUUCGACACUUUAAUUACAUGCUCAGUAGACACAACAGAUAAUUUCUUACUAGAUACCAGAUUCGUGCAAAUAUAAGAAUGAGUAGAUCUAGGAUCAAUCAAUGCAACUACAUUAGUAUCAUAGAGAGAAAAUGUACCACUAAUAACAUCAAGGGAUGACACAUCUUCACGAGCGCGAAUAGCGUAAGUUCUAGCAGGUGCUCUGACCUUUGAUCUCGCAGUUAACUCUUUCGUCACACCUCUGCUACUGUUCUCACUUCCAGUAUUUCUCAGUGGCCUCCCUCUAGUCGCAAUGUUACUCGACCUUGCAUUCUGAAAAUUAUCUUUCUCAACCAUUUCAGGGCAAUCUCGAAUAAAGUGAUCUUGGGAGCCACAUUUGAAGCAAGCCCAGUUAUUUAUCCUACAUUCACCGGGAUGUCAUCUACCAUAGUGUUGAAAUUCAGGUCUAUUAGACUUAACAUUAAUAACACUCGUUAUUGACGUAGGUUGGGCCUUAGAACCCGAAUAUUGCUUUCCACAAUCUCUGUUGGGAUACACAACUAAAGCAUUAGAACGAGUAUACAAAUCCCUUGGCUUCUUUGACGGAGAUUGAAAUGACUUAUUUAUCGGUCUUUUUCUUAAAUCUCCAGCCUCAAACUCAACUUUUCUCUUUUCUUUGCUCCACUCUUCGGCUUUGCAAGCUUGGUCAACUAGCACAAAAAAUUCUUUCAACUCUAAAAUCCCAACUAGCAGUUUCAUAUCUUCGUUCAACCCAUUUUCGAAUCUUUUGCACAUGAUAGCCUUGAUGGAAACACAUUCCUGAGCAUACUUACUGAGCCUAACAAACUCUCGCUCAUAUUCAGUCACAGACAUACGACCCUAUUUCAGCUCUAAAAACACUUUGCAUUUCUAAUCAAUAAACCGUUGACUGAUAUAUUUCUUUCUGAACUCAUCUUGAAAGAAUUCCCAGGUAACCCUUUCUCUCAGUACCACUGAUACAAGAGUAUUCCACCACCGAUAUGUCGAGUCCCUCAGAAGUGAUAUAUCACAUUUCAAACACUCAUCCGGUGUGCAAGAAAGCUAAUCAAAUACCCUGAUAGAGUUCUCGAGCCAAAAACUCUACUCUCUUGGGAUCAUCGUCAGCAUUGGCUCUAAAUUUUUUAGCUCCUUGUUUCCGAAUCUUAUCAACUAGAGGCUUGUUCAGUCUUAACAACUCCACAACUUAAGGAGCUACAGGAACCGGUUGGGGUUAGGUGGAAGUAGAGGAUAUUGGGCAGCUGGAUUUGUUUGAACAAACUCCGCAAACCACUCAUUCAUCCUUUGGAAGAAUGCUUGUCUAGCCUCUCCUCCCUGACUAACCGUUACUGGUCUACUUUCAAAUGGUGUUGUCCCUUCGAUGGGAGAUGGUGCAUUACUUUUAACAUCAUCAACUACCUCAUUGUUGGGAUCCAUUUACUAGAUGAAACACAAUUCAGAUUGUUAGGAGUCAUCACACUAUCACAAAUUAAACAUGGCAUGUAUAGCUAGACUCUCACACAUGCUACGUUAGUUCGAGAAUCGACUAAACCAUAGCUCUGAUAUCACUAAAUGUAACACCUCUUACCCUAUUCAACACCAUAAUAGGGUACGAGGCAUUACCGGACUUACAUCAUAAGCAAACAUACAAAUCAAGUCAUAAAUUUUGCAUCCAAAUUAAAACCAUAUGUAUUCAAUCAUAAUAUCCCUAAUACGAGCCUAAGAGGCCUAAUACUUACUUUAGAAGUGGUUCAGGACUAAACCGAGUACUCAGGAAAAUUUUACAAAACUUAGAAAAUUUUUUCCAUGUACACCCCUUGUGGGUAGGCCGUGUGGUCACACACACCUGUGUCUCUAACCCGUGUAACUCUCUGACUUGCAAGGUAUGAACAAAUUGAGGUCACACUACUGAGUCACACGCCCAUGUGUUAGGCUGUAUGGUCAAUUUAAUAAAAUAGGUGCAGACUUUACACGGUUGGGACAUACGUCCGUGCUUGAGGCUGUGUCCCUUACACGGUUGAGACAUACGCCCAUGUCUCUGCCAAUGUGCUCAAUUCUGGGCAUUCUGUUUCUCAAAAUUUAGGUACAGGGGACACACAGCAGGAACACAUGCCCAUGGGGCAAGCCGUGUGUCACACACGGCCUAAACACACGCCCGUGUGUUUACCCGUGUGGACAAAAUAAAUGCUACUUACCAAGCCAUUUGUCACCCUCAUUUGUACAUACACAUCCACAAUCUUAAUGGCACAAGUCAUGGCACAUUUAGGCAACCAAAACAUCCACAAGACAAGGCCAAAUCAUGUCAUUUCAUUAUCCUCACUCAACAUAUAUACAACAUUAUAUUUUGUCAAACCAAAUCAUACUAAACUCACAUUCUACAAGUUUCAAUAUGGCUACCAUUAAAAUGCAUAAUUUUACUUAGUCUUCCUAGCAUGCCAAUGAACCUAUCUUAACCAUUCAACAACCAAAACCAUUAAGCCACAUUCAACCAUUUAUCAAGCAUUUAUAAACCACACCACACAAGUGUUUGUUGCACAUGCAUGUAUAUAUAUAUAAGCUUACAACCAAAUCAACCAAAAUGAGCCAAGUUACAUGGCCAAAUACCACAUCAAGCCUUUAAUAGUUACACGCCAAUACAUUUAGCCAAAUUCACAAUGACACAUAUGACAAAAUGACCAAGUCUCUAUACAUGCAAUAUUCUCAAAAUGUUAAGAUCAUCGAUGCCCAAAAUAACGGUUUGAUAGUGUGAUGCGAACUCUAAUAAUCUCCGACUCGAGCUAGCUUGGUGACACUAUAAAACAUGGAAAAUAAAAAAGAGUAAGCUAUAUAGCUUAGUAAGCCCGUAUGUAUGAAAUAAGCAAACCUUACCAUACAUUAAUCAUGCAAGUAGUAUAACAUAAGAUAUUAUAAUUUACCAUAGCCUCAUGAUCAUAAUUCACUUCCAUCACAACUUACCUUGAAAUCAUCAUUUCACGAAUUAAUAAUCAUAAGCUUUGAGUACAUACUUGUACCAUCUCGUAAUAAUUUCAUACUUAGUCUCAUCGUCGUCGUACCUAAUGAACCACUCGAAAUAAUAAUAUCAGAUGCUCGGGAAACUUGGCACACAAGGUGCCACAUAUGUAGCCAUUGCUACCUCUAUCUCAUAACACAUAUAUGCUCGUUCUCGAGCCAUUAUCAAGCCUACUCACACAAGCUGUCUGCCAAUACGUAGCUACGUGGUGCUACUCACACAAGCUGUCAAGUAACUGUAACAUAUGCCAUUAUACUUAGCCAACAGUAGGACGUACAUGACCAGCACCCAGAAUCACAUAACAUAAAACCCUAGUGACAUGUCGCUUGUAUCCUAAUCUAUUCCUAAGGUUUGGUUAGGAUUUCUCGCUUGCCAAAUCGUCAUCAAAUAUGUCUGUAAGGUCGAUUACAAACAUCAUAUAUAAAUUAAAGCAUUUAAAAAACAUUUAAAGUAAAGCUUAUUUAACAUACGAACUUACCUCAAUUCCAAAAACAGCAAAAGGAUUUAUUCGUCAAUUAUUUUGUUUUUCCCUCGAUCUAGAUCUGAACUUCAUUUUUCUUGAUCUAUAAUGUCAAAUUUAACUUAUUUAAUCACCACAUUAUUCAAUUUAGCCCAAAAAACACAUUAUGGAAAAAAUUAUAUUUUUGCCCUUAACUUUUCAACAUUUUACAAUUUAGUCCCUUGGCUCGUCAAAUGAAUUUCUUUUAAUUUCAUCACAACCCAAGCAUAGUAGAUUGUUAUUUGUACUCAUAAUAGCCCACAUUUUUCAUUUAUUCACACUUUUCUACGCAUUUUAUAGACUUUUACAAAUAAGUCCCUACUUAACGUUUUUAUCAAAAAUCACUUUACAAAAGUCGUUUAACUAGCCACAAACAUGCAUUUUCUACCAUAAAACAUCAAAAUACAUACAUAUCCAACAUGGGUAAAAUUUUAGUCUUAAAUUUUGUUUCAAAUUAGUCCUUGAAAUAGCUAAAUCAAGUUACAACGAUCUAAAAAAUAUAACAAUCAUUAAAAACGAGACAAGAACGGACUUACAAUCGAGCUUGAGAGCUUGGCUAAAACCCUAGCUAUGGUUUCCCUAUAAUUUCGGCUAUAAGGGACUAAAUUAAAGAAGAUGACAUCUUUUAUUUUGUUAUUUUGGCUUUAUUUACCAAAUUACUUAUUUACCCAUCAGUUAAACUUUGAAAUUUUACCUACCCAUGUCCAUUUUUAUCCAUCUUAAAGUAAAAUGGUCUAAUUACCAUUUAAGGACCUUUAAAUUAAGAAUUCAUAACAAUUAAACACCUUUAGCUUAUAGAAUUCAAGUUUCUCACCUAUUGCAAUUUAGUCAUUCUAGUCAAAUUGAGUAUUCAAUCGAUAAAAUUUCUUAACGAAAUUUUCACACAAUUAUUCUAUCAUGCUGUAGACCUUAAAGAAAUAGUAAAACUAAUAUUUCUACUUCAAAUUUAUGGGCUCAAAAUUAGUGUUCUGAUUUGACCCAAAAAUGGGUUGUUAUAGCUUAAUUUUGCAUGUCCACACGACCACAACCUAUUACACUGCCUAGCCACACGACCGUGUAACCCUUCCACACGACUAUAGCAUCUCACACGGCCAUGUUCCCCUUGUUUACAAUUUUUUCCAAAAUUUUGUGAAUUGUUCAGUUUAGUCCUUGAACAAUCCUUGAACUAUUUUUAAUGGUUAAUCUCAUUCAAUUGAGUCCCUAAUAUUAUGAAUAAUGUUGGAAUCCAUGCUCUGAUUGACUAAAUUGUUUCUAUAUAUGCACGAUAUGUGAUUGGUGCAUGUUACUAUCAUUGGAUUAUUGAUAUAUUGUAUAGUUACUCGUACCACUGUGUUUCCGAUUGUAUGAGCAUCAGGACUACUGUUACUGGUAAACUGAAUACAUGUCAUACAUGUCUGCUGCUACUGUUAAUCUGAAUACAUGCUAAGCAUGUCUACUGUUUUUGUAUUAUACUAUUAUUAGGAUGUCAUACUGCAUUGCAUGGGGCGAUACGUUCUGAAAUAAGGAAGUACUAGCAGUUUAAUUGCAAACACUGGUGGCUUAUCCAAACUUAUUGGCAACUUUUAUCUGCAAACUUGUUGUGUAUGCACAACUACUGACAGCAUAUUAACUUGCAACACUGGUGGUUUAUCCACAAACUUAGUACUAGUUUUUAUCUACAAACCUAUUGUGUAUUCACAACUACUAAUAGUGUACUCACCUGCAACACUGGUGGUUCAUCCAUGAUUUUUACUGGUAGUUUUUAUCUGCAAACUCAUUCUGUAUUCACAACUACUGCCAGUGUAUUAACCUACAAUACUGGUGGUUCAUCCAUGAUUUUUACUUGCAGCUUUUAUCUACAAACCCAUUGUGUACUCAGAACUACUGGUAGCGUAUUAACCUGCAAUAUUAGUGGUUCAUCCACAAACUAGAGUAUCCGAGAUAUAAAAUUUCUGGGGAACUCUUAUUUUAGAGUGUAGCGAUAGGGUAGGACCUUUUACUGUUAAACUAAAAUUGCAUUGCAUUGCAUCGACAUGCACAAGUAUUCUUGAAUGAAUUGUCAAAAUUUCUACUAUAUUAUAUUAUUAUUGUACUAAAAAUUGUUAUUGUGCAUGUUUGGCUUAUUAUACCUCUGUACUGAUUUUGCUUGUGAUGGAAUUCACACUGAGCUUCAAGCUCACUCCCCUUUUAUUUCCAUCUCUUUAGAUAACCCACCAAGUUAGGAUGCAGACAUGGCAUCCGAAGGGUCUUGGCUUGGAAUUGUUUUUUUAUAAAGUAUUUAGGUUUAUUAUUUGAUAUUUUUGUUAUCCAAAGUUUGUAUUGCUUUAUAUUUAAAAUUGUGGCAUGGGACUUAGGAUUUGGUUUUUUAUAUAGUAUGCAUGACAUUUAAUUUGAUUUUCGAAUAUCGAAAUAUGAAUAAUAAUUAAUUAUGCAUGAACUUCGGUUUCAAUUAAAAACAUAAAUAUAUGUCACUUUUCUACUGCUAGAGUAUAGAUAAACUCUGAAUUAAAUAAAUAAUCUGGAAAUUAACUAAGUUUUCGAAAGUAGUUACUGUUUCAAGAAAAAUGUUAAAGUUAUUCGUGCUUUUGUUAACUCAUAAGUUUUUUCUGAAAAUAAGCUAAGUUUUCUUCUAAGAUAGGUAAAUGUUUUAAAAUAAUUUUUUUUUAUAAACUCUAAUAGUUGACUGAGUCAUUUCGACGACUAAUGUAAUCUUCUGAAUUUGGGCCUAACGUCUAGGUCGAGUUACGGAGGUUACAGAUUAAGUUAACUAGAUGAUAUUUAACAGGUUAAAUAUAAUUUGAAUUGAAUUUAGAUUUUGUAGAAUUUUAGAUGAUAUAUUUGUAUAGAUAUACUAAGUUAAAGCUUAUUACAAGUCCCUAUAUCAUAUCAUAAAUUUUAUUUUAGUUCUUAUAUUAUUAAAAGGCACAUUUUAGUACAUUUAAGUUUCAAAAGUUCUUUUAAGAAAAAAAGUUUGAAACGUUAAUAUUUUAGUCUUUGCACAUUAACUUUGUUUUUAAUAUAAUGGCAUAGCUUAAAGAUGGUUAAUGCAGUAUUAAAUCAAAUAUUAAAUUAAAUUUAAAUGAUAAAAAAUGAUUUUGAAAAAUGAGUAGAGAAAAUAAAUUGAUUUUUCUUUUACUCUGAAAUUGUUUUUGAUUCAAUUUUUUUACAUUAUUAUUGUGUUUAAAUUUUUGUAGCUUGGUUCACGUUUGCCACCGUUAAACCACAUAAUUCUAUUUGUUUCAAGACCAAUAAGUUUUUUAAUUUGAUUUAAUGACACAUCAGAUACCAUUCAACCACGUCAUUUUAUUAAUGACAAAGUUAAAGACAAAAGACUAAAAUAUCAACUUUCAAAUGUACAAGGACUAAAAUAUUCUUUUAAAUAAUAAAGAGAUUAAAUUGAACUUUUUGAAAUGAUAUAGAAACAUGUAGUAAACUUUUGUAACACCUCUAACCCGUAUCCAAUAGUAUGAAUGAGUCACUGACGAUCCCCUGAUUCGAGCUAGCUUUAUAACACUGUACAACAGAGAACAUUUCACAAAGUAAGCUUUAAAGCUUAGUAAGUUCGUACCAAAUAUAUCAAUAGUUUAUAUAAUACAAAAUAUCAACUAAUAAACACUUAGUAGUUCAUAAUUCAUCCAUCAAUUCUAUUCCAUCACAUUUUAUUUGUUCAUACGAAUUCAUUAAACUUCAUACACAUAGUGUCAUCUACCUCAUAGGUUCGAACAUACCUGAUUUUUCCCGUAUUAUUUCAUUUCAUUCUCCCCUCUCGUUCAAAUACAUUAAUUCAUUCGGAAGUCAUUCCAUACUUUAAGAAUUCGCACACUUAGUGCAUUAAUGAUUAGCUGAAGCUAUAAUAACCUCGCACACUUAGUGCCACCUCAAUAAACUGAUGCUAUCUCGAUAUCGCACACUUAGUGCCUCAUAUAGUCGAAGCUAUUCCAAUUCAUACACUCAGUGCCAUUUAUAGCUGAAGCUAUUUCGAAUCACACACUUAGUGCCGAACAUAGUCGAUUUAUCAUCAUACUCAAACCAUAAUCAAAUAUAUACAAUUUAUGCAUUAUCAAAGCAUUAAAACAUAACUGUAACAUCAUUUAUCACGUACAAACUUACCUCGUACUCAGAAUUGACAAUUCAAAUCGUUUACUCGACAACCUUCGAUUUCCCUCAAUCUAAAUCCAAAUUCCUCUUUUCUUGAUCUAUAUGUAUUCAAAAUUAACCCUUUUAUUCAAAAAUUCAUUCAAUUCAAUCUAUAUAUACAUAUUUAGGGCAUUUUACAAAUUAGCCCUCAUAUUUUCACAUUUUAACACUUUAAUCCCUAAUUUAUAAAAUCACAAAAUACACAAAAUUUUCUUAAACACAUGCUUAGCCAAAUUUUCAUAGAGUUCAUAUAAGCCCACAUAUUUCAUUUAUUUUACAUUUUAGUCCCUUAGGUUCUCAUUUUCACAAUUUAGCCCAAUUUACUCAAAUAUUUUUCUAACUAGGAUUUGUGGUCCCGAAACUACUAUUUUGACGAGGGUCUAAACCAAGCUAUUACAACUCUCCCUCUUAGGGAUUUUCGUCCCCGAAAUUCUUACCAUUGAACAGAUUCAGAUACUACUGUCUCAUGGUAUCUUCGGGCUCCCACGUAGCCUCUUCAACACCGUGACGAUGCCACAUUACUUUUACUAAUGGAAUUUUCUUGUUUCGCAGUUCGUUAACCUCGCGAGCUAAGAUACAGAUUGGUUCUUCUUCAUAAAACAUACCAGGUUGAAUUUCAACCUUAGUCGGGGAAAUAACAUGCGAAUGAUCUGAUCUGUAUCUUCAUAGCAUCAAUACGUGAAAUACAUUGUGGAUCUUUUCCAAUUCUGGUGGCAACAAUAAUCUAUAAGCAACCGGCCCGAUACGUUCUAUAACCUCCAAUGGCCCGAUGAAUCUCGGACUCAAUUUGUCUUUUAUACUAAAUCGAAAUACUUUCUUCCACAGAAACACUUUUAGAAAGACUUUGUCACCAAUCUCAAAUUCAAUAUCUUUUCGUUUCAAAUCUACAUAUAAUUUCUAACGACCGGAAGCUAUUUCCAAACUAUCUCGGAUCACUUCACUCUUUGUUCAGUCUCUUUAAUCAAAUCAACCCUGUGAACCUUAUUCUCACUAAGCUCUGUCCAAUACAAUGGUGUUUGACAUUUGCGACCGUACAAAGCUUCAUAAGGAGCCAUUUUGAUACUCGAUUUAAAGCUAUUAUUAUAUGAUAAUUCAAUCAGUGUCAAAUAUCAUUCCCAUGUACCUUCAAACUCAAGAAUACAACAUCUCAACAUAACCUUGAGUAUCUGAAUAAUCUGCUCGGAUUGACCAUCCGUCUGUAGGUGAAAAGCAGUGCUAAAGUGUAGUUUCAUACCUAAUGCAUCUUACAGUUUCUUCCAAAACUGUAAUGUGAACCUUCGAUCUCUAUCUAAAACAAUAGAAAUAGGUACUCCGUGCAAUAUCACAAUCUGAGAAAUGUACAACUUAGCAAGCUUAUCAAGUGAAUAAUCUGUACGAAUCGGAAUGAAAUGAGCCGAUUUAGUCAAUCUAUCAACAACAACCCAGAUUGCAUCUUUCUUACUCGCUGACAUGACAAAAUCCAUCGUGAUUCUAUCCCAUUCCCACUCCAGAAUCAUAAUCGGUUGUAACAAACCGGAUGGCACCUAAUAUUCAGCUUUAACUUGCUGACAGAUCAAACAUUUCAAAACAAAAUCUGAAAUAUCUCGUUUCAUACCAUGCCGCCAAUAAAGCUGUUUCAAAUCAUUAUACAUUUUAGUACUACCUGGAUGAACAGAUAUCUGACUGUUAUAAGGUUCAUUUAAAAUCAUAUAAAUCAACUUUAAAUUUCUCGAAACACAUAUUCGGCCUCUGAAUCUCAAGCAUCCUUCAGCAUCAACUCGGAAUUUUGAAUCAGUAUUCAAAUCACAUUGAACUCGUUUUGCUAACAAUUCAUUAUCAACCUUCUAAGCUUCGUAAAUCUGCUAAAUAAAUAACGCUCUUACUUUCAACUCAGCUAAAACCAAACCAUCAUCAGAGAAAGUUAACUGAGUAUUCAUCUCACGCAAUGCAAACAAUGAAUUUUGACUUAGAGCAUCAGCAACAACAUUGGCCUUUCACGGAUGGUGGUCAAUUACAAGCUCAUAGUCUGUUAACAACUCUAACCAUCUUCGCUGUCGUAGAUUCAAAUCUUUUUGAGUCAUCAAAUAUUUUAAGUUUUUGUGAUCAGAAUAAAAGUGACAUUUCUCACCAAACAGAUAGUGGCGCCAAAUCUUCAACACAAACACAAUAGUUGCCAAGUCCAAAUCGUGUGUCAGAUAGUUCUUUUCAUGAGACUUUAACUGUCUUAAGGCAUAAGCUAUGACUUUGCCUUCCUGCAUCAAAACACAUCCCAAGCUGUUCAAAGAUGCAUCGUUAUAGAUCACAAAUUCUUUACCCGAUUCUGGUUGAACUAACAUCGGAGGUUCGGUUAAUAAGACUUUCAACUAAUCAAAACUUUUCUGACAGUUCAAAUUUCACAUCUUUCUGAAGUAAUUUUGUUAACGGUGUCGCAAUCAUAGAAAAGCCUUUAAUGAAUCAGCGGUAAUAACCAGCAAGUCCAAGAAAACUGCGGACUUCAAAAACAUUUCUCGGAGGUUUCCAAUCCAAAAUAGCCAAAAUCUUGCUUCGAUCAACUCAGAUGCCAGAUGCCGACACAACAUGUCCUAGAAAACGAACUUCUCAUAACCAAAAUUCAUAUUUUCUAAACUUCGUAUACAAUUUCUUAUCUCGCAAAGUCUGUAGCACUAUUCUCAAAUGCUCAGCAUGUUCAGUUUCAUCACGUGAAUAUAUCAAUAUGUCAUUAAUGAAUACGACAAUAAAUUGAUCUAAAUACGGUCUGAAAAUUAUGUUCAUCAAAUCCAUAAAAACAUCAGGUGCAUUAGUUAAUCCGAAAGGCAUAACUAAAAACUCAUAGUGACCCUACCUUGUUUUGAAUGCAGUUUUUGGAAUGUCUGAAUCUUUUACUCGUAACUGAUAGUAACCUGAUCUCAGAUCUAUCUUUGAAAACACUGUAGCCCCUUUCAACUGAUCAAACAAAUCAUCUAUCUGCAGUAAAUGAUAUUUGUUCUUGAUCGUCACUUUAUUGAGCUGUCGAUAAUCGAUGCACAUUCUCAUAGUCCCGUCUUUCUUUUCCACAAACAAAAUCGGUGCACCCUAGGAAGAAUAACUCGGUCGUGCGAAGCCUCUAUCUGUCAAUUCUUACAACUGAGCUUUCAACUCUUUUAAUUUAGUCGGUGUCAUUCUGUACGGAGCUAUUGAUAUUGGAGUAGUUCCCGAUAUUAAUUCGAUACCAAACUCAACUUCUCAGAUCGGAGGUAAACCUGGUAACUCAUCAGGAAACACAUUUGGAUAUUCACAAACAACUAGCACUGAUUCAAUCUUCUUUUCAGUCACUUUCAUGUCAAGCACAUAAGCUAAAUAAGCUUCACAACCUUUUCUCACAUAUUUCUGAGCUAACAUCAUUGAAAUCACAGUUGGCAAUCCUUUCAAAACAUCUGAUUCAAUUCGAAUAAUCUCAUUACUCUGACAUCUCAAAUCAAUCAUCUUCCAUUUGCAAUUUGCAACAUCAUCAUGCAUUGUUAGCCAAUCCAUACCCAGAAUUAUGUCAAACUCGUCAAAUGGUAACAAUAUCAAAUCAGUUGGAAAGCAAUUACCCCGAAUCAUCAAUGGAAAAUUCUUGCACACUUUAUCAGCCAAUACACAUUUGUCUAAGGGGUUCGAUACUCUAAUUACAAAUUCAGUAGACUCUACAGGCAAAGUCUUACUGGAUACUAAAUUCACACAUAUAUAUGAAUAAGUAGACCCUGGAUCUAUCAAUGCAAUAACUUUAGUAUCAUAAAGAGUAAAAGUACCGAUAAUAACAUCUGGAGAUGACGCUUCUUCAUGUGCUCGAAUAGCGUAGGCUCGUGCAGGUGCUCUAGCAUCAGAUCUCUCUGCAGUGUCUCGUGUCACACCUCUACCACCACUCAUAUUUCCAGUGUUUCUCGAUGGUCUACCUCUAGCUGCAAUGUUACUCGGUCUCGUGUUCUGAGCAUUAUCUUUUUCAACUAACUCUGGGCAAUCUUUUAUAAAGGGAUCUCAUAAACCACAACUGUAACAAGCUCUGUUAUUACUUUUCCUCCAGCAAUCUCCAAAAUGUCGUCUUCAAUGUUGUUGACACUCAAGCUUUAUGUCCUUUGCAUUACCAACACUCGACACUGAUGUAGUUUGAAUUUUAGGUUGGUAUUUUGCUUUCCACGAUCUCUAUUCUGAUAUCCCACUGAAGCUAUCGAUCGAUCAAUAUAAUCUCUAGAUUUCUUUGAUGAGGAAUGAUAAGAUUUAUUCACUGAUCUCUUUCUUAAAUCUCUAGCCUCUGAAUCAACUUUUCUCUUUUCUUUGCUAAGAUCUUCAGCUUUGCAGGUCCUCUCAACCAAUACUACAAAUUCUUUCAAUUCAAGUAUCCUGACUAACAGUUCUAUAUCUUCAUUCAAUCCAUCAACAAAUCUUUUACACAUGAUCUCUUCAGUAGACACAUAUUCCCGUGCAUAUUUUCUUAAAUAUAUGAAUUCUCUUUCAUAUUUAGUAACGAUCAUCCGGCCUUGUUUCAAUUCCAGAAACUAUUUAUUUUUCUGAUCGAGGAAUCUCUAACUUAUGUACUUUUUUCGAAACUCAGUCUGACAGAAUUCCCAGGUAACCCGUUCUCUAGGAACCUCCGAUGUCAAUGUUUUUCACCAGUGAUAUGGAUUAUCUUUAAGUAAAGAUACUACACAUUUAAUACAUUCUUCUGGAGUACAGGAAAAUUUGUCGAAUACUCGGAUAGUGUUUUCAAGCCAGAACUCAGCUCUCUCAGCCUCAUCAUCAACUGUAGCUCGAAACUUUUCAGCCCCAUGUUUAUGAAUCUUAUAACAGGUGGCUUACUCAAUCGAAUUGGGUCUAUUACUUGUGGCACAACUGGGACUUGUUGAGGAACAGGACGAGGUGGAGGUUGUUGAGCAGUUGGAUUUGUUCGUUCAAAUUUCAUAAACCACUCAGUUAUCAUUUGGAAGAAGGCUUGCUUAGCCUCUCCUCUUUGACUACUAGAUAUCAGCCUAGAUUCGAUUGGCGCUAACCCUUGAGCGGGAGCGAGAGCAUUGCUUUCAACGUCAUCAGCUAUCUCUCGUUCGGGAUCAAUUUUCUAUAUGAAAAACACAUUUUAACUGUCAGGAAUCAUCACACUAUCGCAAUUCAUAUAUAUGGCAUGUAUAACUAGACUCUCAAUCAUUACGUUAGUUCUAGAAUAGACUAAACCGUAGCUCUGAUACCAAUCAAAUGUAGCACCCCUAACCCGUAUCCGUCGCUGGACUAAGGUUAAGAGGCAUUACCAGACAAUCGAAACACUUCGAAUUCAAUUUUCAAUUAAACAUCAUACAUCAUCAUAUCAUAAUCAAACAUCCAUUUAAAAUCCAUUCCUUAGGUCAACGAGACCUUAAACAUGCUUUAGAAAGGGGUCGGGACUAAACUAAACUGUGACAGCCCUAAAGUGACCCUAGUCAGAAAGUGGUUUUGGGACCACUAAACCGAGUCAUAAAAAUAAUUAACUAUCAUAGUUGAUGCUUAUUAUAUGUAUGUAUGCAUGUAUAAAAAUUUCAUAUUGGAAUUUUGUUAAUUGUAAGUGAAUUUUAUUAAAUAGGACUUAUGUGGGAAAAUUUAGAAAUGUGCUAGGCAAAUGUAAAGUGGCCUAUUUAUGCAUGUUGCAAAAUAAUUGUACUUGCAUGUCAAAUUAACCAAAGAGCAAGAUGGUGGCCGGCCAUGCUAUAAGUUAAAGCCUAUUAUAAACAUUUGGUGUUAGUGUUUUAUGGGAGAAAGAAUAAAAUAAAAGGUUAGUAAUAAAGUAAUGAAAAGGGAGGGGUGAUGAAAACAAAGUUGUCUCAUCCAUGUUUCCCCCCCAUUACCGUGACUUGAGGAAGAAAGAAAAGAAGAAAUCGGUUCUUCUUGGCCUAAAUGAAAAGAGGAAGAAGGGAGUGAAGCAUUCGGUUAUCCUAGGUCAAUAUUAAGGUAAGAAAGUUUAUACUAGUUCUUGAAAUUUUAGUUGAUAUGGAGUGAGAUAUCAAGUUAUUUUUGUAACCCAUGUUGAAAUUUUGAGUGUGGAAUGAGUAAGGUUUUCGGCUAUGGAGAUUAAUAAGGGUGAUGGUUGUUGUUUCAUGCUAAAUCUAGAUGAACAAUGGUAGUUGCUUACAUCUUGAUAUUUAUGAAUUCCUUUCUUGGUUCUACCUUAGACCCACGAAGUAUAUUUUUAUUUAGUGUUGUUGGAGAUUGAUGAUAGAAGCUAAUGAGUGAGAGUUGGAUAGAUAUUAUGAGGUUAAAAUUCAUGGGAUUGUAAGCUUGUAAGUUGGAUGAUGAAAUUCAUGCUUUGUGAGGGUAAAUGGGUUAAAAGGAGCAUUCGGCCAUGAUGUAAAAGCAUGAUGAAGUGAUGUUAAAUGCUUUGAAUAUUGAGUAUAUGUUAUUAUAAGUUGAAUUUAAGGUUUGAUAAAUUGUCUUUGUCAUUGCCGAAUGUGUGUAGUUAAAGAAAAAAUUGUUAAAGUGCUUAGUUAAUUGAUAGUAGGUUAAUGUGUAUGUUUUGAAUUGAUGGAAUGGAGAGGAUGCUUUAAUUGUGUUAUGAACAAUUAUAUGUUAAAUUAAGGUUUGCUAAGCUAGCUAUUAAGGUGAAGUACAAAUGUUAAUAUUUGAUUGCUAGUGUAUAUAUGGGUAUUAGCCGAGUUUUGAACUUGAAACAAAAUGGUAUUUAGUCAAUACAAGUAACCACAUUCGUAGAAUGUAUUAAGUAUAGAAUCGGCCUCAACAUAGACAUGCAUAUUCGGCCACAUGAGGUAGAUUGAUGUUGCAUGUAUUCGGUUAGAGGCAAGCAUAUUGAUGCUUUUAUCUUGGCUUAGAUAAUCGGCUAAAAGAGAGUGUGGGCUAAUAUGUUGAGUUGAAUCAUGAUUUCAUAUAUAUGUGACUCUAAUGUCUAAUGUAUAUAUGGGUUAAGUACCUUGAGUUUCUCUUUUUGAUGUUCAAAUGAUUAAAUCAAUUUAUUUGUUAAAUUAAGCUCAAGAGCAAAGGGGAACUGAAUCCGAUAAAGGGAAGGAAAAAGUGAUCGAAUAGCCGUCGAAAUCGUUCGACAACAUCCGAGGUAAGUUUUCGAGUAAUGAAACUUAGUUUACGAUUUGAUUAAGUCAUGACGUAUAAUCAUAACAAAUAUACGGUGAUAUAAUGAUUCUAUUGAAUUAUAUGUUGAGUAAAUUAGUCUAUACGUAUGAUGGGUAGCCGUAUGUGCAUAGAGAUCAUGUCACAAAGCAAACCAAAUCAUGUUGUUUGUAUGUGGCUAUUGAGCCGAAAAUGGGAAUGCUUAAUAAUUGAUUUGUGUUUGAAUUCUAGUUAUGAAAAUGAAAUAAAGAUGUGUCAUGAUUUACUGAUAUGUGCAUGAAUAUUCGGAUGAUAACGAAGGCAUUUGUGCUAGUGACUAAUUCCGGGCUAAGUCCCGAAGGCAUUUGUGCAAGUUACUAUAUCCGGGCUAAGUCUCGAAGGCAUUUGUGCGAGUUACUAUAUCCGGGCUAAGUCCCGAAGGCAUUUGUGCGAGCUACUAUAUCCGAGCUAAGUCCCGAAGGCAUUUGAGCGAGUAGCUAUAUCCGGUUAAAUCCCGAAGGUACUUGGUUUGGGAAUGAGCGAUCUUGCUGAAAUAAUUUCAAUUGAUAUGCUCGUAAAAUCGCAACGAUGAGGUAUGUUUCGUAUAUGCAUUGGAUUAAUUGGUUCCUUUUAAAUAGUAUUCGCUCAGUCGAUUAAUGAGCUUCCGGCUUUUGGUUAAGUUGAUUUCUUAUGUAUGAGUAUAAGGGUUGGUAAUGUGAAGUAGGUAUGAUUUUGAGAAUGUGUGUAUAUGAAAUUAUCCGUUUAGUCAUAUGAAUGCUAUACUUCAAUUGUGCCUAAUUUCAUUGCUCAAAACUUACUAAGCAUUAAAUGCUUACUCCGUUUCUUUGAUUCUCUGUUUUAUAGAUUUUGGUUCGUCAGCUAUCGGACUCGGGAUUGUCGAAGUCGAAGUCGUCCACACUAUCAAAGCCCUUUUGGUACACUUUUGGUUGAACUCUGAAAAUGGCAUGUAUAGGACUACCCCUUUUUGUUGUUGGUCAUGUACCCUUUGGUUUUGUAUAAAUUUGGAUAGCCAUGCGAAAAUGGCUUAUAUAUACUUUGAGCAUAGCAUUUUAAUUGUUUUGUAUGUUGUUCAUUGAGAGGUAUGGAAAUUUUUGGUAACGAUUAGCCAUUGGAAUGGUUAAUCAUGAUCAUUUUGGUGCUUUGUAUGACAAAUUCUAGUUGAUUCAUGGAAAACCAUGAAAUAGGUAAAGUUUACCUUAAAAACAAAUGCUGACAGCAGCAGUGGUGUGGAUUUGAAAAAUCACUAAAAAUAGUAGGAAUGGAAUUAAAUAAAGAAUAAAUUAUGUAAUCGAACCUUGAUGAAUCUACUUUCAUAUGGAAGAAACGAAACUAUCAUAUGAGUUGUAGUUUAGGAGAUAUUUAAGUUUUCGUGGAACAUGGCUAGAGCGAUUUCUGGAUCCCCUGAUCUGACUUUGGAAAUUCACUAUAAAUUAACCAGAGAUAAUUAGAAGUCAUGCCAUAUAUUUAUAGAUUCCUUUUUGAGUCUAGUUUUGUUAGAAACAAACAGUAUAAGUAAUUAAGCCCUGUACAGGAAGAUAUAUAAGUCGUAAUGCAUGAAGGUCAGAGCAGUCGAACCCUGAAACAUGGGAGAAUUUAACUAAUAAACUGUACUAAUUGGCUCGACCAAAAAUUUUAGAAACAAAUUUGUGGAUGGAUAUAUGAGUCUAGUUUCAGGAAAAAAUUACAAAACUGGUUUUCGUGUUUUGGAACUCAAGAUAUGAUUUUUAAGGUAACAGUGACGCAGUUAGCCAGCUUGUCUGGAAAUUUUUUUAAAAAAUGGACUGUGAAAAUAAAUGAAAUAAGUCCGUAAAUACCUCGGGUUCGACUCCGGCAACGGUCUCGGGUACGGGGUGUUACAUAAACUCAUACAAAAUUUUUUGAAACUUAAACAAUUUUCAAAGUUACAGAGGUCACACACCCGUGUGAACAGGCUGUGUGCCUCACACGACAUUAAACACAUCCAUGUUUUAAUCCGUGUUAAAAUAGGGCAUACAUAAUGACUUAUCCACACGGCCACAAGACUCACCCGUGUAUCUUGGUCGUGGUCGAAACUGACUUGGGUCACACGGCUAGACACAUGCCCGUGUACCUUGGCCUUGCUUGAGACUAACUUUAAAUUGCAGGACUAUCCCAGGGGACUCAUGACCGUGUAACAUGAAUGUGUGUCGUACAUGGCUGAGACACACGCCCGUGUGGACAAAAAUAGGCCAUUUGAAAAUCCAAUUUGCACCCUACAAUCAUGAACUCAUAGUAACCAAUUUGGAACCAAUUCCAUACACUUAUAGACAGCUCAAAACAUACCAAAUCACAUACAUUUCAUGCCGUUUCAUAGUCAACCAUUUCAUUACUAAAACAUACCAAAUCAAUGUACUAAAAUAAUCAUAACUUACAUAAGUUCCAAUACAUAAACUCAUCAUUUUAUCACAUAUUUCAUACAAAAAAACUCACCAAUUCAACAUUCCAUAUUCAAACCAUCACAUAAGCAUUAUAUACAUCAUAUAACUUACUUAUCAAACACAUCAUUUAGACCAACUUAAAUGAACAUACAUACCAAUAUUUACAAGCCAAAUCUCAUGGCUAGAUAUUUAUAUCACAAAACCUACCAAAAUAACUCUAGCUUAUACAUGCCGUAUACCAUAUAUACAACUCACAAAAUGGUACAAAAAUAGAUGUCUGAUAGUGUGAAUGAGUCGCUGGCGAUCCCCUAAUCCGAGGUAGCUUUAUAAUACCAUUAAAUAGAGAACAUUUCACACAGUAUGUUUUAAAGCUUAGUAAGUCCGUACCAAAUAUAAUCAACAAUUUAUAUAAUACAAAAUAUCAACUAAUAAACAUUUAUUAGUUCAUAAUUCAUCCAUCAAUUCUAUUCCAUCACAUUUUAUAUGUUUAUAUGAAUUCAUUAAACUUCAUACACAUAGUGUCAUCUACCACAUAGGUAUCGAACAUACCUAAUCUUUCCCGUAUUAUUUCAUUUCAUUCUUACCUCUCGUUCAAAUACAUUAAUUCAUUCGGGAGUCUUUCCAUACUUUAAGAAUUCACACACUUAAUGCAUUAAUGAUUAGCCGAAGCUGUAAUAACCUCGCACACUUAGUGCCAUCUCAAUAAACCAAAGCUAUCUCAGUAUCGCACCCUUAGUGCCUCAUAUAGUCGAAGCUAUUCCAAUUCGUACACUUAGUGCCAUUUAUAGCUGAAGCUAUUUCGAAUCACACACUUAGUGCCGAACAUAGUCGAUUUAUCAUCACACUCAAACCUCAAUCAAAUAUAUACAAUUUAUGCAUUAUUAAAGCAUUAAAACAUAACUGUAACAUCAUUUAUCACGUACAAACUUACAUCGUACUUGGAAUUGACAAUUCAAAUUGUUUACUUGACAACCUUCGAUUUCCCUCUAUCUAAAUAUGAAUUCCUCUUUUCUUGAUUAAUAUGUAUUCAAAAUUAACCCUUUUAUUCAAAAAUUCAUUUAAUUCAAUAUAUAUAUACAUAUUUAGUGCAUUUUACAAAUUAGCCCUUACAUUUUCACAUUUUAACACUUUAAUCCCUAAUUCAUAAAAUCACAAAAUACAAAAAAUUUUCUUAUACACAUGCUUAGCCAAAUUUUCAUAAAGUUAAUAUAAGCCCACAUAUUUCAUUUAUUUCACAUUUUAGUCCCUCAAUUUCUCAUUUUCACAAUUUAGCCCAAUUUACUCAAAUUCAUCAAAAAUUCAAAGACAAAACAUGUUAACCUAACAUCAAGCUUCCAUAUACUAUCAUCAAAAUUCAUAAAACUUACAUUACAAAACAAUGACAUAACUCAAAAUCAUCAAAAAAAAUUAGAAAUUGAGACACGGGCUUGAUAGAAUACAGAGCAACGAUCAUAAAAAUGUAGAAAUUAUCAAAAACGGAUUAAAAACCAUACCUUAAUCACCAAAUUUCUUAGCCGAAACUCUAAGAACUCUUUGUCUUCCUUUUUCUUUUUGAUUUUCAGCAAUAUGAACACUAAUGGCUUAAUUUUCAUGUUUUGUUUUGUUAUAAUUCAUUAAAUAAUCAAAUACCAUUUUUAACCUUAACAAUUAGCAUAUAAAUCAUUAAUAUUAAGGCCAUUAUUGUCCAAUUACCAUGUAAAUGGACUAUUAACAACAUAAGGACCUCUCAUUUACAAACACAUAACAAAUAGACACACUUAACAUAUAGCAAACAACUUUUACUUUUUAUGCGAUUAGGUCCUUUUUAUCAAAUCAGAACACAAACAAUUAAAUUUUCAUACGAAACUUUCACAGAUAUCACUUUGCAUAAAAUAAUAUUAAAAUAUUUUUCUAACUCGGAUUUGUGGUCCCAAAACCACUAUUUCAACUAGGGUCUAAACCGGGCUGUUACAACUUUAACCUUUAUACUAAGUUAUUAGUUUAUUUAUUGCAUUCAUGCCAUAAAUGUUUAAUAUAAUAUUUUUUAAAAAAUAAAGGUACAUUCUUAAAUUAUUAUUUAUUUUAAAAAUGAAAUAUUAAAUCAUAAUUAAAUAUCAACAUUUGAAUUUAUAAUAUGUAAAGUACUGUAAAUCGUACAAGAUGAACCACAUGGGUAAAUGAAGAGCUCUGUAGAAGCCUACCACCUCGUGGAACAUUUUGGACUAUCUUAUGUGUCUAGUAAAAAGUAAUGCUAUAGGCUUUUAUACUGUCAAUUCUAUUGUAUAAGAUUAUUGUGGACACCAAAUCAUUGCAUGACAUAGCUCUAAACUCCAUUGUUGACUGGUUUUCCUACUUUUACAUCCCAUUUUGGUGUGAGGAAUGGAAUAGCCAUCCACUCCUUAUUCUUGGAUGAACACUAAUGCUUUUUUUUUAUUCACCAUUUCUUCAUUUAGUAGAAUUACUUAAAGCAUUUAUAUUCCCUCAAAUGCAUAAUAGAGAUUUGGUGGUCAAGACUUUGAAUAGCCAUUCUGACCAUUGUCAAAUAGAAAUAAUUUUUUUCCCAAAAUAUCCUUCACACUUUCUCUGUAAAGGCGUUCAAAGUUGCUUCUUUUAUCAUAAUGAUACACUCUUAAGUAAGAAGAUUUUUCUUUUCAAGUUUAAUUUUGUUUGGUUCCUGUUCUUGCAAACAUCAGAUUUUAUUUUAGAAGGGGUUUCUAGUAAUGGGUUUUCUUUAUUUUUUUCAAAAAUAAGUUACAACUCAACUCCUAAAUCCCUGUCUUUUAUGGGUUUUAAAAAAUAUAAUGUCAGCGAUGGCAAUGUAUCACAAAGAAAAGAGAAAGAAAAAUAAAGAGCACACAGAUUUUACGUGGAAACCAUUUUGGAAAAAAAAUCACGGGCAAAUGAGAAGAUAAUUCACUAUGUCAAAUUCGAAUGAAUACAAGAGGAGUAGAUAAUGUUUAUUUAUAGGCUUGUAAAACCAUAUUCUAAUAGAAGGAGUGUAGUAAGUUGAAACACCUUAUUCUAAUCAACAUCAAAUAGAUGAAGUGUUAUAAGGUUGAAAAACCUUAUUCUAAAACAAAAUAAAAGAAGUGUAGUUCAAUAUGGAUUUUACUUUUAUUUUAUCUUACCACUGUAUUUUAUUUUAAUAAGGAUUCGAGUCACUCAAUUCCAACAAUCUCCACCUUGAAACAAAUUCUCAAUGAACAAGUUCUUCAUCACAAACUGUAACAGCCCGUUUUUGGUCAAAUCAGAAUAGUGGUUUCGGGACCACAAAUCCAAGGUCAAAAUAUUUAUUUUAUUAUUAUUUUAAUUUUUAUAGCAUUAUUUAAUGAUUGUGAGAAAAUUUUGUUAAUAAAUUUUAUGGUUUAAAUGGUCAAUUUGAGAAAAAGGACUAAAUCGCGUAAAGUGCAAAAGUGAUGUUCUAUUAGCUAAAGGUGUCUAAUAGCUAUGGAAUCUUAAUUUGGAGGUUCUUAUGUUUUAAAUAUACCAUUAAAAUGGUCUUUGGACAAUUAUAGACUUAUAUUAAGUGAAUUUUGAUGUUUUAAAUUAAGGUUAAUAUAGUAAUUUACAAAAUAACUUAAGAAUAAUAAUUAAACAAAAGGACAUUUGAUGUAUUCAUCUUGUCAUAGUUGAAAUUUAGGGUGGAGAAAGCCAUUAAAAUAGCUUGAAGUAUUCAGUCACUUGGUAGCUCAACUGGUGAGUGAUUUUUCUUCAGUCACUUGUACCUUAAAUUUUGAAACUGUAAAAGAUUUAUCAUGUUUCCAUUGUUGAAUGCUUGAGUAAUUUGAUGGUUUAUGAUAGAGUUGGAAGGUUUAAUGUUAGAUUAAUAGCUUUUGUAAAAUGAUUUUUGAGAAAAAUGUCAAAAAUGGAUUUAUUUGUGAAAAUGUGAAAAUCUAUGGUUAAAUGUGUGAAUAAAUGAAAAAUAUGAACUUCUAGGGGUAUAUUAGUAAUUCAGCUAGCAUGGGUGUAUUAGGACUUUCAUUAAUUUGUGAUUUUAUGAAAUAAGGACUAAAUUAUGAAAAAUGUGAAAGUUUAGGGGUAAUUAUGUAAAAUAGCCCUAAUGUAUAUUUUGGAUUGAAUUGAAUAAAUAGUUGAUUAAAUGAGUUAAUUUUGAAUAUAUUUAGAUCAAGAAAAAUGAAAUUCGGAUUAGGAUCAAAGUUAUCGACUAAUCGACUUGAUUCACCGUUUUAAUAUCUGAGGUAAGUUUGUAUGUAAUAAGCAUUGUUAUAAUUAUGCUUUUAAUACUUUGAUAUUUCAUAAAUUGUAUAUACAGGACUACAGUCAUGUUCGACGACAAAUCGGCUAUAUUUGGCAUUUAAUUUGUGAUUUGACAUAGCUUCGGCUAUAUAUGGCACUUAAUGUAUGAGAUCGAGAUAACUUCGGCUAUAUAUGGCACUUAGUGUGCGAGAUCAAGAUAAUUUUGGCUAUAUAUGGCACUUAGUGUGUGAUUUGAGAUAGCUUUGGCUAUGUACGACACUUAGUGUGUGAGAUAUCGAGUAUUCAACGGUAUUCUGAAUAUGUAAGAGCUUGUUAUGGAUUGGUACAGGUAUGUAUAUGCAUAGUAUGAGCUUAAAAUCAAAGUAGUUAUGAAGUUUGCAUAUAAGCGCAUGAAUAAGCAUAUGAAAGGUUUGUUAGUAAUCAUGAAUUUCAUGUUAAUAUGUUUAAAUAGAUGAAUGGUGUAUUUGUGAUUAGUUAAGUUUAUAUCAUACGAGCUUACUAAGCUUUAAAGUUUACUUUGUUUAUUUUCCAUGUCUUAUAGUGAUGUCAAAGCUAGCUCUAAUUUGGGGAUCGUCGGAGACUACGUCACACUAUCCAACCAUCACUUUGGUACUUUUGAGCUUAUGUUUGGUCAUAUGACAUGUAUAGGAUUAUGGUCAUGUUGGUUAUGUUUUGAUAGUGUGUUUUUCCAUUUGAGAUGGCUUGUAAAUGGUUAUGUUUUGGCUUGUAUAUAUAUAUAGUUGUGAAACUUGGCUUAAUUUGGCUAGUUUGGUUAUGUAAAUAUAUAAGUGUGCUUAUGGCUUAUAUUAUGAGGUUUGUGGAAUUGGUAUCAUGCUUGUGAAUUGGAUCAAAAUGAUGUAUGUUAAGUAAAUGUUUUUAGAUGUGCUAAUGCCAUUUUGUAAUGUGUUUAAUGUUACUUGGAAAUGGUUGAUGAAUUGAUGAUAUUUGUGAUUGAGGUUUAGGCUAAGAAAUGCUUAAAUGAAAUAGUAGGAAUUAUGUUUGACUUGGUAGUUUUGGGUUGCCUAUUAUGUUUUGUUUUGGUGCCAUAUGUGUAGGUAAAGGUGUGUAUCAAAUGGGGUGGCAAAUUGGCUUGGUAAAUAGCCUAAUUUAUGUCCACAUGGGCAGAGACACUGGUGUAUGCCUUAGCUGUGUGUGACACACGAUCAUGUUAUACGGCUGUGUGUCCCCUGGUGUUGAAAUUGAAAUCAAGUUAGUAUGCUCCACACGGCCUCACACACGAGCGUGUGACUUGGCCGUGUGGUAUAAGUCAGUAUACCCUACAAGUUUGGCACGGCCUAGCACACGGGCAUUUGUGGCCAUUUUUAGGGCACAUGGGCUAGCCAUACGGGAGUGUGUGUUAGUCGUGUGACCCAAGUCAGUGACUUACACAGGGUUGGAACAAGGCCAUGUGCUCCCAUUUUGAAUGUCCACACGGCCUGAUACGGGCAUGUCUGGUGGCCGUGUGAGACACAUGGCCUGGCCACAUGGGCGUGUGUUCCCUAUUUUGAGAAAAAAAUUAUAAGUUCACGAAAAAUUUCUUAAGUUUUCGGUUUAGUCCCGAACCACUCCCAAAGUAUGUUUAGGGCCUCGUAGGCUCGUAUUAGGAACAAAUUGAUUGAGUUUGAAUGAUGAGUAUGUGAAAUAAUGUUAUGUAUGGUAAAUGGUGGUUUAAGUGUUUUGUAAAUUCAAUAAUGCUCUGUAACCCUAUUUCGGCGUUGAAUACGAGCGAGGGGUGUUACACGAACUCUCAACGAACAAGUUCUCCACCUCUUCUAUAAAACCCCAUAAGGGUUUAACUUCUACAAUGAACACCAACCAAGUCUAAGCAAUGCUCAAAUUUGGUAGACUUGGUUAUAGAAAGUGACUUAGUCAUCAUAUCUGCAGGAUUUUCAUGAGUAUUAAUUUUGCUCACAACAUUAUCACCAUGAACAAUAAUAUCAAGAACAAAAUGAUACUGAACAUCAAUGUGCUUUUUUCUCUCAUGAAAGAUUUGAUCUUUUGUAAGGAAGAUGACACUUUGACUGUCACAAAAUAUUGUACUGAUUUGAAGGUCUUCAUUGAGUUCACUAAAGAGUCUCUUCAACCAAAUGGCUUAUUUACAAGCCUCAGUGGUAGAUAAAGCGAUUAUAGUUUGCAAAGUGGCUUUCCAACUGAUUGCACAACCUCUAAUUGUAAAGACAUAACCUGUGAGUGAUCUUCUUCUAUCAAGAUCUUAAGCAAAAUCAACAUCAACAUACCCAAUGACUCCAUCUCUAGUUCUUCCAAACUAUAAGAAAAUAUUAGUAGUACCUCGUAAGUAUAUUAAAAUUCACUGAACUACUUUCUAGUAUUCUUUACUGGGAUUCGCCAUGUAUUUGCUAACUGCACUGACUACAUAUGAUAAAUCUGGACGUGAACAAACCAUAGCAUACAUGAGAGAUCCCACUACACUAGAAUAUGGAGCAUGUGACAUGUACUUAAACUCAUCAUCUGAUUGUGGAGACAAAGCCGAUGAAAGUCUGAAAUGGGCUGCUAAAGGAGUACUAACUGGCUUAGCAGUUUGCGCAUUGAAUCUGCAAAGAACUUUCUCAAUGUACUCAUUCUGAAUUAGGUACAACUUACUUGCUUUUCUAUCAUUGAGAAUCUCCAUACCAAGAUCUUUUUUGCUGGUCCCAAAUUUUUCAUCUCAAAUUCUUCACUUAGUUGGGCUUUGACCUUUCUUAUCUGUCUUUUAUCUUUCACUGCUAUUAACAUGUCAUCAACAUAAAAGAGUAGAUACAAAAAAGGAACCAUCACUAUUUUUCUUAAAUUAAACACAACUAUUAAAGCUACUUCUUUUGAAAUCAUGAGAAGUCAUAAAGGAAUUAAACCUCUUGUACCACUGUCUUGGUGACUAUUUCAAACUGUAAAAGGACUUUUUCAGCAAGCAAACAUAGUCUUAUUUUUCUGAGACUGUAAAGCCCUCUGGUUGUUACAUGUAAAUAUCCUUCUCAAGUUCUCCAUGCAAAAAUGUAGUUUUUGCAUCUAACUGCUCAAGCUCCAAAUCAUGCAUGGCUACAAUACCAAGCAAAGCUCGAACCAAACUAUGGUUCACAACUGGAGAGAACAUAUCUAUGAAGUCCACACCUGGAAUUUGACUGUAACCCUUUGCAAAAUGUUUUGCUUUAUAUUUGGGUUCUUCAAAUCCUAGAGUCCCUUCUUUCUUUUUAAACACCCAUUUGCAAUGAACAACCUUUUUGCCUUUAGGUAGUUUCAUAAGAUCCCAUGUUCUAUUUUUGUGGAGUGAUUUCAUCUCCUCUUGCAUAGUGAACAUCCACUUUUCUUAGUCUUCUCAAUUAUUCUCCUCGGAAUAAUUAGAUGGGUCUUGGUUUAUAUCAAACCUUCAGCCACAUUUAAAGCAUAAAAAACUAGAUCAGCCUCGGCAUACUUCUUUAGAGGUUUAAUCUAUCUUCUAGUUCUAUUUUUGGCGAUAGAGUAUUGUGGUGAAGAAGAAAUUCUAUUUUGAAUUUUUAUACUGGCCUGAGGAGUUGACUCUGUUGUAGAUUCUGGAUUAAUCUGAUGCUCCACCUACUUUUGAUGUUCUAUAUUCGAAGAGUCUUCAAGAGAUAAGUAGAUAGCAUAGCAGUUUUAUUAAAAACAUAUAUGCUAAUUACAACUUUUAUAUAUUUAGGACACCAUAACUUAUACCCUUUUACAUCGACUUUAGAACAAAGAAAUAUACAUUUAAUGGAUCUCAGUUCCAAUUUUCCAUUAUCAACAUGAGCAUACACAUGACACCCAAAUAUUUUUAAAUCAAAACAAUUAGCAGGAUUACCAGACCAUACCUGUAACAACCCAAUUUUUAGUGGUGACGAAACAGUGGUUCCAGAACGACAAAUUUCUGUCGUGUCAGCUCAUAAAUAUUAUUUUUAGAAUAUUUAUAUAGUUAUUAGAGUCGUAUUAAAAUUUGUUUUAGAAAUAUUAACGUUUAGAUAGUUAAUUGAAGAAAAAUGACUAAAUUGAAAAAGGUGUAAAAGUAAGUAAUUAGUUAAGUAAAUGACUAAUUAGUUUAUUAACCACAUGAAGAGGGACUAAUAUAGCAAUUAGACCCUAGUGUCACGGACUUAAGAUUCUUGCCUCAGAAUCCGUGCGGCCUUAGGCAGUUUCUUACUCCAAAACGCCUAAGUCAGCCUAACUUCCACAAAAGAAGGAUUCAACAGAAUUCCUCCCUAAAACACAACUCAAGCGAAAGCAACUCAAAGCCAACAAGAUGAAAGAAAAAUGAGACAAGAAUAAGCUAGGGAAAAUAAGAACACAAGAGAGAAAAGUUUGAGUGAAUGCUCUCAAGGAUUCUUCUUACUCAAAACUCAAGUGAUUUACAAUGAGGGAAGAGGUCUCUUAUUUAUAGUUGAGCCUCCCCAAAUCCAACGGUGCAAAAUUAAGUACAUCAACGGCUAUGAUUAAAGGGCACCUACCACCAAACCUUUAAGAAUAUAAAAUCAUAUCUUCUAAGAUUACAUAUCUUAUCUAAGAUAUGUAAUCUUAUAAAAUAAUAUAUUAUAUUUGUCUAACUUGUAGAUGGGCCUUCAAUCUCUUCAAGCAACGGGCCGGUCUGAUUGGGCCAAAUGACCUCCUUCCUUCUUGAUGGUUCACACAGAUGUGUCAUGGUUGCGGGCUCCCAUGCGCAACCCAUGACAUUCUCCCCCACCAAAUCUAGCGACGCCCUCGUCGCGUCCUCUGCAUGGUAUCGAUCUAUCUUGUCUUGGAAUUGCCACAAGGCUUCAGCAAGUUCCCAACUCAUCUCACUAUCCGGGAAUCCCUUCCAUCGGACUAAGUAUUCGCGCCGCGGUCGGUAGUGCUUACGUCUGACCAUACGAUCCGCUUCGAUGUUCUCGACCUCUCGAUCAUAGGCGACUUUUACCCCCAUUGGUGCUCGUUCAGACUUGCUUCGAUUUGGGUCUUCUCCAUCUUUAUGGAAUGGUUUAAGCAUACUCACGUGGAAUACUGGAUGAACUUUAAGCUUUUCAGGCAACUCGAGCUUGUAGGCCACCUUGCCUACCUUCUUCACAAUUCGAAAUGGCCCCUCGUACCGCCGAACGAGUCCUUUGUGUAACCCAUCAUGUCGCAAAAUCAGGUGUAGUUUGGCAAGAACUGGUUCACCUACCUGAAAUUGUACGUCCCUUCGAUUUCGAUCUGCCCAUUUCUUAUUGCGCUUACUUGCCUUAUGUAGACAAGCUCUAGCUAGAUCGUUUUGCUCUUGCCAAUCCCUCGCAAAUCGAUAAGCUGCUGGAUUCGGUCCCGCAUAACGAGUUGCAACUGCAUUGGGUGUAAGCGGUUGUUGCCCCGUUACUAUCUCAAAUGGACUCUGGUUCGUUGCCCCACUUCGUUGUAAGUUGUACGAAAACUGGGCAACAUCCAAAAACUUUGGCCAAUCCUUUUGUGUUGCACUUACAUAGUGUCGAAGAUACGUCUCCAACAAUGCAUUCACUCGUUCAGUUUGCCCAUCAGUUUGAGGAUGCAUGCUAGUGGAAAAGUUUAAGUCUGAGCCCAUUAACUUGAACAACUCUGUCCAAAACCGACCCGUGAAUCGCCCAUCUCGAUCACUGAUGAUAGACUGUGGUACUCCCCAAUACUUCACCACAUGUUUAAGGAAUAAGCGAGCUGCCUCAUCAGCAGGACAUUCUUUGGUUGCGGGGACGAAAGUUGCAUACUUCGAAAACCUGUCCACCACAACAAAAAUACUCGCAAAUCCAUCAGAUUUAGGCAAGCCUGUGAUAAAGUCCAUGGACAAGCUCUCCCAUGGGCGCUCCGGAAUGGGCAAUGGUUGUAACAAACCAGCAGGGGCUUUCAACUCAACCUUAUCUUGUUGGCAUAUUCAACAAGUUUUCACAUAGGCCUCCACAUCAUCCCCCAUGUGAGGCCAAUAAAAUCGAUCCUCCAAUAGAGCCAAGGUGCGGUGUAUUCCUGGAUGGCCAGCCCAUUUUGAAUCAUGGCAUUCCUUCAUGACUUCCCUUCGUAAAUUCUUAUGUUGAGGCACAUAUAGACGUUGCCCAUGAGUGUAUAGCAAUUCUCCCUCGAGCCAAAAUCGCCUCGUCUUUCCAUCUCUAGCAAGCUCUAUUAGAUUUUUAGCCGUGGGAUCAAGGGACAGUCCUUCUUGGAUGCGCUCUAAUAAGGGACUCUCAGGUUGGCUUAUCGUUGCGAAUUCCAUUUUUCGGCUAAGUGCAUCGGCCACAAUGUUGGCACUCCCCAGCUUGUAUUCCAUGCUAAAAUCAAACUCUGCUAGGAAAACCUGCCAACGAGCCUGCUUGGGGGACAACUUUUUCUGGGUUAAGAAAUAGCUAUUUGCAACAUUAUCAGUGAAUACCACAAACAUGGAACCCAGCAAGUAGUGUCUCCAUGUGCGCAAACAAUGCACCACUGCCGUCAUCUCUUUUUCUUGGACCGUGUAUCUCCGUUCCGUCUCGUUAAGCUUUCGACUCUCGAAAGCAAUCGGAUGCCCAUCUUGCAUCAACACCCCUCCAAUCGCAUACUCUGAAGCAUCUGUGUGUACCUCAUACGCUUUUGAAAAAUUGGGCAAUGCAAGUACAGGCUCACUCGUUAUUGCUUGCUUCACUUGGUUGAAGGCUUUCUCACACCGAAGGUCCCAAUCCCACACUUUGCCCUUUUUCAACAGGUCCGUCAAGGGUGCAGUGAUCUUAGAAUAGCCCUCAAUGAAGCGACGGUAGUAAUUUGCUAAUCCAAGGAAAGACCGCAACUCCGUCACCUUGGUUGGUGACUCCCAAUCGGCAAUUGCUUGAAUUUUUCUUUCAUCCAUUCGAAUCAUGCCCCCUCCCACAAUAUGGCCUAGAAAUGGCACUUCUCGUUGGGCAAAGGAGCAUUUCUCCUUUUUGACAUGUAGCUUAUUUUCUCGUAGAGUUUGAAACACCUCCCCCAAGUGUCCCACAUGCUCUUCGAGCGUCUUACUAUAUACCACAAUAUCGUCAAGAUAAACAACCACAAAACGAUCCAAGAAAGGUUGUAAUACCUUAUUCAUUAGGGUACAAAAUGUGGCCGAAGCAUUUGUCAACCCGAAUGGCAUUACCAAGAACUCAAAGGACCCAUACCUAGUUACACAGACUGUCUUGGGUUCAUCCCCUUCGGCUAUUCUCACUUGGUGGUACCCCGAUCGCAAAUCCAACUUAGUAAACCAUCUCGCGCUACCAAGUUGAUCGAACAAAUCUGCAAUAAGAGGAAUGGGGUACCUAUUUUUUAUAGUGAUUUUGUUUAAGGCCCUGUAGUCGAUGCACAUUCUCAAAGAUCCAUCAUGCUUCUUUUGAAAUAACACCGGUGCGCCGAACGGGGCUUUAGAUGGUCUAAUGAACCCGGCAUCUAAAAGCUCUAUCAACUGCUUCCGCAAUUCUUCUAGUUCCGGUGGAGCCAUCCGAUAUGGUGCCCUUGCUGGUGGUUCAGCAUUAGGCAACAGCUCAAUCUUGUGGUCCACCUCCCUCUUAGGUGGCAAUCUUUUGGGCAACUUUACCGGCAUUACAUCUUGAAAUGACUUUAGCAACCGUUCCACUUCCUUUGGAAAUUCCACCUCGAAUUUAUCAUCCACAUUGUCUCUCAAGGUAGCUAGGUAGGAGACUUCAUUUCGACGAACUCCUUUGGCAAAUUGAAUUGCCGACAAGGUUUUCCCCCCCAUGCUUCCUUUCCUUUUCAUUCUCACCAUAUAUCAUUGAUUUGCAUCGGAGAUGGUCAUGUAGUUCUCGGAAGGGUGAAUAUCCGCAUUAAGCCUGUCAAGUAAACUUAAUCCAACUACAAAAUCGUAAUCAUCAAGUGGGAUUACCUUAAUGGUCGCUUUGCCCGUCCACUCACCAAGUUUGAGUUCCACCCCUUUUGCCACACCCGUUAUGGGAAUGCUUUCUGAAUUCACCGUUUUGAUUCGUCCCGAAUCUUCCUCGAUUCUAAGGCCAAGUUCCUUUGCCAUUUCUUUAGACAUAAAUAAAUCAGAUGCACCAGUAUCAACAAGUGCAUUCAAUCUUCUGCCAGCUACGAUGAUGUCCACAAACAUCAACCCAUUGCUUGACUUCUCUUCAACACCUCCUAAUAUCGAAUUGAGGCUUUUGGUGUCAUCUUCGGCUUCUUCGCGUGCCUCCAUGGCAUGAAAAGCGGCUUUCUUUGGACAGACACUCAUUCUAUGUGGGCCUUGGCAAAGAAAGCACUUCAUUGGUCCUUUUCUAUCCUAAGGCUUACCUUGACUAGACUUUGGGCCUUCGUCGUUCUUUUCUCUUUGAUCCUUGUUUCCCCCACCAUUAUCUUUGGGUCUCGACUUGGGUUUGUAAGAAUCUUUAUUAUCAAACGUUCUUCCCCCAACAUCAUAGAAAUUUUCUGCCUUGGCCAUAGCUUCGGUCAGUUCGGUGAUAUCUAGGCGACGCAACUCUUGCUUGGCCCACAUUUUUAAACCAUCCUCGAACCAAUAGAAUGCUUCUUUCUCAUUCAAGUCUGAGAUCUGAAGCAUCAACUUGCUGAAUUCCCGAACAUAAUCUCGAACAGUGCCUUGUUGCGUAAGCCGACGCAACUUAGCACGAGCCUCCUUUUCGGCAUGUUGUGGAUAAAACUGCUUCUUCAACUCUCUUUGGAACUCCUCCCAAGUUCCAAUGGUCGUUCCUCCACGUUUCUCAUCCGUGGACCUACGUCUCCACCACAAGAGAGCAACAUCAGAAAAGUAAAUUGAAGCGGUGUUUACCUUGGUGGCAUCAUCCUCAAUGCCAAUUGCUCGAAAAUACUGCUCCAAUUCCCACAGGAAGUUGUCUACUUCUCUUGCGGACCUAAUCCCCUUGAACUUCUUGGGUUUUGGAACAUCCACAUGACGUUGCUUCGGUCCCGAAGCCAACAUCCCACUUCCCAAGGCAGCCUUACAGAUUCUGAGCUCCCCCUUAAGCUCAGCAAUCUCUUCCUUCAUGGCAGUCAGCAGGGCCUCAAGAGCUUCGUCCCUCCCUGUUAGUUUGUCCGAAGUGGAUCUGAUGGAGUCCAACACAAACUCCUUGCUAUCUUCCCUCAGUUCAUCCAUACGGGUUAGGACCACUUCGAGUGUCUCCUUCAUGUCACCAGCGGACUCCUCGAGAUUAACCACUCGAAUUUCCAAGCUCGACAGCAUAUCCCUCGAUCGACUAGCCUUUCUAGCCCUCCCACGGGUCUCCAUUGGCUCAUUCUGAUCAACUUCUUUCGACAUAUCUCAAAAGUGCUUUCGAACGGCUCUGAUACCAACUGUCACGGACUUAAGAUUCUUUCCUCAGAAUCCAUGCGGCCUUAGGCAGUUUCUUACUCCAAAACGCCUAAGUCAGCCUAACUUCCACAAAAGAAGGAUUCAACAGAAUUCCUCCCUAAAACACAACUCAAGCGAAAGCAACUCAAAGCCAACAAGAUGAAAAAAAAAUGAGACAAGAAUAAGCCAGGGAAAAUAAGAACACAAGAGAGAAAAGUUUGAGUGAAUGCUCUCAAGGAUUCUUCUUACUCAAAACUCAAGUGAUUUACAAUGAGGGAAGAGGUCUCUUAUUUAUAGUUGAGCCUCCCCAAAUCCAACGGUGCAAAAUUAAGUACAUCAACGGCUAUGAUUAAAGGGCACCUACCACCAAACCUUUAAGAAUAUAAAAUCAUAUCUUCUAAGAUUACAUAUCUUAUCUAAGAUAUGUAAUCUUAUAAAAUAAUAUAUUAUAUUUGUCUAACCUGUAGAUGGGCCUUCAAUCUCUUCAAGCAACGGGCCGGUCUGAUUGGGCCAAAUGACCUCCUUCCUUCUUGAUGGUUCACACAGAUGUGUCAUGGUUGCGGGCUCCCAUGCGCAACCCAUGACACUAGCAGCUAAGGUUGGAUAGCUAAGUAAAGGAAAUUAAUAAAUUAAAGUGUUUUGAAUGACAAAAUUGUAAUUAAAAUAAAAUUUAGUACAACAAAAGGCUUUCUUCUUCAUUUUGCAAUUCUCCAUUGUCGAAAUCAUAGAAAUAACUUAGGAGAAUUGGAUAAGCAUCUAGGCCUUGCAUGUGAGUUCAAUUCUUAACCAUUUCUUGUAAUUUUUAUGUUUUUUGGAUCGUUGUAACUAGGUCCAACUGCCUCGUAACUUUUUUUUUUGAUUUUAUUAAAAAUUGUGGAAGUUGCCAUUGAUGAAUAUUGAUUGCCUUUUAUGAAUAUUAUGUAUUUGGAACCUUUGUUAUGCUAGUUGAUGGAUUUGUAAAGAGAUUUUUUAUUGAACCUUGAUUUUUAGUUUAAAUUUUGAAUAAGUCAAAAUAUUAGGGUUUGAUUAUAAAUUUGAGGCUUAUUAGGGGCUGGGCUUAGUAUAUUUUGAUAAAUUAUUGAUAUGAGAAAAUUAGUUAAUUUGAUGAAUUUCGAGUUAAGGGACUAAAUAACAAAAAUUGUAAAAGUUUGGGGUAAUUGUGUAAUUUCAAAAAAUAAAAGGGUAUUAGUUGUAAAAUGGAUUUGAAAUGAAAUAUAUGCUAAGGGAUUUUCCAUUAUAGAUCAAGAAUCCAUAGAUAUUCGGGGAAAAGGAAAAUUAGCUGAGUAGUCCCUAAACGUCUACAAUUUCUGCGAUUUAGUCCAGGUAAGUUCGUUUUACUAUUAAUUUUAUUGAAUAUUCCAUACUAUUCAUUUUUGGUUGAAUUAUGGAUUUUAUUGAGUUAUGCUUAUCGAAAUAAAAAUACGGUGAUUAUUCGGGUUAAGUGCCUAGCAAGCUUUGUGCUGGUGAUUAUUCGGGCUAUGUGCCUAGCAGGCUUUGUGCCGGUGAUUAUUCGAGCUAAGUGCCUAGUAGGCUUUGUGCCGAUGAUUUUUUGGGCAAAGUGCCUAGCAAGCUUUGUGCCGGUGAUUAUUCGGGCUAAGUGCCUAACAGGCUUUGUACAGGUGAUUAUUCGAGCUAAGUGCCGAGCAGGCUUUGUGCCCAUGCUUAUUCAGGCUAAGUGCCUAACAGGCUUUGUGCCAGUGAUUAUUCGGGCUAUGUGCCUAGUAGGCUUUGUGUCGGUGAUUAUUCGGGCUUUGUGCCUAGCAGUAUAUGUGCCGAUGUAGUGGAAAUUGCAUUUAAUUGGAUAGUUUUGGGUGAAUUAUUAAAAGAAAUUUAUAUCGAACUUAUUAAGCUUGUUUAUGCUUAUUAGUUUGAUUUAUUCUUAUAAGACCUCUAGAAUCAUUGCUUUGAUUGGAUCGACUAGGAAGCUCACUCACUAUCAUCAACAUCUCAGUAGUCAUUUUGGUUCUUAUUAGUUGGUUUAAGUGGCAUGUAAUAGGAAAUGGUCUAUAGCACUUGAAUAUUUUGUAUGGAUGUAAAUAUUGUAAGUAACUUAUUAUGCUUGUUUUCUAGCAGAAAUAGUUAAUUUUGUGUGCUUAAUUAGGUAAACCUUUUGGAACAUAUAUAUAAGUAGAAGUUUUAUAAAUCUUGUGGUGUCAAAUGAUGAUGAUUGAAUACUUCAAGUAUGCUAUGUGAAUUAGUUUAGUUAUAAGCUGUUAUGAUGAUUAAUUUUUGUUAAGUGUUUGGUAUGUUUGAAAAUAUGGUGAAUUGGUACUUCGUUGAGAAUGAUAUAUAUGAUUGUUAAUACUAGUAGAUGAAUGACAUAUUUUGCACCAUUUGGUAUAUGUUGGUAAGUAAACUCAAUGAUAUGUAUAAUGCAAAUAUGAUAGAAGUUAGUUAAAUAUUUUGGCCCAGAUUUUGUACAUGAUUAUGCAUAUUACAUGUUGUCAUUUGAGGUGCCUAACAACAUUUAAGGUGCCUAAGGGCAUAUUAGUUGUAUGCUCUUAUACUAUGACUGAUUAGCUGGAAUAUGCAUGAUUUUGGUGCCGUAUUAUAGCUUGUAUAUAUGUGAAAUUUUGGUUACAGGUGCAUUCCAAAAUGGGUGAGAGAAAUGGAUUGUAAAAUAGUCUAUUUUCGUCCAUAGGGACAGAGACACGAGCGUGUGUCUCUGCCGUGUGUGGCGACACGGUCAUGUGUCCCCUGUAGCUUUUAAAGGGUUGCAAGUCAGGCUGCUACACGGCUUAGCGCAUGGCCUGGCGCACCAGUGUGUGGGGUUAUUUCGAAUGGCACACGGCCUGGCACUCGGGCAUGUGGCUUGGCCGUGUGACCUAAGUCAGUGACUUACAUGAGCACAGACACAGGCUAUGACACGGCCGUGUGUCCCUAUUUUGAAUGCCCACAUGGCUUGGCCACACGGCCGUGUGACCCCUGCAGUUUGGAAAAUUUUCCUAGUUUCCUGAAAAAUUCUUUGAGUUUCUGAUUUAGUCCUGACUUGUUUUUAACGUGUUUUAAAGCUUUGAGAGCCCGUAUAGGGAAAAAUAUGUAUGAUUUGGAUUGGUUUUAAAAUGAUUAUUGAUAUGAUUUGAAAUGUUUAAAAAUUAUGUUCAUUUGAAUUGUAAACGCGGACAAUGAUUCGUAACCCUAUUCUGGUAACAGAUACAGGUUAGGGGUGUUAUAUUUAUUGGUAUCAGAGUUAUGGUUUAGUUAGUUCUCGGAUUGAACCUAGCAUGUACAAAGUCUAGAAAUACAUGCCACUUGACUAACCAAUGAUUGUGUGAUAGCUUUUGAUUAUUUUUAAUUACUCUUAUAUAGAUGUAAACUGAAAAAUAUACAAGAUUUUUCCUAUGCAAUUUAUCACCUUUUUACUUAAAUUCGUUGUUUGCUAGCUGAAAAAUAUAUAAGAUUUUUCCUAUGUAAUUUAUCACCUUUUUACUUAAAUUCGUUGUUAAAACUAAGUGAUUGUUUAAUAAAUUAAUGAAAUAUGUGAAAAUAUGAAAUUAGGACACAAAAAUUAUUAAAAUAUGAUUUUAUGCUUUGUUAUAGUGUUUUCAUGCAUAAAAUGGCUUUUCUUAUAUUUAUUUGAACAUAUUAUAUUUUUAAGACAUAAAAUGGGCCAUGCAUGAUUAAAUUAAAUAAUAAAAUAUAAAAUUAUAUUUAAUAAUUUCUUUUAAAAUAUUUCAUUAAUAAUUUGGGUUUUAAUUAAUUAUUUAAAUUGGAUAAAUUUUAUUCUUUUGUUCUUUAAUUUAUUGAUUUAUUUUGGACAGGUCUGAUAGCUUUGUUGGAUUACAAAAACUAUCCGAAUUGAACACCAAGUCAACCCAAUUUCGACUACACAUGGCUGUCCAAAUGAACCACUGUUUGGUUUAAUUACAUAAGGUCCUUGCAAUGUUGAAGAAAUUAGAGAUUUGCCCGAAGAUUUACAUUUGAUCGAGUCUCAAUCUUGAGUUGUUAUGGCAUUUAAAUUGCUUAAAAAUCAAGAAAAAUUCAAGUCAAAAUCCACUAAGCAUGGUCAGCCACUCAUUGGAAAAGCUUGAAGCAACUAAACCUCUCUAUUUUUAGCAAACUUCUAUCCUCUCUUCACCUAUAAAUAAGACUUCAUUUCAAAAUUCCUAAUCAUCUCUCAAUUCUCUUAGCAUUUUCCAUUCCCCAUGUCUAGCAUCAUCUUUUCAUAGAGAUUUUAGCAAUUAAGCCUCUUAAAGUGCCCUAGGUCGGCCACCUUGGAGAGUCAUUAGCAAAGGAGCAAAGCAAAGGAGCGAAUGAGCCUCGUUGGUAAGAGUCUUGGGUGACAACCACUUUGAUUCAAGUUUAAUCUUUGUUUUCUUUAAUUUAAUCUGAAAAUGUUUGCUAUGAGUUCUUUGUUCUUGUUUACAACAAUAUUUGCUUAAUUUUAUUUAAGUUAGGAUGAUUGCUUUGAUUAAAUAAUAUUUAUUUUAUUGUUUGUGCCUUAAUCAAUCAUGUUUUCAAUUAAAACCAAGUCUGUAUUUCGUUCAUACGUGAUUGAAAUGCACUUGAAUUAGCUGAGUGAUCCUAACCAGACGACGGCUAGUGGACGCAUAAUUGAAAUGUGAUUGCUCAAUUUAGAUCCUAACCCAAUUAAAUUGCAGGUUGCAUAACAACUCUAACGAAGCUCUAUUAUCUACAUAGUUUUUAGAUUUGUGUGAUUAAACUGUUUCAAACCUAACACGUCCCUGUUACCUCACAUAAAUGCUAAGAAACUCUUAGUAAAUAAGGAUCAGUAAAAUGCGUAUUUGCAAAGUAAAGGAUUCUGAAAAGACCUAAUGUGCUUUCCAAACUCAUGAAAGAUAGAGUUGCCAUGGAAUGUUUUUCCGAAUGUUAUUAAGCAUGUUGGUAAUAAAUUGAGUUUAAUUAAAGUAAUUGUCCGAGUUUAUUUAUUUAUAAUCGUUGCAAAUUGUGUUUAAUUUUUCUAAAAUCUAUUUUACUCAUAUAGUUUGCAUACUUAGGGUAAUUUGCGUUAGGGAUCAUUGCAUUUAGUUUAAUAUAUUUAAUUUUAAUGAUCACUUCUCAACUAUAUUGUGUUUUUAUUUACCAAGUUGUUAGUACAAUUUUACAAUUAAGUGAUUUAACACAAAUACAAUCCCUGUGGAGACAAUAACUCGAUACUUACUUAUUACUUGAUAACGAAUACGUACACUUGCACAAACCUACGCGUUACAUUGUUAAAACUAAGUAAUUGUUUAAUAAAUUAAUGAAAUAUGUGAAAAUAUGAAAUUAGGCAUAGAAAUUAUUAAAAUGUGAUUUUAUACUUUACUAUAUAGUUUUUCAUGCAUAAAAUGACUUAUUUUAUAUUUAUUUGAACAUAUUAUAUUUUUGAGACAUAAAAUAGGUCAUGCAUGAUUAAAUUAAAUAAUAAAAUAUAAAAUUAUAUUUAAUAAUUCAUUUUAAAAUAUUUCAUUACUAGUUUGGGUUUUAAUUAAUUAUUUAUUUUAUUCUUUGGUCCUUUAAUUUAUUGAUUUAUUUUGGACAGGUUUGAUAGCUUUGUUCGAUUACAAAAACCGUCCAAAUUGAAGACCAAGUCAACCCAAUUUUGGCUACAUAUGGCUGUCCACAUAAACCACUUUUUGGUUUAAUUAAAAAAGGUCCUUGCAAUGUUGAAGAAAUUAGAGAUUUGCUCGAAGAUUUACAUGUGACCGAGUCACAGUCCUAUUUUUUAUGGCAUUUAAAUUACUUAAAAAUUAAGCAAAAUUCAACUCAAAAUCUACUAAUCAUGGUCAGCCACUCAUUGAAGAAGCUUGAAGAGACUAAACCUUUCUAUUUUUAGCAAACUACUCUCCUCUCUUCACCUAUAAAUAAGACUUCAUUUCACCAUUCCUAAUCAUCCAUCAUCCAUCAUCCCUCAUCAUUAUCUCUUUUCUCUCAGUUCUCUUUAUCAUUUUCCAUUUCCCACACCUAGCAUGAUCUCUUUAUAGAGGUUUUAGCAAUUAAGCCUCUUAAAGAGUUCUUGGUCAGCCAACUUGGAGAGCCAUUAGCAAAGGAGCAAAGCGAAUGAGCGAAUGAGCCUCGUCGGUCAGAGUCUUGGGUGACAGCCACUUUGAUUUUGGGUUUAAUCUUUCUUUUCUUUGAUUUAAUCUGAAAAUGCCUGCUAUGUGUUCUUUGUUCUUGUUACAACAAUGUUAGCUUAAUUUUAUUUAGGCUAGGACGAUUGCUUUGAUUAAAUAAUAUUUAUUUGAUUCAUGCUUAUAAUGUUUGUGCCUUAAUCGAUCAUGUUUUCAAUUAAAAUAAAGUCUGUAUUUCGUUCAUACGUGAUUAAAAUGCACCUAAAUUAGCUGAGUGAUCCUAACAAGACGACAAAUGGCGGACACAUAAUUGAAAUGUGCAUGCUCACUUUAGAUCCUAACCUGAUUAAAUUGCAGGUUGCAUAACAACUCUAACCAAGCUCUGUUAUCUGCAUAGUUGUUAGAUUUGUGUUAUUAAACUGUUUAAAACCUAACACGUCCUUAUUACCUCGCACGAAUGCUAGGAAACCCUUAAUAAAUAAGGAUCAGUAAAAUUCAUAUUUACUAAGUAAAUGAUUUCGAAAGGACCUAAUGUGCUUUCCAAACUCAUGAAAGAUCGAGUUGCCAUGCAAUGUUUUUUCGAAUGUUAUUAAGCAUGUUGAUAAUAAAUUGAGUUUAAUUAAAGUAAUUGUCCUAGUUUAUUUAUGUUAUAAUUGUUGCAAAUUGUGUUUAAUUUUGAUAAAAUCUAUUUCAUUCAUAUAGCUUGCAUAAUUAGGAUAAUUUGCGUAAGGGAUCAUUGCAUUUAGUUUAAUACAUUUAAUUUUAAUCAUCACUUCUCAACUAUAUUGUGUUUUUAUUUACUAAGUUGUUAGUAUAAUUUUUAUAAUUAAGUGAUCUAACAAAAAUACCAUCCCUGUGGAGAUAAUAACUUGAUACUUACUUAUUACUUGAUAACGACUGUGUACACUUGCGCAAACCUACGCGUUACAAGUUUUUGGCGUCGUUGCCGGGGAUUGUUAACUGUUGCCAUAGUCAUUUUUCGUGAAAUUGUUUACUUCAAAUUUGGUUUGUUUCUAACAUUACUAACUUAUUCUUUUUAACUUUGUGAUUUUCUUUUCAAGUGUUUAUGAGCAUAGAUUGGAUUAUUGAUUUACUCCCUAUAGACCCUAAAAUUAAGUGAACUUUUAGACAAAGAAAACAUGAACGAACACUCAAAGACAAGUUGAGAUAGACCUUGGAAAUCAGAAUCAAGACCAAGGUACUAAAGCCAAUCGUGUACGAAAUCCCAUCCUCAUUGCCGAUGAUAGGGAUCAAUGCAUCAGAUAAUAUGCUGUGCCACUUUUCAGUGAGUUAAAUCCAGGAAUUAGAAGGCCAGAUAUUGAGGCAACCUAAUUUGAAUUGAAACCAGUUAUGUUUCAAAUGCUCCAGACGGUGAGCAAAUUCAGUGGUAUGCCCACGAAAAAUCCACAUCUCCACCUUCAAUUAUUUAUGAAGAUGAGUGAUUCAUCCAAGAUAGCCAGAGUGACUGAAGACACACUAAGGUUGAAGUUGUUUCCAUACUCGUUGCGAGAUCAAGCACGAGCAUAGCUCAAUUCAUUGCCACCAAGUUCCGUAUCUACAUGGCAAGAAUUAGCAGAGAGAUUUUUGGUUAAGUAUUUCCCGCCUAGCAAAAAUGCUAAGUUGAGGAACGAGAUCACAACUUUCCAACAAUUGGAUGACGAGUCUUUGUAUGAGGCUUGAGAGUGAUUCAAGGAGUUACUUCAUAAGUGUCCUCAUCAUAGGAUUCCUCAUUGUAUCUAGUUGGAGACAUUUUAUAAUAGUCUCAAUGCACAUACAAGAUUGAUGGUAGAUGCUUCUGUGAAUGGUGCAAUUUUUUCAAAGUCUUAUAAUGAGGCUUAUGAGAUCAUCGAGAGGAGCGCGAGUAAUAACUCUCAAUGGCCAACAAAUGGAACAGCUUCAGGAAGACGUGUAGCUUGAGUUCAUGAAGUUGACGCCCUCACUUUGUUAUCAGCUCAGGUAUCGUCUAUUUCCUCUAUGGUAAAACAAUUUACCGCUAAUAGUAUUAAUAAUUUUGCAGCUCAGCCACCAAGUCCAUUUGAAGUAGUUUCUUGUGUGUACUGUAGGGAAGGUCAUUCUUUUGAGAAUUGUCCAUCAAAUCCUGAGUUAGUGUACUAUGUAGGGAACCAACAUCAGAAUAGGAGUGGAUAAGGGCCCCAGUCCAACUUCUACAAUCCUUCAUGGCGUAAUCAUCCUAACUUUUCUUGGAGCAACCAAGGAAAUGGACUGAACAACAACUUAUUGCAUCAUAGACCCAACCAAUCUCAAAGGAUUAAUUAGCAAGUUCUAAAACCACCUCAAGCUGAGGCAUCAAAUAGUUUGGAGAACUUGUUGAAAGCGUACAUAGCAAAGAAUGUCACUUUGACCCAAAGCCAAGCAGUAACUUUGAAAAUUUGCAAAAUCAAAUGGGUCAGUUAGCUACAAAACUUCUUAACAGAUCGCAAGGAACCUUGCUGAGCAAUACUGAGAAUCCAAGAAAUUUGGGUAAAGAACAUAUCAAGGCAGUGGCAUUGCAAAGUGGUAAAAUUCUAGAAGCCCCGAUUGAUUGAUGUUGAAGAUAAGCCCAUUGAGAAGAAUCAACCAGCUGUUGAAAUUCCUACACCAAAAGAGUCAAAAUCUGCUAAGAUUGACAAGGUAAAUCCUAACUUAGUGAAUUCAGAUACUUUAACAUCUUCUUUAGAUGCAGAUUUACCUACUCAGAAGAGUUAUCUAAUUCAACCGAAAGUUCUAUCACCUCCAUAUCUGUAAAGAUUGCAGCAACACAAGUAGAAAUAAGAGGUUCAAUUCAAGAAGUUUUGGAUGUUUUGAAGGAGUUACACAUCAAUAUUCUGUUGGUGGAGGCUUUAGAACAAAUUCCAAAUUAUGUGAAGUUUAUGAAGGAUAUACUGUCCAAGAAGAAAUGACUAAGGAAGUAUGAGACUGUUGCCUUGACAAAGGAGUGCAAUGCGUUGUUGCAUAACAAACUUCCACCGAAAUUUAAAGACCUAAGAAGCUUUACUGUACCCUAUAACAUUAAUGGAUGUCUAUUUUCAAGAUGCUAGGGAUAGGUGAAGUGAGACCUACAACUGUGAUGCUUCAGGUAGCAGAUUGAUCUUUAGCAUAUCCUGAGGGAAAGAUCGAGGAUGUUUUGGCAAGAGUCAAUAAAUUUAUUUUUUCUACUGAUUUCAUUGUCUUAGAUUUUGAAGCAGAUAAGGAACUGCCGAUCAUCCUUGGGAGACCUUUCUUAGGCACGGGAAGAACGUUAAUUGAUAUGCAGAAAGGUGAACUCACCAUGCGAGUUCAAGACGAUCAGGUAACCUUUAACAUUCUUAGAGCGGUGAAAUUUCCUGAUUCGAUAGAAGAGUGUUCAGUUAUGGAAGACAUAGAGACCUUGGUUUCUAUGGAAAGCAAUUUUGAAGAAGAUCCAUGGGAGAAAGCCUUAGAUCUUGACCCUUUAGAGGAUGAAGAAAGUGAAGAAAACAUGGCUUUGAUGGAAGCAAAUCCGAGAAAUUUUAUUCAAUCCACACGGUUUGAACCGUUAGAGUUCGAAGUUAGAGAAUUUGUGCAACCCAAGUUGUCAAUUGAAGAACCACCUAAACUCGAACUAAAGGUACUUCCUUCCCAUUUGAAAUAUGUUUAUUUAGGUGACUGUUCCACUUUGCCUAUGAUUAUUUCAGCAGAAUUGAUGAAAGAUCAAAAGGAGCAACUAAUUACUGUUCUAAAAAAAAUUUAAAAAAACAAUUGGUUGGACCAUAGUUGAUAUUUGAGGUAUAAGCACUUUUUUUUGCAUGCAUAAAAUUAUUUUAGAAGAAGGUGAAAGAGAUCGAAUUGAUGGGCAAAUGAGGCUCAAUCCUAUUAUGAAAGAAGUUGUGAGAAAGGAAGUGAUCAUUUUUCGUUGCCUUUUAUGGAUCAGAUGUUAGAUCGAUUGGCAGGUAAUGAAUUCUUUUUUUUUUUAGAUGGCUAUUUGGGAUAUAACCAAAUAGUUGUAGCUCUGGAGGACCAACAUAAAACAACCUUUACUUGUCCAUACGGUAUGUUUGCUUUUAGGUGAAUGCCUUUUGGUUUAUGCAAUGUACCUGCAACAUUUCAACGAUGCAUGAUGGCAAUAUUCACUGGUAUGGUUGAAAAUUUUGUUGAGGUUUUCAAGGAUGAUUUUUCUAUUUUGGUAACACUUAUGAUAUUUGUUUGAGUACUUUGGCUAAGAUACUAAAGAGAUGCGAAGAGACAAAUCUUGUCCUUAACUGGGAAAAAUGUCAUUUUAUGGUUAAGGAAAGGAUUGUCUUAAGGCAUAAAAUCUCAAAGAGAGGAAUUAAAGUCGAAAAAGCAAAGGUGGACAUAAUAGAAAUAUUAUCGGCCCCAAUUAAUAUGAAAUGAGUCAGAAGUUUCUUGUAACACCCCUUACUCGAGUCCAAGGCCGGGACAGGGUACGAGGCAUUAUCGGACUUAAACAUACACAACAAUGUAAAACCGGGCCAUAGAAAUUUCAUUCAAAUUAAAAAAUUCAUUCAUACUCAUAAUGUCCCUUAUAUGGGCUUACGAGGCCCAAUACAUACAUCGGGGGCGUUUUUGGAUUAAUCAGAGAACUUAUGAACUUUUUUACAACACUUAGAAAAUUUUCUAGUUUUGGAGAGUCACACGCCUGUGUGGGUUAGGCCGUGUGGUCACACACACCCGUGUGACUUGGGGCACACCUGUAUCCUCAGCCCAUGUAACUCUCUGUUUAUGAUGUCAGCAACAAUAUAGGGUCACACGGCCAAGUCACACACCCGUGUGAUAGACCGUGUCCUCCAUACGGAUGAGAAACACGGUCGUAUCUUUGCCCGUGUGGCCCAGAAAAUGGCUAUUUACCAAUCCACUUGGCACCCUCGUUAGCACUUACUUAAACAUAACUUCAAUGGCACUUUUUGAGGUAAUUUCAUAUCGAUUUAUUCAUGCAUAAGGAACCAUACUUUGCCUAGUUUAAACUUAUCAACUUCAUGCCAUAAUUAUCAUUAACACAUUCUUACCUUCAUACUUAUGCUAAGGUCUAUCCAUAGGCCAAUUUUGUCACAAAACCGUCAACUAAUCUAGGGCACAUUCAUAAUUCAUCCGUACCAAACACACGUGUCCAGACGAUAUCAAAACCUUUAGCACAUGCAUGCAUACAUGGAUAGGUUUACAACCCAAUAAUCAAUAUGAGCCACAUCACAUGGCCAUAUAUAAAAUGACUCAUAUUCCAAUUAUGAGGCAAUACAUUUGGACAAAUCAAAUGACACAUACCCAAUUGACUAAGUCCCUAUACAUGCCAUAGAAUUAAAGUGCUUGAAAUCAUUUAUACCUUUCAAUAGCUGGAUAGUGUGAUGGAAUCUCCGACAAUCUCCAACUCGAGCUAGCUUAGUGACCCUAUAAAAUGAGGAAAAAGAAAGGGGAAAGCUAUAUAGCUUAGUAAGUCCAUAUGAAAAUAAUAAGAGAUUUAUUAACAUGUUUUUUUUUUCCAUAUUCUCACAACAUGUUCUCAAGUUAAUACAAUCAUAAUUCCACAAAAUUCUACUAUUUACUCUUGUUCAUCUCAAGCUGUCUACUAGAGUCACAGUCACUAAAUUAUUUAUAUCUUGAGAUACCGAACUCCAAGUUAAGAUCCACUAAUUUUCCUUGAAACUAGACUCACAUAGCUUUUUACCAUAAAAUUUUCAGAAUUUUUGGUCUAGCCAAUAAGUGCAGUUUAUUCUUUAAAAUUUCCCCUAUUCUGCUGUUUGUCAGUUUCAACCCUUCUUCAGUAAACAUUAAUUAUCUCACAGUACAGAAUUCGGAUGAUGUUCCUGUCUAUUUCUAUUGAAAAUAGACUCAGUAAUAAUUUAGUCAUAUAAAUUAUAACCUAUAAUUAUUUUCAUACAUUUUUUGAUGAUUUUCCAAAUUUAAGACAAGGGAACCUGAAAUCACUCUAGCCUUGUCUCACAGAAAUCCAAAUAUCUCAUAACGUGAAAUUCUUUUGCUUACAUCGUUUCUUCUAUGUGAAACUAGACUCGAUAAGCUUUAAUUUUAUUUUAUUCAACUUUAACUCGAUUUCCACAAUUUGUGGUGGGUUUUCAAAUUCGGACUACUGCUGCUGUCCAAAACUGUUUUAGUGUAAAAUAAUGAUAACUAAGUUUAUAACACCUUUACAAAUCAUUUCAACCAUCAUGGUAAAAAUAUAUAUAUUUAUACAUCAUAAGCAUAGACCCAUAAUCACAAGAUCAUCACAAAAUCAUUCUCAUGGGCAUGACUUACUUAUUGGCAUCCUUACCCAAGGUGCAUCAUAAACCGAAAUCAUUUCUCAUGAGUUUUGCACACAUGGUUUUACAUGUCCCGGACAUGGUUUUACACUGGCUCUCAUACAUCAGUGUCGAUCCCAUGUCCUAGACAUGGUCUUACAUUGACACAUAUAACAAUGCUGAUGCCAUGUUCCAAGCAUGGUCUUACACUGGUUCGCAUAUUGAGGUCAAUGCCAUGUCCUAGACAUGGUCUUACACUAGCUCACAUAACAAUGCCAAUGCCAUGUUCCAAACAUGGUCUUACAUUGGUUCGCUUAUUGAGGCUCAUGCCAUGCCCCAGACAUGGUCUUACACUGGCUCACAUAACAAUGCUGAUGCCAUGUUCCAAACAUGGUCUUACAUUGGCUCUCAUAAAUCAGGGCUAAUGCUGUGUCCCAGACAUGGUCUUACACUGACACAUAUCGAGGCUGAUGCCAUGUCCCAGACAUGGUCUUACACUGACACAUAUCGAGGCCAAUGCCAUGUCCCAGACAUGGUCUUACACUAGCUUUCAUAAUGCCAUGGUCCAACCAUGGUCUUUUCCGUCAAUUCAUCACGAGUCUUAGUCCGAUUGUACUCGACCCUGUAUUUUUCUUAGAUUGAUCUUUCAAUUCAAACUCAUAUUAUCAUGAUUCGAUAAAAAUUUUACGUAAUAAUAAUAUAUUAUAUCAUUUCUAAUUUAAUAAUUGAUCACUGUCAACUAACCAUAUGAACUUACCUCGUUCGCUGAAACAACGAAUUGAGUCGACUAACCCAAUACUUUGAUUUCCCUCGUUCUCUGUCCAAAUCUUGUCUCUCCCCAAUCUAUAUAAUAACAAAUUUUACUUAUUUAGUGGUCAAUUUAUACAAUUUAUUUGAAAAUUUCACAUUAGGACAACUUUACACUAUUGCCCUUAAUGUUUACCAUUCCUACAAUUUAGUCCCUAUAACAUAAAAGUGCAAAUUCAUGAAAUUAAACACAACCCAAGCUUAGUUGAAUUUUUUAUAAUUAUUACUAGCUUCCCAUAAAACAUACUUUGGCAAAUUUACAAUUUUGCCCCUAAGCUUUUACAAAAUUACAAUUUUGCCCCUAGGCCCGUAAAACUAUUUUCAUUGAAUUUCCUCAUUAACCAAGCCUAGCCGAAAUUGAUUUAAGCUUAUAGAAACUCUCAAUUUCAAUUAUUCCACACAUUUAUCACCUAUUUUAUAACCUUUACAGAAAGGUCCAUUUUAAGUGGUUUCAUGAAAAAUCCUUUCACAAAAGUUGUUAAUUAAACAACCAAUAUUCAUUUUCUUUCAUAAAAAUUCAGCAAAAAACAUGAGUAUUCACAUGGAAAAACCCUAGAAUCUUUGUAAACUAGUCCCUCCAUUAGUUAUGUAACACCCUUAUCCCGUAACCAUCACUGAAUAGGUAAGGGGCGUCACCGGAUGACAAAACAUUACAGAACAAUACAGAAUCACUGAUAUCAUAUAAUAUCAAUACAUAGAUAUUCAUUCACAAUUUAACCUUUAAUAUAGUCUACGAGACUUAAAACAUACAUUUAGGAAAGAUCAGGAUUAAACCGAACUCAUUCAGAAUUUUUAGAACUUAAUCAAAUAUUUCAAAGCUGUCAAAGCCACACGCCCGUGUGACUAGGCUGUGUGACUUACACGGGCAUAAGCCAUGCCCAUGUGAUCCAACCGUGCCAAAAAGAGGUCCUAUACUGACUUUUUCACACGGCCAACAAACACGGCAGUGUGCCAUGACCGUGUGGUACAUAGCUAGCUACUAAUUUAAGCCCAUGGCCAUAAGGCACGCCCGUGUUCCCUAAUCGUGCAAAUUUUAAGAGGUUACUGCCAAACUAACAUGGCCACCAGGCAUGCUCAUGGCCUCUGACCGUGUGGCAUAAUGCAGGCUUGAUUUAAGCCAAUUUGCCACCCCUUUAAGGGUCAAUCCUGCAAGCAAUGCUAAGCAACAUUCAUACAACAAAUUUUCAGCCAAUUUCAUGAUCAAAACAUGCUUCAUUACAACUAUAUCAUCAUCAUUAAACAACCCAUUCAAAACCAUACCAAAUCUUAACACAAACAUACCAUUUUCUAGCCAACUCUCAUGGCUUAACAUAUAUACAAUUCAAAAUUUAUUACAUGGAUAUUCUAGCCUAUACAUGCCACACUUUAAAAUAUUUACACUUCCAAAAGUACCAAAAUGAGAUCGAUAGUGUGGUGAAAAUCCUCGACUAUCCUUGAGCCUUCAGUAGCUACGAUAAUUGUAAAAUAGAUAGUAAGCACACAGAGUAAGCUACAAGGACCUUAGUAAGCCAAAUACAAUUGGUCUAAUUACUAAAGCAUAUAUGUACCAUUCAACCAUAUAGAUUCAUAACCAUUUCAUAGAAUAAUUCAUACUUAACCAUAUACCAUUGUUGUAUAUAUGUCAUGCUUCAUUUCCAAUUCCAUACAUAUUUCACAGAGACAGAGUUUUUCAUAUUCAGAAAUUUAGUAUGAUACAAACGUACCUGCAUAGGAUAUACAUUUCAUAUACUCAUUUUUCAUACGUUAUCAUCAGACUGUUUAAAAACAAUAUAGAUGUAACGCCCCCACGCCCGAGACCAUCGCCGGAGUCGAAUAUAAGGUGUUACUAAGCUUAGUUUAACAUUUUUAGAACUUUGGAUUAUUGUUUCUACAUUCACAUCUUUUAAGCUACUUGCGUCACAGUCACAAGAAAAAUCAUAUCUCGAGUUACGAAACUCAAAAUUAAGAUCCGUAAAUUUUCCCUGAAUCUAGGCUCAUAUACCUAUCUACUAAUUGUUUUCUAGAAUUUUUGGUUGGGCCAAUUAGUACAGUUUAUUAGUUAAAGUUACCCCUAUUUAAGGACUCAACUGGUCUGACCUCUGUUUACUACGAACCACAUUUAUCUCUGUAAAAAAUUCAUAUGACUAUGAUAUUUGUUUCUACUAAAACUAUACUCAAUAAGGAGUCUGAGGAUAUAAAAUACACCACCUAAUUAUAUCUUUAAAAUUUAUGGUGAAUUUCUAAAGUUGGAACAGGGGAUUCAGAAACUGCUAUGACUCUGUUUCACUAAAAUUAAAAUAUAUUCUAACAUAUAAUUCCUUUACUUGUUUCAUUUGUUUCAUGUGAAACUAGACAUAAUAAGCUUCAAUUUGAUAUGUAGUUCAUCACCAAAUUCAAUUUAUAUGAUUUUUAAUAAAUUUUCAAACUCGCAACAGUGUUGCUGCAGUAUUCUAUUUAUGGCAAAUUUCAUCCUUUUUAUGAGUUUUUAUACACUAAGUAUCUUAAUAGUUUUCCUUAACAUCAAACAUAAUAUAAACUAACCAUUUUCAUAAUUUAUCAUUAUCAAGCAUUUCCUCAACCAUUCCACAACCAUACCAUAAGAUCAUUUACACAAAAUAGGUAUAUUGCUAUACAUGCCAUACUUAAAUUUACAAGCCAUUUACCAAAAGUCUUCCGGAUAGUGUGACUGAGCCUUCGACCUAUCCCGACUCCUGAGCUGGCUUGUCCAAAACUACAAUGAGUAAGAAUGAGGGAGUACGAAUAAAUGCUUAGUAAGUUCAUAUGCAAAUAAUAAGUAACAUAACAAACAGUUAUACCAAUCAACAUUAGCAUACAUCACUAAAACACAUAUCACAUUUUUAAUCAUUUUUCAUCAUCUUAUUACCUUAUCGUGGUUGUAUCAAUACUCAACCUGAGGGUUAAAUACAUACCUGUCCAAAAUAUCCAUUUCAUAUCACUUACCAAUACGUCUCUUUACAUCUCGAAUAUUCCUCCAUUUGAGUAGAACUUUACCCGUUGAACACAUCGAAAUAUAAUUCGGAUACAUGGAUAACUUGCACAUAAGUGCCAUAUAUUCAAUCAAGCAAUCAUGUAACCCGCCCAUAAGCGAACUCGGACUCAACUCAACGAGCUUGGGCGUUCGUAUCCAUAAGUGAACUCGGACUCAACUCAACGAGUUCGGAUGCCUAGUUACAUUUCACGAACUUGGACUCAACUCAACGAGUUCGGACAUUCGCAUCCAUAAGUGAACUCGGACUCAACUCAACGAGUUCGGAUGCUCAACCAUCCUAGUGACAUGUCACUUGUAUCCUAAUCUAUUCCUAAGGUUCAAGCGGGAUUUUUCUCGAACACUUAUCCUUGCCGUCUUCCGUAGAAUGCCGAAGUCAAUACUCGGUAACAAUUAUAUUUAACAAGUAGCUCACAUAAUUUACAUAUUAUUUGAAAUUAACCACAAAGCAUACAUUUUAUAAUAAAAUUCAGCAUAACAUAUAAUUAACAUCAAUAACUUAAAGAUAACAAUUAUGCUACUUUAUUUACACAUGAACUUACCUUGGUACCAAAAUACAAAGAUUUUGCAAUUUAGUCCACAAUCUUUUCUUUUCCUCGAUUGAUGUCGAUUCCACAUCUUUCUUGAUCUAAAAUAACACAUUUAGCUCAUUUAAUACUCACAUUAUCAAAUUAAUCCUUAACUCAAAUUUUGGCAAAAUUACAAUUUUUCCCCUAAACUUUUGCAUAUUUACAUUUUUUCCCCUAGGCUCGGGAUUAAACUUUAUUCCUUAUUCUUAUGUUUUACAACAUGCUGAUCACUUUUCUCUUCUAUGGCAACAUCAAAUUCUCACUCUAACAUGUACUUAUGACUAUUAGGUAUUUUUACCGAUUAAGCCCUUUUACUCGUUUUCGCUCAAAACCGAGUAGCACAAGUUGUCUAACAUAAUUUAAAACCCCAUAUUCUAUCAUAAAACAUCAAAAUACACAAAUUUCACCUAUGGGUAUUUUUCCAAAUAUGAACCCUAGGUUGAAUUAUUGUUAGCAUAAGCUUAAUCGAGCUACCGGGAUCUCAAAAACGUAAAAAAUAUUAAAAACGGGGCUUAGAAUCACUUACUAUGAAGCUUGAAAGUUGAAGAAACCCUAGCUAUGGUGAGAGUGAAGUUUCGGCAGCAACUAAAUGGGGAAGAUGACUAUUUUGUGUUAUUUUUCCCAUUUUAUUUCAUUUAAUAUCAAAAUGACCAAAAUACCCUUACUACUAAACUUUCCAAAAAUUCCUUCCAUGUCCUAAAUUUGUCCAUGAACUUAAAAUUGGUCAAAUUGCUAUUUAAGACCUCCUCAUUAAUAUUCCAAAACAAUUUCAUACUAAAAAUUUCUAGAAUGCAAAAUUUGCAACUUAUUCGAUUUAGUCCCUACUUUCAAUUUAAGCACUUUAGGCAUAGAAUUUCAUCACGAAAUUUUCACACAAUCAUGCAAUCACAUCAUAAUCAUCAAAAUAAUUAUAAAAUAAUUAUUUCUAUCUCGGAUUUGUGGUCACGAAACCACUAUUCCGAUUAGGCCCUAAUUCGGGAUAUUACAAUAGAUGUUCAUAACCAAGUACAAUGGCGACGUCCCGGACGUGGUCUUAUAUGUAAUCCAUUCAUCAGGCUCUCAUCGCCAUCCAAUACAAUUUAAAGUUUAUAUAAGCAGAAUUUAUUUCAAUUAACACUUAAUUGUAAUUUGACUUACAACGUACGGAUUUCGGAUAGAACGAGUCGACUAUUCAACUAUUUUGGACUUCCCUCGAUCUAAGUCAGAUUUUCUUUGUUCUUGAUCUAAUACAAUACAAUUUCAACCAUUCAAUCAUUCAUUUCAUUCAAAAUAAUCCAUGAACACAUAUUUAGGGCAUUUUGCAUUUCAGCCCUUAUAAUAUUACACUUUGACAAUUUAGUCUAUUUUUCACAAAAUCACAAAUAUGCAUAAUUCAUCAAUACUAUAGCUUGGCCAAAUAUACAUGGCUUCCAUACAGCCCAAAUAACACAUUUAAUUCACAAUUUAGUCCUUCAAAACCUUAUUUUCACAAUUUAGCUCAAUAAGCUCUAUUUCAUCAAAAUUCAAAGACAAAGCUUAAUAAUCUCAUACAUAUCUUUCAUAUUCCAUAUAAAAACAUCAUAAAGAUCAUAUAAUCAUCAAUGACACAUUUCAUAAUCUUCAACAAAAACAGAAAUUCAGACAUGGGUUUUGAAGAACACGAAGCAACGGUCACAGAAACGUAGAAAUUAUCAAAAGCUAAACAAAUUUCAUACCUCAAUUUAACUAUCAAAGUGCCGAAUAUAAAAAAGCUUCAAACCCUUCUUUCUUUUGCUGAUUGUCGGCUAACAUGCAAGAAAAUAAAGCCAUCUCUUGUUUUGUUUUUAUUUAAUAUAUCAUUUAUACACUUUUUACCAUUUUAGCCUUGUUAAUAAAACAUUAAUUUCCACCCAAUAAUGUCCAUAAUUGUCCAUACCAUAUAACAAUGGUCUAAUUGCAUCUUAAAGACCUCAUAUUUAACAAGACAAAUCAAUUAGGCACUUAACCAAAUAGAAAGCUACUUUUGCAUUCACUGUGAUUAAGUCCUUUUCCAUAAUUAAGCAUAGAAAUAGACAAAUUAAAUCACAGAAAUUUUGCAAAUAUAAAUUCACAUAUCACAGACACAGAAAAUAAUAUUAAAAUAUUUUUUAGGUCCUGAAACACUAUUCCGACUAGGGUCAAAACAAGACUGUUACAAUUUUCCCCCUCUUAGGGAUUUUCGUCCUCGAAAAUCUUACCGUUAAAUAGAUUCGGAUAUUGUUGUCUCAUUGAAUAUUCAGGCUCCCAUGUAGCCUCUUCUACUACAUGUCUAUGCCAUAGCACUUUAACUAACGGGAUUCUCGUAUUACGUAAUUCUUUGAUCUCUCGAGCUAAGAUUCGAAUCGAAUUUUCUUCAUAAGUCAUAUCAGACCGAAUUUCAAUCUCAGACGGUGAAAUUACAUAAGACGGAUCAGAUCUAUAUCAUCGAAGCAUCGAUACAUGAAAUACAUUAUGAAUCUUUUCUAACUCAGAUGGUGGACUCAAUCUAUAAGCAACAAGCCCAAUUCGCUCGGUGAUUUCAUACGGUGCAAUGAACCUCGAACUCAACUUCCCCUUUACCAAAUCGGAACAGUUUCUUCCACGAAGAUACUUUCAAAAACACUUUAUCACCGACCUAAAAUUCAAUAUCUUUUCGUUUCAAAUCUUCAUAAGAUUUCUGACGAUCAGAGGUAGCUUUUAGACUAUCUCGGAUUACUUUCACUUUCUAUUCUGUUUCUUUUAUCAAAUCAAUGCCGUAAAUCUUAUUCUCACUGAGCUCAUACCAGUAUAACGGAGUUCUACACUUUCUACCAUAUAAGGCUUCAUAUGGUGCCAUUUUGAUACUCGAUUGAAAGCUAUUAUUAUAGGCGAAUUCAAUCAAAGGUAAAUUCUGUUCCCACGCACCUUCAAACUCGAGAAUGCAACAUCUCAACAUAUCCUCAAGUUUCUGAAUAAUCCGUUCAGAUUGACCAUCUAUUUGCAGAUGAAAAGCAGUGCUAAAAUGCAAUUUAGGUCUCAGAGCAUCUUACAAUUUCUUCCAGAAUCAUGAUGUAAAUCUCGGGCCUCUAUCAGACACUAUUGACAAUGGCACACCAGGCAAUCUCACAAUAUUUGAAAUAUACAACUCAGCUAGCUUAUCUAGCGAAUAAUCAAAUCGAAUUGAAAUAAAAUGAGCUGAUUUUAUCAAACGAUCAACAACAACCCAAACUGCGUCUUUCUUUUUCGGAGAUAGAGGCAAACCCGAAACAAAAUCCAUGGUCACCCAAUCUCAUUUCCACUCUGGAAUCAUAAUUGGUUGUAAUAACCCAGAUGGCACCUGAUGCUCAGCUUUAACUUGCUGACAGAUCAAACAUCUCAAAACAAAGUCAGAAAUAUCUCUUUUCAUUCCCGACCACCAAUAUAGUUGUUUCAAAUCAUUAUACAUUUUUGUACUUCUUGGAUGUACAUAAAAUCUACUAUUGUGGGCUUCACUCAAAAUCGUUUGAAUCAAAUCUGGAUUUCUCAGAACAAAAAGUCUAUUUCUGAACCUCAGGUACAUCUAUCCGGAAUUCAGAAUCAGAAUCAGAAUUACACUGAGUUCGUUUAACCAUAAUUUCAUUAUCAACCUUCUGAGCUUCGAUAAUCUAUUGUAAAAAUAAGGGUUUUUCUUUCAAUUCAGCUAAAACUGAACAAUCAUCAGACAGAACUAAAUGAGCAUCCAUUGCAAAUAAUGAUUUUUAACUCAAAGCAUCAGCAACCACAUUAACUUUUUCUAGAUGAUAAUCAAUCACAAGUUUAUAGUCUUUUAACAUUUCUAACCAUCUUCUCUAUCGUAAAUUCAAAUCUUUUUGCAUCAUUAAAUACUUCAGAAAUUUAUGAUCAGAAAACACGUGACAUUUCUCACCAAACAGACAGUGACGCUAGAUCUUCAAAGCAAACACAAUGGCAGCUAACUUAAGGUCUCGAAGCAUAAGCAACAACUUUUCCUUCUUGCAUUAAAACACAACCGAGUCCAUUCAACGAAGCAUAGCUAUAAACAACGAAUACUUUAUUCGACUCAGGUUGUACCAAUACCAGAGCUUCAGUUAACAGAGCUUUUAACCGCUCAAAACUUUUCUGACAUUUCUCAGACCAUUCAAACUUCGCAUCUUUCUGAAGCAAUUUUGUCAACGGAGUUGCUAUCAUAGAGAAAUAUUUUACAAAUCAUCUGUAGUAACCAGAAAGUCCUAGAAAAUUGCGGACUUCAGAUACAUUCCUUGGAGGCUUCCAAUCCAGAAUAGCUAAAAUCUUGCUCGGAUCAACUCGGAUACCAGAAGUUGAUACUAUAUGACCCAGAAAACCAACUUUUCACAACCAGAAUUCACAUUUACUGAACUUUACAUACAACUGUUUAUCUCGCAAAGUUUGUAGCACUAUUCUCAGAUGUUCGGCAUGCUCAGAUUCAUCACGUGAAUAAAUCAAUAUGUCUUCAAUAAAAAAUACAACAAAUUGAUCUAAAUACGGUCUAAAAAUUUUAUUCAUCAAAUCCAUAAAGAUAGCAGGUGCAUUAAUCCGAAAGGCAUAACUAAAAAUUUAUAAUGGCCGUACCUCGUUCUGAAAGCAAUUUUCGAAAUGUUAGAGUCCCUUACCCGCAACUGAUAGUAACCCGAUCUUAGAUCUAUCUUUGAAAGCACCUUUCAACGGAUUGGAUAAAUCAUCAAUUCUAGGCAUCUUUAUGGUCACUUUAUUAAGUUGUCUGUAAUCAAUACACAUUCUCAUUGUGCCAUCUUUCCUUUUCACAAAUAGAACAGGAGCACCCCAAGGUGAAAAGCUCGGUCUAGCAAAUCCUCGAUCAGUCAAUUCUUGUAACUGAGAUUUUAAUUCCUUUAACUCGGUUGGAUCCAUUCUAUACGGAGCUAUUGAAACUAGAGUAAUACCAGGUACUAAUUCAAUGCCAAACUCGACUUCUCAAAUCGAAGGCAAACCAGGUAGUUCUUCAGGAAAUACAUCAGAGAAUUCACAGACAACAGGCACUGAUUCAACUUUCUUAUCAUUCACUUUCGAAUCUAACACAUAAACUAAGUAAGCUUCACAACCUUUCUUCACAACCUCUCUUCACAACUUUUUUUCAAUCUCUGAUCAUAUUCAUAGCUAUUCUAUCACUAAACUCUAUAGUUUCACACUUGUGAGUUUAUUCAAUACAUUUCUUACAAAAUUCCAUUACAAAACACCACUCUGGUAAGGAGGAAGGGUGAGGUCGUAAGGUCCCUAACUCGUCUCUUAUACACAUAUAAAUAUGACACAAAUUUCAUCAUCAAAGUAACGUCAUCACAAUUAUAUCAUUCAUUUCAGGCAAACUAUCGUUCACAUUUGUAUUUCACAGAUUUUUCCAAUUAUCUUAUUUAAUCAAGUUCACCUAUGCAUACAUUCUAUGAAUUUCGAAUGUUUUUUCUCAUCACAUUCACUUAAUCAAACAUAUCAAACACAUAACAUCAUGUGAGGGCCAACAAAUAUGAAUAAAUGUAUCACAAUCGAAACUUUCAUCUCACACAUUAUCAUAUACAUAUCAUUACAAUCAUAUAAAUUAGUCCAAUCGAUUUAACACAUUUACUUAAACUAUACGAGUUUUCCAAUCAUAAUUAUUCAAAUAAGUAUACAUGGACAUUCAUUCCACCAAUAUUUUUGGUAAGUUACCUGAACAUAAAUAUUCACUGGAGCAAAUCAAUCUUAUACAUCAUGGAAUUAUCGAUCAAUCAUAGAUAAGCUCAUUAUGUUGCUUACACAUUCUAUUUCAUGUUUCUCAUGUCUCAUAUAUGUACAUACAUAUAUAUAUCAUGAAUUCUUAUUCGUACCUUUCUGAGUUUUAACUCAUCAUAAUUGCACUUUACUCAAUCACCUUAGUACCACUAUCAACAUGGUCGGGUGUAGCUCGGUUGGAGAGUACCUUUGUCUAAACAAGAUGGUUCUUAUUCGCGUUGGGAGACAUCAUACUAUCACAAAUCCGUGGCACGUACAGCUAAACCUUCACACAUGCUAGGUUAGUCUGAGAACCGACUAAACUAUAGCUCUAAUACCACUAAAUGUAACACCCCUUACCCGAGUCUGAGGCUGGGACAGGGUAUGAGGCAUUACCGGACUUAAACGUACACAACUAUGUAAAACCAGCCCAUAGAAAUUUCAUUCAAAUUAAAAACCUUCAUUCAUAUUCAUAAUGUCCCUUAUAUGGACUUACGAGGCCCAAUACAUACAUCGGGGGAGGUUUGGGACUAAAUCGAGAACUUACGAACUUUUUUAGAACCUUUAAAAAUUUUCUAAUUUUGGAGAGUUACAUGACCGUGAGGGUUAGGCCGUGUGGUCACACACACCCGUGUGACUUGGGGCAUGCCCGUUUCCUCAGCCCAUGUAACUCUCUGUUUAUGACAUUAGCAACGAUAUAGGGUUACAUGGCUAAGUCACACGCCCGUGUACUAGACCGUGUCCUCCACACGGAUGAGAUACACGACCAUUUCUCUGCCCGUGUGGCCCAGAAAAUGGCUAUUUACCAAUCCACUUGGCAUCCUCGUUAGCACUUACUUAAACAUAACUUCAAUGGCACUUUUCGAGGUAAUUUAAUAUUGAUUUAUUCAUGCAUAAGGCACCAUACUUUGCCUAGUUUAAACUUAUCAACUUCAUGUUAUAAUUAUCGUUAACACAUUCUUACACUUUAUACUUAUGCUAAGGUCUAUCCAUAGGCCAAUUUAGUCACUUUAAAACCAUCAACUAAUCUAGGGCACAUUCACAAUUCAUCCAUACCAAACACACAUGACCACACCAUAUGAAACCUUUAGCACAUGCAUGCAUACAUGGAUAGGUUUACAACCCAAUAACCAAUAUGAGCCACAUCACAUGGCCAUAUACAAAACAAAUCCUAUUCCCAGUAUGAGCCAAUACAUUUUUCCAAAUCAAAUGACAUAUACCCAAUUGACUAAUUCCCUAUACAUUCCAUAGACUUAAAGUGCUUGAAAUCAUUUAUUCCCUUCAAUAGCUGGAUAGUGUGAUGGAAUCUCUGACAAUCUCCAACCCGAGCUAGCUUAGUGACCCUAUAAAAUGUGGAAAAAGGAAGGGGUAAGCUAUAUAUCUUAAUAAGUACAUAUGAAAAUAAUAAGAGAUUUAUUGACAUGUUUUUUUUUCCAUAUUCUCACAACAUGUUCUCAAGUUAAUACAAUCAUAAUUCCACAAAAUUCUACUAUUUACUAUUGUGCAUCUCAAGCUGUCUACUCGAGUCAGUCACUAAAUUAUUUAUAUCUUGAGCUACUGAACUCCAAAUUAAGAUCCACUAAUUUUUCUUGAAACUAUACUCACAUAGCAUUUUACAAUAAAAUUUUUAGAAGUUUUGGUCUAGUGAAUAAGUACAGUUUAUUCUUUAAAAUCUCCCCUAUUCUGCUGUUUGACAGUUUCAACCCUUCUUCACUAAAAAUUAAUUAUCUCAGAGUACGAUAUUUGGAUAAUGUUCCUUUAUAUUUUUCUUGAAAAUAGACUCAUUAAUGAUUUAGUCAUAUAAAUUCUAAACCAUAAUUAUUUUCACAAAAUUUUUAAUGAUUUUCCAAAGUUAAGACAAGGGAACCUGAAAUCACACUAGCCCUGUCUCACAGAAGUCCAAAUAUCUCAUAACGUGAAAUUCUUUUGCUUACACCACUUUUUCUAUGUGAAACUAGACUCAAUAAGAUUUAAAUUCAUGUUUUAUUCUUCUUUAACUCGAUUUCCACAAUUUGUGGUGGAUUUUCAAAGUCAGACUACUGCUGUUGUCCAAAACUGUUUUAGUGUAAAAUAAUGAUAACUAAGUUUAUAACACCUUUACGAAUCAUUUCAACCAUCAUGGUAAAAAUACAUAUUUAUUCAUCAUAAGCAUAGACCCAUAAUCCAUCACAAAAUCAUUCUCAUGGGCAUGACUUACUUAUUUGCAUCCUUACCUAAGGUGCAUCAUAAUCCGAAAUCAUUUCUCAUGAGUUUUACACACAUACCUGUACCACUUGUAACAUUAUCAUAACUUUUCUCAAUCAUGACACAAUAUUUAAAUCACCGUUGAACCAGUUGGAAUACUAAAGGAUACCCGAUAAGCCUCAUACAAAAGAGUAAAAUGCCGAUGCCAUGUCCCGGACAUGGUCUUACAUUGACUCUCAUACAUCAGUGUCGAUGCCAUGUCCUAGACAAGGUUUUACACUGACAUAUUGUGACAGCCCUAAAGUGACCCUAGUCGAAAAGUGGUUUCGGGACCGCAAAACCGAGUCUUAUAAAUAAUUAGAGGUUAUAUUUUGUGUUUAUGAUGUAGUAAAUGCUUAUGUGAUAGUUCCAUACAUCAAUUUGGUCAGUGUAUGUGAAAAUUAUUAGUAGGGACUUAUGUGAGACAAUUUAGAAAUAUGCUAGGCAAGUGCUAAAGUGGCCUAUUAAUAUAUGUGGGAAAGUGCUUGCCCUUGCAUGUCAAAUUAGCCAAAGUAUAGGUAGUGGCCGGCCAUGCUACAAAUUGUAUAAUCAAGUGUGAAUUUUAUAUUAACUUUAAUUAACUAGGUGCCAUAUUAGUAUGGAGGAUGUAAUAAAAUAAAGAAAUGAUAACUAAAGGAAGGGAUGGGUGAAAGAAAAAAAAAAGAGAUCAUCAUUCAUGUUUCUUCCUAGCCGAAUCUAGAGAAAAAAAAAAGGGGAACAAGAGCAUUCGGUGAUGAAAACAAGUUGUGUUCCUUGGUUCUUCUUGGCCGAAUUGAAAGGAGGAAGAAGGGAGUGAAGCCAUCGGUCAUCUUAGGUCAAUAUUAAGGUAAGGUGUUCAUAUUAGCUCUUGAAAUUUUAGUUGAUCUUGAGUGAGAUAUCAUGUUAUAUUUUUUGUAACCCAUGAUGAAAUUUUGAUUUUUGGAUUGAGUAAGGUUUUCGACUAUGGUAGCUAAAAAUGGUGAGUUUUGUUGUUUCAUGUUAAAGUUAGGUGAAUGAUGAUAGAUGAGUGUUUGAACCAUAAAAAGAAUUCGGCUACCUUGUUAUGAACUAGGGCCGAUUGUGAGUUGGUUGUGGUUGAAUAUUACAUGCUUGGUAGAAUGGUGGAUGAAAGUGCCGAAUGUGGUCUUUGGUUUGGCAUGAGGUGAUAAAUAAAGGUUUAAAGGUAGCUUAAGUUAAUUGAUACUCACUAAUGAUUUCGAAUGGAAGCUUUGUUAAGUGUGAAAUGAGUGGCCGAGAGAGAGAACUAUAGACUAUUGCCGAAUGUAUGUUGGGUUGAUAGAGUCUCCAAAUUGAUUUUAUGUGAGUAUGCAUGACCGAAUAUAUCGGCCACAUGAGUAAAGAAAUGGGUUAUUUGAUAUGUGGUAAAAGUUAAGUGUUAAACGAAAUGGAAAUGAUAUCAUAUUGGAAUAUGUAUACUCGACCACAUGAAUGAACACAUAGAUUGGUGUUGCAUGUAUUCGGUUAUAAGUAAGCAUAUUGGUGGCUUAAUCUUGGCUUAGACAAUCGGCUAAAAGAGAGUGUGGGUUAAUAUGUUGAGUUGAUUCAUGAUUUCAUAUGUAUGUGACUUUAAUGUCUAAUGUAUAUAUAUGGGUUAAGUACUUUGAGUUCCUCUUUUCGAUGCUCAAAUGAUUAAAUCAAUUUAUUUGUUAAAUUAAGCUCAAGAGCAAAGGGGAACUAAAUCCGAUAAAGGGAAGGAAAAAGUGGUUGAAUAGCCAUCGAAAUCGUUCGACAACAUCCGAGGUAAGUUUUCGAGUAACGAGACUUAGUUUACGAUUUGAUUAAGUCAUGACGUAUGAGCAUAACAAAUAUACGGUGAUAUGAUGAUUCUACUUGAAUUAUAUGUUGAGUUAAUUAGUCUAUACGUAUGACGGGUAGCCGUAUGUGCAUAGAGAUUGUGUCAUAAAGCAAACUAAACCAUGCUGUUUGUAUGUGGCUAGUGAGCCGAAAAUGGGAUUGCUUAAUACGUGACUUGUGUUUGAACUCUAAUUAUGAAAAUGAAAUAUAGAUGUGUCAUGAUUUAUUGAUAUGUGCAUGAAUAUUUGGAUGAUAAUCGGGCUAAGUCCCGAAGGCAUUUUUCGCUAGUGACUAGUUCCGGGCUAAGUCCUGAAGGCAUUUGUGCGAGUUACUAUAUCCGGGCUAAGUCCCGAAGGCAUUUGUGCGAGUUACUAUAUCCGGGCUAAGUCCCGAAGGCAUUGGUGCGAGUUACUAUAUCUAGGCUAUGUCCCGAAGGCAUUGAGCGAGUAGCUAUAUCCGGUUAAAUUUCGAAGGUACUUGGCUUGGGAGUGAGCGACCUUGCUGUAACAAUUUCUGUAACACCCCGAACUCAUGGCCGUUACCGGAAAUCGAACACGAGGUGUUACCGGCUUACUUCAUUUAUUUCCUCCUAUUUUUUUUUGUUCCAGGCAAGAUGGCUACUGUAUCGUGGUCGCUUUAAAAAUCAUAUUUUGAGUUAUAAACUCGAAAUACAAUUCUGUAAAAUUUCCCCGAAACUAGACUUAUAUAUAUUUAUGGGGGAAUUUUUUUAGAAUUUUUGGUUGGGCCAAUUAGUACAUUUUAUUUGUUAAAGUCUCCCCUGUUUCAAGGUUCGACUACACUGACCUCUGUACCUUACGAUUUAAAUAUCUUCCUGUACAGGGCUUCAAUGCCUAUGCCGUUUGUCUCUAAUGAAACUAGACUUGAUAAUGAAUUUGUACAUAUAAGGCAUGACCUCUAAUUAUCUUGAUAAAAUUUAUGGUGAAUUUUCUAAAUCAAAAUAGGGGAUCCAGAAAUCGCUCUGGCCCUAUUUUACAAGAAUUUAAUUAACUCCUAACAUAUAGCUCAUAUGGUCUUUUUGUUUCUUUCAUAUGAAAAUAGACUCAUCAAGGUUCGAUUUCAUAAUUUAUUCAUUAUUUAAUUCCAUUUCUACUAUUUUUAGUGAUUUUUCAAUCUCACAUCACUGCUGUUGUCAGCAUCUGUUAUUAAAACAAACUAUGCCUAUUUCAUGAUUUUUCCUUGAUCUAACUAAUAAUUCAUCAAACAUGUCACAAUUUAUGACCAUGACUAGCCAUGCCAAAGGCUAAUCAUCACCGAGCAUCUCCCUACUACACUAUUACCAAAUCAUGAAUUUAACACCGAAAAUAAUCAGCCAUGACCUAUGGCAUAAUAACCGAGUAGGCCUCAACCAAUACUCAACCAAAACCGAAUUACCAAGACUUGUGUCCAAACAUCAUAGAACCAAAUCCAACCGAACAUUUAUGCCAUUUUCGCAUGGCUAAAAGUUUACAUACCAAAUUUCAACAAAACAUAAUAGCCUAUACAUGCCGAAAUGUUCUCCUAGACCAACUAAGAAGAAAAUACCAAAAGUUGCUAGCCGGUGUGAUGACUUCGAUGACGGUCCCGAGUACGCAAAAAGUCGAGUCCAAGAAACCUAAAAUAGGUUACAAGCAAACACCGAAUGAGUAUAUAACUCAGUAAGUCAUAAGCAUUACACUACCAUCCAUUAAUAAAAUUUUCACAAGAGGAAACAACGAAAUGAGGCUAAGUACUCCAUCCAUACCGAACUAUGCCAUAGUUUCUUAGACCUUACGAUUCAAUCUCAUUCCAAGUCCUACAUUGACAUUUCAUACGCUAUUCAAUAGAAUAAUUCAGGCAUUUCCAUACAUCAUUUUAUUUUCGUUACAAUCAUAUAACUAAACAAACUUUCACCUAUUCCACGAUGAACCUUAUGUACGUGACUUCAAUUAUAAUCAUCACAUAGGUUCAAAACUUACCACGCUCAACUCCAAAUAUAAACAUAGCACCUAUUAGCCAUGAACUCAAGGUACUUACCCUUUCCGCUGUCCGAAAUCGACUCGGUAAGGUCGCACCCUUAAUAUAAAUAAUUGAUAGAAAAUAUAUAUAUAGUGGGUUCGCACACAUAGUGCUUAAUAAUCAACCACGCACGCUUAGUGCCAUGCAUUUCAAGCCCGCACACUUAGUGCCAAUCUCACAACCGUGAACACUUAUUGCCCGCACACUUAGUGCCGAAAACCAGCCACUCUAUACGCUUCACUUCCUUUUUACAUUCGACAAUUUCAUCUCUACAUACAUAUACAUUUGUAUACAUUUCAUCUCAUUAAACACAAUUGCAUAGGUAUUACGAUCAUUUAAAUCAAUACCAACUAUAUGCUUAAUGACUUACCUUGUGUUGGGUAAAAUAAUUCCAAGUCGGCUACUCGAUGACCUUCGAUUUCCCCUUGUUGGACGCCUCUCCUUUAGGAUCUUGAGCUUAAACAAAUAAAUUAACUCAUUCAACCCCUUUGCUACAUAUAUUGGUAUUCACAUUUUAAUGAUUUUAUGACAUACGGAACGGCAUGGUAAAAUUUUUAUCUUGCUACCUUAUGUUCUUAGCUAUUCGGCUAAUAACCUUAUGUAAUUACCAUACUUUCAAUAAUCCAAUCACACAUGCAUAUGCAUACUUGGACAUUCGGCAAUCACCUUUGCUAGUUUUUCCCAUUUUUUUGUCGGUUAUAUAUAUACAUAGUCCUAAGGUAAUAUCACGAAUGGGCUUACAUAUAUAUGUAUAUAUAGCCGAAUAUGCAAAGCUUAAACUCAACAUCACAUAAGCUCCUAAGUGAUGGCCGAAUAUGUAUAUCUAUAUAUAUAUCAACUAUACUAUUACUUUUAAUUCAUCUAAUCACAAAAUUUCAUCUCAUGAACACUUGACCCAGUUCUCACAAAAAAUGAAACAACAACUAAAAUGAACAUCCCAUUUUUACCCCAUAUGGCCAAUUGCUUCAUUUGUUACCCAACUAACAAUUCAACAAUUUCAACUUCAUUACAACCUCUACCUAUCCAAUAUAACAUGAACACAAUCCUCCACCCCUAAAUUAGAUUCGGCAAUCACUUAACCCAUUUUAACCUCAACUUUCAAGUUAAAAGCAAUUAACCACUCACCAUAUCCUACAUUACUAUCCAUUUUAAUGACAUUAACACAUCUACUAAGAGUUUCAAGCUUCUUGGCCGAAUUUCAACCUCAAACUCCUAAGUCUAAUCUAUAGGAUGAGUAGAAUUUGAACUAACCAUCUCAAACAUGCAUAGAUUUUCAGGAAUCAUUCAAUACAUACCUCAUUCUAGCCAUCUUCCAAGCCAAAAUCAAAUAACCAAAUCUCCCUUCCUUCUCCUCACUCACGGCAAUAGCCAAAGAAAAAAAAGAUGAACACUCCCUUCUCCCUCCUUAUUUUAUUCAUCUUUUCCUUUUUAAUUCCUUUCUUUAAUUUAUUUUAAUUUACUUACCAAUAUUAAAUAAUAAACAACAUAAACUUGGAGGAAUAGAACAAUGCUUGGCCGGCCACUUAACAUGAAUUGGGCACUUUGACAUGCAAACCCAAACUUUCCUAUUUUAAUACUAUUUGGUCCUUACUUAUUUACCUAUCAUAAUUUUCUAAGUCUCUCAACUAGAUCUUUUCAAGCAAAAUAUCAAAUUUUUAUACAAGUACUAUCACACAUAUAAGAUAUGCAAAUAAAAUUUUAACUAAAUUUUAUGACUCGGUUUUGUGGUCCCGAAACCACAUUCCGACUAGGGUCAAAUUAGGGCUGUCACAGUUUCAAUUAAUAUGCUCGUAAAAUUCCAGUAAUGAGGUAUGUCUCGUAUAUGCAUUGAUUUAGUUGAUCCCCUACAAUUAGUAUUCGCUCAGUCGAUAAAUGAGCUACCGGCCUUUGGCUAAGUUGAUCUUUUGUGUAUGAAUAUAAGGGUUGGUAAUGUGAAGUAAGUAUGAUAUUGAGAAUUUGUGCAUAUGAAAUUAUCUGUUUAGCCAUAUGAAUGCUACACUUUAGUUGUGUCUAAUUUUAUGGCUCAAACUUACUAAGCAUUAAAUGCUUACUCCGUUCUUUGAAUCUCUGUUUUAUAGAUUUUGGUUCGUCAGCUAUCAGACUCGGGAUUAUUGAAGUCGAAGUCGCCCACACUAUCAAAGCCCCCUUUGGUACACUUUUGGUUGAACUUUGAAAUGGCAUGUAUAGGACUACCCGUUUUGUUGUUGGUCAUGGACCCUUUGGUUUUGUAUAAAUUUGGAUAGCCAUGCGAAAAUGGCUUAUAUACACUUUGAGCUUAGUAUUAUAAUCGUCUUGUAUGAUGUUUGUUAAGAGGUAUGGAAAUGUUUGGGAACGAUUAGCCAUUGGAAUGGUUAACCAUGAUCAUAUUUUGUGCUAUAUAUGCUAAAGGGCUAGUUGAAUCAUGGAAACUAUGUAAUAGGUAAAGUCUACCUUAAAAAUAGAUGCUGAUAGUAGCAGUGACGUGAAUGUGAAAAAUCACUAAAAAUAGUAGGAAUGGAAUUAAAUAGUGAAUAAAUUAUGUAAUUGAAACUUUAUGAAUCUAUUUUCAUAGGAAAGUAACGAAACGAUCAUAUAAAUAGUAUAUUAUGAGAUAUUUAAGUUUUCGCAAAACAGGGCCAGAAUGGUUUCUGGAUUCCCUGUUCCGAAUUUGGAAAUUCAUUAUAAAUUAACCAGAGAUAAUUAGAAGUCAUGCCAUAUAUGUGUAGAUUCCAUUUCAAGACUAGUUCCUAUAGAAACAAACGGCAUCAGUAUUGAAGCCCUGUACAGGGAGAUAUCCAAGUCGUAAUGCGCAAAGGUCAGUGUAGUCGAACCCUGAAACAGGGGAGAAUUUAACUAAUAAACUGUACUAAUUGGUUUGACCAAAAAUUCUAGAAAAAAAUUUGUAGAUGGAAAUAUGAGUCUAGUUCCAGGAAAAAUUUACGGAACUGGUUUUCGAGUUUUGGAACUCGAGAUAUGAUUUUUAAGGUGACAGUGAUGCAGUUAGCCAGCUCGUCUAGAAAUUUAAAAUGGACUGUGCAAAUAAGUGAUUUAAGUCUGCAAACCCCUCGUGUCCGACUCCGGCAACGGUCUCGGGUACGGGGUGUUACACAUAUAUAAUAAUGCUGAUGCUAUGUUCCAAACAUGGUCUUACACUGGUUCGCAUAUUGAGGCCGAUGCCAUGUCCCAGACAUGGUCUUACACUGGCUCACAUAACAAUGCUGAUGCCAUGUUCCAAAUAUGGUCUUACACUGGUUAGCAUAUUGAGGCCGAUGCCAUGUCCCAGACAUGGUCUUACAUUGGCUCACAUAACAAUGCCGAUGACAUGUUCCAAACAUGGUCUUACAUUGGCUCUCAUAAACCGGUGCCGAUGCCAUGUCCUAGACAUGGUCUUACACUGACACAUAUUGAGGUCAAUGCCAUGCCCCAGACAUGGUCUUACACUGGCUCUCAUAAAUCGGUGCCGAUGCCAUGUCCCAGACAUGGUCUUACACUGACACAUGUCGAGGCCCAUGCCAUGCCCCAGACAUGGUCUUACACUGGCUCUCAUAUCACCAUGGUCCAACCAUGGUCUUUUUCGUAAAUUCAUCACGAGUCUUAGUCCGAUUAUACUCGACCCUGUAUUCUUCUUAGAUUGAUCUUUCAAUUCAAUCUCAUAUUAUCAUGAUUCGAUAACAAUUAUACGUAAUAAUAAUACAUUAUAUCAUUUCUAAUUUAAUAAUUGAUCAUUGUCAACUAACCAUAUGAACUUACCUCGUUCUCUGUCCAAAUCUUGUCUCUCCCCAAUCUAUAUAAUAACAAGUUUUACGUAUUUAGUCAUCAAUUUAUACAAUUUAGUCCAAAAAUUCACAUUAGGACAACUUUACACUUUUGCCCCUAAUGUUUACCAUUCUUGCAAUUUAGUCCCUAUAACAUAAAAGUGCAAAUUCAUGAAAUUAAAAACAACCCAAGCUUAGCUAAAUUUUUAUAAUUAUUACUAGCUACCCAUAAAACAUACUUUGGAAAUUUAUAGUUUUGCCCCUAAGCUUUCACAAAAUUAUAAUUUUGCCCCUAGGCCCAUAAAAUGAUUUUCAUCAAAUUUCCUCAUUAACCAAGCCUAGCCGAACCUGAUUUAAGCUUAUAGCAACUCUAAAUUUCAAUUAUUCCACACAUUUAUCACCUAUUUUAUAACCUUUAUAAAAAGGUCCAUUUUAGGUGGUUUCAUGAAAAAUCCUUUCACAAAAGUUCUUAAUUAAACCACAAAGAUUCAUUUUCUUUCAUAAAAAUUCAGUGAACAACAUGAGUAUUCACAUGGAAAAACCCUAGACUCUCAACCAUUUUGUAAACUAGUCCCUCCAUUAGUUAGCUUAAGCUACAAGGGUCAUAAAGAUACAAAAAUGAUCGAGAAAGACCUUCAAAAACACUUACUUGAAAGAGAACUAAGUGGCUGAAAGUUUGGGCUCUCAAAACCCCCAUGUUUUCUGCCAUUUUUGGUGGAUGAAGAAGAAAGAUGAAAAUUCCUUUUUGUUUUAUUUUAUUACCAGAUAAGUCACCUAAUGCCCACCAAACUUUGACUUUUCAAUUUCUGUCUCCAUGUUCAGCCACUAAUUUUUAUUAGUCUAUUUGCUCACUAAGGACCUUUAAUUUAGUGUUCCAUAGCUGUUUAACAACAUUAGCUUGUAGAACAAAUCUUUUGCACUUUAUGUGAUUUAGUCUUUUUUCGCAAUUAAGCACAAAAUCGCUAAAAUUAAUUCAACAAAUUUUUCAUACAUUCAUAUAGUCAUGCUAUAACACAUAAAAUAAUAAAAAUAAUAAUUUUUAUAACCUCAAAUUAAUGGUUCUGACUAGGCCCAAAAUCAGGGUGUUACAUUUCUUAAGCCAUGCUGAUUUUUACCAAAAAUUUAUCAAAGAUUUCUCAAAAAUUUCUAAACUAUUGUGUUUGUUGUUAGAGAAAGAUACAGUGUUUGAUUUCAACAAAGCAUGUUUGGAAGCUUUUGAAGAUCUACAAAAACAAUUAAUCUCUGCCCUAAUAAUCAUUACACCUGAUUGGAGUUUACCUUUUUUAGUUGAUGUGUGACGCAAGUGAUUAUGUCGUUGGAGCUGUGAUGGGUAAAAAAAGAAACAAAGUGUUUCACCCUAUUUACUAUGCCCAUAGAACUUUCACGGGAGCCUAACUCAAUUAUACGAUAACUAAAAAGGAACUCUUUGUUAUAGUUUUUGCUUUUGACAAAUUCUGCUCAUAUCUUAUAGGUACCAAAGUUACAGUAUUUACUGACCAUGCAGCCCACGUAGCCAUUAAAUACUUGUUCAUGAAGAAAGAUGUGACACCAAGGCUAAUUCAUUGGAUACUUUUACUCCAAGAAUUUGACCUUGAGAUCCAAGACAAAAAAGGUGUCAAAAAUCAAAUAACUGAUCAUUCGUCGAGGUUGGAGCAAGAUGAGGUAACUCAAUCACGUGUGCCUAUCAGUGAGAAUUUCCCAAAUGAAUACUUAUUUGAGGUAAGUCGAAUUCAUGAAACACCUUGGUUUGCUAAUUUUGCCAAUUAUCUUACAUGUGGAAUAAUUCCUCGAGAAAUGACAUACCAACAAAGGAAAAUAUUCCUUCAUGAUAGUCGAUAUUAUUUUUAGGAGGAUCCAUUUUUGUUUAAACAGUGUGCAGAUAAUAUAAUCCAAAAGUGUGUAGCUGAAAGUGAGAUUGCUGAGAUCUUGUAUCAUUACCAUUCUUCUUCAAGUGAGGGACACUUUGGUGGUUUACGUACUGCAACAAAGAUUUUGCAAGCAGGUUUCUUUUGGCCUACACUAUUUAAAGAUGCUUAUGCUUAUGUGAAGAACUGUGAUAAAUGCCAAAGGAUCAAAAAUAUAUCAAGGAGGAAUAAGAUGCCCUUAACAAACAUUUUGGAGAUUGAAUUAUUCGACGUAUGGGGAAUUGACUUCUUAGGCCCGUUUCCUUCUUCGUAUAGGAAUGAAUACAUCUUAGUUGCCCUGGACUAUUUAUCCAAGUGGGUUGAAGCUGAAGAAUACCCUACAAAUGAUGCUAAGGUAGUCAUGUGAUUCCUAUAUAAGCUUGUGUUUACAUGAUUUGGGACACUAAGAGCUAUUAUUAGUGAUGAAGGUUCUCACUUUAUGAACAAAUGGCCUAAGUGGUUACUUGACAAAUAUAACGUAAAGCACAACAUUGUUAGUGCCUAUCACCCCCUAGUCUAAUGGAUAAGUUGAAAGAGUGAACCGUGAAAUCAAAGGUAUCCUUUAAAGGGUAGUAUGCCCUAGCAGAAAAGAUUGGUCUCGAAGGCUCGGUGAUGCAUUAUGGGCCUAUCGAACAGCAUUUAAGACACCGUUAGGAAUGACUCCUUAUCGGUUAGUCUUUGGAAAGGCAUGUCAUUUGCCAUUAAAGUUGGAGAAUAGAGCUCACUGGGCUUUGAAGCAAUUGAACUUUGACCUUAAGCAAGCCGGUGAGAGAAGGAUUCUACAACUUGAUGAGUUGGAAGAGCUGAGGUUGUUUUCCUAUGAGAAUGCCAAAAUGUGUAAAGAAAGAUCAAAGAGAUGGCAUGAUAGUCAUAUACAACCUCGCGAGUUUAAAGAAGGUCAGAAGAUUUUGUUGUUUAAUUGAAGGUUGAAGUUAUUUCCUAGGAAGCUUAAAUCUCGAUGGACAGGACCCUAUAUGUAAUAGCCCAAAAUUGGGUCUAGUUGGAAUAGAGGUUUCGGGACCACAAAAUUCGAGAUAGAAAUAAUUAUUUUAUGAUUAUUUUGAGGUUUAUGAUAUGAUUUCAUGAUUUUGUGAAAAUUUUGUGAAGAAAUUCUAUGCAUAAAGUGCUCAAUUUGAAGUUAGGGACUAAAUUGAAUAAGUUGCAAAACUUGCAUUCUAGAAGUUUCUAGUAUGAAAUUGCUUUGAAAUAUUAAUUAGGAAGUCUUAAAUAGAAAUUUGACCAAUUUCUAAGUUAUGGACAAAAAUUGGACAUGGAUGGAAUUUUUGAAAGUUUAGCAAGGAAGGGCAUUUUGGUCAUUUGGUAAUUAAAAGAAAUAAAAAGGAAAAAUAAAGCCAAAAUUGACUCAUCUUUUUCAUGGAGGCAAAAAUUAGCAUGGGGGAAGCCAUGGCUAAGGUUUUCAAGCUUUCCAAGCUCAAUAGUAAGUCCGUUCUAACCCCAUUUUUCAAGUUCUUUACGUUUUUGGAAUCCCGGUAAUUUGAUUAAGCUUAUUCUAGCAAUAAUUUAAGCUAGGGUUCAUAUUUGGAAAAAUAUCCAUAGGUGAAAUGUGUUUAUUUUGAUGUUUUCUGAUAGAAUAUGAGGUUUUAAAUUAUGUUAGACAAUUUGUGCUACUCGGUUUAGAGUGAAAACGAGUAAAAGGGCUUAAUCGGUAAAAAUACCUAAUAGUCAUAAGUAUAUGUUAGAGUGAGAAUUUGAUGUUUCCAUAGGAGGGAAAAGUGAUCAGCAUGUCAUAAAACAUAAGAAUAAGGGAUGAAGUUUAAUUCCCGAGCCUAGGGGCAAAAGUGUAAAUAUGCAAAAGUUUAGGGGCAAAAUUGUGAUUUUUCAAAAGUUUGAGUUAAGGACUGUUUUGAAUAGUACAUUAAUUAAAUAAGUAAAAUAUGAUGUUUUAGUUCUUGGAAAAUGAUAUUUGAACCUAGAAUGAGAGAAAAAUCAAAAAUUGGGAAAGUUGGUAAAAUGACCGUUUUAGUAUCGAGGUAAGUUCAUAUGUCUAAUAAGCAUUAAUUUAUGCAUGUUUCAAUGUAAAAUUUAUAUAUUUACUAUGAUUGCUGAGGUGUUGAAAGUAUGUAAGUUGGUGUGAUAAUAAUACAGCAAUAAUGCUGUAAUUUAUAUUUGAAAGUUAAAUUUAGUGAAUUAAUUGAAUUAUGUUAAAUUAAAUGUUUAUGGUGCCCAGUUUAUGAAUUGAUCUAAAAAUAUGUCUAUGGUACAUGAAGUGCAUUGAAUUAUCAUACAUAAAUGUGAUUUCUAUGAUUAUGGAUAUUAUGAGAAAUUGUAAGUUCAUAUGAUUUUUAAUAAGGCAAUGUGUAAUUUAAUGUUAUUACCUUGAUAUUAAAUGAGAUGUAAGUUUAUAUGUAAGUAAUACAUCAAUUUUACUUAUAUUAUGAUAUUUUAUAAUAAUGUUGGAAAUAUGUUUGUUGAUAAUUACUUGAUUGGUGAAAUUGUUGGGAAAGAGAGAGAAAUCCCGGUUGAACCUUCGAAAAGAUUGGAUGAUACAGAUGGUAUGUAGCUAGGUCAUAUGUAUGGUGCUGAGUGCACAUCAUGUGUACAAGAGAGCUACAAGACAUUAUGAUGUAGCUAGGUCGCAUGGGUGAUACUAUGUGUACACCAUGUAGACAAGAGAGCUACGGGAUAUAUGUAGCUAGGUCGCAUGCGUGGUUCCAGGUGAAGGACACCAUGUAGAUAAGAGAGCUACGAGAUAAACUGGCUAGGUCACAUGGGUGGUACUAAGUGUUCAUCAUGUGUACAAGAGAGCCGAACUAUAUGAUGGGUGGAGCUAUGUGCUGAAACCACCAAGUAUCGAGGAUUGAUCUGAAGUGUUCAACGGGAGACUCUCUAUGUAUUGCUUUGUGAGUUUUGUGAUGAAUAAGUGUAGGAACUUGGUUAUGUGAAUGAUGUGUACAUUAAGUGACCGGGAUGUGGUAAGGUUAUAAACAAGUAAAUUAUACGUGAGGAUGAUUUUAUGGUGACCUUGUAAUCAUGGGCCUAUACUUGUGAUGUAUGAAAUGUGGUGAAAAUGAUUUGUGAUAUGUAUGUUAAAAUGAGGUUAAUACAAAGAAAGUGUGAAAGAGUGAAUUAGCAAUAAAACUGUUUUGGACAGUAGCAGUGAUGUGAUUUUUAAAAAUCACCAAAAAUAGUAGAAACUAAAUCAGAGACUGAAUGAGAUAUCAAAUUAAAUUUUAAUGAGUCUAUUUUCAUAUAAAAGAAACAGAUCAAGAAAAGGAGUUCUAUAUUUUGAGAUAUUUAUGUUUUUGUGAGACUGGUUCAGAAUGAUUACAUGAUCCCCUGUUCUGACUUUGGAAAAUCACAAAAAUUUGGAGAAAAAUAAUUAGAGGCUCAAAAUUAUAUUUUUAAAAUACCUAAUGAGUCUAUUUCAAGAUAAAUCAACAAGAACAUUAUCUGAGUUCUGUACUGUGAGAUAAUUAAUUUUUAGUGAAGAGAGGCAGAACUGUCAGAAAGUGAAAUAGGGGAAAAUUUAAUGAAUAAAUUGUACUAAUUGGCUAAACCAAAAUUAUGAAAAUUUUAUGGUGGAAAUAUAUGUGAGUCUAGUUUCAGGGGAAAUUUACGGAUCUUAAUUUGGAGCUCUUUAGCUCGAAUUAUAAAUAAGUAAGUGACUAUGACUCGUGUGGACAGUUUGUUGUGAGCAUUUAUUAGUAAAUUGUGAAAUCGUACUUACAAGAAUGCUAUAUACAUUAAGGAUGUGGAAUGGAGAGGAGGAGGAGGAAAAUAAAUAUAUGUGGAAUACAUGGAAACUAUGGUAUAUGAAAUAUCGAUAUAAUGAAAUAAAUGAUAUGUGUUUAUAAGAAAACAGAAAGAGAAUGAUAUGUAUCAUGACAUGUAUAUAUAUAUAUGACUAGUCUCAAUGUAAUGCUUGUUGGGUAUGGAGUUGAAUUGAAAUGUUUCAGGCAAACAUGUUAUUCUACGCAUCUGAAUUGUGGUAUUUUAUAAAGAUAUUAUCUAGCUUUAAAUAUGAAUGCUUGAUGAUUAAGCUGAAGAUAUUUGGUAAGAUGAUAAUCUUGGUAUAAAUGUAUAAGUGUGUAAGAGAUUAAGGUUGACCAAAGCUUGGAAAAUAGCCUAGGUAUAUUCCACACAGGCAGAGACACAACCAUGUGUCUCAGCCGUGUAUGGAACACGACUUUGGGACACGGGCGUGUGGAACCUUAAAGCAUGAAAUUUCCAAGAUUUUCAUAAGUUCUCGAUUUAGUCCCAAACGCUUUCUAAAGUAUGUUUUGGGCCUCAUAGACUCAAAUAAGGGACUAUGUGUAAGUGAAUGAAUGUUUUGAAAUAUGAAUGAAAUUUUAUGGCCUGUAUUUUAGUUUAAUGUUUGUAUGUUUGUCCGGUAACACCUCGUACCUUAUCCCGGCCUCGAGUACGGGUAAGGGGUAUUACACUAUACCAUCUACCGAGUUUAUCCUUAUGGAGUUAUUGAAUUAUACAACAAUUACAGAAGUACGUUUAAAGUACGUUUGAAGUUGAGCGAGUUGUAUCCUCAUUCAAAUUAACAGACCCUUGAUUUUUCAUGAACUUAUUUUGUAAAUAAAUAAAUAAUUAGAAUUUAUUUUCUUAACUUAUUACAUUUAAUUAAUUCUGUCUAAGGAGAUUGGAAAUUAAGUGGGACCACUGUGACCCCUCCAACCUUUCCUGGGAAUUAAUUUAAUGUAAUUUGUUAAGAAGAAAAUUUCUAAUUAAGAUUUAAAAUUUUUAAGUUUCAUUUGUUUUGUUUAAAUUUUAAAUUUUUAUGUUAAUAAAGGGGGUCAAAUUUAGCCCAAGUACUAAUAAGUUUUUUUUUCUUUCUUGAGUAAGUUUGUAAAUACAGUUUGAGUUUGAGGCCCAAGACAGCAAAAAGGAGGGAAAAAUCCAUACAUUUCUGCCACUCCCAUUACUUGCUACCCAAGUAACCCUAAUGUAGCUAAAUUUUCAGUACAUGUUGCCCUAAUUCUUCCCUAUAUAAACUCCUCUUCAUUCUACUAUUUUUCAUAUCCCUCAAAGCAAUUUUCUUAACCCUAAAAAUCCCUCUUUUGUUGCUAGCCUCAAAUCCCGAAAGAAACCUUAGUUUCUCUUUCCUUUUUGCCAAAAUCACCUAUUUCCGUCACAAGAAGAUUGCCAAAGCACCAACGUUGCUGCAGCACAUGGCUGUUGUCGCUGCCGCACAUUGUCGUUGCUGUCGCACCAUCUUUGCCAUUGCAAGAUUUUCAUCAUUGCAAGUCCUUACCCACGCUGCCGAUUUUUCUUUUCCCCCUUGUGCAGAAACUUUGCCAAAUUCUAAAGAAAAGAUACCAUGUCUCAUAAAAGAACUAGAUCUUCAAAGACUACUCCUGAAAACCUGAUUUUGAUCGAUGAAGAAGUGAAAGAGAGAGUUGAAUCAAUCUUCAAGCAUCAACCUAUGAUGCUGAAAAAUUUUUUUAACUUGGAGAGUCAUGAUUUGAUGGUUAUUCCUAUACCGAUUAGAAAGAAAAUCAAUGCUCUCAAGUGGGAACGAUUUUGUGAUGCUUAUUCACUUCCCGACGAUGAACUAGUUCAAGAAUUCUAUGCUAGUUUGACUAUGCAAUAUCCUACUAAGUGAGAAAGAUUUUAUGUUAUAAUUGGUGCAAAUUGUGUUUAAUUUUGCUAAAAUCUAUUUCAUUCAUAUAGUUUGCAUACUUAGGGUAAUUUGCAUUAGGGAUAAUUGCAUUUAGUUUAAGAUAUUUAAUUUUAAUCAUCACUUCCCAACUAUAUGUGUUUUUAUUUACCAAGUUGUUAGUAUAAUUUUACAAUUAACUGAUUUAACACAAAUACAAUCCCUGUGGAGACGAUAACUCGAUACUUACUUAUUACUUGAUAACGACUGUGCACACUUGCAGAAACCUACGUGUUACAUUGCUAAAACUAAGUAAUUUUUUAAUAAAUUAAUGAAAUAUGUGAAAAUAUGAAAUUAGGACAUAGAAAUUAUUAAAAUGUGACUUUAUGCUUUACUAUAUAGUUUUUCAUGCAUAAAAUGGCUUAUUAUAUAUUUAUUUGAACAUAUUAUACUUUUAAGACAUAAAAUGGGCCAUGCAUGAUUAAGUUACAUAAUAAAAUAUAAAAUUAUAUUUAAUAAUUCAUUUUAAAAUAUUUCAUUAAUAAUUUGGGUUUUAAUUAAUUAAUUAUUUUUUUCUUUGGUCCUUUAAUUUAUUGAUUUGUUUGGGACAGGUCCAAUGGCUUUGUUGGAUUACAAAAAUCGUCCAAAUUGAAGACCAAGUCAACCCAAUUUCGGCUACACAUGGCUAUCCACAUAAACCAUUUUUUGGAUUAAUUACACAAGGUCCUUGUAAUGUUGAAGAAAUUACAGAUUUGCUCGAAGAUUUACAUUUGACCAAGUCUCGGUCCUAAUUUGUUAUGGCAUUUAAAUUACUUAAAAAUCAAGAAAAAUUCAACUCAAAAUCCACUAAUCAUCCACUCAUUGAAGAAGCUUGAAGAGACGAAACCUCUUUAUUUUUAGCAACUUACUCUCCUCACUUCACCAAUAAAUGAAACUUCAUUUCAUCAUUCGUAAUCAUCCAUCAUCCAUCAUCCAUCAUCCUUCGUCCCUCAUCCCUCAUCAUUCUCUCUUUUCUCUCAAUUCUCUUUAGCAUUUUCCAUUCCCCAUGCCUAGCAUCAUCUCUUUAUAGAGAUUUUAACAAUUAAGCCUCUUAAAGUACCCUUGGUCAGCCACCUUGGAGAGCCAUCAAUAAAGGAGCAAAGCGAAGGAGCCUCAUUGGUCAGAGUCUUGGGUGACAACCACUUUGAUUUGUGUUUAAUCUUUCUUUUCUUUGAUUUAAUCUGAAAAUAUGUGCUAUGUCCUUUUUGUUCUUGUUACAACAAUCUUAGCUUAAUUUUAUUUAACCUAAGAUGAUUGCUUUAAUUAAAUAAUAUUUAUUUAAUUCAGUUUAUAAUGUUUGUGCCUCAGUUGAUCAUAUUUUCAAUUAAAAUCAAGUCUGUAUUUUGUUCUUAUGUGAUUGAAAUGCACCUGAAUUAGCUGAGCGAUCCUAACCAGACGACGGUUAGUAGACACAUAAUUGAAAUGUGCGUGCUCAAUUUAGAUCCUAACCCGAUUAAAUUGAAGGUUGCAUAACAACUCUAACCAAGCUCUGUUAUCUGCAUAGUUGUUAGAUUUUUGUGAUUAAACUGUUUCAAACCUAACACGUCCUUAUUACCUGGCACGAAUGCUAAGAAACCCUUAGUAAAUAAGGAUCAGUAAAAUUCAUAUUUACUAAGUAAAGGAUUCCAAAAGGACCUAAUGUGGUUUCUAAACUCAUGAAAGAUCGAAUUGCCAUGGAAUGUUUUUCUAAAUGUUAUUAAGCAUGUUGAUAGUAAAUUGAGUUUAAUUAAAGUAAUUGUCCUAGUUUAUUUAUGUUAUAAUUGUUGCAAAUGGUGUUUGAUUUUGCUAGAAUCUAUUUCAUUCAUAUAGUGUUCAUAUUUAGGAUAACUUGCAUCAGGGAUCAUUGCAUUUAGUUUAAUAUAUUUAAUUUUAAUCAUCACUUCUCAAUCAUAUUAUGUUUUUAUUUACCAAGUUGUUAAUAUAAUUUUACAAUUAAGUUACUUAACACAAAUACAAUCCCUGUGGAGACGAUAACUCGAUACUUACUUAUUACUUGAUAAUGACUGUGCACACUUUCCUAAACCUAUGUGUUACAAUAGAUAACAAGAUGUCGUUAGGAUCCAAUCGAGCAGGUUUUGAUGGGGUGGAAAAUUUUAUUCCACCUAAUGAUGAGGAAAGUAAGCAAAAUAAACCUGGACUGCAAGGAUCUAGGGAUGUUGCACUUAAUGCAUUUCUCUAGAUGAUGCAUGACAUGUAUGAUGCAUACUAAGGUUAAAUUAUACAGUUCCACAACCUCAAUCUUCUCAUCCUCAAGGUUCGAGUAGGCAACAUGUUCAUAGAGUAUCCAUUGAUAAAGUUCAAAUGUGUAGAGCCGUUGAAUUUUGUAGUAAUGUGAGUGAUGAUCCAACAAAGGUAGAAUAUUGGUUAGAACAUACUUAGAGGGUGCUAGAUGAAAUGUUGCUCUCCUUUGAAGAUUGUUUAUGGUGUACAGUAUCAUUGUUAAAUGAGGAAGCAAUUCAAUAGUGGUCCAUACUAACGACAGUGGUGCAAAAGAAAGAAUUUCUUAAGUUGAAGCAAGGAAAUAGAUCAGUAGUAGAGUAUGAGAGACAAUUCGUUUAGAUUAGCAAAUAUACUCAUGAGAUCGUGUCUACUGAAGAGGGCAUGAGUGUACAUUUUGAAGAUGGACUGAGGGAUGAGAUUAAGAUGCUAGUAGGAGCUUUAGAGAUCCGAGAAUUUCUGGUGUCAUCUGAUAGAGCCCAGAAAAUAGAGGAAUUUUGUUAAAGUAAAAGACAGAAUGAAGAAAAACAACGAGAAUUUAGUAAACCCAGGGGAUCCAAAGCUUUUUCCAAUUCUUCACCGAAGAAAAUGAAAGAAUCCAGUAAUAAGUUUUCUACCUUGUCAGGGUUUUUGGGAAAAGAUCAGUGGAGACCAAAUAGCAAGAGAACUCUAGCUUCUUCAGUAGCUAGUGUAAGCAAUGUGAAGAAUUCUAAUAGAGCAGAGUGUAAGAAAUGUGGGCGGAUUCACUUUGGUAUCUAUAGAAUUAAUAAUGGGACGUGUUUUAAUUGUAGAUCUCUUGAUCAUUUUAAAAGAGAGUUUCCAAAUUUAAAAGAGGCUAUUAAAGAGCAUAACGAGAAAUCGGUGACUACUUCUAACAGAGGUAGGGGCCAACAGAGGUGGAGUUAAAGAGUCGACGACCAAAUCUAAAGUCAAAGCUCUCGCAAGGACAUAUGCCAUUCGUGCGCGAGAGGAAGCAUUAGCUCCUAAUGUUAUUACGAGUACAUUUUCUAUAUUUAAUGUUAGUGUGUAUACUUUAAUUGACCCAGGGUCAACGCAUUCAUAUAUAUGCAUUACAUUAAUGAUGGAAAAGAAAUUAUCUGUUGAAUCUACUGAUUAUGAUAUAAAAGUUACUAAUCCAUUAGGUCAAAGUGUGAUAGUUAACUUAAUGUGUCGUAAUUGUCCACUAAACGUUAGAGGCUAUGGAUUCCUUACAGAUUUGAUGUUGUUACCCUUUCUGGAGUUUGAUGUUAUUCUGGGUAUAGAUUGGUUAUCGUUACAUGAUACGAUAGUAAAUUGUAGACAAAAAUGGAUUGACUUGAACUGUCAUACAGGAGAGAUGAUUUCAGUUGAGUUUGAGAGUCUGAAAGAUGUUGUUCGAAUUAUUUCAUCUUUUUCUACUGAAUGAUUGACACGGAAAGGUAGUGAAGUGUUUCUAGCAUAUAUUAUUGAUAUUAGAGAUUUAGAAUUAAAGCUAGAUUCAUUACCAAUUGUUAAUGAAUUCGCUGAUGUAUUUCCUGAAGAGUUACCGGGUAUACCCUCUGGUCGUGAAGUUAAGUUUGUGAUUGACUUGGUUCUUGGAACUACGCCAAUAUCGAUAUCACCAUAAUGUAUGGCACCAACUGAAUUGAAAGAAUUGAAAGCAUAGUUGCAAGAUUUACUAUAUUGAGGGUUUAUUCGUCCUAGCGUAUCUCCCUAGGGUGCACCUGUGUUGUUUGUGAAAAAGAAAGAUAGCUCUUUGAGAUUGUGUAUAGAUUACAGACAGUUGAACAAAGUCACAAUAAAAAAUAAGUAUCCUUUGCCACGUAUCGAUGAUUUAUUUGAUCAACUGAAAGGUUCCACAGUGUUCUCAAAGGUAGAUCUCAAAUCUAGGUAUUAUCAAUUAAAAGUUAAAGAUUGUGAUGUGUCAAAGACUACUUACAGAACUCGAUAUGGUCAUUAUGAGUUUCUGGUAAUGCCAUUCGGCUUGACUAAUGCCCAUGUUGCUUUUAUAGAUUUAAUUAAUUGGGUUUUUCAACCUCAUUUGGAUAGAUUCGUUGUUGUGUUUAUUGAUGAUAUAUUGAUCUAUUCCAAGUCUAAAUCCGAGCAUGCCCAACAUUUGAAAAUCGUACUAUAGACUUUAAGAGAAAAAUAGUUGUAUGCAAAAUUUAGUAAGUGUGAAUUCUGGCUUCGAGAAGUUAGAUUUUUGGGUCACAUAGAUCAGUCGAUGGAUUUGAGUUGAUCCGAGUAAAAUUUCUGCUGUAAUGAAUUGGAAGACCCUGAAGAAUGUUUCAAAAGUGCAAAGUUUUCUGGGUUUCGCAGGUUACUAUUGACGUUUUGUCAAAAAAAUUUCGAUUAUUGCUUUGCCAAUGACCAAAUUAUUACAGAAAAAAGUUGAGUUUAGUUGGUCCAAUAAAUGCCAAAAGAGUUUCGAUCAACUGAAGAAAAUGUUGAUUGAAGCUCCAGUGUUGACUCAACCUAAAUCGGGGAUAACAUAUGUUACUUUUAGUGAUGCAUCUCUAAAUGGUUUGGGUUGUGUGUUGAUGCAAGUAGGAAAACUAGUAGCUUAUGCUUCUUGACAGUUGAAGUUGAAUGAAAAGAAUUAUCCUACUCACCAUCUCAAGUUGGCCGUGAUUGUAUUCGCUUUAAAGAUUUAGAGACAUUAUCUUUACGGCGAGAAAUGUCAUGUGUUCAUAGAUCACAAAAGUUUAAAGUAUUUUAUGACUAAAAAAGAAUUGAAUUUGAGACAAAGAUGGUGGUUAGAACUAUUAAAAUAUUACAAUCUAGUUAUUGAUUAUCAUUCGAGAAAGGCUAAUGUAGUUGUGGAUGCACUCAGUCGAAAGUCAUCAUUGUUUGCACUUCGAAUGUUAAACGCCCAUUUAGUUCUAAAUGGUGAUGGUUUGGUAUUAGCAGAAUUGAAAACGAGACCCCUUGUUUCUUCAGCGAAUUUGAGAGUUGCAAGAAGAAGAUUCAGAUUUGUUUAUGAAAUGACAGUUGGCUUAGAAUAAAUUGAGUUUAGAAUAUAAUGUUGAUGAUAAUGGUAUAUUACAUUAUCGUGACAGAAUUUGUGCUCCGAGUAAUUCUAUUUUGAAACAUGAUAUUCUCUCUGAAGCUCACAGUAGUAUACACUCUAUUCAUCCGAGUAGCACGAAGAUGUAUUGUGACUUGAAACAGAUGUACUAGUGGCCAGGUAUGAAACAAGAAAUUUGUGAAUUUGUAGUUAAAUGCUUAAUUUGUUAGUAAGUCAAAGCAAAACAUCAAGUACCCUCGGGUUUACUACAACCUGUCAUGAUUCCUGAAUGGAAAUGGGAGCGAGUCAUGAUGGAUUUCAUAUCUGGUUUACCUGUAGCUCUGAGAAAGAAAGAUUCAAUCUAGGUGAUUGUUGAUAGAUUGUUGAAAUUGGCACAUUUUAUUCAAAUCAGAGCAGACUACACCCUUGAAAGAUUAGCAGAAAUUUAUGUGUCUGAGAUUGUAAUAUUACACAGGGUUCUGGUAUCUAUUAUUUCAGAUUGAGAUUCGAUAUUUACAUCGAGAUUUUGGAGCAAACUUCACGAGGCUUUAGGGAUUGUGCUUAAUUUUAGCACUGCAUUUCAUCCUCAGACUAACAGGCAAUCAGAACGAGUGAUUCAGAUUUUGGAAGAUAUGUAGAGAUGUUGUAUACUUGAGUUUGAAGGUAACUGGGAAAUGUACUUACCGUUAGCUGAAUUUACGUAUAAUAACAACUAUCAAUCUAGUAUGAAAUGACACUGUUUGAAGCUCUUUAAAGGAGGAAGGGUGUAAAAGACUAUUGUAUUGAUCAGAACUGAGUGAAUCCAAAAUGGUGGGAAUUGAUUUUAUCCGAGAAACAAAAGAAGAAGUUUGACUUAUUCAGGAUUGGUUGAAAGCUGCAUCUGAUUGUCAGAAGUCGUACACGGAUCUGAAAAGAAAAGAUAUUGAAUUUGCAGUUGGCGAUCGAGUAUUCCUAAAAGUUUCUCCGUGGAAGAAAGUGCUACGUUUCGGUAGGAAAGGAAAGCUGAGUCCGAGACUUAUAGGACCGUACGAGAUUGUUGAAAUAAUUGACCCUAUAGCUUAUAGAUUGGCCUUGCCCCUUGGACUCAAGAUAAUACACAAUGAAUUCCACGUUUCGAUGUUGAGUAGGUAUAGAUCUAAUUUUUUUGCAUGUGAUUCCUCAUAGUGAAAUUGAGUUAUAGACGAACUUGACGUAUUUGGAAGAACCUGUGAGAAUCUUAGCUUGAGAAGUUAAUAAGUUACAGAAUAAACAAGUACCAUAAAAGUCUUGUGGCAUCGAAAUGGUUCUGAAGAAGCUACUUGGGAAAUCGAGGAAUCAAUGAAACUACAAUACCCGAAUCUAUUUUUAGGUAACAAUUUCGAGGACAAAAUUAUCUAAAGGGGGAAGAAUUAUAACAGCCCAAUUUUCAAUGGUGACAGAGCAGUGGUUUCGAGAACACAAACUUCCAUCGUGUCGGCUCAUAAAUAUUAUUUUUAGAAUAUACAUAGAGUCAUUAGAGUCCUAUUAAAAUUUAGUUUAGAAAUAUUAACGUUUAGAUAGUUAAUUAAAGAAAAAGGACUAAAUUGAAAAAGGUGCAAAUGUUGUAAUUAGUUAAGUAAAUGACUAAUUAUUUAUUAACCACAUGAAGAGGGACUAAUAUAGCAAUUAGACCCUAGUAGCUAAGGUUGGAUGGCUAAGUAAAGGAAAUUAAUAAAUUAAAGUGUUUUGAGUGGCAAAAUUGUAAAUAAAAUAAAAUUUAGUAAAACAAAAGGCUUUCUUCUUCAUUUUUCAAUUAUCCAUUGCCGAAACCAUAGUAAGAACUUGGGAGAAUCAGCUAAGCAUCUAGGCCUUGCAUGUGAGUUCAAUUCUUAACCAUUUCUUGUAAUUUUUAUAUUUUUGAGAUCGUUACAACUAGGUCUAACUGGCUCGUAACUUCAUUUUUGAUUUUGUUAAAAAUUGUGGAAGUUUCCAUUGAUGAAUAUUGAUUUUUUUUUAUGAAUAUUAUGUAUUUGGAGCCUUUGUUAUACUAGUUGAUGGAUUUGUAAAGAGAUUUUUUGUUGAAUCUUGAUUUUUGGUCUAAACUGUGAAUAAGUCAAAAUAUUAGGGUUUGAUUGUAAAUUUGAGGUUUAUUACAGGCUAUUUGAGGGCUUAGUAUAUUUGGAUAAAUUAUUGAUUUGAGAAAAUUAGUUAAUUUGAUGAAUUUCGGGUUAAGGGACUAAACAGUAAAAAUUGUAAAAGUUUGGGGUAAUUGUAUAAUUUUGAAAAAUAAAAGGGCAUUAGUUUUAAAAUGGAUUUUAAAUGAAAUAUAUGCUAAUAAUUAAAAGAUUUUACAUUAUAGAUCAAGAAUUCGUAGAUAUUCGGGAAAAGGAAAAUUAACGGAGUAGUCCCUAAACUUCUAUAACUUUUACGAUUUAGUCCAAGUAAGUUCGUUACAUGGUUACUAUUAAUUUUAUUGAAUAUUCCAUACUAUUCAUUUUUGGUUGAAUUAUGGAUUUUAUUAAGUUAUGCUUAUCGAAAUAGAAAUAAGAUGAUUAUUCAGGCUAAGUGGCUAGCAGGCUAUGUGCUGGUGAUUAUUCGGGCUAUGUGCCUAGCAGGCUGUGUUCUAGUGAUUAUUUGGACUAAGUGCCUAGCAGGCUUUGUGCCAGUGAUUAUUUGGGCUAAGUGCUUAGCAGGCUUUGUGCCGGUGAUUAUUCGGGCUAUGUGCCUAGCAGGACUUGUGCUAGUGAUUAUUCGGGCUUUGUGCCUAUCAGGCUUUGUGCUGAAUAUUAUUCGGGCUUUGUGCCUAGUAGGCUAUGUACCGGUGUAUUGGAAGUUGCAUUUAAUUGGAUAGUUUUUGUUGAAUUAUUAAAGGAAAUUUAUAUCGAACUUACUUAGCUUGUUGAUGCUUAUUAGUUUGAUUUAUUCUUGUAGGACAUUUGGAUUUGUUGCUUUGAUUGGAUCGACUCAGAAGCUCGCACACUAUCAUCAACAUCUCGGUAGUCAUUUUGGCUCUUAUUAGUUGGUUUAAAUGGCAUGUAUUAGGAAAGGGUCUAUAGUACUUGAAUAUUUUGUAUGGAUGUAAAUAUUGUAAGUAACUUAUUAUGCUUGUUUUCUAGUAGAAAUAGUUAAACUUGUGUGCUUAAUUAGGUAAACCUUUUGGAACAUAUAUAUAAGUAGAAGCUGUAUAAAUCUUGUGGUGUCAAAUGAUUAUGAUUGAAUACUUCAAGUAUGCUAUGUGAAUUAGUUUAGUUAUAAGUUGUUAUGAUGAUUAAUUUUUGUUAAGUGUUUGGUAUGUUUGGAAAUAUAGUGAAAUGGUACUUUGUUGCGAAUGACUUAUAUGAUUGUUAAUACUAGUAGAUGAAUGACAUAUUUUGCACCAUUUGGUAUAUGUUGGUAAGUAAACUCAAUGAUAUGUAUAAUGCAAAUAUGUUUAGAAGUUAGUUGAAUAUUUUGGCCAAAUUUAGUACAUGAUUAUGCAUAUUACAUGUUGCCAUUUGAGGUGCCUAAGGGCAUAUUGGUUGUAUUCUCUUAUACCAUAAUUGAUUAGCUAGAAUAUGCAUGAUUUUGGUGCUUUAUUAUAACUUGUAUAUAUGUGAAAUUUUGGUUGUAGGUGCAUGCCAAAAUGGGUGAGAAAAAAUGGCUUGUAAAAUGACCUAUUUUCGUCUACACGGGUAGAGACAUGGGCGUGUGUCUCAGCUGUGUGUGACACACAGCCAGACAACAUGACUGUGUGUCCCUUAUAGCUUUUAAAGGGUUGCAAGUUAAGCUAUUACACGGCCUAGUACAUAGCCUGGCGUACGGGCGUGUGAGGUUAUUUCGAAGGGUACACGGCCUAGCACACAGGCGUGUUGCUUGGCCAUGUGACCCAAGUCAAUGAGUUACAUGGGUACGGACACGGGCUGUGAUACAGCUUUGUGUCCCUAUUUCGAAUGCUCACAUGACUGUGUGACCCUUGCAGUUUCCUAAAAAAUUCUCUGAGAUUCCGAUUUAGUCCUGACUUGUUUCUAACGUUUUUUUAGGGCCUUAAAAUCAUGCAUAGGGAACAAUAUGUAUGGUUUGGAUUGGUUUUACAAUGAUUAUUGAUAUGAUUUGAGAUGUUUAAAAAUUAUGUUCGUUUGAAUUGUAAAUGCUGGUAAUGCUUCGUAACCCUAUUCUAGCGACUGAUACGGGUUAAGGGUGUCAAAAUAUCUCUUGUGGAGUUGUUUUCUUAAUGGCAAUGGAUGGAGAUCGGUUGAUCAAAAAAUAUGCAGUAGAGGCUACUUUGGCCCAUAACAACUCCGGUAAGUUAGCAUUGGACAACAUACAUCAAACUUUCUCCAUGAUCGUUCUGUUCAUUCGUUCUACAAUGCUAUUUUAUUGUAGAGUACAAUGAACUAUCAAGUGUCUCACAAUCCCUUCUGACUUGCAUAGUUCAUUAAACUCAUCAGAACAAAACUCAAUGCUAUUGUCUAUACAGAGGUAUUUUAUUUGUUUUCCUGUCUGUCUUUCAAUCAUAGUUCUUCAAGACUUAAAUGCAGAAAACACAUCGCUUUUCUGCUUUAGGGAAAACACCCAAACUUUUCUGGAAAAAUAAUCAAUAAAAGUUAGCAUAUAAUUAGCUCAACCUCCUGUAGGAACUCUGGAUGGCCCCCACAGAUCAGAAAGAAUAUACUCUAGCAUUCCCUUUGUGUUAUGGAUUCCUCUAAUGAAUCGAACUUUCUUUUGCUUCCCAAAAAUGCAGUGAUCACAGAACUUCAAUUUGACAAAUUCCUUACCCAUCACGAAGUCCUCUUUUGCUCAAUUCCCUUAUGCCAUUCUCACUCAUAUGCCCUAGGCACAUAUGCCAAAGUCUAGUAAUGUCAUCAUCUGACAAGGAAGAGGAAGCAACAACUGCAUCACUAGUAACAGUAGAACCCUACAAAAUAUAUAAUUUGGCAGCCUUUCUCUGCCCUUUCAUCACAAUGAGGGAACCUUUGGAAAUCUUCAACACCCCACUUUCAACUGUGUAUUUGUACCCUAUUGAAUCAAGAUUACUCAACGAAAUCAAAUUUCUCUUCAAUUCUAGAACAUUUCGCACGUCACUAAGUGUUCUAACAACUCCAUCAAACACCUUCAGACACUAUUUUGUAAGUUGUAAAGCAAUCCCUAUUGAGACUCAUAUGGAAGGUGCACCUCGAAUCAAGGACCCACUCGUCACUCACUUUAUAAUUGUUGAUAAAAGUGACUAGAAGUUCACCGUCACUGUAGUUUUCUAUAACAUCAGCUUCACCAGAUUUUUCUGGUUAUUUGCUCUUUUGAUUCCCAGCCUCCCUUUUGGUCUUGCUUUGCAACUUAAAACACUCAGAUUUAAUACUCCCCUUCUUCUUACAAAAUUACAAGUUUUACCUCUAUUUGAAAACUUCGAUCUUUCUUUAGAUUUACUGUGAGUAUUCUAUUCUUGUGUCCUUCCACAUCAUCAUCAGCUUUCCGAUCUUAUCUUCCAUGAACAACAAGAUCCUCUUCCUGAGAAUCGAUUUUAACCACAAGAUGCUUCAUCUUAUCAUAUGAGGCCAAAUAAUCAUAAACCUUAUCAAUUGUGAGAAACACGUGGCUAUAUAAAAUCGUAUCUCUAAAGGUUGAAUAAGACAUGGGCAACAGACAAAGUAGAAUCAACCCUAGAUCAUCCUUAUCAUAUUGAACCUCUAUAGCCUCCAAGUUUGAGAGAAUUUCUUUAAACACUGUUAAGUGUUCGUGCAUAAACGCACCUUCAUCCAAACGAUGAAUAUAAAGACGCUGCUUCAUAUGCAACUUGCUAGCUAGAUUUUUUGACAUACAUAUUUGUUCCAUCCUCUUCCAUAAUGUAGCGGUGGUCUUCUCCUUCAUCACAUCCGGUAGCAUUUCGUUAGACAAAUGCAGAAGUAACCAUGUUAAUGUAUUUCGAUCUUUACGCCUCUUCUCUUCCUCCGUCAAUGUCAAACGCAUCUUAUCUAUCCCUAGCAGGGCAUCCUCUAAGUCUAUCUGUGCAAAAUUGUCUACAUCUUUAUCUGCUACAACGCAAAUCUACUGUUGCGAUCCAACAACAAAAUUUCAUACUUUAAAGACGUCAUUACCAUGAUUGAGAUGAACAACCUGGAAGCUCUGAUACCAAUUGUUAAAAAAAUAGAACGCCAAUAAUGACAAUGUAUCAUAAAGAAAAAAGAAAGAAAAAUAAAGAACAUAUAGAUUUUACAUGGAAACCCUUUCGGAAAAAAAAACCACGAGCAAAGGAGAAGAUAAUUCACUAUAUCAAAUUUGAAUAAAUACAAGAGGAGUAGACUAUAUCUAUUUAUAGGCUUGUAAAACCAUAUUCUAAUAGAAAGAGUGUAGUAAGUUGAAACACCUUAUUCUAAUCAACAUCAAAUAGAUGAAGUGUAAUAAGGUUGAAAAACCUUGUUCUAAAAUAAAAUAAAAGAAGUGUAAUUCAAUAUGGAUUUUACUUUUAUUUUAUUUUACCAUUGUAUUUUAUUUUAAUAAGAAUUUGGGUCACUCAAUUCUAACAGGGGGGAGAUGAUGUUUCAUUUUAUGGUAAUGGAUUUUAGAAGGGGCUUCUAGUAAUGGAUUUUAGAAGGGGCUUCUAGUAAUGGGUUUAUUGAUCCUUUAUGGUGCAACAAUAGAUAACUGUAUUUGCAUGCUGGUAUGAUCUCUGUCUUAUGUUUACCAUCUUGUUUUGGGGAUGUAUGUGCUGGACUAAGGUUUUCCUAGGUUGGCGUAAGGAAGACUAUAAGCUUGAGAAAUUUCAUUAUCAUACACUGUUUCAGAUUUGAAGCAUAAAGACAUGUUGGUAUCUUACUCGUGAACAAAUAUAGCAAUAGUUGGUUGAAGCUUUUUAGAAAACCAUGGAAAUGAAAGCAUCCUUCUACGUUUCAAAAUUUUAAUAUAGAUGCAUUUUUUGUUGAAAAUUAUAAUUUUUAAUAUGUUAUUAAUCGUGUUGGUUUUUAUGUUUUGAUGUUCUCCUGUAUCUCCAUUUUUUUGUCUGACUUUAUCUAUUUAUUUAUUUUUAUUCUGCAGCAUAUUGAAGAUUUGACUCAUGAAAAGUUUUCAUUGCAAUGAGCACUUGAGGCCUUACGUACAUUAGCAGAAUCUUUGGCUGCUAAAAAUUCGUCCUUGACUUAUAGUUAUAAUCACUAGGUUUGUUUCUGUUAGAGUAUUAACAGAAUUAGUUAUGGUUUGUUAUGAGCUGGUUAGCCAAAAUACUAUUAGACUUUCUCUUUAAAUAUGAGGUCAUUGUACAUAAACAAUGUGUGAAUAAAAUACAGAAUUAAAUAUUUCUCUUCAAGUAUUAUUUCAUUAGAGGUUUACCUAAGAUUCUAAGAUGGUAUCAGUCGCCUAGUUCGUACCUGAUUGUUGCUUCCGCUCCGAAUUUAUGGAUUCGUCAGUUGACUCUUCUUCUGGUGAUUCUGCUAACAUGCCUUUCUCUCAUUCGCGAUUAGUUCACAGCUUUCCUCGUCAUGAAAUAGUGAAAUUGGAUGAGACGAACUUCAUUUAAUGGCAACUUCAAGUACGGCUUAUUGUUGAAGGCUAUAACCUUCAAGGUUUUUUGGAUGGUACUGUUGCUGCACCGCCGCAGUUGGUGGUGUCGUCUGAUGGUAGUCUUGUUCUGAAUCCAAACGCGAUCUUGUUUACAAAGCAGGAUAAGCUGCUUGCAUUCUGGCUUUUUUCUACGGUUAAUGCUUCUUUGCUCUCCUAUUUCAUUUUAACUAAGUCUGCUUUUGAUAUUUGGAGUACUGCAAGUAAUCUUUUUGCAGCAUCUUCCACUAAAAAGGUGUCUCAGAUUUGACAUGAUCUUCAUGCGCUCAAGAAGGGUGGAUCUACUAUCAAGGAAUAUGUGUCAAAGAUUCAGACUCUCUGUGCACUCCUUAAAUCAUCGGGAUCUGGUGUUUCAGAGGCUGAGAAAGUGGAGUUUUUUCUCACUGGUCUUCCUCCUAAAUUUGACUCGAUUUUCAUGCUCUUCUCUGUUUUAUAGGAGUCUUUGUAGUUUAAGAAACUUGUUGAUAUACUAAUGGGCUUUGAAACUAGAUUGAUGCGCGCAGUUCGUGAGAUCCUGAUAGUUGCAAAUGUAGUGAAAGCAUCUGGAACUGUUGACUCCGAUUCACGUAGUGUACGCGGAAGACGGGUUUCGUUGGGGUCGCGUGGUGGUCGCGGUUCUCGAUCUAGAGUGCAAUGCUAGAUUUGCAGUCAGUUUGGCCAUGUUGCCCAGCGGUGUUACUAUCGCUUUAACAGAGACUAUGGCUCUUCCGUUGAUGGUGCUCCAAUCGUUGGUGGAGAAGCGUGGUUUUGCUCCUACGCAACGUGUUGAGGGCAGAUCCUGGGGGCCACCUCACCAAAUGGAGCAAGAUAAUUUCUUUGGGUAUUCUCAACCCAAUUGGAUUGGUAAUUAUGCUAGCCUAGGUUUCGGUGCUUUGUCACCACAUGCUGCACCACAUGGUUCUCGCCCAUAUUAUGGGCCCUAUGGUCGACCCCCUCGGCCUAAUGUUGGUUGUGGGUCUUUACAUGCUUUGGGUCAUCCUCAAGGGGAUGUGUAUGAUGGUGUUUGUCAGCCACCUAUAGCAGGUUGUUUUUCUAGGCCAUCUAGCCCAUUUGCUCCACCACAUGGGCCGGUUCGUGGUCCUCAAUAUGUAUCUUAGCAAUCCCCUAGUUCACCCCUUGCUAAUUGUGUUGAUGUUGACAGCACUCUGCCAACUGCUUUGCCUGAGGUUCUAUGGCGAAUAAGCCUCGUGCUUGGGUUUUUGAUGUUGACAAUUCGCAGUGCAUUGGAUUGCCCAGGAUUCUUGAUUUUCGUGCUUCGAAUUUUUUAGAUGCCUCACGCUAUGACUCCAAUUGCUGUAGUGAUGAUUCGUAUAUUCCUACGCCAGCUGGGACUGCCUUUUGGUACUCGGAUUCUGGUGCUUCACAUCAUGUGUGUCAGAACACUGCAGAUUUAAAUGCCACCACUCCGUAUUCAAGUACUUCUGAACUUUUAAUGGGUAAUGGGGCUCCUACUAAGAUUUUAUCUGUUGGGGACACGGUUAUUUCCACUCGAUCCAAGGUGUUAUGUCUGACAAAUGUUUUAUGUGUUCCAAGCAUUCGUAAGAAUCUCAUGUCUGUGUCACAAUUUGCUAAAGAUAACAACAUUUUUUUGAAUUUCACCCGCUCUAUUGUGUUAUUAAGGAUGUCCAGAUGCAGGAAAUCUUGCUACGGGGCCAAGUUCGUGAUGGGCUCUAGCAUUUUUCAGUAAACGUCUCUGCUUCGUCUCCUACCACAUCUACUGUUCAUAAUGUUACUCUUCAAGCUAGUUCUUCUGUUUCUUCUAAUGUUUUUACUUUGUGGCAUAAUAGGCUCGGCCAUCCGUCACCUAAAGUAGUUAAGGUUGUUUUAAAUAAAUGUGGCAUUAUUGCUGAUAAGAAAUCUCUUUUUAAUGUUUGUAUUACCUGUCAAAAAGGAAAAUCCCAUAAAUUACCUUUUUCUAAUUCUACUACUAAAUAUGUGGAAUUGUUUGAGUUGGUGGUUUCUGACUUGUGAGGCCCAGCUCUUGUUGAUUAUGAAGGGAAUUUGUAUUAUGUGUUAUUUGUAGAUAUGUGAAGUCAUUUUACGUGGGUAUAUCUCGUUAAAAGAAAAUCUCAAGCACUUGAGUGUUUUCUUCAGUUUCAAAAAAUGGUCAAUACUCAAUUUGGGAAAUGAAUUAAGAAGUUUCAAAGUGAUUGGGGAGACGAAUUUUGAGGGUUUGCUUUUAUUCUUGCUAAUCAGGGAAUUAUUCAUCGUGUGACGUGUCCUCAUACUUUUGAACAAAAUAGAGUUACUGAGCAUAAACAUUGACACAUAGUGGAAACUAUCCUCACACUGUUGGCACAGGCUAAUCAUCCUAUGAAACUCUGGUGAUAUGCUUUUUGUAGUGCUGUUCAUCUUAUCAACCGAUUGCCUACUUCGAUUCUUCACAGUAAGUCUCCAUAUCAGAAGCUUUAUGGGUGUAAACCUCGGUAUGAUCAUCUUCGAGUAUUUGGUUGCUGCUGGUUUACGCAUUUACGACCAUUUACUCGACAUAAAUUAGGGUUUCGGUCUCAACCUUGUACAUUUUUAGGUUACAGUUCUCACCAUAAGGGCUAUUUUUGUUGUCUUCCUGAUGGAAAGGUGAUAGUGUCUCGUCAUGUUGUGUUUGAUGAAACUCGAUUCUUGUCUGUGUCAUCUAUGGAGAAUGAUACUGAUGGUUUGAUGCAAUGCCCUACAUAUGUUCUUGUUGUUCCAACAUCUUCCAUGUUUCGUCAAUCUGAUUCUUGUCCUCCCGUGGAGGUCUCUCCUUCUGGCUCUCUACCUGAUUCCCCUAAUUUGGUGCAUGAGGGUGUGCGAGAUGGAUCUGGUAUUUCACCUAUGACUUGUAGUCAACCAGCUGGCGUUUCAAUUGCCUCAAAUUCUAAUAAGCAAAAGCCUUGUCCUACACCUCGUCCUCUCUAUCAGUCUUUACCAGUACCGCUACAAGGUCCUCCUGUUGCUUUAGGAAAUGUUCAUGCCAUGGUGACUCAGUCUAAGGAAGGAGUUUUUAAGCCUAAGGUUUUAACUGCAGAGGCUGUUGAGUUUGAGCCUUGCUUUGUUACGGAGGCAUUCACUCAUCUAGAGUGGAAGUUAGCUAUCCAAGCUGAGUAUGAUGCGCUGAUGGCUAACUCUACCUGGGAUCUUGUGUCUUUACCUCCUGGCCGAAAGGCCAUAGGGUGCAAAUGGUUGUUCAAAAUCAAGAGAAAAUUUGAUGGGUCUAUUAAUCACAGAAAGGCACGCUUGGUUGCUAAGGGCUGCUCUCAAGUCCCUGGAUGCGAUUUUAAUGAUACAUUUAGUCCCGUUGUCAAACCAACUACUAUCCGCAUCAUCUUGUCUAUUGUAGCUUCGAGCGGGUGGUCACUCCGACAAGUCGAUGUGAAUAAUGCCUUCUUGAAUGGGGACAUUGACACUGAAGUCUUGAUGCAUCAACCCCCAGGGUUUGCACAUUGUGAUUCUGAUGGGAAGCCACUUGUUUGUCAUUUGAAGAAAGCUUUGUAUGGGCUUCGGCAGGCUCUAAAUGCUUGGUUUGAUAAACUAAAGAAAUUUCUCGUAUCUGUUGGGUUUGUCGUAUCCAAGUCUGAUGCAUCUCUAUUUGCUCGAGAUACAUCUAACUCCAGAUUGUAUGUGCUUGUUUAUGUGGACGAUAUAAUCAUCACGGGGGAUGUUCCUACGGCUAUUACUAGUUUUAUCCAACUUUUGAAUGCUGAGUUUUCACUUAAAGAUAUAGGUGACCUUCAUUACUUUCUUGGGAUUGAAGUGACUCGCUCAUUCGCAGGGUGUAUUCACUUGUGUUAGAAGAAAUACAUUCGUGACCUUUUGGCUCGAAGCUCGUUGUUACAUGCUAAGCUAGUUCAUACUCCUAUGGUAAGUUCAGCGCAUUUGUCUAAAGAUGAUGGAGAUAGAUUGAGUGAUCCUUCUGAGUAUCGUAGUCUAGCCGAUGCCUUAUAGUAUGCAGUUCUGACUCGUCCCGAUAUUGCUUAUGCCGUUAACCGUAUUUUCCAGUUCAUGCAUAGUCCUACCACUACGCAUAUGGUUGCCUUAAAAAUAAUUUUGCGCUAUUUGUGUGGUACACUUGACUAUGGUAUUAUUUUUCAGCCAUCUAGCCAUUUGUCUCUUGUAGGGUACGCCGAUGCUAACUGGGGUCUGGAUUUUGAUGACCGCUGCUUUACAUCUGGUUACUGCGUGUAUUUUGGUCAUACGCCUAUCUCGUGAUUUUCCAAGAAACAACAAGUUGUUUCUCGGUCUAUAGCUGAAGCAGAGUAUAGGAGUCCUGCAACUGCUACUAGUGAUAUUAUUUGGUUAAUGUCACUACUUCAAGAGUUGCGGGUGUCGUCCGAUGAUAAACUUAUUGUCUAGUGUGAUAAUUCUACUGCCGUUGCGGUUGCAGCUAAUCCUGUUCUUCAUUCAAAAUUCAAACAUGUUGAGCUUGACUUAUUUUUUGUUCUCGAGAAGGUUGCUAAUGGCUCCAUGAUUGUUGGGGAGGUCCUUGCGUGUGACCAGGUAGCUGACAUUCUUACUAAGCCACUCUCCGUAACAUUUUUUAAUCGUUUUCGGAAUUCUCUUUGGGUUUUACCCGUUGGGAAGAUGGAUGAAUGUUAGAGUAUUAACAGAAUAGUUAUGGUUUGUUAUGAGCUGGUGAGCAGUGUGGUUAGCCAAAAUACUAUUAGACUUUCUCUUUAAAUAUGAGGUCAUUGUACACAAACAAGGUGUGAAUAAAAUACAGAAUUAAAUAUUUCUCUUCAAGUAUUAUUUUAUUAGAGGUUUACCUUAAAUUUUAAGAGCUUCCAAAUCUAAUAUUUUUCUGGCAUCACUGUAAUGUCAUGGUCUUGUGGACAUAAUUUGUAACACCCUGAAUUUAUUAAAUUUUUGUUGUUUAUGUGUAGUAAAUAAUUUGUUAUGGUGUGUUGAUUAAGUGCUUUAGAAGUUUCGUUUAAAUCUUGUGUUCAAAUUUUGUGGUGCACAUGAGUGUAACAUUUUUGUUCUUUGCAUUUAUUAAAUCUCUUAUUUGUUUUAUUUUAAUUUAUUUUGUUGAGCAAAUCCCUAUUUUCUCUCUUUUGCAACCAUCUAACCUCACCCCUCCUUUUUGCUGCACUUUUUUUUUCUUUCUUUUACUGUUGAAAUUGUUUUUGUUUCUUUCUCUUUCCUUUUGAGUCAUCUUUCUCCUUUUCGCUAAGUAUUUCAUUGUUGCUAUUAUUGCUUUUGUGGGACUUCAAUUGACGUUCCAAUUUUAAUUAUAUCCAAUGAUAGUGUAAGUUGUUAAAUUAUUUUGUGGUGAUUUAGGUUUUAUUUCGUUCGCUGUGUAAAGGUGAAUUUAUAGGCGUUGUUCUUGUAAGAUGUUUUGAUGAAUGCAUAUUGAUUUUCUUGUUAGGCGAAGGUGGUGCGAGUCAAGACCUUCCAGCGGAAUAAGCUUCGUUUCAGACGCUAUUCUUUGAGUGGUAAGGGUUCGAUUUUGGUUUUGGGGACUGAAAUUUUGUUAAUUAGAUGCUAUUUUGGAAGGAUCAUUUGAUGGUUCAUUCAUAUGAUUUAUUGAUCAAUUGUAGAAUCCAUGAGUUCCCGAUAGUGUGGUUAAUUAAUUACGUCUUUAGGUGUGUGAUCUUACCAGAAAAACUAGUUGGAAAAAUUGCAAAACAGGGCUAUUUUCUGAAACUGUCCAACAUCACAUAACCUGCACAGUGACUAACUGUGUGUUUUUACAGGCCGUGUGGACUACAAGGCUAGUUUUUUGGGCUGUGUGGGCUUUUUAGGCCAAUUUUAAAGCCCAUUUUGGAGUCAAAUAAGAGGCUCAAAAAUAAGAUCCGUGGGCUUCAUAUAUGCCGAGAAAAGCGUCACUUUUAGUAUGUAAAUACAUAUGGGUAAGCUUAGGUGAUAUGUUAAAUAGGUUACAUUGUUUUUAAACCAUAUCGUAUGCUAUAUUCCGUAUGAAAUAUGUGUAUAUACAUGUCAUACGAUAUAUGAUAUAAAUAUGUAUGAUAAUAUGAUUAUGAUUAUACUUUUGUUUGGGGGUGGGUUAUGAUAUGAUGGAGGAAGUGCUAUAAGGUAGUCUUUACUACAAUUUUGGCGACUUGAUCGCACAUUUCUGUCUAGCAGUUCAACUGCAUAUUUAUAAGUGGCACAUCACCACAUAUUGGAAUGGUUGGAUGGAAGUGUUCAUGUAGUCCUAUUUGGUGUGAUUUGUUGGACGGAGUUAGUGUGUAACGUAUAGGGGUAGGAUAUGAUAUGAUAUGAUAUGUUAUAAGAUGCGAUACGAUAUGACAUGAGAUCCGAUUUGAUAUGAUAUGUUAUAAAAUAUGUUGUUAUGAAGUCUAAUUUGAGCUGUUAUAUGUAAGCCUUAUCACACACUAGGCAUAAAGCUCAUGCAUUUGUUUGAUUCGUUUCAGGUGAUCCUCAGACUUAUGAUUGGACGGCGACACUACAGCCCGAUUUUCACGUUUUUGAUGUAGUAUGUUCUGGUUUAUAUUUUUAUGGACUCUUACGGACUUUUGGGACAUUUUAAAUUGUUUGGGACUUUAAAAUUUAUUUUCGAUUUUGGUUAUGAAAAAUUUCUAAUUUUAAACUGAAGAUUAAAUCAAGGCAAUAAAUAGUAAAUCAGAGAUAGAUAAGAUUAAGUUCCUAAAAAGGUUAUGUUGCUAAAUUUUUAUCGAAAUUUGCUAGAAUGUUUUUUGCCUCGUAAAAUUAUUUAAGUAAAUUUGGAUUUUUUUUAGUAGAAGCUAUUAAGCAUGUUUUUACCUCAAACUAUUCACGAGUUUUUGAUAAAUUAGCCUGUUUUUAAAUAGUUGCAUAAAAUUGAAUUUUAUUAAGGUUAGAAGUGGGUUUUCAUUAAAAUUUAAGCUUUAACAUUUUCACCAAUAGUGUGUGGGGUAAGCAUUCGAUCGAGUCGAGUCGGAUUGAGUCAAAAAAUUUCGAGUUAGUUGAGUUGACGAAUCCUAUUUUAGCAACCGAACUCAAUUUGAAUUUUUUUCGAAUCGGAUCAAAUCGAGUCAAAAAAUUUCGAGUCGAGUUAACGAAUCCUAUUAUUUGUACUCAAUGUUGCGCUUACAUGAACCGAUUAUUUAACUAGGAAACGAAGUAUAAAAUUAUUUAACAAUAUAAACAAUAUAAUGGUUUUGCCUUUUAACUUAAUUAGUAAACAUUUAUCAAAACAACAUAGUUUUACAUUUUAACUUAAUGGUUUUGACUUUUACCUUUAGAAAAGGUAAACAUUCAUCAAAAUGACGUAGUUUUGCCUUUUCUUAUUUGGAUUUUCGGAUAACUCGAAUUGUGUAAUUUAUAUUCGAGUUAAACCGAAAAACUUAUUUUUUUAUUCGAGUUGACCCAAAUAACUUGAUUAAUUCAAAUAACUUGAACUAUUUAAUUCAAAAUUUGAAAAUUUUAUCAAGUUUUUCGAAUCGAAUCGGAUUUUACUCACUCCUAAUAGUGUGACCUCUACAAUCUGACCGUAACGUUUAGGUUGGGCUUAGGGUGUUACAUAAUUAUUAACAUAUAAUAUAUUUUCGAUGUUAUCAUGUGUUGGGCUAUCCUUGAAUAACUUAAAUAUUAUUUUCUAUGCUUAUUCUUUUAAUAUUUGAAUUUUUUAUGCAUGAAGGCUUCUUAGCAACCAGCAUUAUUGGGGUCGAGAAAAUAGAUGGUAAAUUUCAAAAUAUUUCUGUGUUCAUGAAUGGGAUCAAAUAUCUUGAAACAAUAAAGACAAUGACUCCAAUUCUCUAGAAACCUUCUUCUGUUUCUAUGUACGUUGUUUAUUUAUUGGAGCUUAUAUUAUGAAAUUCCGAAAGGUACUCGAUCUAUUUUCAUUGUCCCAUUCACUAUUCUGAACCUUUUUAAGAAACCUUUGCUAUCUGUUGACACAUUUUUUCUCCCAGAGAAGUGUUGUCAACAACCUAAAAUCUGAUAUGAAUAAGUUGCAGGAAGAAAUCAAGGCCCAACCGGUUAGUAUUAUGUUAUAAUUAGGGUACUUAUGAUCAGCUUAAGUUCUUCGUAAAAUAAUUGAAUCUUGUGGGAUUGCAUAUUGCUUAAUUCAUAUCAUAUGGUUAGUCUAGGUGCGUUUGUAGUUUAGAUGCUCCUUCAGUUGAAUCUUCGUAAAAUAAUUUUACAUCUUUUACCAUAUGUGUUGUAGUAUUGAUGCUUCUUCAGUUGCUACUACUUGAAAUGGUAAUAAAUUAAGUUUUGCAAUCCUCAUCCUGUUCAUGAGCAUGAGUCUUGCCUAUGCUAAUCUCGACCUGUAAUAAGUCUUAGUCAUUUUGGCCGUGCAUAUUUUCUAUAAAUAAAAUGUAGAGUUAUUCUACUAGAAAGUCAUAUUAGAGACUUAGCAUUUCAUAAUAAAUAUGACUAAAUUGACAAAAUUUGGAUGCUGGCUUAUGAAUUCCUAUUUGAACAUCGCAGAUUGGAUAUGACCUUUGUCAGUUUGCGGAGCCUAUGUUGUUGAACCAUCUCUUACAGGUUUAUGUUUAUUUUCGUAUUUCCUGGUUAAGGUAUAAUUAAAGAAAUAACCUCUUGUAUCUAUUUGUUUAUUCUUCUAUAGAAGAGAAAUAUUGAUUUCAGAUUCAAUAACCCUAUAGUUCUAUUGAAAGUUCAAAGAAAUGAUACCUUGGAGAGCUGUUGUUGUUGUUGCUUUGAUAAUGUGACAUUUUUCGACUCAUUUCAAUUAUGUGUUGUACUGCUUGAGGCUCAGUACAUGCAGAAUGUUUGGCGUGUUGGUUUUCGUCUAUAGUCUAAUGUUGUAAUAUAGUUCGUUCCUCCUAAAAUAGGCACAAACAAGCACAUAGAGCCUCUUUUGCUUUUCAAGCAUAGCAAAGUUGCUUUAGUUGGAGCUGAGUUAUCCAUUUCAAUUUGGUGACUUAAUUGCAUUUUGUUGUUUGUAUAUGUAAAAUUUGGUGACUUAAUUUCAUGGUCGUGUUGGUGAUGUUUUGGUAACUUUUUGUAUAUGUAAUAUUGUUGUAACUUUUUUAUGCUGUAAAAUUUAACAUAUGGAUUAUGACAUAUAAACUAAUAAUAUUAUGUAACUUUUUAUUAAUGUAUGAAAAUUAUCUUUGAAUGUAAAAUAUAAUUCUCAAGCUAUUUAUUAGUUCUAAUUUUUUACUUUUUAGUUUAGAGGAUAAUUAAAUUAUUUAUUUUGCUGAUGAUAUUCUAGCACAUUAAAUAUGCAUUGCAGUUUAAAAAUAAUAAAGUAAGCUAUAUAUUAUUUUUCUAAUAUUAUAUAUUUUUAUUUUUAUUAAUUCAUAUUUUAAUAAUAAAUUAUAUUAAGAAUAUUAUUAAAUUAUAUAUUUUUAUUUUAUUAAAUUAUAUUUAACAAUAAUUAUAUUAAAAUAUAAUUAAAAUAUUUAUUAUUUUUAUUAUAUUAUAUUUAAUAAUAAUCUUAUUAAAAUUUAAUAACAAUAAUAAUCAUCUAGCUAAAACAAUUCUAUUAAAGGUAUUUUAGUCAUUUCAAUUUUUUUUUAUGUUAUUACAACAUUAUUCCAUCCAACCAAAUACCAAAAUACUAUUAUAAUUUUAUUUUAUUCCAUUCAAUUAAACAAAUAAAUUACAAAUUACAUCUUUAUUCCAACCAAAUGUAGUGUUAGUUAUACUCAAUCUCUGACACUUCAUUGUUCUCACGUCUUUGUAGGGAUAGCACCAACAAAUGGAUAAGUAGCCUCUGCAGAAGUCUUUUCAAUUCCAACCAAUCAUGUUGGAUAUCUUUGAGCUAAUGCAGAGUAUUGUCAUACAAUUUCAGAAGUUGUGCAUCCACGAGGGCCAGUAAACAACGUAGAUAGAGUCGACAUCUUUUAAAAUAAGUUGUGUUUGCUUAAUUUUCCUAUGUUAUAAAAAGACCCUCCAUUUUUAAUAAAUAAGAGAAAAUUGAUGUAUUAAGUUAAAUGUAAAGACAAAAAAUUGUUAAAUGUAGGCAAGGAUCAGUUAAUAUUAUUAUUUUUUAAUAUUACCACAACAAUCUUAUACCAAUAAAAUAUUUUUAAAUAAGAUUAUUACAUUUUUAAUGUGAUUUUUAAAUAUUAAUAACUAAAUAAAACAGUAACUAUAUUAAUAAGUCAAUUUAUAAGACUAUGCUGAAAAAAAAAUUAUUUGAGAAACUAGGAUGAAAUUCUAAAAAUUUAUUGAUCUACACUAUUUUUGAAGAGAGAAAGGAAAAUACAUCCUACACGCAUCCUACAGGGCGCGUUUUCACUGUAAUGUGGCGGUGACGCGUUUUCACUUAGGUAAAAAUUGUUUUUUUCUUUCUUUUUUCUUGCGAUUAGAAAUUAGAAGUUUGUAUAUUUAUUUUUAUCUGUGUUUGAGAUAGACAUGGUUACAGUUUUAAGGAAUAUUUGAAUUUACAGUGAUGUCGUGGAGUUGGGUGACCUACAAAUUUCAUCUGCUAUGUGAGUAUAGAGCCAUCACCCCAGAAGUCAGAUCACGUUGCAACUCAAGGUCCAAGUGGACGUGAUUGUACAGUCUGGGGUUGAAGUGUAACUAGGGCUUCAAGUUUACAAAGGUUACACUGUCAAAGGAUGGAGUAUAAAUAGAGCCCUAGUUGACGGUGGUCAUGCGGGCAUGACAACUAGUUUUUCCUCGUCAGAGGAGGAUGCUUUAUAAAACCUAAACAGAAGUACGAGUAAGAAAAACAUAGUGGCAUUUUAGUAUAAUCAAGUAUUUUAUUUUAUCCAUGUCCUCCAAAUGCAGUGACCCUAUUAUUAUAACCUAUAACAUAAUUGGGAUGUAAUAGGUUUUACUAGCAGGGUUACUACAUUUGCUAGAGAUGGAGAACACAAAUUACUUGAUUAUACUGGGAGACCCAUUGCGUUUUCCUUCCUCGUACUUCUGUUUGGGUUUUAUAAAAAAUGAUCCUCUGAUGAGGAGAAGCUAGUUGUUGUCCCCACACAACCACUAUCAACUAGGGUUCCAUUUCUGCUUCACCCUUGAAGCCCUAGUUACACUUCAACCUGAGAUAGUAUAUUCGCCGCCAACUUGGACCUCAAGUUGCAAAGUGAUCCUGGUUUCUUGCCCGAUGGCACCAGACUCACACUACAAGUGAAAUUUGUAAGUAACCAAGCUCCAUGACAUCACCAUAAACCCAAAUACAACUUAAAACUAUGACUAUGUCUCCCUCAAAACAAGAGAGAAAUAAAUCUUCAAACCCGAAAUUUCGUACACACAAGAAAAAUAAAAAAUAAUUUAGGAUAAUGAAUUAGGGGAUAUGAACGUGCAUUUAUAUAGAGGAUGUGGUGGGUAAAAAGGGAUUUUUUUAUCCCAGGAUUCUCGAAAAAAACUACCUUUUUUACUCACCCCAUGCCUCUACGAAUGAGUGUUUUUUCCCUUACAAAAGAGCUCUAUAAAGAGAACUCAAUACAUGCCUUUGAUUUUCCAUACUGACAUUCGAAGCAAAUUGUUGAUCUAAAGGAUACUUGGCAGUAGGACUAAUCGGAGUUGUCGUGAAAACUUGAAUUUCGUCAUUACACUGUUGUCGAAGCAAAGGUAAUUCAUUAAUUUAUGUGUAGGUUUAGGGUUUGUGGUGAUGAGUACUAUAGUUUUUCCUAUUUUAUCAGUUUUAAACAUAUGGAAUAGGCUAUCUCAUUGAAGAUGAGCAGACAAGUUAUAACAACCCAUUUUCAGUAGUGUCAGAAACAGUGGUUUUGGAACCACAAUUUUAAUGUGUGUGUCCGUAAAUAUUAAUUAUUUAAUAUUUACGAGGUCUUUAGGGUCAACUUAAAUUUUGGUUAGGAAAUUUUAACAUUUAGAUAGUUAAUUAAACAAAAAGAACUAAACUGUGAAAGUUGUAAAAUCUAGCUAUAAUUGAAUUAUAUUGAUUAGAUGGUGUAAAUCACAUAAGUGGAAUGGUUUAAAGGGCAAAUAUACUAUUUCUAAUUAGCAUGCAUAGAUAAGGCUUGAAUUAUGCUAAAAAUGUGUGUUUAAUUGAAGGGCAAACUUAAGUAAAAUAAAACAAAAAUAAUGUAUCAUCAUCCCAAAAUGGUUUUGAUUGAAAUUUAACUGAAGAAAAAGGCAUUGAAGGUUUGAAGGUUUGAUGAUGCGAUUUCCCGAGCUUGGAGGGUUCAGAAAAUAGCUUGAAUGGGAUGGACCAUCUUAAAAGGGUUCAAUUGGUGGAAACCUCAACUCGUAGCACUUGAAUGCUUUAAGGAACAGUAGAUAUGUUAAAACUACGACCCACUUAAACUUGACUAAAUACUCAAAUAGUGGUAUGCAAAGUCGUCACACCCCGAGAUGGUGAACAGUGUGAUAAGAUAAUUGGGUGAACGCCACAAACUCGUAAAAGUUUAAUAAGUUUGAUUUAGUUCAAUUAAGAACUAGGAGAGAAAAUAUUCUCACAAAUAAAAUUGUAUUCAAGAUUAUUGUGUAUGUAACUAAAACAAUGUCCUCUUACAAGUUAUUUAUAGGCCCUAAUACAAUUAUUCAAAUACCUCUAAAAGACCUUUCAACUUCGGCAUUUAACUAGUGUUAAUACAAACAUUUAAAUUCAUUUUAAAUCAUGUUGGGUAUCCAAAAAGUCAUGUCUUUUCACUUGAUUUUUGUAUAGUUGAAAAGGCAUGUCUCUUCACUUUGUUGAUGACUUAAUGUUCCGUUAAUGAGCUGUUUGGUGUCCAGUCACUUUCCUUAUGGUUGAAAGUUAUGUUUUUUGGCAUUCUUUUCUUGUAAUGGCACCAUAAUGAACUUUAAGUGUUUGAAACAGAUAAAAUUUGAAGAGUCACUCUUGGUCCAUUCGAUCAGUCACAAUACAUCACAUUGAAAGCUGAUUCUUGAUUGAAUUUUGUGCAUUUAUUCACCUUCAACAUUGUAAUGGGGUUUAUGCAAGUGUACAUAAUCAUUCAAGUAAUAAGUAAGUAAAAUGAGUUAUCGUCUCCACAAAGACUGUAUAAGCUUAACCAAAUAUUUUUAAAAUUAUAACUUCACAAUUUGAUGUAAAAAUUCAAUAAUUUGAAUGGUGAUGAUUAAACUAAGUAAAUUAAUUAGAUGCAAAGAUUGAUCCCUAUGCAAUUCUAAUCUAGAUGCAAUUUACCUAAAUGAAUGAAUGAAUGGCUUUAGCAACAAAAACAGUCAACAUUAAAUGGGCUAGGAUAAUUAUAUUAAUCAACUCAAUUUACUUUAUCAUGCUUAACAAUGUCCGAAAAUACUUCCACAACAACUCGAUCUUUCAUGAGUUUGGAAACAAAAUUAAGUCAUUUUGGAGUCAUUUACUUAGGUAACUAUGCAUUUUACUAAUCAUAUUAACUAAGGGUUUCAUAGAAUUUAUGUAAGGUCACAAGGAAAUUUAUGUUUGGAAUAGUUUAAUUACAUAAACCUAAAAUCUAUGCAAGGCAAUAGAGCUAACUAAAGAUAUUACAAACCUCAACUUAGUUGAGUUUAAGGAUCUAAAUUGCGUUGCACUUUUCAAUUAUGUGUCUACUAGUCGUCGUCUGGUUAGGAUCGCUCAGCUAAUUUGUAACAACCCGAAUUAGGGCCUAAUUGGAAUAGUGGUUUUGUGACCACAAAUCCGAGAUAGAAAUAAUUGUUUUAUAAUUAUUUUGGGGUUUAUGAUAUGAUUUCAUGAUUUCGUGAAAAUUUCGUGAUGAAAUUCUGUGCAUUUCGUGCUUAAGUUGAGAUUAGGGACUAAAUCGAAUAAAUUGUAAAACUCGUGUUUUAGAAGUUUUUAGUAUGAAAUUGCUUUGAGAUAUUAACUAGGAGGUCUUAAAUAGCAAUUUGACCCAUUCUUAAGUUAUGGACAAAAGUUGGACAUGGAGGGAAUUUUUUUGAAAGUUUAGUAGUAAGGGCAUUUUGGUCAUUUGUAUAUUAAAUGAAAUAAAAUGGGAAAAAUAACACAAAAUUGGUUAUCAUCUUCAUUAGUUGCUGCCGAAAAUUGCUCUCCUCCAUAGCUAGGGUUUCUUUAACUUUCAAGCUUCAUAGUAAGUGAUUUCAAGCCCCGUUUUUAAUGUUAUUCACAUUUUUGAAAUCCUCGUAGCUCGGUUUACUUAUUUCUACCAUUAGUUCGAGUUAGGGUUUAUGUUUAAAAAUUUACCCAUGAAUGAUAGGCAUGUAUUUUGUUGUUUGAUGGUAGAAUAUGAAUGUUUGAAGUUAGGAGAACGAUCUUUUCUAAGCGAUUUUUAACGAAAACGAGCAAAACGGCAUAAUCGAUAAAAAUACCUAUUGUUCAUAACUAUGUGUUAGAGUGAGAAUUUGAUGUUGCCAUAGAAGAGAAAAAUGAUCAGUAGGUCAUUUAGAGGUUCGGGUACUGUUUCCUCAUAGCUUCCUCGAGUUCCCACAUAGCCUCUUCUAUCCCAUGUAUGUGCCACAAUACUUUCACUAAGGCUAUACUUUUAUUUCUUAACUGUUUAAUUUCUUAAGCCAAAAUCUUUAUUGGUUCCUCCUCAUAGGUCAUAUCCGGUCGAAUCUUAAUUUCUGUUGGAGAAAUCACAUGUGAAGGAUCAGAACGAUAACGUCGCAACAUUGAUACAUGAAACACGUUAUGAAUUCCUUCUAACUCUACCGGUAAGGCCAACCGAUAUGCCACUGGUCCAAUCCUCUCAGUAAUCUCGUACGGCCCAAUAAAACGCGGACUCAACUUGCCUUUUCGGCUAAAUCUCAGAAUCUUUUUCCAUGGUGACACCUUCAAGAACACUUUAUCACCCACCUGAAAUUCAAUCUCUUUUCUUUUUAAAUCUGCAUAUGACUUUUGUCGAUCUGAAGCAACUUUCAAGCAAUCCCGAAUUACUUUUAUUUUCUCUUCGGUUUCUUUAACUAGAUCAACUCCAUGAAUCUAUUUCUCACUAAGUUCGGUCUAAUAUAAAGGAGUUCGACACUUACGACCAUACAAGGCUUCGUACGGUGCCAUUUGUAUACUUGACUGAUAACUGUUAUUGUAGGCAAAUUCAAUCAAAGAUAGAUAUUUCUCCCAACUACCUCCAAAUUCUAAGACACAGCAUCUAAGCAUAUCCUCGAGUACCUGGAUUACUCUUUCCGACUGACCAUCUAUUUGUGGAUGAAACGCGGUACUAAAGUUCAAUUUUGUACCCAAAGCUUCUUGUAACUUUUUCCAAAAUCUCGAGAUAAAUCUCGGAUCUCUAUCUGAUAUUAUAGACAUAGGUACUCCGUGCAACCUCACAAUUUCAGCAAUAUAUAAUUCAGCUAAUUUAUCAAGUGAGUAAUCGGUACGUACUGGUAUAAAGUGGGCUGACUUUGUUAAUCUAUCAACCACUACCCAGAUAGUAUCCUUCUUUUUAGUAGUUAAAGGCAAACCGGUUACAAAAUCCAUGGUAAUCUUGUCCCAUUUCCACUCAGGCACCAUUACCGGUUGAAGUAAUCCUGAAGGCACUUGAUGUUCAGCUUUUACUUGUUGAUAGAUCAAACACUUGGUUGCAAAUUCAGAAAUGUCCCUUUUCAUACUUGGCCACCAAUACAACUUCUUUAAAUCAUUAUACAUUUUUGUGCUACCAGGGUGAACUAAUAAACAGCCACUAUGCGCCUCUUGUAAUAUUUUCUGAAUCAAUUUAUCAUUUUUCGGUACACAUAUCCUGUCUCGAAACAUCAAACAGCCAUCUGGUCCAACUCGAAAAUCUCAGUCGUAACAUAAUUCGCAUUGAGUUCUCUUGGUUCGCAACUCACUAUCGUUCUUUUGAGCAUCACAAAUCAACUGGAGAAAUAACGGUUUAGCCCUCAUCUCUGCUAAGAUUGACCCAUCAUCAGACAACGCUAACCCCGUAUUCAUGGCUCUCAAAGUAAAAAGAAAUUUCCUGCUCAAGGCGUCAGCAACUACAUUUGCUUUUCUCGGAUGAUAAUCAAUCACUAGAUCAUAAUCCUUUAAUAAUUCAAGCCAUCUCCUCUGUCACAGAUUCAAAUCCUUUUGAUUCAUCAAAUACUUCAAACUUUUGUGAUCAGUAAAAAUUCGGCAUUUUUCACCAUACAAAUAAUGUCGCCAAAUCUUCAAGGCAAAGACAAUAGCGGCCAAUUCCAAAUCAUGUGUAGGAUAGUUCUUCUCAUGCGGUUUUAACUGUCUCGAAGCAUAAGCUACCACUUUACCCUCUUGCAUCAACACAUAUCCAAGGGCUGUCAAUGAUGCAUCACUAUAAAUUACGAACUCCUUUCCUGGCUCGGGCUGUACCAAAAUUGGUGCUUCAGUCAAUCGUGCUUUCAACUUUUCAAAACUCUGCUGACAUUUAUCAGUCCAUUCAAACUUAACAUUCUUUUGCAACAACUUAGUCAUAGGAGAGGCAAUCAUCGAAAAUCCCUCAACAAAACGUCUAUAAUACUCGGCUAAGCCUAAAAAGCUUCUAACCUCGGAUACAUUCUUUGGCGGUUUCCAAUCAACGAUCGUAGAAAUCUUGCUUGGAUCCACCCAAAUACCAUCACCUGAGACUAUAUGUGACAGCCCUAAAUUGACCCUAGUCGAAAAGUGGUUUCGGGACCACGAAACCGAGUCCUAUAAGAAAUUAAAAGUUAUAUUCCGUGUUUAUAAUGUGAGUAAAUGCAUGUGUGAAAGUUUCAUGCAUUAAUUUGAUCAUUUUUAUGUGAAUUUAUUAAAAUGGACUUAUAUGAAACAUUGUUGGAAAGUGUUAGGUUAAUCUUACAAUGGUCUAUUAGUACAUGCAUUCAAAAGGGUGGACUUGCAUGUCAAUUUCUCCACUUUGAUAGUAGUGGCCGGCCAUGACAAUGAGGAUAGACAAAAUGUGAUGGGUAAAACAUAUUAUAAGCAUUUUGUGAUAACAUGUUAUGUUAAGAACAAUAAAAUAUGAGGGGAGUGGGAGGAGAAACCAAAGUUGUUUCAUCCUUGCUCCCCCAUUUUGCCGUAACUAGAUGAAAAAAAAAGAAGUUGUAUUCUUUGGCUCUUCUUGGCCGAAAAGAAAAGAGGAAGAAGGGAGGAAAGCAUUCGGUCAUCUUAGGUUAAUAUUAAGCUCAAGAGCCUAGAGGAUCAAAGUUGGAUAAGGGAAAGGAAAAAGUGAUCGAAGAGCCGUCGUAAUCGUUCGGCAACUUCCGAGGUAAGUUUUAAGUGAUUAAACGUUGAGUAAAUUCAAUCAUAAUAGGACAUAAUGAGUUGAUUUAAUAAGGUAUGAUGUGGCCAUGAUAUGUCUUAAACUCAAAUGGUAAGUUCAUAAGUGUUUGGACUUGGAAAUUUAAGAGCAAAUUGUAAUAAUUUGCUUAGGACAGCAGCAGUAACGUGAUUUUAGAAAAUCACUAUAAAUUGUUGGUGUGGAAUUAUAGGCUGAAUAAAAUAUGUAAUCAAAGCUUAAUUAGUCUAGUUUCUUAUAAAAGAGACCGUGUAAGCAAAGAAAUUUCCUAUAAAUAGAUAUUUAAAGUUGUGUGAGACAGUGUCAGAAUGACUCCGAAAUCCCCUGUUCUGUUUUUAGAAAAUCAUUAUAAUUUGUAGAAAAAUGGUUAUAAGAUAAAAUUUAUAUGCUUAGACUCCUUAAUGAGUCUAGUUUCAAAUUAAAACAAAUAUAACAUAUUUUUAAUUCUGUACAAUGAUAAAUUUGAUUCGUAGUGAAGAGUGGUCAGAUUAGUCAAACAGUGAAACAGGGGAAACUUUAAUAAAAAUCUGGUAUUGAUUGGCCAAACCUAAAAUUAUGAAAAUUUUAUGUAUGGAAGAUAUAUGAGUCUAUAUUCAAGGAAAAUUGACGGAAAUUUAUUUUGAUUUUUGUAACUCCAGUUAUAAAUGAUUUUGUGACUAUUGCUCAGGAAAACAGCUUGUAGUGAAUAUGUGAAUUUGUUGAAAACAUUGAUGAAACUAUUUGAGUUGCUUAUAAGCUAUUGCUGAAAUUGAUGCACAAGAUAAAUAUAUGUAUAUGUGGUAAAGCCUAAUGGCUAAUGUGAAAUAUGUAUGAGAUAUGUAUAUGUGGUAAAGCCGAAUGGCUAAUGUGAAAUAUGUAUGAGAUAUGUAUAUGUGGUAAGUAAAGCCGAAUGGCUAAUGUGAAAUAUGUAUGGGAUAUGUAUAUGUGGUAAAGCCGAAUGGCUAAUGUGAAAUAUGUAUGGGAUAUGUAUAUGUGGUAAAGCCGAAUGGCUAAUGUGAAAUAUGUAUGAGAUAUGUAUAUGUGGUAAAGCCGAAUGGCUAAUGUGAAAUAUAUAUAUGAGAUAUGUAUAUGUGGUAAAGCCGCAUGGCUAGUGUGAAAUAUGUAUGAGAUACGUAUAUGUGGUAAAGCCGAAGGGCUAGUGUGAAAUAUGUAGGAGAUGUGUGUAUAUUGUGGCCGAAUGACCAAAUGUGAAAGGUGUGUAUUAUUAGAUAUUUGAUGAGGCAAAUGAAUUAAAAAUAUGACAGUUGAUGUGAAUGUUGUAACAUGUGAUUAAAUGUACAUGAAACUUGGAAAUAUAUUUCGGGUAAGACCCGAUGACUACGUAUGGAGAUUAUGUCCGGGUAAGACCCGAUGACUACGUGUGGAAAUAUAUUCCGAGUAAGACCCGAUGACUACGUGUGGAGAUUUUGUCCGGGUAAGACCCGAUAACUUCGUGUGGAGAUUUCAUCUGAGCUAAAGGUCUCGCCGAUAAUCUGAGUAGAGGUUAAAGCUAUAAGACUUCGUAAUAAGAAUUGCUUAUAAAUAUAUUCAAUGCGAAAGGUUAAACAGGUAUGUACUCCAAGUUUAUAUGUGAGCUUGAUUUGAACUAAAUCAUAAGGUAGUUAUGUGAUGCAUACGUGAGCAAUCUAUGAAACUAUUCCUAUGAUUAUGUGACAUCGGAUUAGUGUGAGAGGUUAUGUGAAAUUAUGCAAUAUAUCUAUGUCACAUGAGCUCACUUUUAUGUGAAAAUUUAUCUACCUAUUGUAUAUGCUGAGAUGUGCAUAUUCGGUAAAGGGAUGGUAUGCCCGAAGGAAGAGUGAAAUAAAAAUACGAACAACUAUGUUAUAAUUUGAUUGUUAUCUGUUGACACUGCUUAAAACUUACUAAGCAUUGUAAUGCUUACUCCGUUUACUUUGUUUUUUUUUUCUGUUUUAUAGAUCUCAUUUCGAAGCUACAGGCUCGGGGAUCGUUAGCAACUAGUCACACUAUCACUAUCCACUGCUUGUUACUAUUAUGUUUUGAAUUAUUUUAUGGCAUGUAUAGAAUAGACCAGUGGCCGAAGAAUAUUUUGGUUAAUGUAUAUAAGUCAUGCGAAAAUGGCAUCUUUUGAAUGUGUACUUAUAGAAGUUUAAAUUGUAUCCCUGACUGUCUUUAGUACUUAUCUAAAGGAAUGUUCAAAAAAAAAAAUUUACUGUUCUGAUAUGAGUUUCAAGUCCGGUAAUGCCCCUUUACCUAUUCCGGCGACGGAUACGGGAUUGGGGUGUUACAUUUUAUUGGUAUCAGAGCUACGGUUUAGUCGAUUCUAGGACUAACGUAGCACGCGUGAGUCUAUUUAUACAUGCCAUAAAGUGAUAAAGUGAUAGUGUGAUGAUUUUUGACUAUUAAAAUGUGUUUGUUGUAUUGUAAUGAAUCAUGAUCCCGAUCGAGCUGUAGCAAGCUUCUGACUAUGAGAAUUUGCGAUAUAACUUCACUUGGAUACGCUUAAAUUAUUAAGUUGAUCAGGUACGCGUCAUGUACUCGUAUUUGAAUUUUGAUUUGGAUUGAAUUAUAAGGGUAUAAGUGAUGCAAUUUUGAAAGAGUGUUAUGACUAUAAAUGUGAUCUUUGUAUGUGGCUAUGGAACUGAAAGUUGAAUGGUCGAUAAGCAUGUUGUGUUUGUAUUCAAGUAAUGUAAAGGAUAUACUAAUGUGUAUUAUUAUUAUAUAUAUAAGUACAUGAGAAUUGAGAGUUAGAUGCCCGGGCUAAGUCCCGAAGAGCAUUCGAGCUGGUGUUAUAUCCGGGCUAGGUCCCGAAGAGCAUUCGAGCUGGUGUUAUAUCCGGGCUAAGUCUCGAAGAGCAUUCGUGCUAGUGAUAUAUCCGGGCUAAGUCCCGAAGAGCAUUCGUGCUGGUGUUAUAUCCAGGCUAGGUCCCGAAGAGCAUUCGUGCUGGUGUUAUAUCCGAGCUAGGUCCUGAAGAGCAUUCGAGCUGGUGUUAUAUCCGGGCUAGGUCCCGAAGAGCAUUCGAGCUGGUGUUAUAUCCGGGCUAUCGGUACUGAUUCAAACUUUAGUUGAGGCAACUCAGUAUUCAUUACAUAAGCCAGAUAAGCUUCACACCCUUUCCUCAUGUAUUUCUUUGCAGACAUGUGUGAAAUCACCAUAGGCAAUUUAUUUGAUUCAUCUGUUUCAACCCACAGAAUUUCUCCAUUUUCACAUUUCAACUCUACUGUUUUUUUGUUUACAAUCUACCUUGGCAUCAUACAAUGUCAACCAGUCCAUUCCCAAGAUAACGUCAAACUCAUCAAAUGGUAACAACAUCAAAUUAGCCGGAAAAUAGUGACCUUGAAUCAUUAAUGGGCAAUUCUUGCAAACCUUGUCAACUAGCACAUAUUGGCCUAAGGGGUUCGACACUUUAAUCAUAAACUCAGUAAACUCAACAGGCAACUUUUUAUUAGAUACUAAAUUCAUGCAAAUAUAGGAAUGAGUGGACCCGGGAUCAAUCAAUGCAAUAACAAUAGUAUCAUAAAGAGAAAUUAUACCAGUAAUGACAUCGGGAGAUGAUGCAUCUUCUCGGGCACGUAUAGCAUAAGCUCUAGCAGGUGCUCUAGCUUCUGAUCUUGCCGUUGAAUCUUUCAUCGCAGUUUUACUGCUAGUCCCACCUCCAGUAUUUCCCGGUGGUCUACCUCUACUAGCGGUGGUAUUCUUUCUAGCACUUUGAAAUCUUUCUUCUUUAACUUUCUCCGGACAGUCUCUAAUAAAAUGGUCGCGAGAUCCGCACCUUAAACAAGCUCGCUCGGUUCCCCAACACUCACCAUAAUGUUGCCUUCCACAUUGCUGACACUCGGGCUUUCUAGGUCGCACAUUACCCACACUUGCCACCGAAGUAGCUUGAGCUUUAGACCCCGAAUAUGCUCUACCACGAUCUCUGUGUGAAUCCCCAGUUGAAACCGUCAUUCGAGGGUUUGUCUCUUUGGACCUCUUUGAUUGAGAUUGAAAUGGCUUGCUUAUCGGCCUUUUUCUGGCAUCUCGAGCCUCAAUAGCAGCUUUUCUUCUUUCUUUGUUCAAUUCUUCGGCUUUAAGAGCUCGAUCAACCAAUACUACAAAUUCUUUCAACUCCAAAAUUCCUACAAGCAAUUUAAUGUCCUCAUUUAGCCCAUCUUCAAACCUUCUGCACAUAAUGGCCUCAGUGGACACACAUUCCUGGGCAUACUUGCUGAGUCUCACAAAUUCGAGUUCAUACUCUGCCACAAACAUCUUGCCUUACUUCAAUUCAAGGAACUCCUUCCGUUUUUGAUCAAUAAAUCGCAGACUUAUGUAUUUCUUUCUAAAUUCUUCCUGGAAGAAAUCCCAAGUAACUCUUUCUUUUGGCACCACUGCUACCAAAGUCUUCCACCAGUGGUAGGCCGAAUCUCUCAAAAGUGAUACAGCACACUUUAAGCACUCCUCGGGUGUACAUGAGAGCUCAUCAAAUACACGGGUAGAAUUUUCAAGCCAGAAUUCCGCUUUCUCAGGAUCAUCAUCGAUCUUUGCUCUAAACUCUUCGGCCCCUUGUUUUCGAAUCUUGUCAACUGGAGGCUUGUUCAUCCUUACCAAAUCUAUGCCUUGAGCAGCUACAGGAAUCGUCUGAGGUAUAGGAGGGGGUGGAGGAGGUUGAGCAUUUGGAUUUGCUCGAAUAAAUUCAGUAUACCAAUUGUUCAUCAUUUGGAGAAAGGCAUCCCGAGCCUCAUCUCCCUGUCUAAAUGCCUCAGGUCUACUUUCCACAGGUGCGGUCCCUUGUACGGGAGCCGGCGCAUUACUAGCAUCAUCAUCAGCCGCAGUUCCUUCAGGAUCCAUUACUAUAUUAAAACAAAACACAGUUUAGAAUAAUCAGGAGUCACCACACUAUCACAAUAUUUUUAUGGCAUGUAUAACUAGACUUUUACACACACUUUAUUAGUCCGAGAACCGACUAAACCAUAGGUCUGAUACCACUAAAUGUAACACCCCUUACCCGUAUCCGUCGCCGGAACAGGGCAUGAGGUAUUAACAAAUUAUAGUAUAUACUAUAAAAUAAAACCCAACAAAAAUAUGGCGUGCAAUUUGAUCAUGGAUCAUUAUAACAUAUGCCAUUAACAAUACAAACCAACUUCAAAGGCUUCGUACAAAAUGAUUAGUUUGAUACUAUAAGUAGUAAUUUGAACCUAGAAAAUUAUGACACGUAACAAAAUAACUAAGUCUGCUAUACGUGCCAUAUUUCAAAAUGUUGAGUUCAGAUACCAAGAGUAUUGAUAGUGCGGGCGGAUCUUCUACGAUCUCUGACUCCUGUGCUAGCUGGAUGACACUAUAAGACAAAGGAGAGAAAAGAAAGUAAGCUUAUAGCUUAGUAAGUAAGUAUAUAAAUAACAAAUAAGGAAUCUAAUAUGUUUACAACAUAACUCAAUUAUAUCAUAUUUUUAAUUUUACUGUUUACUCCAAUUUGAUCAAGCUGUCUCGCCUGUGUCAUGAUCACUAAAUAAAUCAUAAAUCGAGUUACGGAACUCAAAAUUCAAAUCCGUAAAAUUUCCCUGAAUCUAGACUCAUAAAAAUUCUUACUAAUUUUUUUCUAGAAUUUUUGGUUCAUCCAAUUAGUACAGUUUAUUAGUUAAAGUUUCCCAUGUUACACAGCUCAACUGAUCUGACCUCUGUUCAUUACGAAUUGAAUUUCUCUCAGUAAACAAUUCAAACAACCAUGAAACCUAAAACUAGACUCAAUAAGUAAUUUAUGUAUAUAAACUAUAUUUCUUAAUUUGUUUUGUACAAUUUUUAAUGAUUUUUCAAAGUUGAAACAGGGGAUCACAUAGUCAUCCUGAGCAAGUCUCACACAAUUGUAAAUAUCUCAAAAUAUAGAAUUCCUUUGCUUUCUCUGUUUCUUUUAUAUGAAAAUAGACUCAUUAAGCUUUAAUUUAAAAUCUCAUUUAACCUCUAAUUAAAUUCCUUCUAUUUUUGGUGAAUUUUCAAAAUCACGUCACUGCUACUGUCCAAAACAGUUUUAAUGCUAAUUUCACUCUUUCACACAUUCUUUAUACUAACCUCAUUUUAACUUACAUAUAUAUAUACCACAAAUCAUUUUCACCAUAUUUCAUACAUCACAAGUGUAGGUCCAUGACUACAAUGUCACCACAAAACCAUCCCGUUGAACAAUUCGGAUUAAUCCUCGAUACUUGAUGGUUUCAGCACACAACCCCACCAUCAUAUUUCAUUUAAUUCGGCUCUCUUGUACACAUGGUGAACACUUAGUACCACUCAUGCGACCUAGCCGAUUUAUCUCGUAGCUCUCUUGUCUACAUGGUGUCCUUCACUUGGAAUCACGCAUGCGACCUAGCUAUAUUUAUCUCUCACGUAGCUCUCUUGUCUACAUGGGAUACAUCCCGUAUCACACAUGUGACCUAGCUACUAUAUAGUAUCUCGUAGCCUUCUUGUACACAUGAUGUGCACUCGGCACCAUACAUGUGACCUAGCUACGCUCCCCCUAUUUUAUUCGAUUUUUCCGAAUGUUCAACCGGGAUCUCUCUCUCUAUUAUUUAUUUCCAUUCUUCCAAUAGUCGAUUUAUACUUCAACAUCAGCUAAUAUAUAUAUAAUAGGCUGAAAUAUAAAAAUGUAAAUGAAAUUAAUGUAUUAUUUACAUACAAACUUACCUCGGUGCAAAAUAUGGGAAUUUUGCAAUUUAGUCCAAAACUUUCUCCUUCCCCCAUUCGAGGUCGAUUCCACGCCUUUCUUGAUCUAUAACAACAUAUUUAGCUCAUUAAACACUCAAACUAUUUAUUUUAAUCCAAAAAUCACAUUAUACAAAAAUUACAUUUUUGCCCCCUAACUUUUACAAAUUUACAACUUUUCCCCAAGGCUCGAAAAUUUAAUUUUAGCCCUUAUUCUUAUGUUUAAUGACCUACUGAUCAUUUUUCUCUUCUAUGGCAACAUCAAAUUCUCACUCUAACACAUAGUUAUGAACAAUAGGUAUUUUUAUCGAUUAUGCCGUUUUGCUCGUUUUCGUUAAAAAUCGCUUAGAAAAGAUCGUUCUCCUAACUUCAAACAUUCAUAUUCUACCAUCAAACAACAAAAUACAUGCCUAUCAUUCAUGGGUAAAUUUUUAAACCAAACCCUAACUCAAACUAAUGGUAGAAAUAAGUAAACCGAGCUACGAGGAUUUCAAAAAUGUGAAGAACAUUAAAAACGGGGCUUGAAAUCACUUACUAUGAAGCUUGAAAGUUGAAGAAACCCUAGCUAUGGAGGAGAACAAUUUUCGGCAGCAACUAAUGAAGAUGAUAACCAAUUUUGUGUUAUUUUUCCCAUUUUAUUUCAUUUAAUAUACAAAUGACCAAAAUGCCCUUACUACUAAACUUUCAAAAAAAUUCCUUCCAUGUCCAACUUUUGUCCAUAACUUAAGAAUGCGUCAAAUUGCUAUUUAAUACCUCCUAGUUAAUAUCCCAAAGCAAUUUCAUACUAAAAACUUCUAAAACACGAGUUUUACAAUUUAUUCGAUUUAGUCCCUAAUCUCAACUUAAGCGCGAAAUGCAAAGAAUUUCAUCAUGAAAUUUUCACGAAAUCAUGAAAUCAUAUCAUAAACCCCAAAAUAAUUAUAAAACAAUUAUUUCUAUCUCAGAUUUGUGGUCACGAAACUACUAUUCUGAUUAGGCCCUAAUUUGGGUUGUUAGAUAAUCUGAGUGCACCCAAUCACUUAUGAAUGAAAUGCAUCAUCAUAUUAAUUGAAAACAUGAUUGAUUGAGGCCUAAACAUGUUCAACAUGAAUAAAAUAGAUCUUAUUGAAUUAACAUAACCAUCCUAGCAAAUAAGAUUUAAAAUAUCAUUGUUGAUGUCAAAAACAAUAAACUCAAGUCAAAUAUGAUUAAAAUAAAUAACAAGAGGAAAGAGUAAACUCUAUUCAAUUUAGCAGCCUUUCAGAUCUAUUCUGACUAAUGCGCUCCUCCAUUUUGCCCGAUGUUUCUUUUGCUAAGGAGUUCCUAAGGUGGCCGACCAAAGAAUGCUUUUGACAAAGCUUUUGUGGCUAAAGGAUGGAAAGAAGAUAAGCUACUAUUGUAACACCUCUUACCCGUAUUCAACGCCGGAAUAGGGUUAUAAAGUAUUAUCAGACUUACAACUUAAACAACCAUCCAAUUCGAAUCGAAAAUCAUCAACCAAAUUUAAUUCCAAUCAAAUACAAUCACAUUGUCUAUAUUACGAGCCUACGAGGGCCUAAACAUACUUUGAGGUGUGGUUCGGGACUAAACCAAUAGCUUAAGAAAUUUUUACUAAACUUAGAAAAUUUUCCAAACUGUAGGGGUCACAUGCCCGUGUGCCCCGGCCGUGUCUCUCAUAUGGCCAAGAGACACACCUGUGUCUCAAUCCGUGUGGACAUUCGAAAUGGGAUCACAUGGCCAUGUCCCAGCCCGUGUCCGACCCUGUGUAACUCUCUAGUUUACACGGCCAGACCACAUGCCUAUAUGUCUAGUCCGUGUACUACUCGAAAUGGCCACACAUGCCCGUGUGCCAGGCUGUGUGCUAGGCCAUGCAAAAACUGGAAGGUAUACUGACUUGUGCCACACGGCCAUUCAUACGCCCGUGUGUUAGGCCAUGUGGAGCAUACUAACUUGGUUUCUAAAUCCACACCAGGGGCCACAUGGCCAUGCCACAUAAUCGUGUGUCACACACAGUUGAGACACACGCCCGUGUCUCUGUUCGUGUGGGUAAAAAUAGGCUAUUUACCAAGCCAAUUUGCCACCCAAAUUUACAUGUACCUACACAACCCAAAGGGUACAAAUUCAUAGCAUAAAUGAACAUCUAACUUAACCAAAAUUAAGGCUAAAUCAUACCAUUUCCAAACUAGCAAUCAACAUGCUUAUAAACAUAUGUUUUACUCAUUCAACACAUACCAAAAACCCAUAUACAAAUCAACUAACUAACCUUUCCCAAACAUACAUCAUUUUGCACCAAUUCACAAGCACAAUUCAUAUAUGAUAUUAACCAUUUAACAACCAUAUUACCUAUCACAAGCAAUUAUGAACUCAUCAAUAAAGUGUAUUAACACAUGUAUAUAUAUACAUCACCAUCUUAGACAAAAUAAGCCAACUCUCAUGGCUAAAAACAAAACCAAACUUAAUAUCUACAAGCCAACACAAAUGGUCAAAAUACAUAUACCAAAAAGACCAAGUCUCUAUACAUGCCAUAUACUUAAAACACCAAAGUUCAUAGGUACGAAGUGAUAGGUGGAUAGUGUUAAGCGAUCUCCGACGAUCCCCAAAUCUGAGCUAUCUUGAUAACACUAUAAAACACGGGAAAAUAAACAAAGUAAGCUAUAAAGCUUAGUAAGCUCGUAUACCAUAAACUUAAUUCAAUCUCAAGAUUAUAAAUAAAAAAUUUGAAUAUAGUAACAUUUAGCAUAUAUUAGCUAACAAACCUUUCAUAUACACAAUUAUGAUAUUAAUCAUAUUCUUUACAAGUUUCUUCACACCAAAGCUUAUAUAUGUAAUGUACGUACCUGUACCAUCUCAUAUCAUUAUCAUACUCAAUCACGCCUUCCGUUUACCCGAUGAACCAUUUGGAAUAGAAGUUGGAUACUCAAUAGUCUCGCACACUAGGUAACUAUAUCAUGGCACGAAGCCAAAUUAAUGUAGCUUAUAUUCGAUAUACAGGUAUCAUGGCCCGAAGGCAAAUUAGUAUAACUCGCACCCGAAGUGCUAGUAUCAUGGCCCGAAGCCAACUCGAUGUAUCCUCUAAUGGCAUGUCACUAGUAUCCUAAACUAUUCCUAAGGUUCAACCGGGAUUUCGAAUGUCGAAUCAUCGUCAAAUCACUAUCGAUCAUAUUCAUAGUCUCAUAUUCACAAUUUAUGCAAUAUCAAAGCAUAUAAAUACAUUUCUAUCAAAGCUUAUAAUAUACGAACUUACCUUGGACGUAAAAAUGAUGAAAUAGACCGAUUAAUCUGAAACUUUAUUUUUCCCUCGAUCUAGAUCCAAACUUCAUUUUUAUUGACUAAAUAUAAUCAAAAUUAACUUAUUUAAUCAUCUUUCAAUUCAAUUUAAUCCAAAAUUCAUAUUUAAGUAAAUUUACACUUUUACCCCUAGAAUUUCACAACUUUUACAAUUUAGUCCCUAGGCUCGUAAAAAAAUUUAUUCAAUUUCAUCACAACCCAAGCCUAGCCGAAUUACUAUUAUAUUGCUAGCAGCCCAUAUUUUUCAUCUAUUUCACAUUUUAACCACAAAGUUUCCACAUUUCACAAAUUAAUCCCUAAUUUGCAUUAUUACUAAAAAUCACUAAACAAAACUUGUUUAACUAUCAACGAACAUUCAAAAUCUAUCAUCAAUCGACAAAAAUCAUACAUAUUCAUUAAUGAAAAAAUCCUAAACCUUUAAUAUUUUUUGAAAAAUAGUCCCUGGGCUAGCUAGACCUAGUUGCAACAAUCUCAAAAACGUAGAAAUCAUUAAAAAUGGGACAAAAACAGAGUUACAAUUAAACAAUGAAAUGGCCAAAUGCUUGAACACCAAAAAUGGCUUCCCUUAGCCCUAGUUUUCAGUUUCAGGAAGAUGAAUGAAAGAAUAAUUUCAUUUUUUUAUUUAAUUAUACAUUAAUUACUAAAUACAAAUUUUAACCUUAAAAACAUUUAAGAACUACACCAAAUACCUCUCCACUUACAUCCACUACCUCACAAAUAGGUUAAUAACCACAUAAGAACCUUUACUUUAAUAUUCUAUAGCUAUUAGACACAUAUAACUAAUAGCACGCAAGUUUUAAACUUUAUGCGAUUUAGUCCUUUUUAUCAAAUUAAACAUUCAAACAUUAAAAUUUUUGAACAAAACUUUCACACAAUUAUACUAUCAUGCUAUAAACAUUAAAAUAAUAAUAAAAUAAUUAUUUUGACCUCAAAUUUGUGGUUUCAAAACCAUUGUUCUGAUUUGACUAAAAAUUGACUAUUACAGCUAUGCAAAAGAAGGAAAAGGGAAAUAAAAUAAGGAGAAAUUACUAAUAUGAGAAGAGAAAUGAGUUGUGAGGGAUGAAAGAUUAAGGGAUUGGUGCAUGGUAUUUAUAGGUGAAGGUAAGGGGUAGAGUUAGCUAAAAAUAUAUUCAAAAUUCCUUCAUUUUCUACCACACAUGGUCGGCCAUAUUUCAAGGAGAAGGGGAUAACUAAGUCUCCUCAAUUUGAAUUCAAACCAAGGUUAUUAAUAGCCAUAAGGUGGAUGAUUUCAACAGCAAGUUGUUGGGCUAGUUUCUGAUUAUUUUCCAACUAUAAGGACCUUCAAUUAAAUACCCCAAAGCUUACUUUUGGGUAGCCAUCUACUUGUGCCAAAACUGGGCUUUAGUUCCCCCUUAUUAGGCGGUUUCUCAGUCCAAUAAUUUAACAUCCAUGUCUAUCUUUUAGCACCUCUUUUAAUGGGUCAAAUUAUCAACCCCAUGACCCAAAUUGCAUGGUCUUGCCAUCCACAUAAAUUAAUUUGUGCAUGUCCAUGUUUCAUUUACAUUAAUCACAUCUUAAAUGGUCCUCCUACAUAGUAAAAAAAAUCACAUAUUAAUAAAUUAACAUGAAAUAAUAUAAAAUAUGUACAAAAAUCAUGUAAUUAAGUAUAAUUUCACAUACUUUAUAAAUUCAUGCCCAAUAUUACUAAUUAAGUAAAAUUCACUUAUUUUAAUAAUAAUUACUCAAGAUUGACAUAUUUAUUAAGUAAAAAGAUGGUAAAAUAUAUAGAAAUACCCUAUAUAAUUUCAAGUUUACACACCCCCCAAACUUAAACCAUUGCUCGUCCCGAGUAAUGUUCAUACACAAUACAACUUUUGCUAAGGCAAUUUUGCAAAAUGAUCACACAUCAACAAAAUCAUGCUCAAAAAUUCUUUUUAUCAAUAAGUAGCUCGAAUGCAAAUAUUAUUUCCAAACUUUAUACUAAAUACAUCAUAAUGUGAACAUGAAUCAUAGUAUGCAUGCAUUUUCAUAGUUAUACAUAAAAUUCACAAAUUAAUAAGGUUUCCUUAUCAACUAAACAUAGCAAUCUCAAGCUUUAAUUAGUGGUCUUCAUAAGUUAAGCUUAUUAAUUUCUCUCCAGUAAUGUAGUUGGUAUAAUCAUCCAAUCAAUAGGUCUUUUAUUAGGUUGUAAUGGGGCUAGGCUACAGGUAGGGAUAAUGGGAAGUGAAUUUUUAGGUUCAAUCAUCUUAACCCUAACUUGUUUUGGAUCUUUCUGUGUCACGACUUUCAUAAAAUUGGGUCAUUGGAACACCCUCGAACUUAUUUCGAACUCAUGCUCAACUAAUUCUUUUAGACUUUGGGCAAACUUUUCGCUUUAUUUUUUUUUUACUUUUUUGAACAAAAUUUCCUUCUUUUUUUUUGAAUCAUGUACAUCUUUUCAUAUCUUUCCUCAAACUUUGAUCACCAAGAUAAAUUCAUUUAAGAUAGGUGCAAAAGAAUAGGAUAAAAUGAAAAAGAUGAUAAUGUGGCUUAUAAUGUAGAUACUUUGCAAUAAAUAGGCAUUAAGCUCAAAAAUUAAGUUUCAAGGGUUAAUUAAUUAAUAAGGUCAACUUGAAAGGCUCAAAUGACCCAAAGGAAAUGAGCCUAUAUCAUAUUAGAUUCUUAUACCUCCUAGGACUUCACCUCAAGAAUGUUACCAAGUCAAUUCUAAAGACUUAAACCUUCAUACAUGUCUAUUUCUAAAGAAAUCAAAUUUUCAUGGCAAAUACUACAUAAGACUAAAAAUCAUACAAGCAUUCCAUCACUUAAGAUAACAUACGAAUAACUUAGAUAAAAUCAAAAGCCAUGCUUGCAUUUGAACAUACAUACGAACAAAAAUUAUUUUUGAACAUUCAUUUAUUUUGGCAUACUUAAGUAAAAAUAUUAAAACAUACUUUAAAAUUCAUGUGAAAUGUUUUACCCCCCUUUAAAAAGAAACAAUGUCAUCAUUGCAAAAACAAAGUAAUGAAUGAAAACUAAACACCAUGUAGAGUUGCAAGAAAAGAGAGGUGAGUCAUAAAGACCGCUUAAGUACCAAGUCUUUCUCAACAACCCAAUCCUAGACAUGUUCAUUCUCAUUACCACAUCACUUUGCUUUUUCUAUUGAAGCGGCAUUGACCUUAUUUAUUCAUGCAUGCUAUUUAUUAUGCGAAAGCAAAAAUUUAAUUAAGAAAUAAAAAUAAACAACUAAAAAGAAAUAAAAACUAAAGACAAGAAAUUCCUCCUUUUAUUUAUUUGAAUUAUCCUCCCCAUCUUCGUCAUUUGAUGUUUCAUCCUAGCUUGUAUUGUCAUCUUCCUUCCAUGACUCGAAGAUAUAAUCCAGAAACUCAGGAACAAAAUUGUUAGAGAUAUUUUUAAAAGUAUUUCUUACAUAAUUAUCCCUAAUCUUCGAAUAUUUCCAAUAAGCUUGUUUUUGGUUAUGCAUUAAUUUCAUCAUAUCCAUCAUAAUUGACACUUCCGAUUUCUUCAUAGUAUUUAAAGAAAUGGGCAUAUGAAUAGUCAACUCAAGAUCAACACUUGGUUUAACUGGCUCAUCAACAUUCAGCUCUUCUCUUGGUUUAGAAAUUUUUGGUUCCUUUAUUGGUUUUGGAUUUUUUAGUUCUUCCUCAAAUUAUGCUUCUUUUGUCUCAGUAACUGAGUUAUCCUCCAUUUUGGAUUUGUUCAAUGAAUCAUCAGUUUCUGGUUCUGUUGGUUCACUCGGUUCAAUUAGGUUUAGCUCAUGGACAUUCUCCACUAGCCUUUCAAGAUCAUGGGCCAUUAUGCAACCUUGAACAUAUGGGCCCUUCAAAUCUGCUUUUGUUUAACUUUGGCCCUUACGCAAAGUGAAGUUAUCAAUGAUGGAAAGUAAGCACUUCCAAUAUUCGCUCCAUCGAGAUUGUCAAACUGUGUGAGAUAGGCAUGAAACUAUAUCGAACAAAGUAGAACCAUACCUUACCCAACAGCUUUCAAUAUUCCCUUCGGCAAGAAUGAAUACCAUACUUUCUUAUAAUCUAAUGGUGUAACAACCUAUUUUUAGUGAAAUUGGAACAGUGGUCUCGGGACCACAAAUUUGAGCCAAAAAGAAAAUUUAUGUUAAUAUUAUUGCAUGGUCUGCAUUAUGAUAGGAAUGUUAUAUGAAAAUUCUGAUAAAUUUUUUUUAUUGAUUAUAUGUUUAAUUAGGGAAAUGACCAAAUUGCAUAAAAUGCAAAAGUUGAGUUCUAGUAGCUAAAAGGAUCAAAUAGCUAUGGAAUUAAAAAUGAGAGGUCCUUAUAUGGUAAUUAGACCAUUAAAUAAAAGUUAGUAGAUAUUUUUGGUGAUUCAUCCAUGAAAAAUUAGAAAAAGAAAAGGAUGAAAUUGGAAAGUUCAAAAAUUAAAUAUGAUAAAUAAAAUAAAUAUCAAAUAAUAUCAAUUUAUAUCAUAUUCUUUCCCAAAAUUUUACAUGGAAACCCUAGGAAAGAGAAAGGAAACUAAUCAAGCUUAAUUAGAUCCGGAUAACUCAAAUUUGGAGUUAGAUCGAGGAAAAGAAGAAGUGUCGAUUAGUAGAUUCUUAUAUAUAAACAAGUAUCAAGGUAAGUUCGUGUAACUUAAUUAUGUACAUUCGUAUGUUUGAAUUGAAUGUUAUAUUUGUUUGAAUUGUAUAAAUGUGUAAUGAAUAACACCUCUAACCCGUAUCCGUCGUCGUAACAGGGUUUCGGAGCAUUACCGAAACUUUAAGAACAUUUUACAAAUAAUUUAUGAAAAUUACUGUUCAUUAACCCAGAUCAUUUAAAACAUCUCUUAGUUGGACCCUCGAGGCCUAAUACGAGCAUUAGAAUCGAGUUGGAACCUAAUCUGGAACUCUAAGAAUUUUUCACGAAAUUACAAAACUUUUCUAUGUUGCAGGGCUCACACGCCCAUGUCGUCUAAGGGACAUGCCCGUGUGACCCUGGGACACGUCCGUGCUACUGGCUGUGUUCGACCCCAUGUAACUCUCUAACUUGUGCACACAGCCAUGCCAUACGCCUGUGUGCUAGGCUGUGUGGUUAAUUAAUUCAAUUUGAAAUUAGGUGCAGGUUUCACAAGGCCAAGACACACGCCCGUGUUCUUGGUCGUGUAGCACACACGGUUGAGACACACGCCCGUAUGCUCAAUUCUGAGCAUUCUUUUUCUCAAAAUUAAGGUGCAGGGGACACACGACCUAACUACAUGCCGAUGUACUUGGCCAUGUGGACAAAAUAAAGCUAUUUUUGGCUUUAUUUCUCAUCCAAAAUCACACCAAAAGGCCUGCGCUUAAAACUCACAUCCUAUACCUACCAUUUGAGCAUUUAAAUUAAGCAAACUCCAUCAUUCAACAAGGCAUAUUAUUACAUGCAUAUAUGUUUAUAAACUUUCGUUGGUUUAACUUAGGCAUUAACAUCAUUUGAUCACAUAUACUUAACAUAAGACGUGUAUAUAUCAUAAUAACCUACUUAAUCAUACCAAAAUAAACCAUUACUAGCCAUUCCAAUUGCUAGGUUACAAAACAUCAUUUUCAAUCCAUUAUUGGCCAAGUUGUCCUACACAUGUCAUUAUACCAGAAUGAUUCUACUAUAAAUACUCAAAAUAGCUAGUAGAUAGUGUGAUGAUGUUCCAAUGAUCUCUAACCUUCGCAAGCAUCCGAGCAUUAUAAAGUAGGGGAAAAUAAAACGGGAUAAGCAUUACAUGCUUAGUAUGUUCGUAUAACGAAAACUAAACUUACCAAUCCCGUUUAUUAAAUCUAAGAAUACAAUAUCAUGUUUUCCAUUCAUUUGGCAUAAUUUCCUAAACACAUGCAUUCAUUCAAACAUGUUAGUCAAAAAUCUUCAUAUACAUCAAGUAAGGAUAGAUGAGCUCAUCAUGCAAUAUUCUUUCAAGACAUUAUCAUUUCAUCUCAUAAUACUCAUACCAUGUCAGGAGUUGUGUCCGUUGAAUCAUUGAAAUCCUAAUGGAUGUUCAAGUGGUACACUCGAGGUGUACGAUUCAAUAACCCGUCAAUUCUUUCUCAAGAGUACCCAUUAGGGCACUUAAUGAAGGAACGGACUCUCGAGCCACACGACGUAUAAUAGGAUUACCAGCCCAGGCUAAAUCCUUUAUAUAACGUAUGCUUAGAAGAGCUCAAUUAGGAUAACCAAUCCAGGCUAAACCUUAAUUGUAGCAUAUGCUUAAGAGGGUUUACAUUAGGAUUACCCGUCUGGGCUAAACCCUUUUUAUAAUCAGGUCCAUAGGAUUACUCGACCAAGUUAAAUCUCGUCUGUAACAAAUUCAAGACCUCAUUCAUUUCGGGAAAACACACAUGUUCAUUGGAAUUCAAUAUUCAAUCGAGACAUAACCCUUUUUGACCAUUGUCAAACAUGUAUUAAUUUCUCAUAUUAUAACAUCCAUGUAAAUCACAUAAAUAACAAUUACAUUUCAUACAAUCACAACAUUUAAUUUAACAUAAUUAUAGGCUCAAUUAAGAUACACGAACUUACCUCGACACUUGUUCGCGUAAGUAAUCUACUAAUCAAAACUUUUUCUUUUCCUCUAUCUAACCUCGAUUGUGAGUUGUCCGGAUCUAUAUAAAUAGCUUUAGUCAUUAAUUUCUCAUAUUUCAUAAUUACCAUUUUGCCCCUAACUUUUCCAUAAAUUCCAAUUUUGUCCCUAGGAUCGGAAAAUGAAACUGGUGCAAUUUACUCCCUAUUCCAAGCCUAACCAAAAUCCCCUUACAAAAUUUACAGCACAUGUAUUCAUAAAAUUUUAGCAUUUUUCUUCAAUUUCACAAUUUUACAUUUUAAUCCCUAAUUCAUGUUUUCAUCAAAAAUCACUUUGUAAAAGUUGUUUAUCUAUCAACAACCUUUCAUUUUCUACCAUAAAUUUCUAAUUUUCAACAUAUUCAUCCAUGACCCAAAUUUUAUACCUUGAUAACUUUUCAAAUUAAUCCCCCAAAUAGAUAGAUUAAGUUAUCCCGGUUACAAAAAUAUCAAAAUUACUAAAAACAGGAUAAAGAAACUUACCCAAUUAAGCCAUAAAUGUUUCUUCUCUCUCUCCUAGGGUUUCCAUGUAUUUUAGGUUGAAGAAGAUGAGAAAAUAAGAUGAUAUUUUCUUUUCAUAUUUUAAUUAAUUAAAUAUUUUUCAAAUUCCAAUUUAGUCUUGCCCUUUUUCAAAAUUUCCAUGGAUGUGUCACUAAAAAUCUACAUACUUUUCUUUAAUAGUCUAAUUACCAUAUAAGGACCUCUAGUUUUGAAUUCCAUGGCUAUUUAAUCCUUAUAGCUACUAGAAUUCAACUUUCGCAUUUUAUGCGAUUUAGUCCUCGUAAUUAAAUACUUAAUCGAUAAAAUUUUCGUAUCAAAAAUUUCACACGACAUGUCCAUCAUAAUACGGACUAUAUAAUAAAAUAAAAAUAAACUUUAUUUUCGAAUCAGAUUUGUGGUCCUGAAACCACUGUUUCGAUUUUACUAAAAAAUGGGUUGUUACAACUCUCCCCCUUUAAGGAUUUUCGUCCUCGAAAAUCUUACCAGUAAUAAGAUUCGGGUAUUGCUUAUUCAUAGUAUCCUCCGACUCCUAGGCAGCCUCCUCUAUACCAUGUCAUUGCCGAAGAACUUUUACUAAUGCUACCAUCUUAUUUUUUAACUCUUUUGUUUCCUGGGCUAAGAUUUUGAUUGGUUCUUCAAUAUAUGUCAUAUCAAGCUAAAUCUCUACCUCUGUACGAGAAAUAACAUGUAAAGGAUCAGAUCAAUACCGUCGUAGCAUAGCGAAUGAAAAGCAUAUGAAUCCGAUCAAGUCCUAGUGGUAAAGCUAACCAAUAUGCAAUCAAUCCAAUUCUUUCUGUAAUAUCAUAUGGUCCAAUGGACAGUGGACUCAGUUUUCCUUUGCGACCAAACUGGAGAACUUUCUUCCAAGGCGAUACUUUCAAGAAUACCUUGUCACCAACUUGAAAUUCUAUUUCAUUUCAUUUCAGAUUAGCAUAAGACUUUUAAUGAUCAGAGGCUGCUUUCAAACUGUCCCGAAUUACUUUCACUUUUUCCUCUAUUUCACAGACCAAGUCAACUCUGUGUAACUUUUUCUCAUUGAGUUCUAUCCAAUACAACAGAGUUCUACAUUUGCGACUAUAAAGCUUCAUACGGUGCCAUUUUGAUACUAGACUGAUAACUGUUAUUGUAAGCAAAUUCAACUAAAGGCAAAUACUUUUCCCAGUUACCUUCAAACUCAAGUAUAAAGCACCGAAGCAUAUCUUCCAAGAUAUGUAUUACAUGUUCAGAUUGACCAUCUGUCUAUGGAUGAAAUGCAGUGCUAAAGUGUAAUUGAGUACCCAGAGCUUCUUGCAAUUGGCUCUAGAAUCGAGAUGUAAACCGAGGGUCUCUAUCUAAAAUAAUGGAGAUAGACACUCCAUGCAAUCUGAUAAUCUCAGAAACAUAUAAUUCAACCAAUCUAUCCAAGGAAAAAUCCAUACGUACUGAAAUAAAGUGUGCAGACUUUGUCAACCGAUCAACAAUUACCCAAAUGGCAUCUUUCUUCUUUGGAGACAGGAGUAACCCCGAUACAAAGUCCAUAGUAAUUCUUUCCCAUUUCCAUUCUAGUAUCGUAAUAGGCUGUAAUAGUCCAAAAGGCAACUGAUGUUUACCUUUUACUUGCUGACUUAUCAAACAUUUAGAUACAAACUCAGAAAUAUCUCGUUUCAUUCCCGGCCACCAAUACAUCUUUUUUAGAUCAUUAUACAUCUUAUUACUACCAGGAUGUAUAGACAUGUUACCAUUAUGAGCUUCAUUCAAAAUAUUCUGUACUGGUUCUGAACUUUUCAGUACACAUACUCUGCCUCUGAAUAACAAACAACCAUUAGUCGAUUCACUUUGUAACCAUUUUGUUUGUAACUUACUAUCAUUUUUCUGAGCUUCAAAUAUCUUCUGCAAAAAUGUUGUCUAGCUUUUAACUCAGCUAUAAUUGAGCCAUCAUUAGAUAAUGACAAUAGAGUAUUCAUAGCUCACAAGGAAAACAUGGAUUUUCUACUCAGAGCAUCAGCAACUACACUGGCUUUUCCAGGAUGGUAGUCAAUAACAAGAUCAUAAUCUUUCAAUAACUUAAGCCACCUGCGCCGUCUCAAAUUCAAAUCUUUCUGUGUCAUCAAGUACUUCAAACUUUUAUGAUCUGUCAAUAUGAGACAGUUUUCACCAAACAGGUAAUGCUGCCAAAUUUUCAAUUCAAACACUAUGGCUGCCAAUUCAAUAUCAUGUGUCGAGUAGUUUCUUUAAUUUGGUUUUAGCUGUCUUGAAGCAUAGGAUACUACUUUACCUUAUUGCAUCAAAACUUAGCCUAAACCAUUCAAUGACACAUCACUAUAAACUAUAAACUCCUUACCAUGUUUUGGCUGAACUAACACUGGAGCAUCUAUCAAUAGAGCUUUUAAUCUAUCAAAACUUUGCUGGCAUUUAUCAAUCCACUCAAAUUUCACAUCUUUUUGCAAUAGACGGGUCAUCAAAGAAGCUAUCAUUUAAAAACCUUUUACAAACCUCCGAUAAUAACCAGCUAGUCCUAGAAAACUUUGGACUUCAGACACAUUCUUCAGUGGCUUCCAAUUAACAAUGGCUAAAAUUUUAUUCAGAUAUACUCUGACACUUUUAGUAGAUACUAUAUGCCCGAGAAAACUAACUUCCCAUAGCCAAAAUUCACAUUUACUGAAUUUGGCAUACAAUUGUUUCUCUUGCAGGGUUUGUAACACUAUUCUCAAAUACUCAGCAUGUUUAUUUUCAUCUCAGGAGUAAACCAAAAUAUUGUCAAUAAAUACCACCACAAACUUGUCUAAAUAUAGGCUAAAAAUUCUGUUAAUCAAAUCCAUAAACACUGCAGGUGCAUUUGUCAAACUGAAUGGCAUUACAAGAAAUUCACAAUGUCCAUACCUGGUUCUAAAAGCUUUCUUUGGUACAUUCAAAUUUUUACCCAUUGUUGAUAAUAGCCAGAAUGGAGAUCAAUCUUGGAAAUUAUAGUAGUACAUUUUAACUGGUCAAACAGGUCAUCAAUACGACUUGUUCUUUAUUGUAACUUUGUUGAGUUGUCUACAAUCAAUGCACAGUCUCAACGAUCCGUCCUUCUUCUUUACAAAUAGAACCGGCACACCCCAAAGUGAGAAACUAGGUCGAGCAAAACCUCUAUCAAUCAAUUCUUGCAACUGUGCUUUCAACUCUUUCAACUCAGUAAGAGCCAUCCUGUAAGGUGUUAUGGAUAUAGGUGUUGUACCCGGAACAAAAUCUAUAGAGAAUUCCACUUUUCUAUUCAGUGGUAAACUAGGUAAUUCUUCUGGGAAUACAUCAGGAAAUUCGCAUACAACUGACACUGAUUGAAUCUUUGACUCAGAUACUUUAGUAUCCAACACAUAUGCAAGAUAAGCAUCAUAACCCUUUUUGACAUAUUUCUGUGCUUAUAUUGCUGAAAUCAUAUUAAGUAAUCCAUCUAGUUUAUUAGAUUCAACAUGAAGUAAUUUACCACCCUCACAUUUCAAUACAAUAUAUUUCUGUUUACAAUUCACCACUGCAUCAUAUUGGGUUAACCAAUCCAUUCCCAAAAUCACAUCAAAUUCAUCAAAUGGCAAUAACAUCAAGUCAGUCGAAAAGCAAUAACCUUUUACCAUUAAUGGAAAGUACUUACAAACUUUAUCCACUAUAACACACUGGCCCAGAGGGUUUGAAACUUUAACCACAAGUUUAGUGAAUUCAAUAGGUAAAUUCUUAACAGACACUAAGUUCGUGCAUAUGUAUGAAUGUGUGGAACCAGGAUCAAUCAAAGCAAUAAUAUCAAUAUCUAGUAAAGAAAAUGUACCAGUAAUGAUGUAUGGUGUAAAGGCAUCUCCUCUAGCACGAAUGGAAUAUGUCCUUGCAGGUGCUCAUGCCUCAGAUCUAACUGUUGUAUCCUUGGUAGUACCUCAACUACCACUAACAUUUCCAGGACGAUGGGGUGGUCUGCCUCUCGAGACAGGAUUACUAGGCUUUGGAGCUGGUUUUAUCUUUUUUUCAACUCUUUUUGGACAAUAUCUGAGAAAAUGGUCAAGUGAACCACAUCCAAAACAAGCUCCACUUCUAGACUGACAUUCCCCAUGACGAAAUUUGUUACAAUGUUUACAUUUUGGUUUGGGAUUACCAACACUACCCACACUGGUCAUAGAUAGAGAUGAAGACCUUUGGUUAGAACAUUGAGAGCCCCGCUGUAACACCCCUUACUCGUGUUCGACGCUGGAAUAGGGUACGAGGCAUUACCAGACUUAAACACAAGCAUACAUACAUUUCGAAGCCAUCAAUUUUUGUCCAAUUUUAUAACUUUUUUCAUUCAAUCAUAAAGUUCCUAUUACGAGCCUACAAGGCCCAAAAUAUGCUUUGAAAGUGGUUCGGGACUAAACCGAGAACUUUAAAAAAUUUUACAACACUUAGAAAAUUUUUGCCUAAACAGGGGUGUUAUAGCGGGUAAGGGGGUAUAUUAAAUCUAAGAAUACAAUAUCAUGUUUUCCAUUCAUUUGGCAUAAUUGCCUAAACACAUGCAUUCAUUCAAACAUGUUAGUCACAAAAUCUUCAUAUACAUCAAGUAAGGAUAAAUGAGCUCAUCAUGCAAUAUUCUUUCAAGACAUUAUCAUUUCAUCUCAUAAUACUCAUACCAUGUCAGGAGUUGUGUCCAAUGAAUCAUUGAAAUCCCGAUGGAUGUUCAAGUUGUAUACUUGAGAUGUACGAUUCAAUAACUCGUCAAUUCGUUUUCAAGAGUACCCAUUAGGGCACUCAAGGAACACACUCUCGAGCCACAUGACGUAUAAUAGGAUUACCAGUCCAAACUAAAUCCUUUAUAUAACAUAUGCUCAAAAGAGGUCAAUUAGGAUUACCAAUCCAGCUAAACCCUAAUUGUAACAUAUGCUUAGAGGGUUUACAUCAGGAUUACCUAUUCGAGCUAAAUCCUUUUUAUAAUGAGGUCAAUAGGAUUACUCAUCUGAGCUAAAUUCGAUUAGUAAAAAAUGCAAGACCUCAUUCAUUUCGGGAAAGCACAUAUGUUCAUCGAAAUUCAAUAUUCAAUCGAGACAUAACCCUUUUUCACCAUUUUCAAGCAUGUAUUAAUUUUUCAUCUUGUAACAUUAAAUCACAUAAAUAAUAACCACAUUUCAUACAAUCACAACAUUUAAUUUAACAUAACUACUGGCUCGAUUAAGUUACACGAACUUACCUCGACACUUGUUCACGUAUGUAAUCUACAAAUCCAAAACCUUUUCUUUUUCUCGAUCUAACCUCAAAUGUGAGUUGUCUGGAUCUAUAUAAAUAGCUUCAAUCAUCAAUUUCUCAUAUUUCAUACUCAUUUGGACUCAAUUUACGUCCUAGGAAAAAUUACCAUUUUGCCCCUAACUUUCCAUAAAUUCCAAUUUCGUCCCUAGGCUCAGAAAAUGAAACUUGUGCAAUUUAAUCCCUAUUUCAAGCCUAACCAAAAUCCCUUUACAAAAUUUACAGCACAUGCAUUCAUAAAAAUUCGACAUUUUUCUUCAAUUUCACAAUUUUACAUUUUAAUCCCUAAAUCAUGUUUUCAUCAAAAAUCACUUUGUAAAAGUUGUUUAUCUAUCAACAACCUUUCAUUUUCUACCAUAAAUAUCUAAUUUUCAGCAUAUUCAUCCAUGAUGCAAAUUUCAUACCUUGAAAUCUUUUCAAAUUAAUCCCCCAAAUAGAUAGAUUAAGCUAUCCUAGUUUCAAAAAUAUCAAAAUUACUAAAAAUGGGAUAAGAAAACUUACCCAACUAAGCCAUGAAAGUUUCUUCUCUGUCUCCUAGGGUUUCCAUGUAUUUUAGGUUGAAGAAGAUGAGAAAAUAAGAUGAAAUUUUCUUUUCAUCUUUUAAUUAAUUAAAUAUUUUUCAAAUUCCAAUUUAGUCCUUGCCCUUUUUCUAAAUUUCCAUGGAUGAGUCACCAAAAAUCUUCAUACUUUUAUUUAAUGGUCUAAUUACCAUAUAAUGACCUCUAGUUUUGAAUUCCAUAGCUAUUUAAUCCUUAUAGCUACUAGAACUCAACUUUCGCAUUUUAUGCGAUUUAGUCCUUCUCAGAAUUAAACAUUUAAUCGAUAAAAUUUUAGUAUCAAAAUUUUCACACGACAUGUCUAUCACAAUAUGGAUCAUAUAAUAAAAUAAAAAUAAACUUUAUUUUCGGAUCAGAUUUGUGGCCCUGAAACUAGUGUUCCAAUUUCACUGAAAAAUGGGUUAUUACUAAUGUAUGAAAUUAAUCGCAUGUUUGAUAUUACUCAAUAAAUGAUAAGUCCCGUUUGAAUAAUUUUUGAUGGAUAAAUAAAUUUUCCUGUAUUGAUUAUACUCCUGCAUAUGUUGCAGACAUUAUAGCUCAGACGAGCAUCCUGUUAAAAUCCUACUCGAGCAUCCUGUUAUAUAGUUCCUGCAAGCAUUUUGACCUGUAGUGAUUCUACAUGUGUUGCACAUUACUGCAGCUCUUUGUGAGCAUCCUGUUACAUGAUUCGAUCAGUUGUGAUCCAGCAUAUAAUGCGGACACAAACGCAGCUCUUCGUGAGUGUCCUGAUAUAGGCUCUUAUGAGCUUCCUCACAUAGCUCACUUGAACUUUCUGUUACCUUAUCCGGUGCUCCCUGAUAAUAAUUCUUCGGAGUUACCUGUAAAUCUUUAUAAGCUCCUUGAUUAAAACUCUUAUGAGUUUCCUAUGUAGCCCGGAUAAGCGUCCUAUUACAUGGCCCAUCUGAGCAUCCUGAUAUAUGGCUUGAGAAUGUGCUCCCUGAUUAUGUGCCCUAACAGGUACCCCUGAACAUGAAUUGACAGAUCACUGAUGAUACGAACCGCCUCAGGGAGAGUCGAUUCGUAUGCUGAGUUGCCAGAUCGUCUACGAGAAAGUAUCGUUCAAUUCGCUUUUGGAAUGAAGUUGAUAGAAAAAUAGGACGGAAGCUAUGUAUAAUGGUUUAAUGAUGGAUGUAAUGCCCAUGAAUGGCGCCUCUACAUCGACACCACCAGCAGCCUCCGUACGCGCUAGCUACCCCCACCACGUUGCCUCCGUACUUGCAAAUAAAGACAAGCAAAGGACAACUACAACAACAAUAGCAAAAAAACGAGCAGAGCAAUGAAAAAAGAAAAGGAAUUGUAUUUUUCUUUGUCGUUUUAUUUGGUUCGGCUAUGAAGCCAAGAACCUUUCCUUUUGUAAAAACUACGAACGGACACCAAUCAAUCGAGUAUAAAAAAAUAUUUUUGAAGGUGGUUCAUUUUUUCGCUGUUCUGAUUCUUAUUUUUUCUCUUUAUUUUCUCGCCUAGUUUUUAUCCUUUUUUACUAAGAUACACACACAAAAAGAGCGGAUCGCUUUUUUAUGCAUACAUGUAUAGAAAUUAAGAGAAAGGAAUCAAAAAAAAAAGAGUUUUUGGGCAGAAGGUGAUUAUCGUUCUUUUGUUCUUUUUUGUUAGAGCAAGAUUUGCAUCGUUCUUUGGUGAUUUUCUUUCUUUCAUUUCUCAUUUUAAUAUAGAAUAAAAAGGAUUGGGAUAAAGAAACACUCACCUGAAUCAAUCAGGUUGUCAGAGUUGCAUCUUCCUCUUCGAAAUCAAGCCCAACUCAUUGCUAGUCAUCUAUUACAAUGAUGGUGUGGCAAUUGGGGGUGAGUUCUGGUCGGCCAAAUGAGGGAUUAAAAAGAGGCUAGGGUUUCAAUUUCAAAAGGACCGAUUGUUUCAUUUUUUUGGGAGGAAUUGUUUGCUUUUAUAAAAGUUUUGAAACGGUACCGUGUAAGAAGGGUGGGGGGAGCCUUUUGCGCCUAAAAAUGUCUAUUUAUGCAACAAGUCCUUCCCCUUGUGCAUAGCCUUCAAUUUGCGUCCAAUUUGCCUACCUUGUGUUUUAAAAUUUGGCCUGCUAAUUUGUGCAUUAUUUCACUUUGAUCCGCGGUUCCAUGCAGCAUUGUAGGCACGAGAUAUUUACAAAUUCAGUCUUUAUACAUUUAUGCGCUUUGAGCAUUGGUCCAUAUUAUGAUUACUUUAUUUGUAAAUUAUCCUCCCUAUUUUAUUGCAGUAUUAAUUUGGUCUUACAGUUGUACAAUUGAUUAAUUUUUAAUACAUUUAAUAUGUGUAUGCCUUAAUCCAUGUUAAUAAUUUUGGUUGUUACAUUUGUACAAUUAUUUUUAGAUUGUUUUUUUUUUCACAUUAUGUAUCCUAUUUCUUUAAAUAUUUUAUAUGUAUUUGUAUGUUAAUCAUUAGUUUAAGUUUUUUAUAAUAACUAUUAUUUUGCAUGUUGUAAUAUUUUUUUAUGUAUUAUAUUGUUUUAAUACACUAUUAAUAAGUGUUGUUAAUAUAUUUAUAUACAUAAAUUAUUUAAAAUAUUUCUUAAUUUAUGUUUAAUCUGCAAGUCUUUAUGUACAUAUGAGACUGUUUUGGAAAAUCUAUCUUUGUAUUCAUAAAAUUGUUAUUUUGAAAACGUGUCUCCAUAUUAUGUUAUCCAAGUAUGUUAUUUAAUUUCUCUUUUAAAUAGUUUUAAGUAAAAUGGUAUGUAUGAUAAUAUAAUUUCACAUAUAUUUAUUUCUAAACAAAAGUUUUAAAUAAAAAAUCUAUCAUAUGAGUAAUACCUUGCCAUGAAUUAUAAUUUAUUCAUAUAUAGUAUAUUAUUUAAAUUAUUAUUAAACAUAUGUUUUGUACUUAUAUUUAAUUUGCAUCUAUUAUUAAAGCUUUGAUAUUCUUAUACAUAUAGAUUUUAAUAAACUUGUAAUUAAUUGCAUUUUUUAUUAAUUAUGUAAAUAAUUUAUGAUAAAACUAGGUUAAUUCUAUAAUUCAUAUUUUAAUUAAAUGAUAUUUGGACAUAUAAUUAUUUUUAACAUUUUUUCACAUGUAUAUGGCACAUAUUAAAUUAUUUUUACUAUGGUACAUGUUAUUAUUUUCAUAUAACUUUAUGUAAAUAUUUUUCUAUGUAUAUAUAUCCUGUUUAAAAAUUAUUUAUGCGGAUAAUGUUUUUAAGAACCCUUUUAAAUCAUAUAAUUUAUUGUAUUUCAUAUUAUCCUUAUGUUCUUUAUAUAUAUAUAUUUUGCUAUUUAUAUAACUUAUAUGUUUACUUCUUUUUUUUAUACAAUAUUAAUUUCAUUCUUUUUAUCAAUAAUUAUACCCAAUGUUUAUCUAUAUAUAAAGAUUUCAUAAAUUUACUUUAUAUAUUAUCUUAUAUCAUAUAUCAUGUGUCCACCCAUCUAUUUUGAAAAUGUCUUAUACUAUAUCGACCUCUAAACUCCAUUUUGUUUUCGUAUAUGAUAUGUUGGUUGACUUAUAUUGUGCCAUGUUUAUUAUUGGCGUAUAUCAUCAUCUAUUGUUUUAUUUCUUAUAUAAAUCAUUUGUCAACCACGUUUACGAGUUUGAUUAUAUUUUCUUGAUAAAUUAUGCUUAGUUAUAAGUUUGUUAAUUGGUAUUGCAUUUUAUGUAUGCAUAUUACCCCAAGUUUUAUUUUCCCUUUAGCCUACAAAUGUCGCAUUACAAUUUUCAACUUCCUUUUUUGAAAAAUUCUAAUUAAUUAUUCCAUCAUAUUUCAAGUCAAACUAAUAUGUUUUAAGCUAGUUUUAUAAUCAAUCAUUUAAAAAUCCUUUAAAACGAAGACGAGAUUCGAUCUUUGACAAUUCACGGAAUAGUGCCCUAACGUGUUGGGUUGCAAUUUCGCGUUUGCUCAAAAUAAUAGAAUAUCCCUUCGAAAUUUCACUCAUGCCUAUUAAAAAUUCUUUAAAACGAAGGCGAUGUGCGAUAUUUGGCAAUUCGCGGAAUCGUGCCCUAACGUGUUGGGUUGCAAUUUCUCGUUUUCUUAAAAUAAUCAAAUAACCCUUCAAAAUUUCACGCAUACCUUCUAAAAAUGAUUUAAAACAAAGGAAAUAUUCGACAUUUGACAAUUCGAGAAUCAUGCCCUAUCGUGCUGGAUUCUGAUUUCUCAUUUGCUCAAAACAAUCGAACAUUCCUUUAUAUUCUCACUCAAGUUUAUAAAAAAUACUUAAAAAUGAAGACGAUGUUCAAUGUUUGGCGAUUUGAGAAUCGUGCCCUGUCGUGCUGGGUUGCACUUUUUCAUUAGAUCAAAACAAUUGAAGAUCCCUUCGAAAUUUCACUUACAUUUUCUAAAAUCUUCUAAAAUAAAGGCGAUAUUCAAUGUUUGGCGAUUUGGGAAUCGAGCCCUAUCGUGCUGGGUUGCACUUUUUCAUUUGUCCAAAAUAAUCGAAUAUCUCCUCAGAAUUUCACACGUACUUUAUAAGGUAAGGCAAUGGUCGAUGUUUGGAAAUUCGAGGAAUCGUAUCCUACUACGCUGGGUUUCAAUUUUCCGUUAGACCAAAUAGUUGAGCAUCCUUUUGUAAUUCUCGAAUUAUAAACUUUCGAACAUCGAAACAAGAAGAUUUUGACAACCAACUCAGGUUACUCAAACAUUAUAAAAAAGAACCACAUUUCAAAAACUUUUUAAUUUUAGACAUAAGGACAGUACUUAAUCGAUUCGGUACCAAUUUUGGGCGUAGCGAGGGUGUUAAUCCUUCCUCAUGCGUAACUGACUCCCGAACCCGUUUUCUCAAAAGUUCGUAGACCAAAAUCAUUGUUUUAAUAAACCAAAAAAUGUUUUAUUAAACUAACCUCAUUUUUAGGUGAUCCGAUCACACCAAAACAAAAGAUCGGUGGUGACUCCAUAUUUCUGUUUUUCAAAAGUCAAUUUCCCCCUUUUCUUAAAUUUAAAAUUUUUUAAAUCGUGGGAUGGUUUCGAUAGCUUGGCGACUCCGCUGGGGACUUGAGAGUCGAGCCAUAAAAAUUUAUUAUUUACUGUCCUUUUGUCAAAAACCGAAAAUGUAUUUUAAAAAUCAUGUAUCUUUCGAUUGCAUUCGAUUGUAUGAUUGUUUUGGUGCGGGUCUUGUAGAAUAGUACUGCAUUUCAUUGCAUGACCACUAUGGUCACACCUUCUAAGUGAGAGUAAGAAACUACGCUUUCGUGAGGUUUUCACCUCCGCAUGGGCUAGUGGAUUGCUUCCGGGGUACAUCUGUACCUAUGAUUUCGUGAGAUUUUCAUCUCCGCAUGGUCAUAGGGAAAUGUAUCCCCCCGAACCGAACUCGAUCUAUAUAUGCCUAUAAUGGGUGAGGAUUGAGAAAUCUGCUGGUUCGGGUACCUUAUCCCUAGAACCGAGCCACAUAUAGAGAGACCUAGGAACUUACCCCGGGUAGAGCCACUUCGAAUCCCUAGUGAUCACCCGAUUAGGUACUUUGUCAUUUGUUUAUUUCUAUACUAAUGUGUUUUGUUUUUGUUUGUUCAUGACUGCAUUGCAUUACAUCAUCAUAAAAAGGAGGUGUUGAUUCGUAAUCAAUUGCUAAAUAGAACAAUUUGUCAUAAGAAAACGAAUUUCCUAAUAACGCGAGUUACAAUACGGUUGUCCGAAUUUGGUCCAAGUGAACACGACAGAAGAAGGCUAACAGUUCAUGGAGGAAAACAAGACUUUACCUAAGGAUUCAAGCCGAUAAAGAUUAUCCAAAAGCCAUCGCGUCCUGACUUUCUUAAAGAAGCUAAUCAACAUCACGAGGAUAGUAAUUCGUGGCCUGAUCAAGCAAAAAAGAUCCAGUAGAGGCAUGCAUUGGAAGCUUGCGAGAUUUGACUUUCACGGGGAUCAGUUCCCUCGCCAGGAAUACGAAAGCAAGGCUGUAUACAUAAUCCGUUUUAUGAAAAAGAAUUUGUUUUAUUGAAAAGUUGUUCUAGGGGAAUUGAAUUCAAAAUCAACAUCUUUCUUUCCUUUGCAUUCAUCCCGUGCAUUUGCAUUGCAUUGCAUCAUUUACAUUGCAUUGCAUUAUUUGCAUUACAUUGCAUCAUUUGCAUUAGAUUUCCCUAAAACGACCUUAAUUAGGUAAAAUUAUUUUAGAACCGACAAAAGAUAUGGACCAAAGAUUGGAGAGAAUGGAGCAAAAGAAAAUACAGAUGCAAGAGCAAUUGAUCAAAAUUCAACAAGAUAUGUGAGAAAUGCUAGAACUCCAAAGAAAUAUGAUGGGCCAGUUAACCCAUUUACUGGCCAGAGAAUUUGAAAAAAGGAGUGGCCCAGUGGUCAAUAAUGAGGAUGAUGUUGAAGGGAUCAUCUAUUCCCCAGGCUUUGCCCCAAUAAGCGUUCCGACCCAACCAGACAUGCAAGGGGUACCCAUUAUUAUCGGACACCAAUAUCAGACGGAUACAUCAGUACUGUUUAGCUUCUCGAGGGGUUCAGGUUUUAACCCGAAAGAUGAUCAAGCCAAGCCAGUUGUUCUGGCAAAAACGAAGGCAAGGGGAGAGUAGACUUUAAAGGCCCAGAAGGUAAAUAGUACGAGUAGGUAUAACAAGGGUCGUUCGGAGCUGAUUAUAGUAGGCCGACCAAGGUCAGUAACUACCAGCCAUCAGGCCUCCUCAAGGCAAGAACCCAAUCGAAGAUCGAGCUCAGAAAAACCCUAAUACAUGCCCAUUCCAAUCACGUACGGAGAGUUGUACCGCGUUUUGUUUGACGCACAUGUCGUAUCCCCUUUUUACAUGAAACCUAUAUUGCCCCCAUAUCCUAAAUGGUACGAUGCAAGCAGCCAAUGUGAAUACCACGCGAGAAUCACAGGGCAUUCCAUCGAGAACUGUACCGCUUUUAAAAAGAUUGUCGAAAAGCUCACCAAUUUGGGUAUCAUAAAAUUCAAUGAUCCCUCUGGAGCGGGAAAUCGGUUAUCCAACCUUUCUGUUAAAGAGGCGAACAUUAUGAGUUCCAUGCUGGAUUGGGGCAUGAGAUUUAAGGGUGCAUCGAGCUCGAAACUCUAAUGCAAGGCCUGGUAUUAGGGAACCCAAACAUCAACGACGUAUCAGAAGAGGGAACUCGGGAGUAGACUUUUUCAAGCUUCUAACCUUACGUACUUAGGGUGUUUUAAAAAAUGGGACUGUGAAAGAGAUCCUUGUAUUUUUAAGAGCUAAUCUAGAGUAAUAUUCAAAACAUACUUGUUGUUUUAAGCCUAGAAGCAACAAGAAUCCUUUUGUGAAAUAGGCUUAUAUCCAAAAUCUUUAUUUCAAUGAAAUGCAUGUUUGAGUAAAUUUUCUUUUAUUCUUUCCAUUUUAUACUGUACAAACGAUUAUUCUUAGAUUAUUUCAUUUAUGAUCAUACCAUACAAAUAAUCAUCCUUAGAAUCAUUUAUUGGAAUAUGCCUUCGUACCUAUAACAGGUCUCCAGACAUCAAUGACGUGAGCGACGCUGUCACUAAUUCCGAGUCUCUCUUUAAGAAAGAUAUGUGUCUAGAGGGAUCUCAGGACCUUGAAGGUGACAGAGAUUGUGACUUAUUUCUCGAUUUGUUAAGGACGGUAGAACAAGAUGAAAAAACUGAUCCUACUUUACGAAGGGUCAAUGGACAUUGUGAACAAGGGGCAAAGGUUGAAACCUGAGUCACCACAGGGACAAAAUGAAUUGUCUUUAAGUUACUUCAAGAAAUUAAAAGAUAUUUUCACAUAAUCAUGACGAGAUAUAUUUGAUAUUAAGAUCUGUGGAUGAUACAAAAUGUCUAUACAGUGCCAGAAGGACACGUGUCAAAGGUUUCAUGGUACCCACGCUAAUCAUGAGGUUUAGGUAUUGUUGAUCCACCAUGGAAGGGGAUUACAUUGGUUAAAGCCACAUUCAUUUCCUCACAGAUUUUCUCUAUAUGAGGCAAGGAUGUUAUCAGGCCAUUCUCAUCAAUUCAUCUUGGCAGUCAUUGAUUACUUCACGAAGGGGGUGAGGGUCGCUUCAUAUGUCAAUAAUUACAAGAUCAAUAGUCGUCAAAAUUCAAAAAAAAUGUGGGGUUGUUGACAAGUAAUGUCAGAAAGGAUCACUUUCAAAUACAACUGCACAAUCUCAAAAGUUUGCAGUUUGCUCAAAGAUCAGACACUAUAUCACAGUGCAGUAAAAGUAGCCAAAAAGAAAGAUAAAAGUUCAAAAAAAAGGGAAAAACAAACAAUAGAAUAAAUUCAUAGUGAAAAAUGACUAAGUCUUGUAAAUACUGGCAUAAAGAAGUUAUCAUUUACCCUCUAUAUUCGUCGAACGUCUGCCAGAACCUUCGUCGGGGCAACACAUUGUUCGAAACGAUUUUGAAAGCAAGAUUUCUUUUGGUCAAGUCUUAGCUGAAGUUGGAUUAGGCAGAAUAGAUCUAACCCCGAUAUGAUCAGUUGAAUUUGAAGAAAGGAGGUUGAAAGCCAUAUGACAUGGCCCAAUGUACCAGAAAUGAAUGAUGCAAGCUUACAUCGAAAAGGUUCUUCCUAGAGGAUUCCAUGAGGGGGACCUGGCACUGAAAAGUUCAUUUUUACACAAAAGGACUUCCAAGGAAAGUGAAAGGCCACGGCAAAAACCGUCAAAUGAUGCUUUGAGAUCUUCAAAAAAAAUAAGAGAAAAGAAGAAGAAAAGAAAAGAAAGAAAUAAAGAAGAAAAAGAAGAAAAGAAAAGAAAAGGAGAGGCCAAGGCGAAAACCCGCAAAGGGCGCUUGGAGACCGAGGGUAUUUUGAGUUGAAAAACUGAAAAGGGCAGCUCAAAUUUGAAUCAAAGUAGGGCAUACAGUAGUCUUGCUAUGCCUGAAUUAACAAUGAAGAAGUAUGCUACGUCUCGGGGCAUCGACAAAGUACCCCGGAUCCCCUAAACACAUAUUAAGCUCAGAAAGGUCCUCAAGAAGUUGGUACAGAGAAGCUCAAGUUGCGAUAUCUGGGGCACCUAGUUUCCAUUUUGCUCAUUUUGAAUUUGUUAUCUUUGAUUACCUUAUUCUUUUCAGGAUACGUCCCAAUAAACUUCCUUCUUAUUGCAUCGUUAUCAUUAAUUAACUUAUUCAUGUUGAGUUAAUUGCCUUUUAUUGUAUUUGCAAUUUUUGAUUAAUCUAUUUAUUUUGAGCUACCCUACUAAUCAAUUCCCUUCUUGACCAUUGUUUUGAUCCUUUUCAAGCAUUUUGCAUUGAAAUAACGAUUAAUGGACUAAUAAUACCUUCGCAAAAGGGUUCUGCAUAUUACUCUAGAAGCUUCUAAACAACAUAGGAACCUGAAACACGGCCAUCAUUUAGAAUUCACCAAGCCUAAAGGUUGAAAAUGUUUCUAAAUUGCGACUAUCUCUUUGAAUUUUCUGUCAAAGAUAUCAGUUGAAUGAAAAGGCAAGAUAUUUCGUCGGUGAUACAACCUCGACAAAUGACGAGCAAUGUCAACUAAGGGGGUUCAUUCUCGAGAAAAGAAAAAUGAUAUUCUGCAUUCAUCGAGCAUAUACAAUGGGUCAUUACACCCAAGGAAUGGUGUAAUAGAUCAAAUUGAUUAAAGAUGAAACAAAUCCUAUACUCUGAGUUGCAGUAGGUUGGAUAAGCAAAAACUCCAUAAAGUUUGAGUGGGGCAACAUUGUCAAGCAGAUGAGAUUGUUUCUUCGAGUUUUCUAUUAAGAAUGCCAGCUAAACAAGACAACAGAAUAAUACGUCAACAAUAAAACCUCAGUGAACGAUGAGUAAUAUCAAAUCAAGCAUUAAAAAUGCAAUUUUGCAUCCAUACAAACGUCAUUCAUAGGAGCAUUUGGUUCAAUCAAGUCAUGACAUCCUAAUCAUUAGGCAUGAACUCAUACACAUUAUACAGGUUGAGUCCUUCAAGGGACAAUGAGGAUUGAUGUUCCUUAAUCCCCUAAAUAAUAGGGUAACAAGCUAAAGCAUGGCAGUCUGACAUUCCUUGAAGCAGAUAACAGAUUUGGCGCCUCUAUAGCAGCGGAGAGCAGAUCGAAGAUAACAGAUUUGGCGUAUCUGUAGCGGCGGAGAGCAGAUCGAAGAUAACAAAUUUGGCAUCUCUGUAUUGUCAGAGGGCAGAUCGAAGAUAACAUAUUUGGCAUCUCUAUAGCGGCAGAGAGCAGAUCGAAGAUAACAGAUUUGGCGUCUCUAUAGCAGCGAAAAGUAGAUCGAAGAUAACAGAUUUGGCGUCUCUGUAGCGGCAGAGAAAAGAUCGAAUAUAACAGAUUUGGCGUCUCUGUAGCGGCGGAGAGCAGAUCGAACAUAACAGAUUUGGCAUCUCUGUAGUGGUAGAGAGCAGAUCGAAGAUAGCAGUUUUGGCAUCUCUGUAUCAGGCGGGGAGCAGAUCGAAGACAUAGCUGAUUUGGCUUUCACGUGUUUACGUUGAAGUAGAUCCAAGAUGAUUUUACAUCUCUGUAUCAGGCGGGGAGCAAAUCGAAGACAUAGCUGAUUUGGCUUUCACGUGUUUACGUUGAAGCAGAUCCAUGAUGAUUUGGCAUCUUUGUAUCAGGCAGGGAGCAGAUCAAAGACAUAGUUGAUUUGGCUUUCACGUGUUUACAUUGAGCAGAUUUGACAUCUCUGUAUUGUUAGAGGGCAGAUCGAAGAUAGCAGAUUUGGCAUCUUUGUGUUGACAGAGAGCAGAUCGAAUUUGGCGAAUCUAAGCUUCCUGAUAUUGCAGCGAAGCAGAUUUAAGCCAUCAUCCUAGCUCCCUAAUAUUGUAGUAGAGUAGGCUAAAAAUUACAGAUUUUAUCUCUCUGAAGCUGCAAUAGAACAGAUCAAGCUAAUCGCAGAAGAAUAUAUUAAAGCCAUAAACCUCAAGUUGCAGUGGAAUAGGUCAGAGCUACGAGUAGUUGCAGUGGAGCACAUUGAAGAUACUUGAAGGAAAGAAGCGCCAAGAAGAGUCGAAACUCAGCUGGCCCAUGAAAAAUUGGCCUUUUUAUAGUCUUUACUCUAUUCUCGUCACACGAUAAUGAGCAAAGAAGGGCAGCUGUAAUGCCCAAUUUUGGCCCGGGCCCAUGCAAACACAAAUCAAACAAAACCACAAAAAAAUGAAAAAUACAAUAAUAUAAAAAUCCAAAUGUCAAUAGUAGCCCAGUUUAUCGUCCAAUUACAAAAAUUAUGGCCCAACUACUAGAAUAGGCCAAAAAAGCCCAAAUUAUCAAUGUUCUAGAACCCUAGCAGCAAGGAACACAGUAGCCUCCAGCACUACCCUGAAUGGCGCCUCCACGUCGACACCACCAGCAGCCUCAGUACGCGCCAGCUACCCCCACCACGUUGCCUCCGUACCUGCAAAUAAAGACAAGAAAGGACGACCACAUCAGCAAUAGCAAAAAAACAAGCAGAGUAAUGAAAAAAGAAAAGGAAUUGUAUUUUUCUUUGUCGUUUUAUUUGGUUUGGCUAUAAAGCCAAGAACCUUUCCUUUUGUAAAAACUACGAACGGACACCAAGCAAUCGAGUAUAAAAAAAUAUUUUUGAAGGUGGUUCAUUUUUUCGCUGUUCUGAUUCUUAUUUUUUCUCUUUAUUUUCUCGCCUAGUUUUUAUCCUUUUUUACUAAGAUACACACACAAAAAGAGGGAAUCCCUUUUUUACGCAUACAUGUAUAGAAAUUAAGAGAAAGGAAUCAAAAAAAAAGAGUUUUUCGGUAGAAGGUGAUUAUCCUUCUUUUGUUCUUUUUGUUGGAGCAGGAUUUGCAUCGUUCUUUGGUGAUUUUCUUUCUUUCAUUUCUCAUUUUAAUAUAGAAUAAAAAGUAUUGGGAUAAAGAAACACUCACCUGAAUCAAUCGGGUUGUCAGAGUUGCAUCUUCCUCUUCGAAAUUAAGCCCAACUCAUUGCUAGUCAUCUAUUACAAUGAUAGUGUGGCGAUUGGGGGAGAGUUUUGGUCGGCCAAAUGAGAGAUUAAAAAGAGGCUAGGGUUUCAAUUUCAAAAGGACCGAUUGUUUCAUCUUUUUGGGAGGAAUUGUUUGCUUUUAUAAAAGUUUUGAAAUGGUACCAUGUAAGAAGGGUGGGGGGAGCCUUUUGCACCUAAAAUGGUCUAUUUAUGCAACAAGUCCUUCCCCUUGCGCACAGCCUUCAAUUUGCGUCAAAUUUGCCUACCUUGUGUUUUAAAAUUUGGCCUGCUAAUUUGUGCGUUAUUUCACUUUGAUCCGCGGUUCCAUGCAGCAUUGUAGGCAUGAGAUAUUUACAAAAUCAGUCCUUAUACAUUUAUGCGCUUUGAGCAUUGGUCCAUAUUAUGAUUACUUUAUCUGUAAAUUAUCCUCCCUAUUUUAUUGCAGUAUUAAUUUGGUCUUACAGUUGUACAAUUGAUUAAUUUUUAAUACAUUUAGUAUGUGUAUGCCUUAAUCCAUGUUAAUAAUUUUGGUUGUUACAUUUGUACAAUUAUUUUUAGAUUGUUUUUUUUUCACAUUAUGUAUCCUAUUUCUUUAAAUAUUUUAUAUGUUUUUGUAUGUUAAUCAUUAGUUUAAGUUUUUUAUAAUAACUAUUAUUUUGCAUGUUGUAAUAUUUUUUUAUGUAUUAUAUUGUUUUAAUACACUAUUAAUAAGUGUUGUUAAUAUAUUUAUAUACAUAAAUUAUUUAAAAUAUUUCUUAAUUUAUGUUUAAUUCGCAAGUCUUUAUGUACGUAUGAUACUGUUUUGGAAAAUCUAUCUUUGUAUUCAUAAAAUUGCUAUUUUGAACACGUGUCUCCAUAUUAUGUUAUCCAAGUAUCUUAUUUAAUUUCUCUUUUAAAUAGUUUUAAGUAAAAUGGUAUGAUGAUAAUAUAAUUUCACAUAUAUUUAUUUUUAAACAAAAGUUUUAAAUAAAAAAUCUAUCAUAUGUGUAAUACCUUGCCAUGAAUUAUAAUUUAUUCAUAUUUAGUAUAUUAUUUAAAUUAUUAUUAAACAUAUGUUUUGUACUUAUAUUUAAUUUGCAUCUAUUAUUAAAGCUUUGAUAUUCUUAUACAUAUAGAUUUUAAUAAACUUGUAAUUACUUGCAUUUUUUAUUUAUUAUGUAUAUAAUUUAUGAUAAAACUAGGUUAAUUCUAUAAUUCAUAUUUUAAUUAAAUGAUAUUUUGACAUAUAAUUAUUUUUAACAUUUUUCCACAUGUAUAUGGCACAUAUUAAAUUAUUUUUACUAUGGUACAUGUUAUUAUUUUCAUAUAUCUUUGUGUAAAUAUUUUUCUAUGUAUAUAUAUCCUCUUUAAAAAUUAUUUAUGCGUAUAAUGUUUUUAAGAACCCUUUUAAAUCAUAUAAUUUAUUGUAUUUCAUAUUAUCCUUAUGUUUUUUUUAUAUAUAUAUUUUGCUAUUUAUAUAACUUAUAUGUUUACUUCUUUUUUUUAUACAAUAUUAAUUUCAUUCUUUUUAUCAAUAAUUAUACCCAAUGAUUAUCUAUAUAUAAAGAUUUCAUAAAUUUACUUUAUAUAUUAUCUUAUAUCAUAUAUCAUGUGUUCACCCAUCUAUUUUGAAAAUGUCUUAUACCAUAUCGACCUUUAAACUCCAUUUUGUUUUCGUAUAUGAUAUGUUGAUUGACUUAUAAUGUGCCAUGUUUAUUAUUGGCAUAUAUCAUUUAUCUAUUUUUUUAUUUCUUAUAUAAAUCAUUUGUCAACCACGUUUACGAGUUUGAUUAAAUUUUUUUUUGAUCAAUUAUGCUUAGUUAUAAGUUUGUUAAUUGGUAUUGCAUUUUAUGUAUGCAUAUUACCCCAAGUUCUAUUUUCCCUUUAGCCUACAAAUGUCGCAUUACAAUUUUCAACUUCCUUUUUUGAAAAAUUCUAAUUAAUUAUUCCAUCAUAUUUCAAGUCAAACUAAUAUGUUUUAAGGUAGUUUUAUAAUCAAUCAUAUAAAAAUCCUUAAAACGAAGACGAGAUUCGAUCUUUGACAAUUCGCGGAAUAGUGCCCUAACGUGUUGGGUUGCAAUUUUGCGUUUACUCAAAAUAAUAGAAUAUCCCUUCGAAAUUUCACUCAUGCCUAUUAAAAAUUCUUUAAAACAAAGGCGAUAUGCGAUAUUUGGCAAUUCGCGGAAUCGUGCCCUAACGUAUUGUGUUGCAAUUUCUCGUUUGCUUAAAAUAAUCAAAUAUCCCUUCAAAAUUUCAUGCAUACCUUCUAAAAAUCAUUUAAAACAAAGGAAAUAUUCGGCGUUUGACAAUUCGAGAAUCAUGCCCUAUCGUGCUGGAUUGUGAUUUCUCGUUUGCUCAAAACAAUCAAACAUUCCUUUAUAUUCUCACUCAAGUUUAUAAAAAAUACUUAAAAACGAAGACGAUGUUCAAUGUUUGGUGAUUUGAGAAUCGUGCCCUUUCGUGCUGGGUUGUGCUUUUUCAUUAGAUCGAAACAAUUGAAGAUCCCUUCGGAAUUUCACUCACAUUUUCUAAAAUCUUUUAAAAUAAAGGCGAUAUUCGAUGUUUGGUGAUUUGGGAAUCGAGCCCUAUCGUGCUGGGUUGCGCUUUUUCAUUUGUCCAAAAUAAUCGAAUAUCUCCUCGGAAUUUCACACGUACUUUAUAAGGUAAGGCAAUGGUCGAUGUUUGGAAAUUUGAGGAAUCGUAUCCUACUACGGUGGGUUUCGAUUUUCCGUUAGACCAAAUAAUUGAGCAUCCUUUUGUAAUUCUUGAAUUAUAAACUUUCAGACAUCGAAACAAGAAGAUUUUGACAACCAACUCGGGUUACUCAAACGGUAAAAAAACGAACCACAUUUCAAAAACUUUUUAAUUUUAGACAUAAGGACAGUACUUAAUCGAUUCGGUACCAAUUUUGGGCAUAGUGAGGGUGUUAAUCCUUACUCAUGCGUAACCGACUCUUGAACCCGUUUUCUCAAAAGUUCGUAUACCAAAAUCACUGUUUUAAUAAACCAAAAAAUGUUUUAUUAAACUAACCUCAUUUUUAGGUGAUCUGAUCACACCAAAACAAAAGAUUGGUGGCGUCUCCAUAUUUCUGUUUUUCAAAAGUCGAUUUCCCACUUUUCUUAAAUUUAAAAUUUUUUAAAUCAUGGGAUGGUUUCGACAAUGGAUAUGGAAGAAAGGGUUCUUUAAAGCAAGCAGGAACCGAUAUUAGAAAAUAUCGACCCAAAUGCUUAAAGGCGUUCAAGGUGGAGGAUGAAAGUGAUAAACCUCGACCCGCUACUUAGCAAAGUAGGAACCUCGGUAUAAGGGUGAACGCCAAACUCGGUUGAGCGAUAAGUUAAAAAGAAGAACAAGGUUGACACCAACUAAGAACUAGAUAGGCCAACAAGUCUUCAACGAAAUAUGGGAGAAAGAUCCUCUCCAAAUAGUUUCAUUAACAAAGAAACAAUAAAACAAAGUUCAAAAAAACCCCUUUACAAAUGAAAGAAAACAAAUAUUUAUAGGCACAUAGAUGACCAUUCAAAUUCCGCAUCUAGGUGUUCACACAAUAAUAAAAACGUUCACACUAAUGUAUUAAAAUAGUUCAUAAAUUCGGCAGAUUCAUGCACUAGUUGAAUGGAAACUUUCUUCCCUCUAAGUGUGUGCAUGAAUGCUUAGUCAUAAAGAAAGGCUUCAAGUGACUUGUAUGUGCACCAAAGGUUGCAUUCAUCUCCUUGGGACAUUCAUGCACUUGUAUGGAACAUGUAUCUUCAUAAUUAAACACUUUAAUGGCAUGUAGGUUCAUAAAUGGCAGCAUGAACCUAGUAAAUUCGUUCUCCCCUUUGUGCAUGCACUUAAUUCAAUCAAUGUGUUGAAUUAUUGAGUUAAUUCCUUCCUUUGGACGUUCUUGAACCCAUCCAUGCAUGUGUAGUAGCUUAUAGGUCAAUUCAAAGCGUGAACAUGUUCAAGGAGCUCUAUGGUCAACAUAGAAUUAGUUAGCAGUUACUUCUUGGCCGAAUAAGUGCCUUGGAAAGUUAGGAGACAGCCACCAUACAUGCACUUAAGCCAUUCAUGCAUUUUAUCAUCCCAUGCAUUUGAUCCAUUCAUGGACUAGCCUUUAAUGUCCAUACAUGCAUUCGACACAUGCAUGAAUUUGUAGAAACCUUGCAUCUAGCUGUACAUGCACCAGCAUUUAAUACUUCUUCAUUCAUGAGUGUGGAAUGCCCAAAAGAGAUGUUUCUUCAUCCAUAUAUUGUGCCGUCCUUGAUCAUUGUAUCUACAAAAAAAAAGUAAAAUCAAAUUAUGAGACAUCAUGUAAACACAUUAAUGUCAUGCAUUAAAUUGGCUACAAUGUGAACAUAAUUAAAAUAUGUAAUAACUAUGACAUAUUAAAACAAAUAUUAAUAUAAAUCAAAUUUGAUGCUUAAAUAAUUAUGUUCAGAUUUUAUUUAAUGCAUUAAAGUCUAAAACCGGGUUUGAGCUAAAAUGAGCUAAGCUUUAGCCCUUAAGCUAAAGUUGAGCUGGGAUUAUACUCCUAAGCUGAAGUUGAGCUAAGGUUUAGCUCGUGAGCUGAAUAUGAGCUAGGAGUGAGCUUGGUUUAACUCAGGCAAGUUGGAUUGAGCUCGAAUAAGCUGGAUUUGAACUGGACGGAGCUCGUGGAACUGGAAACGAGCUGGGAUCAGCUUGCCAACAUGUCAAUGCUCGUCUUGACAGGCUUGCUCGAUAAAGUUCGCAGGGCGUGCUCGUAUCAACUGAUUUGUAUACCUUGUGUAUACUACCUGAGUAUCCAUCGAUAUUUCAAUAAUUCAAGGGAAUAAAUUCUUGACAUGAAAAAUUAUGAAAUUAAAAUAAGUGUGUAUCGAAUACUUCAGAAAUACUUGAAAGUUUGUAGCAUGAUGAGCUCAUCCAUGUUUAUUUGAUGUACAUGACGUAUGUGACUAACUUACUUAAUUAAGUGUAUGUGAUUAGGCAAAUUGCUAAUUUUUUAGGAAGCAUGUUAUUGAAUGCUUAUUUUAAUGAAUGAUAUUGGUAAGUUUAAUUUCUGUUAUAAAAACUUACUAAGCAUUAAAUGCUUACUAGGUUUUAUUUCCUCUAUUUUAUAAUGCUUAGAAGCUCGUAAAGGUUAGAGAUCGAUCGGAGCAUCUUCACACUAUCCUACAACUUGCUUUGGUAUAAAUAGUAAACUUAUUUUGGUAUAAUGGCAUGUAUAGGCUAAUUUUACCAAUGUUGGCAUGUAAGUGGAUGUUUGUAAUCUAGCCAUUGGAAUAGGUAGUGAUGGUAUGUUUUGGUACAUUUUUAAAAGGUUACAUUAUAAUUAACAUAUAUAUGUUUGGUAUGGUUAAUUGAAUUAUGGUAAGCUUAAAUAUUUUACAAAAAGGAAAGUUUAAACACAUGAAUUUAUAUAAGGAUGUUAUAUUAUACAUGAUAUUGAAGGUUGCUUGAUUUAUAUUACUUGAAUUGAUUGGAAAAUGUAUGCAAAUGUUGGUGUAGGUUGAAGGUUAAAUUUGGGUGAGAAAUAAGGCUAAGAAAUGACCUUAUUUUUUCCACACGGGCAUGUGUCUAGAUCGUGUGUGACAAAAGGCCUGGCACAUGGGCAUGUGGUUUGGUCGUGUGUCCCCUCCAUCUUAAAGUUUAGAAACAUAAUGCUCAUAAUUAGGCACACAGGUAGAGACAUGGGCCUGUGUCUUAGUAGUGUGUGACACAUGGCCUAGAACACAGGUGUGUGUCUUGGUUGUGUGAAUCCUACACCUAAUUUUUAAAAAUUAAAUUGACCAUACAGCCUAGCACACGGUCAUGUGGCUAGCAGUGUGACCCAAGUUAGAGAGUUACGUGGGUAAGGACAUGAUCUGGGACACAGUUGUGUGCCUCACAUCGAAUGCCCACACGGCCUGAGACAUGGGCAUGUCAUGUAACAGCCCAUUUUCGGUGAGAUCAGAACAGUGGUUUCAGGACCACAAAUCUGAGCUAAAAAUUUAAAAAUUUAUUUUAUCUUAUUUUAUUUUAUUUUAUGGUUGGCAUCAGGAUAGAAAGGUCACAUAAAAAUUUCGAUGCAAAAAUUUCGAUGCGAAAAUUUUAUCGAUUGUGUGGUUAAUUAGGUAAAGGACUAAAUUGCAUAAAAUGAAAAAUUUGGGUUCUAAUAGCUAUAGGUAUCAAUUAGCUAUGGAAUUUAAAUCUUAAGGUCUUUAUAUGGUAGUUAGAUCAUUGAAGGGUAGUUAGUAGAUAUUUUAAUGACUCAUCCAUGGAAAAAUUUAAAAUAGCUAGGAACCAAAUUGGAGAUCACUAAAAUAAAAAGAUGACAAAUACUUAAAUAGAAUCAUCAUCUUUUCUAUUCAUCUUCACCCCCAAAAUUUCUAUGGAAACCCUAAGAGAGAGGAUGAAAACUUUUCAAGCUCAAUAAGGUAUGAAAUCAAGUCUCGUUUUUAAUAAUUUUUUUAUUUUUGGAAUCAGGAUAACCUAAUGUCUCUAUUUAGGGGAUUAAUUUGAAAACUUAUCAAGGUAUAAAAUUUGGGUCAUGGAUGAAUAUGCUUAAAAUUAGAAAAUGAAAGUUUGUUCAUAGACAAACAACUUUUACAAAAAAAAUUUUGAUGAAAACUUGAUUUAGGGACUAAAAUGAAAAAGUGGUAAAAUCUAUGGAAAAUUCUGAAAUUUGUGAAAUGUAUGUGCUAUAAAUGUAGUAAAUGAAUUUUGGCUAGGCUUGGAAAGAGGGUUAAAUUUCGUGAAAUUCAUUUUUCGAGCCGAGGGACAAAAUCAAAAUUUUUGAAAUGAAUAAAGGCAAAAUGAUAAUUUUGCCUAGGACGUAAUAGAACGCAAAUGUGAUUGCAAUGUGAUAGAUUAAUAGUUAAAUUUAUCCAUAUAGAUCUGAAAAGACCAACCACCAAAUUAGAUUGAUGAAAGCAAAAGGUUUCGAAUUAGUAGAAACUAAAAAACGAACCAUUUUCAAAGUAAGUUUGUGUAACUUAAAAUUGUAUAUUAAUACGUUUCAAUUGAAUUGUAUGAUUUUUUUGUUAUGUAUGAGAUGAUAUAUAUACAUAUUGAUAUAGUUUUAAGUUGUGUAGUAUGGAAAAAUUAUCGAGUCCCUGUCGAAUGUUGAAUUUUGAUGGGUCGAAAAUAAUAGUACAUAUGUUGCAAAUAGAAUCUAGCUCGGACAGGUAAUUCUAAUGUAAGACCUUUUGAGUUAGACUAAAAAUUGGAUUUAGCCUGGACGGGUAAUCCAUAUUAAGUUCUUUAGAGCAUAUGCUACGGAUAGGAUUUAGCUUGGACUGGUAAUCCUACAGUAAAAUAUAUGACUCAAGGGUGUGUCUUUUUAUUAUGUACCUCAAUGGGCAAUUUUGCACAUGUGCAUAUUAUCAGAACAUCCAUCGAGAUUUCAAUAGUUUGAUGGAAAACACUCUUGAAGAAGUGGAAAGGUAAAAUUAAUGGAAGCUUGUAAUGUCAUGAGCUCAUCUAUGUUUAUUUGAAAUUCAUAUGAAAUUAUGUGACUUAACUUGUUUGAAUGAGUGCAUGUUUUUAGGUAACUUACUCAAAAUUGAUGGACUAUAUAUGUAUGUGUGCUUGUGUUAAUAAAUAAGACCGGUAAGUUUAUUUUCCAUUAUAUGAACUUACUAAGCAUAAAAUGCUUACUCCAUUUAUUUUUCCCUGUUUUAUAGUGUUCAAAACUCACAAAGGUUGGAAGCCGGUCGGAGUAGUCAUCACACUAUCCACUAUCUCAUUUUGGUAUAACUAGAAAUCUCAUUUUGGUAUAAUGGCAUGUAUAGGCUUAAUUGGGCAAUAAUGACUUGUAAUGGUUGUUUUAUAACCUAGCCAUUGGAAUGGCUAGUAAUGGUCUAAGUUUGGCCAUUUUAAAGUGAUGUUUUGAUAAUUAUAUAAGUGCUUAUUAUGUGUUGGUUUGAUGAGGUUGUGUUAGAAUACGAGGUUAUAACAUGAAUAAGUUAUAUAUAUUGAUGCAUGAGAUAUUACUAUAUGAUUGAUGACAAAUUUCUUGUGAAUAUGAUGUUGGAUAUGUCGAUGUAUGCUUGUGUGUUUUAGUGCAGAAAAAUGGUUAAUUUGGGUGACAAAUCAGGCUAGGAAAUGACCUCAUUUUCUCCACAAGGGCAGACACACGGCCUGUCCCAUAGGCGUGUGGUCCAGCCGUAUGUUCCCUAUAUAAAAAAAAUGCAAAACAUAAUGCUCAGAAUUGAGCACACGGGCAGAGACGCGGGCGUGUGUCUCAACCGUGUGGACCGCACGGCCUCAAACACUGGCGUGUGCCCUGGCCGUGUGAAGUUUGUACCUAAUUUAUGAAAAUUAAUUUUCCACAUGGCCUAGAACACGGGCGUGUGACUUGGCCGUGUGAGCUCAAUUUGGUCAUGCGUUACAAGUUAGAGAGUUACACGGGGUCGGGACAUGGGCGUGUGUGUCCAUACUGUAACAGACCGAUUUUGGGGCUAGUCGGAACAGUGGUUUCGGAACCACAAAUUUGAAGUAGGAAAAUUUUAUUUUAUUAGAUUUUUAUGGUCUAUAGUUCCACAGAAUGAUUUUGUAAAAAUCUUGUUCAAAAAUUUUGACGUUUGGGCACUCAAUUUAGUAAAAAGGACUAAAUUGUAAAAAGUGCAAAAGUCGAGUUCUACAUGCUAAAAGUGUCCAAUUGCUAUGAGAUUUUAAAUUAGAGGUCCUUAUGUGAUAAUUAGACCAUUUGUUAAGUUAGUGGACAAAAACUGGACAUGGUGAGAUAAAAUUUUAAAGUUUGGCAAAAAGGGCAUUUUGGUCAUUUGGUAAAGAAAAGAAUAAAAAGGGAAAAUAAAGCCAAAAUUGUGUCCAUCUUCUUCAACCUUGGCUGAAAUUUCCAAGCUCUUCAUAGCUAGGGUUUUGUCAUCUUUCAAGCUUGAUAGUAAGUGCAUUCUAGCCCCGUUUUUAAUCCUCUUUACGUUUUGAAGUAGGGUUCAUGUUUAAAAAUUUAACCAUGGGUGACAUGCAUGUGUUUUGAUUUUUAAUGGUAGAAAAGGAAAGUUUGAUGUGUAAUAAACAACUUUUACUAAGUGAUUUUUCAUGAAAAUACCUAAAAAGGACCUAUUUGUAAAAAGUUGUCAAAUGGGUAGUAAAAAUCUGAUUUAAUGAAAAAUUUGGGCUGAUAUGAGCGUGUUUAUGGUUCGGCUAGGAUUAGGUAACAAAGAAAUUGAAUACAUUUCAUUUCAUGAGCUUAAGGACUAAUUUGUAAAAAUGUGAAACUUUAGGGGCAAAAAGGUAAUUUUCCAUAGUAUGAUUUUUGGACUGAAUUGAGUUAUGUUAAUAAUGAGUAAGGUAAAUUUGCUAUUAUAAAUCAAGAACAAUGAAGUUCAGACCUUGAUCGGGGAAAGAAUAAGGUGUUUAAUGAUUAAAUCCAUUUAUACUAUUUUUAUACCGAGGUAAGUUCGUAUGUAAAUAAUGCAUUAUUAUUUAUGCUUUAAUUGCAUUAUUAUUGUAUGAAUUGGGAUUUACUCUUUGAAUGAAUUCGACAAAGUUCGACAAGCGAGAAAAACUCGAUUGAACCUUAGGAAUAGUUAGGAUACAAAUGUUAUGACAUUAAGGUUAGUUGAAACUACGUGUAAAACCAUAUUUGGGAUAUGGCAUUGAUAUGAGACUUCGUGUAAGACCAUAGCUGGGCUAUUGGCAUCAAUAUGAGAUUCCAUGUAAGACCAUAUCUGGGAUAUGGCAUUGGUAUGAUAAUAUGCGUGUGAGAUUUCCCGAGUAUCCUUUAGUAUUCCAAGUGGUUCAAUGGGAAACUUAACAGCAAUGUUUAAGUUGUGAAAGACUAUGGUAUGUUGUGUAAGAUUGUGGUAAGUUGCAAGUUGGUACAGGUAUGUAAAUAAAACCCAUGCUUAAUGAGCUCGAUAUGUGAUGGACCCUUGGUGAGGUAUGAUUGAGUAAGCUAUGAUGUUAAGGUUUUAAUAACAUCUAUGUUAAGUUUGAUAAUCAAAGUUUACAAUGAUAUUUAUGUUAAUUUACUUCAUGUUAAAUUUAUGCUAAAGUGUAUAUGAUGCCUAUUAUUUGCAUUGUAACACCCCUCGCCCGUAUCCCUCACCGGAACAGGGUUCGAGGUGUUACCCGACUUAAACUCAGUCAAUCACACAAAAACUGUGCUGAAAAAUUUCAAUCAAUUUAAAACUUUCUUUUCACAUGCAAUCUAUCCCAUAUAUGAGCUUACGAGGUCCAAAACAUUAUAACCCUAUACAUGCCAUAGACUCGAAAUACUAGGAUUUACUUACACCGAUACGUGAGCUCGACAGUGUGAUAAUAUCUCCGCUGAACUCCAACUCGAGCAGGUAACUGAAGUCAACAAUCUAUAAAAUAGAAAAAUGUAACAACGGAGUAAGCUUUCAUAAGCUUAGUAAGCCUUAAGCAAUGCAAACAAAUAAACGCAAUUAUACUUCGAUUAUUUAAUUUCUUAAGAGGGCAAAUUCUAGGGAUAUUGCCAUCUGGCCGAAUAUACACAAGCACAUAAUGCACAUUCAGCAUUCUUAUCACACUUAAUCUGAAUUCAUAUAACAUAUUUAAAUCAAAUACCCUCACAUACUUUCACACCCUGACCAGGUGUAUCAUGAUCAUAGGUAUAGUUUUAACAUUUAUUCACGUACGUAUCACAUUACUCACUUAUGAUUCACUUCAAAUCAAACUCACAUCUGAGUACAUACUGCGUACCUGGCCCACUUUACGUAUUAAAUGUAUUCAUUUGACAAUCUAGCACAAGGUACCUUAGUCAUAGGCUUUUCUCAAAUCACCGGCAUUUCGCCUACUAGGCUCGAGGCCCGAUAUCAUUUCACCGACUUUAUAGCCUGUUAGGCUCGAAAGCUCGAAUAGUAUCAUACCGAAAUUAUAGUCUACUAAGCUCAAAGGCUCGAAUAAUCAAAUCAACAAGUUCCAUAUAACAUAUUCAUAUCAAUUGAGUACUAACAUCAUUUGAACGUAUAUAAUUAUACAUCUCAAACACUUUUCUUUCAUCUCAUUUUCACACUUAACCUUUGAUAGCUUAUGCAUAACAUUUCACUCACAUUCAUUUCAAACUUAUCAUUCCAUUAUAAAAGCACAUUGCAUAUUUACCAACAUGUUAUACUUGCCAUUAGGCCAUAUAAGCAUGAUACAAUACACUAUCAUUUCAUCUUUAACAUUCGGCUAAACCCUUAUCUUACAAGGAACACCGAAUUCACAUAACAUAUCAUUUCACCGGCAUUACGCCUGCUAGGCACGAAGGCCCGAAUACACAUCACCGGCACGAAGCCUGCUAGGCACGAAGGCCCGAAUACACAUCACCGGCACAAAUCUUGCUAGGCACGAAGGCCCGAAUAUACAUCACCGGCACAAAGCCUGCUAGGCACGAAGGCCCGAAUAUACAUCACCGGCAUGAAGCCUGCUCAGCACGAAGGCUCGAAUACAGAUCACCGGCACGAAGGCCCGAAUAUAAUACUAGCACUAGGCCUGCGGGAUUUAUCCCUGAUAUAAUACCAGCACGAAGCCUGCGGGAUUUAACCCGGAUAUUUUACCAGCACGAAGCCUGCGGGUCUUUAAGCCCGGAUACACAUCAAAUAUCAUGCAUAUUUAAUCAUAUAUUAACACAUCUCAUUCAACAUAUCACAUUUCUAUUUCACCAUUCAAACUUAACCCAUAGUGACCAUUCGACUAUAAGUCAUAUGCAUAAAUUAUUUAUCGCGCAACUUAGUUCAAGUAGAACCAAAAGGUCACGAUUCAUCUAAUAUAUACAUAUUGCUCACUGAUUCGCACACAACCUUUCAAAUUAGCAAUUAUAAGAUGGUUCCGCACAUAGCCUAUCCUUAUCGAUAAUUUACGAUGGUUUUACCCUUACUCACAUAUAUGUCAUAGGCAUUUUUACCUAUGCUUCUCAAUUCACAUUCAUGAUUCAAUUCCAAUCGAUUUAACAUGCCUAAGUACAUAUCGCAUACCUGAAUAAUUUACUUUACGGAACGAAUCCACAUAUCGUAUUAGCCCAUAGUCUUAUAGCACCACACUUUUAAUGGUUUACCUCAUCGAAGUUCACAUUUAAUCACUUUAGUGCCAAGCCAUAUUCGGCUACCACAAAGGACUAAUAAUAAUAAUUUUAUACACAUCAUGGUUUCUUUUAAGUAUUUAAUAAUCACAAAUCGUGAUAUCUCCACCAGCACAUAUACGGCAUAGUUUAUUCAUUGUAACACUCAUUUAGUGCAUCAAAUUUCCAAAUCCAAUUCAACUUAAGCAUAAUAGCCAUAAUCGGCUUAUAGCCUUAAAUCAUUACAUAUUCGGCACAUUAACUAAAUAAAAUUUACAUUCCCUUUACCAUAUUAAUUUAACUCUUGGGCAUAUAAAAAGGAAUCAAGCUUAAACACUUAAGAACUUACCUCGAAUGUUGCCAAACGAUUACAACGGCUAUUCGAUUACUUUCUCUUUUCUCUUAUCCGAAUUUGCCCCUCUAUGCUCUUGAGCUUAAAAUUUAAAGAUUUUAAACUAGUCAUUAUUCGACUAUUCAAGCAUCACUUUCAAAAUAUAAUAUAUAUAUUCAAAUUUCACACCUAGUGAUCAUAGUAAGCUUAUAAGAAAUCAAUAAGCAACUCAUUAACAAAUUUUUGUUAAUGUUUACCACAUAAUCAUAAUUUCACUGCAAGCUGUCUUCCUGAGUAAUAGUCACUAAAUCAUUUAUAACUGGAGCUACAAAACUCCAAAUUAAGUGCUGUUAAUUUUAUCUGAAAAUAAACCCAUAUAUAUUUUACCCAUAAAAUUUUCAGGAUUUUUGGUUUGGCCAAUCAAUACCAGAUUUUUCUUAAAGUUUCCCUUAUUUCACUGCUUGACUAAUCUGACCACUCUUCACUACAAAUCAAAUUUCUCAUUGUACAGAAUUCAAAAUAUUUUCUCGUUUAUUUCAUUUGAAACUAGACUCAUUAAGGGGUCUAAGCAUAUAAAAUUCAUCUUAUAACCAUUUUUUUACAAUUUAUAAUGAUUUUAUAAAUACAGAACAGAGGAUCUAGAAGUCAUUCUGACCCUGUCCCACAUCACUUCAAAUAUAUCAUCGUCGGAAAUUCUUUUGCUUACACGGUUUCUUUUAUAAGAAACUGGACUCAUUAAGCUUUAAUUACAUAAUUUAUUCGGCUUCUAACUCAUCUCCCACAAUUUAUGGUGAUUUUCAAAAAUCACGUUACUGCUGCUGUCCCAAGCAGAUUUAUUACCAAUUCACUCUUUCACACAUACCUUGCAUGCAUGUUAUUUAAACAUGCAUAUCACAAAUCAAUCCUCACAUACCUAUAACUUCACUUAAGCAUAAUCUUUCUUUCAUCAUUUUAAAGCACAACAUUACUCAAUAUUAUCCAAGUUCACAUUCGGCCAUAAUACACACAAUAUGUUAGCCGAUUUUCCCCCCUUAGCAUCUAAGGCACAUGCAUGCUCAUUUGCUUGGCUCAACUUCAUCUAUUCUCCAUUUUUUAUAAAAAGAACAUGAAACAACAACCAUUUCUCUCAUUUCCAUUCAUGAUCGAAUGCUCACAACACAACCAAAAAUCAAAAAUAUGCAUCAUGGGUUAAGGUAGAAACAAGAAAAACCCAUGAACAUCAAAAUAGAAGCAAAGCACCAUGAACUCACCUUGGAUUUUCUUCCCCAAGUGACUGAACAUUCAAGAGCUCUUUUCCUCUCCUUUCUCUUCUAUUUCCGGCUGCCAUGAACAAGGAGGGACAAACUUUUCCCUUCCAUCAUUUUGUUAUUUUUAGUCUUUAUUUUAUGACAUAAAAUGACACAUAUCAAUUAGUACCAUAACUUCAUGUCUUAAAUUAUUAUUAUCUAAUGCACAUGUUGCUUCCCACCAACAUCAUGGACGGCCACUACACAUAAAAUGGGGAGUUUGACAUGCAAAUCCUCCCAUUUUACACUACAAAUUAUUUGCCCACUACAAUUUGGCCUAUAGCAUUUUCAGAAAUUUUCACAUAGGUCCUAUUUCAUAAUUUUACUCUCAAAUAACAAAAUCAAAGCAUGAAAUUUUCACACAUGCACUUUCACAUAUAAUAAACACAGAGUAUAACAUUUAAUUAUUUCUGUGACUCAGUUUUGUGAUCCCAAAACCACUUUCCGACUAGGGCCAAAUUAGGGUUGUCAUAUGCAUAGGAACUUACUAAGCUUUAAAGCUUGAAACCACUUUCCGACUAGGGCCAAAUUAGGGUUGUCACAUGCAUAGGAACUUACUAAGCUUUAAAGCUUACUCCCCUUUCUUUUUCCCUUGUCUUAUAGUGUCAUCAAGCUAGUUCGUGGAUCGAAGAUGAUCGGAAAUCCAUCCACACUAUCAGUAUCAUUUCGGGUACUUAUGAUUUCAUUAUUUUGAGUAUGGCAUGUAUAGGGACUUGGUCAUUUUGUUAUGUGUCACAUUCGAUUUGGCCAAAUGUUUUGGCUUAUAAUGGUUGAUAAUUCAUUUUGUAAAUGGCCAUUGAAAUUGGCUAAUAUUAGUUAAGUAUAUAUAGAUAUGAUGAUGUUUUCAUGGAUGUGAGAAUUUGCAUGGAUUGAAUUGAUGAGUAGGUGAUGUUUUUCAGUGCUAGAUGGUUGCAUGUAAAUGAUAUAUUGAUAUCUUGUUUGUGGCUAAAUUGGUUGUAUGAAUAUGCUUGGAUUGGUGUUGCUUGUUGUUGUGUAGGUUGGUGCAUGUAAAGGUGGCAAAAUGACUUGGUAGAUAGUCUUAUUUUUGCCCACAUGGACAGAGAAACGGCCGUGUGUCUCAACUGUGUGAGGGACACAACCAAGGGACAUGGGUGUGUGCCCAGGGCGUGUGAUGUCUGCACCUAUUUUAUGAAAAAUUAUGGAAAUUAAAUCGCCCACACGGCCUAAGCACACGGGCGUGUGACUUGGCCGUGUGACUUCAAUUUGUUGAUGACGUUAUAAAUAGAGAGUUACACAGGCUAGGGGCACGGCGUGUGUGAUCACACGGGCUACCGACAUGGGCGUGUUCCAAGCCACACGAGCAUGUGACCCCUGUUUUAGCAAAGCUUCUCUAAGUGUCGUAAAAUUUUCUAAAGUUCUCAGUUUAGUCUCGAACCACUCCUAAUGCAUGUUUUGGGCCUCGUAGGCUCGUUUUAGGGACGAUAUGAAUGUAUAGGAAAAGUUUUAAAUUUGAGUGGAAAUUCAUGUCUCUGUUUUAAAUGUUUGUUUGAGUUUAAGUUCAGUAAUACCUCGUACCAUGUUUUAGCAUCGAAUAUGGGUAAAGGGUGUUACAUACAUGGCCUGCCCACACGGGCGUGUCCCAUAUCCUCACAGGUGUGUGACUCCUAUUUAGUGAAAAAUUUUCUAAGUUUUGUAAAAUUCUCUAAAGUUCUCUGUUUAGUCUCGAACAACUUCCAAUGCACGCUUUGAGCCUUGUAGGCUCGUAUUAGGGACUUUUUGGUUAAAUGCAAAUAGUUUUAAUUUGGACGCAAAUUUAUAACCCGAAAUUGUAUGUUUGUUCAUGUGAUAAGCCCGGUAAUUCCUUGUACACUGCUCCAGCAUCGAAUACGGGUAAGGGGUGUUACAUGUCACUUGGCUGUGUGAGCAACAUUGCCUAGUCACAUGGGUGUGUGACCCCUGUAUAUAAGAAAAAAUUUGAAAUUUUGCAUAAAAUUUUCUAAGAUCUCGAUUUAGUCCCGACUUGUUUCUAAUGCUUAAAUUGGACCUCGAGGGUCCAUUCAAGGGACAAUAUGAUUAGUUUCGAAUAUGAAUAGUAAAUGGUAUGAAUUAUCUAUAAAUUGUUCUGUAAACUCUGGUAAUGCUCCGUAACCCUAAUCCAGCGACGGGUACGAAUUAGGGCUGUUACAAUUGGGAUCCCGAAUUUGUCACAACAUUAUGCACUUGAUGAAGGAAAUCCCAAUUUAUAUUUGUCAUCAUGGCAAAGUACUAAUCUUCUUCAACAUCAAGUAGGUUAAAUGAAUCAUUAAUGGACUUAAAGGGUAUGUUAAAUAAAUCCCAAUUUAUAUUUUUCAUCAUGACCGUGAAACAUUCAAAAUAGCCCUACAUGCCCGUGUUCCAGGCCGUGUGUUUAGCCGUGUAACUAUUGACUUGCAUGCAAUAAAUCCUAUAGGAAACACACGGCUGUGUCACCAGGCCAUGUGUUGCAUACGGCUGAGUUACACACCCGUGUCUCAGGCCGUGUGGACAUGAAUUUUCCCAAAUUCAAGCCAUUUCCAAUACCAAACCAUGCAUACACCUAAAGGCAUUUUGUGCACAAAUCAAGACAUAAAAACCUUACCUAAACAUGCAUAUAAUGACCAAUUCAAUAGCCUCAAAACAACCAACCAAUAUGCCAUUUCAAGGCACCUCACAAGAAAUAUCAAAGCUUACCUACACAUACAUAUUUAUUCACAUUUCCAUCAUCAAACAUGCUACAAUUAUGGCUAUUAACACUUCUAUCCCAAAAUAUGUCAUUUGAACUAUUCAAAACAUGCAACAUGAUAUAGUCACAACGACACAAACUAGCAAAGUAUCAAAAGUACCAACAUAGUUAACUUACAUAAAGUAUACAUACCAAAACACUUUCUAACCAUUUUCAAACUUAAUAGCCUAGUUCAAAUAUGAACUAAAACAUGUCACAAGUAACCAUUUUCAAACUCUCAUCAACAUGCCAAAUGAAUCAUAUCAACAAUCACUUUAAAGUAAUAAACAUCACAUAACUUGGUAAGGUAUCAAAGUGUACCUAACCAUUAUAACUUUUCAAAGCUUACAUAUACCAAAACAUGAUUAACACACGCACUAUAAUACCAUUACAAAUCAUCCUAUACAUUCCAUUAUUAACCUUAUCCAAAAUACUCAACAACUAUCAAAUUGUCCAAUGGUUAGUGUGAUAGAUCUCUGACAAACUUCUAAUCGAUUGAGCUUCUGAUAAUCUACAAAGUAAAGGAAGAAUAAUUACGUAAGUAAUGAGUGCUUAGUAAGCUCGUAUAAACUUUAACAUAAUAUACCAUUUAAAUAAUGAACUUCACAAAAUUAUAUAAACCUUUACCAAUUCCACAAGAUUAAUAAAGCCUAUAUAACAUCAACAAACUCUCAAGUUAGCAUACUUGUUCAAGAUACAUAUGAAAUUAACCAUAUAUAUAUAAACAUAACAUUUAAUUUAUCAUUGUUUCCAUACGAUCUUGUUUCAUUCCAUUUGCUUACUUACUGUUUCCAAUACCAUGAGUUUAAUAUAAGUCUAUUCAAGCAUCAUCGAACUCACAUGUUAAUAGAUUUAUUAACAAUCAUAUAAAAUCAAAUAUAACAUAAAUAACUUUCAUAGAAUACAUUACAUAAGCAUAAAUCUUUUCUUAUAAUUAUGAACCUUCCAUUAAGUCACUUACCAUUCCAUUCCUUUUCUUACUUAUUUCAUUUGCAUAGUAUAAUGUAUAAACAUAAAAAUCAACCAUAUGUGUUCCUAUCAUCCACAAUCUCAAUCGAUAUAUCACAUACAUUCAAUUUAAUACUCAAAUGUAUAGCAAAUCCAUCAAAUUCAUUAAAGAAAUUACCUUACUGAGAUUUUUAAUUCGAAGAACGACUUAGGGAUAGGAGCACAUCGUCAAUCCAACCAUAACACGCCAGAUGCCCAUACGAGUUAAUCCCUAUGAAACACACCAAAUGCUCACAAGAGCUAGUCCAAUCGAAACACACCAAUGCUCAUAAGAAUUAGUCCAACUGAAACACGCCAAAUAGAGAGUAUAACAUGAGAGUUUGCAACAAAUGCUGAACCUCGAUUUAUUUGGGAAAUAAAUAUAUACAUCCCUUCAAAUCGUCUCCAUUCCAAUCCCCCACAACACACUAUAUCACAACUAUCCUCUAUCCCGCGUUCAAUUCAAUCCGAACAUCAAAUUGAAUAACAUAUCUCAAAUAAUCAAUUCAUUAUCAAUAGUUGAAUAUAUAUUUUAUAUCAUGUUAUACUAUUCAACAAUUCAUAUAGAUGUCAAAAUUUUAAACCGUACAAACUUAUCUAGAUUGAAUUGUAGUGGUUGUAGAAAUUCAGGGACUAUUCUGUAAUUUUUCUUUUUCCACGAGUAGAAAUUCAACAAUUCAUAUAGAUGUCAAAAUUUUAAAUCGUACAAACUUAUCUAGAUUGAAUUGUAGUGGUUGUAGAAAUUCAGGGACUAUUCUGUAAUUUUUCUUUUUCCACGAGUAUCUACAGGAUCAUGAUCUAAAAUGUGAAAUUUCUCAAUUAUUGGCUUACAUUUCACAUUCCAAAUCAUUUUAUAAUUAAUAACCUUUUAUUUUUGAAAUUCAUACAAUUACCCUAUACUUUUAUAAUCUUUUUAAUUUAGUCCCUUAACCCGAAAUUUAUCAAAUUAACCAUUUUUCUCAAGUCAAUACUCUAUCCAAAUCUGCUAGGCCCUUAAACAGUCCCUAAUGAACAUUAAAUUUUCUAUCAAACCCUAAAAUUUGACAUUUUAACAAUUUAAUCUUAAAACCAAAAUCUAACAAAAAUCACUUUACAAAAUCAUCAAACAACACAAUAAAAGUUCAAAAUAUAUGGUAUUCAUCAUAAACAUUCAACAUUCAUCAAUGGAAACUUCAAAAAGUUUUAACAAAAUCAAAAACGAAAGUACAGGCUAGUUAGACCUAGUUGCAAUGAUCUCAAAAACAUAAAAAUUACAAGAAAUAAGUCAGAAUUAAGCUCAAAUGAAAGAAACGAAGCUUGAAGCUCUCCCUAAUGGUGAAUUCAACCGAGGUUGAAGAAAAAUGAAUAGGAAUUGUUUAGUUUUACAAUUUGCUUCACUUAAUUUCAAGUUAUUUACCAUUUUGCCAUUAAUUGCAUAAUAUUUUUGUCUUUUUCCUUACUAAUAUCGUCCUUCCACAUUAAUUAAGGCCUAAUUACCAUAUCGCUCCUUUCUCAAUUAAUAAUUAAGCCAUUUAGUCAUUAAAUGCAUUAAUUAACAAAUUUUACACCUUUUACAAUUUAGUCCUUUUUAAUUAAUUAUCUAAACAUUAAAAUUUCUUAAUGAAACUUUAAUAUAACAUUAAUAACACUCCACAAAUAUUUAAUAAAAUACUUACAGUUCGUUUUAUAGAAAGGAGAUCCUAAUACCUCAUUUUUUAAAACUACUUGACUUUAAGGUCAUACUACUUGAACCUAAUUGUUCUCUCAAAUAGCAUAAAUUACCAAUUAAACAUUUAUUUUAAUACGAUAUUUGACUCGUGAAUAUUAAAUAAUAGUAUUUCUGAACUCGCUCGUCAAAUUUGUGGCCUCGAAACCACUAUUUUUGACAUCACUGAAAAAUAAGCUGUUACAGGGGAACACUUAUAGAUGACAAUGUAAGUGAAUUUCUCCUCUUUGCUGUUUCAGGCCUUGACCCAAAUUGUAUUUACAAUCUAGAUUGCUUAAGAUAAAAUAAACUGAUUAGUACCUGGGCCAAAUUGACCCCCUUAUUGAACAUAAAAUAAAAAUAAAAAUUGGAAAUAAAAAUUAAAAUGGAAAUGAAAAUUUUCUUUUAGGCAACUUAGAAAAAUUUUUCUAAAAAUAUUACAUCAAAUUAAAUUCCCAAGAAAGGUUGGAGGGGUAACAAAUGGUCCCACUUAAGUUCCAAUAUUCUUAGACAGAUUUAAUUUGAAGAACUAAUUCAAGAAAAAUAAUUUCUAAGCAUGCCAUUUAUUCAAAUGAGAGAGAAAAAAACUGAAAAUAAAUUAAUGACAGAGAGAGAGAAGAGGACUCCCUCAAUGUUAUUAAUGAUUUUCAUUGACAAAGGCAAUGUUGAACGGCCAUUUAUUAUACCAACCAUAUCCAUCUAGAAAGAAGAACUAAUGUUGACCAGUAAUUAUAUUAAUAUUUGCUGAAAAAAUAGCAGUAGGAAAUAGUCUUUCUAUUUUGUCUUCUCGACUUUCUGCCAUUUGUACAAAUCUGCCUUCCCAUGAUGAUCUUUAAUGAAAUCAGCUCAUUUUUCGUUAUACCUUCUUUCUUUGGUACAAGUCCUAACCACUGAAUGUCAUAGAUGGGAUCCAUGAUCCUUGAUUUUAACCAUUGAAACUCAAAUUUCCCAAGAUAAAAUACUCGAGAUUGAAUUGAACUCUUCUAUCCCUUGAAAUAUCCCUUUUCAGUAUUUGCAAGAGUCCACUCGAUACCUUUCUCAUGCCUUUUCAAAAUAUCAAGUCCAACUUUGGUGGCCCUUCUUUUGAUGGGUUGGUUUGCUUGUACUUAUGUGAUGAUAGCUCUAUUGACUCAAACUGAACUUUUGAACUGAAUCUUUCCAAGGUAGCUUCCAAGCAUGUAUUUCAUCUUGAUGUGAAGAGUCAUAUGAAAUACCUUCCAAUGGAUCUUCUAUGGAAACGGUAAAAUAAUCUUUAACCUCAUUAGAAGAACUUACGGCCUUAAGUAUAUUAAAGGUUACUUGUUCAUCUUGAACUUGCAUGAUGAUUUCACCUUUCUCUACAUCAAUUCUCGUCCUAUCUAUUUCUAGGAAAUGCUUUCCAAGGAUGAUUGGUACUUCCUUAUCUGCUUCAAAAUCUAAGAUAAUAAAGUCAGCAAGAAAUAUGAAUUUAUCGACACAUACCAAGACAUCCUCAAUUUUUCCUUCUGGGUAUGCCAAAGAUUGAUCCACCAAUUGGAGUUUAAUAGUAGUUAGUCUAGCCUUACCAAUACCUAAUCGUCUAAACAUAGACGUAAACAUUAAAUUGAUACUCAAUCCCAAAUCACACAAAGCCUUACCACAAUAGGAUUAUCCAAUAUUGCAAGGUAUGAUGAAACUUUUUGGAUCCUUCAACUUAGGAGGCAACUUGUUCUGGAAAAAUAAGCUACAUUCUAUAGUCAGGCCUACAGCUUCAAAUUCCCCAAACCUUCUCUUCUUAAACAAAAAUUCUUUCAUAGCUUUCACAUAGUUCGGCAUCUGCUCUAAAGCUUCUACCAACGGGAUGUUGAUAUGUAGUUGUUUCAACACAUCCAACAUUCUCUUAAAUUGAGUAUCCUAUUUAUGUUGCUAGAGUAUUUGAGGAUAUAGAGGUUGUGGAACUUUGGCUUGGAUUGGACAGCUCUUCCAAGGUAAUAUUUCUGCAUCUAAUGAAGAGGUUAGCUUAUUAGAAUUCACUAGUUUAGAUUUUACCCAUUUAUAAUUUACAGAAUUUGGCUUCUCUGGUGCAAGAAUUUCAACUGUUGGUUUAUUUUUCUCUUUUUGGGGAGGUCCAUCUUCAACCUCAACCAUAUUGGGUUCAAAAGUCUUUCUGCUUCGUAAAUUGACCACUUUUCAAUUCUCCUUGCUUGAUUUUCUUAGGUUCUCCAUGACACUGGGCAAAGCUCCUUAUGGUCUAUUUCGAAGUUCGUUGGCUAGCUGCCCAAUCUAGUUCUCCAAAAUUCUCAAAGUUGUGUAUGCUUUUAAUAAUUUCUCAAGAUUAGAAGACUCGGAUGAUAGAUGAUUUUCUAUGUUGUUUGGUACAGCAUCUUGGGGUCCAUUUCUAAACUCAUCAGCUAAUUGUCCCACUUGAUUUUCACAAUUCUCCAAUGUUGUUGCCUUGCCUUCAAUCAAGGCAUUAAUUUUAGCAAUGCAUGCCUUCAAUAAAUUCUCCAAAUUAUUUGAAGGUUCAACUUGCGAUGGGUUUUAAACUUGUUAAUUGAAACCAAGAGGUCGAUUUGAUCGAUGUUGCAUGUAAGUGUUGUUCUGUCCACCUCCUUGGUAGUGAAUUGAUGGCUGAGCUACAACAUGAUUUAAACUUUUAGUAGUAAACUGUUUCAACUUUGAAAAGAUAGACGAUACCUGAGCUGGGAGUGAAGUAAGGACAUCUACUCCAUGCACUAUGGCUACUCUUCUUCCUAAAGCUGCUUGAUUUGUCGGCCACUAGUAAUUAUCACUGGCUAUUCUCUCAAUUCUUUCAUAAGCCUCAUUAUAAGAUUUCGAUAAAAUAGCACCAUUUACAAAAGUAUCUAACACCAACCUUGUGUAUAUGUUGAGACCAUUAUAAAACGUCUCCAACUAAAUGCAAUGAGGAAUCCCAUGACAAGGACACUUACGAAGUAAUUCCUUAAAUCUUUCCCAUGCCUUGUAUAAGGACUUCUCAUCCAAUUGUUGAAAAAUGGUGAUCUCCUUUCGUAACUUAGCAUUUUUGCUAGGUUCGAAAUACUUUACUAGAAACAAUUCAAGUAAUUCUUGCCAAGUAGAAAUUAAGUUGGAUGGCAACGAAUUAAUCCACACUCAUGCUCGAUCUCACAACGAGUAAGGAAACAACUUCAACUUCAGUGCAUCUUCAAUUACACUAGCUAUCUUGAAGGAAUCACUCACCUCCAUAAAUAAUCGAAGGCAAAAAUAUGGAUCUUCUGUGGGCAUUCCACUGAAUUGGCCUAUUGCUUGAAGCAUUUGAAACAUCACAGGCUUCAAUUCAAACUGCGGUGCCCCAAUCUCUAGUCUCUUAAUUCUUAAAUUUAGUUCAUUAAGAAGUGGCACGGCAUACCGUUUUAUAGGUCGGUCCCUAUCAUCAGCAUAAGGAUUGGAUUUCGAGCAUUAGCGGCUCUAUUCCCUUGAACAUCAUUUUGAUUCUCAUGGUCCAUUUUUGCAUCUUGUCUCUAGUCUAAUAUUUCUCAUCAUCUUUUUUGAAAUGCCUGCUCGAUUUCAAGGUUUAUAGGGACUAAAUCGAUGAUUCGAUCUAUGCUUAUUACGACCUAGAAAGAAAAUAAAAACAUAAAAAAGAGAAAAAAUUAAAAAAUUAAUUAGUAAAUUUAGAAAUUAAAUAAAAAUAAAAUAAAAACCAAAUUGCAAAAAAAUCUCACAAAAAUGAUUAAGGCAACAGUCCCCGGCAAUGGCACCAAAAACUUGUAAUGGGGUCUGUGCAAGUGUACAUAAUUGUUCAAGUAAUAAGUAAGUAAAAUGAGUUAUCGUCUCUACAGGGACUAUAUAAGCUUAACUGAAUAUUUUUAAAAUUAUACCUUUACAAUUUGAUGUAAAAAUUCAAUAAUUUGGAUGGUGAUGAUUAAACCAAGUAAAUUAAUUAGAUGCAAAGAUUGAUCCCUAUGCAAUUCUAAUCUAAAUGCAAUUUACCUAAAUGAAUGAAUGAAUGGCUUUAGCAACAAAAACAGUCAACAUUAAAUGGGCUAGGAUAAUUAUAUUAAUCAAUUCAAUUUACUUUAUCAUACUUAACAAUGUUCGUAAAUACUUCCACAACAAUUCGAUCUUUCAUGAGUUUGAAAAUCAAAUUAAGUCCUUUCGGAGUCUUUUACUUAGUUAAGUAUGCAUUUUAGUGAUCAUAUUAACUAAUGGUUUCUUAGAAUUUAUGUAAGGUCACAAGGACAAUUACAUUUGCAAAAAUUUAAUUACAUAAACCUAAAAAUUAUGCAAGGCAAUAGAGCUAACUAAAGAUAUUACAAACCUCAACUUGGUCAGGUUUAAGGAUCUAAAUUGAGCAUUGCACUUUUCAAUUAUGUGUCUACUAGUCAUCGUCUGGUUAGGAUCACUCAACUAAUCUGAGUGCACCCAAUCACGUAUGAAUGAAAUGCAUCAUGAUGUUAAUUUAAAACAUGAUUGACUGAGGCCUAAACAUGUUCAACAUGAAUAAAAUAGAUCUUAUUGAAUUAACAACAUCAUCCUAGCAAAUAGGGUUUAAAAUAUCAUCGUUGAUGUCAAAAACAAUAAACUCAAAGCAAACAUGAUUAAAUUAAAUAAAAAGAGGAAAGAGUAAACCUAUUCAUUUUAGUAGCCUUUCGGAUCUAUUCUGACUGAUUCCAUUCAGUAGCCUUUUGAAUCUAUUCUGACUGAUGCGCUCCUCCAUUCUACUCAAUACUUCUUUUGCUAAAGAGUUCCUAAGGUGGUCGACCAAAGAAUGCUUUUGACAAAGCUUUUGUGGCUAUGCAAGAGAAGGAAAAUGGAAAUGAAAUGUGGAGAAAAUGCUAAUGAGAGAAGAGAAAUGAGUAGUGAGGGAUGAGGGAUUAAGGGAUUGGUGCAUGGUAUUUAUAGGUAAAGGUAAAGGGUAGAGUUAGCUAAAAAUAGAUUCAAAAUUCCUUCAUUUUCUACCACACAUGCCUGGCCAUAUUUCAAGGAGUAGGGGAUGACUAAGUCUCCUGAAUUUGAAUUCAAACCAAGGCUAUUAUAGCCAUAGGGUGGACAGUUUUAAUAGCAAGUUGUUGGGCUGAUUUCUGAUUAUUUUCCAACUGUAAGGACCUUCAAUUAAAUACCCCAAAGCUUGCUUUUGGGCAGCCAUCUACUUGUGCUAAAACUGGGCUUUAGUUCCCCCUUAUUGGACGGUUUCUCAGUCUAAUUAUUUAGCAGAGAUGUCCAUCUUUUAGCACCUCUUUUAAUAGGUCAAAUUAUCAACCCCAUGACCCAAAUUGCAUGGUCUUGCCAUCCACAUGAAUUCAUUUGUGCAUGUCCAUGUUUCAUUCACAUUAAUCAAAUCUUCAAUUAUCCUCCUACAUAGUGAAAAAUCACAUAUUAAUAAAUUAACAUGAAAUAAUAUAAAACAUGUACAAAAAUCAUGUAAUUAAGCAUAAUUUCACAUACUUUAUAAAUUCAUGCCCAAUAUUACUAAUUAAGCAAAAUUCACUUAUUUUAAUAAUAAUUACUCAAGAUUAACAUAUUUAUUAAGCAAAAAGGUGUUAAAAAUAUAUAGAAAAACCCUAUAUAAUUUCGAGUUUACGAACAUCCACCAAAAAUGUUCCCUUUAUGCACCAACAAUUAAGUGACCGAAUGCCCACUCUUUUAUGCCAAAAUUGAACAGUCAUUUGAAUGUGGCAGCAUUUGAUUCUUCUUGGCAAACGAACAACUCUAUUGUAGCCUUAAAAUAUGUGACCAGCCUUUGGACUAUCCUAGGACAAACAAUUGAACACACAAUUAAUUUAUUUAAGAUACAUUAAACAUUGCAAACUUUUCAUAUUCACAUCUAAAACUCAAAAAUACUAAAACUCAAUAUUUAAUAAUAGAAUUCAACAUACAAAAACUCAAGCAUUUAUGACAAAAAUAACAGCCAAAAUAAAUGUAACAGCCCAUUUUCCAGUGAAAUUGGAACAGUGGUUUUGGGACCACAAAUCUGACCCAAAAAUAAAAUUUAUUUUAUUUUAUUAUAUGGUUCGUAUUAUGAUUGACAUGUUGUGUGAAAAUUUUGAUACGAAAAUUUAUCGAUUAAGUGUUUAAUUACGAGAAGGACUAAAUCGAAUGAAAUGUGAAAGUUGAAUUCUAGUAGCUAUAAGGAUUAAAUAGCCAUGGAAUUAAAAACUAGAGGUCCUUAUAUGGUAAUUUGACCAUUAAAUGAGUAUGUAGAUUUUUUUUUAUGACUCAUCCAUGGAAAAUUAGAAAAGAGUAGGGACUAAAUUGGAAAUUAAAUUAAUUAAUUAAUUAAAAGAUGAUAAAAAGAAAAUAUCAUCUUAUUUUGUCAUCUCCAACCCCAAAAUUCUACGGAAACCCUAGGAGAGCGAGAAGAAACUUUCCAGGCUUAAUUGGGUAAGUUUCCUUGUCCCGUUUUUAGUAAUUUUGAUAUUUUUGAAACUGGGAUAGUCUAAUCUAUCUAUUUGAGGGAUUGGUUAGAAAAGUUAUCAAGGUAUGAAAAAUGGGUCAUGGAUGAAUAUGCUGAAAAUUAGACAUUUAUGGUAGAAAAUGAAAGGUUGUUGAUAGAUAAACAACUUUUACAAAUUGAUUUUUGAUGAAAACAUGAUUUAGGGACUAAAAUGUAAAGUUGUGAAAUUUGAUGAAAACUUCUAAAAUUUUAUGAAUACGUGUGUUGUAAAUUUUAUAAUGGGGUUUUGGUUAGGCUUGGAAUAGGGAGUAAAUUGCACAAGUUUCCAGGCCUAAGGACAAAGUUAGAAGCAAAAUGGUAAUUUUACCUAGUACAUAAAUUGAGUCCAAAUAAACAUGAAAUAUGUGAAACUGAUGAUUAAAGCUAUUUAUAUAGAUAUGGACAACACAAAUUCAAGGUUAGAUCAAGGAAAAGAAAAGGUUUCAGAUUAUUAGAUCUUAUACGUGAACAAGCGUCAAGGUAAGUUCGUGUAACUUAAUCAAACUUGUAAAUAUGUUUAAUUGAAUGUUGUAUUUGUAUGUAAUGUAACUUAUAUUGAUAUGAAUUCUUUGAUUGCUAUAAUUAAUAUUUGAAUAAAUGCUUGAAGAUGGUGAAAAAGGGUUAAGUCCCAAUUGAAUAUUGAAUUCCGAUAAUUAUAUGCGCUUUCCCUGAAACUAAUAAGGUCCUGAAUUUGCUGCAGACAUGAUUUAGCUUAGACGAGUAAUCUUAUUGACAUUGUUAUAGAAAGGAUUUAGCCUGAACGGGUAAUCCUAAUAUAAUACCUCUCAAAUAUACGUUACGAUUAGGGUUUAGCCUGGACUGGUAAUCUUGUGAUACAAUAUGUGACUCGAGAGUGUGUUCCUUGGUUAAGUGCUGUAAGAGGUACCCUCAAUAAGAAUUAACGGAUUAAUAAACUGUACACCCCGAGUGUACCACUUGAGUAUUCAUCGGAAUUUUAAUGAUUCAACGAACAUAAAACUCUUGACAUGGCAUGAGAAUUAUGAGAUGAAAUGAUAAUAUCUUGAAAGAAUAAUAUAUGAUGAGCUCAUCUAUCCUUACUUGAUGUACAUGCAAACUUUGUGACUAACAUGUUUGAUUGGAUGCAUGUGUUUAGGCAAUUUAGCCAAAUGGAUGGAAAAGUUGUUGUUGUAUGCUUAGAUUUAAUAAACGGGAUUGGUAAGUUUAGUUUCCUUUAUACGAACUUACUAAGCAUGUAAUGCUUACUUCGUUCUACUUUCCUUGUUUUAUAGUGCUCGAAAGCUCGUGAAGGUUAGAGACCACUAAAGCAUCGUCACACUACCAACUAGUCAUUUUGAGUAUACUUAGUAAAAUCGUUUUGGUAUAAUGGCAUGUAUAGGACAACUUGACCAAUAGUAGCUUGAAAAUGAUGUUUUGUAACUAGUAAAGGCUUGUUUUGGUAUGAUUAAGUAGGUUAUGAUGAUAUAUCCAUAUGUCAUAUGUUAUGUAUAUGUGAUCAAAUGAUGCUAAUGCCUAAGUUAACCAUAGGUAAGUUUAUAAACACAUAUGCAUGUAAUGAUAUGCCUUGUUGAAUGAUGAAGUUUGUUAAAUUUGAAUGCUUGAAAUGGUUUGUAUUAGUUAUGUGUUUCAAGUGCUGUCUUGGGUGAAAUUUUGGGUGAGAAAUGAAGCUAGAAAUGGCUUCAUUUUGUCUACAUGGGCAGACACACGGGCCUGUGUCUAGACCGUGUGUGACACACGGCUUGGUAACAUGGGCAUGUGGUUAGGCUGUGUGUCCCCUACACCUUAAUUGUGAGAAAUAGAAUGCUCAAAAUUGUGCACACCGAUAGAGACACGCGCGUGUGUCUCAGCCGUGUGUACUACACGGCCUUGAACACGGGCAUGUGUCUUGAUCAUGUGAAACUUGCACCUAAUUUUGAAUUGAAUUAAUUAACUAUACGGCCUAUCACACAAGCGUGUGGCAUGGCCGUGUGCACAAGUUCGAGAGUUAUAUGGGGUCGAACACGGCCUGCAGCACGGGCGUGUCCUGGAGUCACACGGGCAUGUCCUUUAGACCACACGGGCGUGUGAGCCCUGCACCUUGGAAAUUUCUUAAAAUUUUGCGAAAAUACUUAGAGCUCUUGAUUAAGUCUCGACUUGAUUCUAAUGCUCGUAUUGGGACUCGAGGGUCCAAUUAAGGGACGUUUUGAAUUAUCUCGGUUAAUGAAUAGUAAUUUACAUAGAUUAAUUGUAAAAUGUUCUGAAAGUUUUGGUAAUAUUCUAAAACCCUAUUAUGAUGUUAGAUACAGGUUAGAGGUACUACAUUUAGUGGUAUCAAAGCUACAGUUUAGCCGAUUCUCAGAUUUGACGUGGCAAAAACGAGUUUAACUAUACAUGCCAUUAUAUAAAUUGUGAUAGUGUGAUGACUCCUGAUCAUUUUAAAUGUGUUUUUCAUAUAGUAAUGUCAUCCAACCGAGCUAGAGCUGAAUCCGAGGAAGCUGAGAGAAAUGCUUCACCUUCAAUUCAAAGAGUUUUGUUUGCAUCUAGUAGUGACAGGCCUGUGUCUGAGGGCCUAAGUGAGGAGGCAAAAUAAGCCUUCUUUCAAAUGAUGAAUGAAUGGUUUACACAGUAUUUAAGAAUAAACCCUACUGUACAAUGACCUCUCCCACUUGCUCCUCAACCGGUUCCUGAGGUACCACAGGGUGCUAAACUUGUAAGAAUUGGUAAACCUCCUAUAGAUAAAAUUCGUAAAUAUGAGGCGGGAAAAUUUAGAGCUAUCGCAGAUGAUGAUCUGGAAAGGUAUGAGUUUUGGCUAGAAAAUACUAUUCUGGUUUUUAAUGAAUUAUCCUGUACACUUGCUGAAUGUCUGAAGUGUGCAGUAUCUCUACUGAAAGAUACAACUUAUCAUUGGUGGAAUACCAUAACUUCAGUGGUACCGAGAGAGAAUGUUACAUAGAAAUUCUUCCAGGUUGAAUUUAGGAAGAAGUAUGUGAGUCAGAGAUUUAUGGAUCAGAAAAAAGAAAGAAUUUCUAGAGCUCAAACAAGGAAAUAUGACUGUGUCUGAAUAUAAACGAGAAUUUAUUCGCUGAGUAAAUACGCUCGAGAAUGGGUCCAGUCUGAGGCCGAGAUGUGUAAAAGCUUUGAAGAGGGUUUAAAUGAAGACAUCAAAUUAUUGAUUGGAAUUCUCGUGUUAAGGGAAUUUGCAGUGUUAUUGGAAUUCUCAAAUUAAGGGAAUUUGCGGUGUUAGCCGGUCGAGCACACAAAGCUGAGGAAUUGAGUAAAAAAAAAGAGACAAGCUGAAAGAGAGGCUCGGGUCUCUGGAAAAAGAACCAUGAGUAGGUCACAAUCAUUUGCUACUAAGAAAUUAAAGAAGUAUUAUGAUUGUGUUACCACCUCUACGGGAUAUUCUAGAAGAGAGCGGGACUCUCAAUGUUCUAACCUGAGGUCUUCCUCUCUAUCUGUAACCAAUGUGGGUAGUGUCAGUAAUCCCAAACUGAAAUGUAAACAUUGUAACAAAUUUCAUCAUGGGGAAUAUCAGUCUAGAAGUGGAUCUUGUUUUGGAUGUGGUUCACUUGACCAUUUUCUUAGGGAUUGUCCAGAAAGAAUGGAAAAAGAGAUAGAACCAGCUCUAAAGCCUAAUAAUCCUGUCUCAAGGGGUAGACCACCCCGUCACCCUGGCAAUGUUUGUGGUAGUCGAGGUACUACUAGGGAUACAGGAGUUAGAUCUGAGGCACGAGCACUUAUGAGAACAUAUGCUAUUUGUGCUAGAGAAUAUGCCUCUGCACUAGAUGUCAUUACUGGUAUAUUUUCUCUACUUGAUACUAAUAUUAUUGCAUUGAUUGAUCCUGGUUCCACACAUUCAUACAUAUGCUUGAACUUAGUGACUGUUAAAAUUUACCUGUUGAAUUCAUUGAAUUUGUGGUUAAAGUUUCAAACCCCCUGAGCCAGUGUGUUAUGGUGGAUAAAGUUUAUAAGAACUAUUUGUUGAUGGUAAAUGGUUGUUGCUUUCCGACUAACUUGAUGUUAUUGCCAUUUGAUGAAUUUGAUGUAAUCUUGGGGAUGGAUUGGUUAACCCAAUAUGAUGCAGUGGUGAAUUGUAAAUGGAAAUAUAUUGUAUUGAAAUGUCAGAAUGAUGAGUUGCUUCAUGUUGAAUCUGAUAAACUAGAUGGAUUACCUAAUGUGAUUUCAGCAAUAUCAACACAGAAAUAUGUUAGAAAGGGGUAUGACGCUUAUCUUGCAUAUGUGUUGGAUACUAAAGUAUCUGAGUCAAAGAUUCAGUCAGUUCCGAUUUUAUAUGAAUUUCCUGAUGUAUUCCCAGAAGAAUUACCUAGUUUACCAUCGGAUAAAGUAGGAUUCUCUAUAGAUCUUGUUCCAGGAACGACAUCGAUAUCCAUAGCACCUUACAAAAUGACUCCUAUUGAAUUAAAAGAGCUAAAAGUACAGUUGCAAGAAUUGAUUGACAAAGGUUUUGCUUGACCUAGUUUCUCACUUUGGGGUGCGUCAGUUUUGUUUGUAAAGAAGAAAGAUGGAUCGUUGAGGCUGUGCAUUAAUUAUAAACAGCUCAACAAAGUUACAAUAAAGAACAAGUAUCCAUUGCCUCAUAUUGUUGACUUGUUUGACCAGUUAAAAAGUGCCACUGCAUAUUCGAAGAUUGAUCUUCAUUCUAGUUAUUAUCAACUACUGUAACACCCCCUACCCGUAUCUAUUGCCGAAAUAGGUACGAGGCAUUACCGGAGUUUAUUGAACAUUUUCAGAUAAUUCUGAGUCAUUCAUUAUUCAUAUUUUGAAAAUAAUCAUAACAUCUCUUUAUUGAGCCCUCGAAGCCCCAAACACACAUUAAAAACCAACCGGAAUUAAAUCGAGAUCAUAAAAAAAAUUCGCAAAACCUUAAAUUUUAUUUUCAUCUAAGUACUUACUAUUUCAAUGCUUCUUAUAAUUAAACAUGUUACCAUUCAAUCAAUAGCUUGACACUUGUCCAAGCGUCAAGCCACAUCAUUGCUAGUAUACUUGCACAUAUUUCAUAUAAAUUCAACAUUGAUAUACUUAUUUUCUCGACAUGUCACACUUGAGUUUAAUAAUUGUCUUUACUUACAUAAUUUCAUUGUAUCAACAUAUCAAAGAUAAUCAUAUAUGUACAUGUCAUGAAACAUAUCAUGCUCUUACCGUUUCUUCAUAAGUAUAUAUCAAUCAUUUCGUUAUAUCAAUAUUUCAUGCUCCAUCAUUUCCAUAUAUUUUAUGUAUAUUUAUUCCGGUAAAGUUUAUAUCAAACUUAACAUAAAUUAUAUUCCAUGUACUUAUUCUUAUUUCGUUUAUCUAUCUUCAUAAUUAUUUCAUACAACUAUUUUGUACAUAUAUUUCCAUAUGACCAGUUCUUGUAAACAUUUCACACAACCGUUUUAUAUAACCAUUCGUCAUCUGAUGCAUAUUACUUGAAUAUCAAUUGUUCAAUAGAUGUCAUCGCGUCUCCCAUCCACGGUUUUAUUUAUCUUUGACAUGAUGCCAUAGUGUCUUUCAACUAUGGUCUUACUCAUUUUCUGUCAUGUUGCCAUGGUAUCUUUCAACCAUGGUCUUAUUCAUUUCAUAUCACGUUGCCAUGGUAUCUUUCAACCAUGGUCUUAUUCAUUUCCCGUCAUGUUUCCAUGGUAUCUUUAAACCAUGGUUUUAUUCAUUUCAUAUCACGUUGCAAUGGUAUCUUUCAACCAUGGUCUUAUUCAUUUCCCGUCAUGUUUCCAUGGUAUCUUUCAACCAUGGUCUUAUUCAUUUCAUAUCACGUUGCCAUGGUAUCUUUCAACCAUGGUCUUACACAUUUCAUAUCAGGUUGCCAUGGUAUCUUUCAACCAUGGUCUUACACAUUUCAUAUCAGGUUGCCAUGGUAUCUUUCAACCAUGGUCUUACACAUUUCAUAUUAGAUUGCCAUGGUAUCUUUCAACCAUGGUCUUACACAUUUCAUAUCAGAGAGCACACUCCCGCGAACCUCAUCCUUACAGUGGGAUUACCAGUCCAGGCUAAAUCCCCUGUAAUAUAAACUCAUAGAGUAUUGUCAAAAUUACCAGUCCAGGCUAAAUCCCCUGCAACGAUAAUUAGUCUAAUGAGCUUCGAUCUGAAUUACCAGUUCAGGCUAAAUUCAAACCUUAAUUCGGAUUACCCGUCUGGGCUAAAUCCAUUUUCCACAUAUUCUUCGAGAGGGUAUAUCAGGGUAGGAUCACCUGUCCGGGCUAGAUCCUUUUUACCGUCAAUUCUUUCUCAGAGAUCCAUCGAAAUUUCUUUUCAUUCAAUCGGGAUUUCUUCCCCUUUUUAUCAAAUAUAUCAAUGUUUCAUAAAUUUUCAUACAAUGAACUUUCAAAUCAUAUUCACAUCAAUAACAUACAUUUCAAGCAUUUAAGAAUAUAAUUCAAGUUAUACGAACUUACCUAGCGAAAUUGCAAAAAUAUCAAGAUUCAGGGACAUUUUGGUAAUUUACAAUUUUCCCAAUUUUCACUCGAUCUUAAAUUGACAAUUUCAUUCAAUUUAUUAAUUUGGAUAAUAAAACAAUUCAUUCCCUUCAAUUUGGUCAUUUUGACAUUUUUAUAAAUUUGCCCCCUGAAGUUUUACUUUUAUUCAAUUUAGUCCUUAAGCCUAAAACAUGCAAAUUAGCCAUGCUAGCUGAAUAUUCAUAUAUAUUUUCCUCCUCCUCCUCCUCUCCAUUCCACAUCCUUAAUGUAUAUAACACACUUGGAAGUAACAUCAUCUAUAAUUUUUAUUAUUUACUUUUAUGAAUAUUCAAACUGUCCAUCUGUGUCAUAGUCGCUAAUUUUCCCUAAAACUAGACUCAUAUAUCUUCUUUCCAUAAAAGUUUUAGAAUUUUUGGUUUAGCCAAUAAGUACAGUUUAUUCUUUAAAUUUACCCCUAUUAUGUUGUCUGACAGUUCUAACCCUUCUUCACUAAAAAUUAAUUAUCUCUUGUACAGAAUUCAAUUGAUAUUCAUGUUUAUUUCUAUUGAAAAUAGAAGAUUCUAAAAAUAUAAAUUUAAGCCCCUAAUUAUUUCUAUCCAAUUUUUUAUGAUUUUCCAAAGUCAGAACAGGGGAACACGAAUUCAUUCUGACCUUGUCUCACAAAAUUCAUUAUAUCUCAUGAUUUACAAAUCCAUUACUUACACCGUUUCUUCUAUAAGAAACUAAACUCAAUAAGAUUUAAUCUAAUAUUUUAUUCAUCCUAUAAUUCGAUUUCUACAAUGUUUGGUGAUUUUUCAAAGUUAGACUACUGCUGCUGUCUAGAACUGUUUUAGUGCAAGAUAUUAAUUACCAUGUUAUAACACCCUUAUUUUCUUUUUCUACACCAUUUCUCAUCACUUUCUCUUAUUUUCUCUUCACUAACAUAUGAAGAACAUAGGACCUUAUAUAAGAAAACUCUACUAUAACAUUAUUUCCAUGCUUUGUUUAUAAUAACAAACUUAAAAACAUAUUGAAAUCUUGAUGUACUUACCUUUUCUUAUUGACUUCAAUCUUUAACUUGAUUUUUCUCUCUCCUCCAGCUUCUAUUUCUUGAAUCCAACUUGAUAUUCUUGCUCCCCAUCAUCUCCUUUAUCUCUUGAUGGCUAUGGAAAUUCUUUCAAUUUUUAAGUGAAAAUAAUGAAUUUUUGGAGGAAGGACUAAAUUGUAAGAAAAUGAAAACUUUCUUUCUUCUUCUUUUUCUUCUCACGUUAGUUGCAUGAGAAAGGUGAUCAUAUCGUCCUCCCCUUUCUUUCCUUUCAUAUAUAUAUUAAAUAAAAUAAUAAUAAAAUAAUAAAAUAUCAUUUAAAAAUCAAUUUUUAUUUAAUUUAUCUAAAAUAUCUCCAACAUCAUCAUUUUCUCUAGAUUUCUCUCUCUUCCAAUUGACCAUUUUGCCCUUUGUGAUCUUUUAAAAUUCCAUUCUUGAGUCUCACUUAAUUUGGUAAAAUUGCAAUUUAGUCCCUCAUAAUUCUUCACCUAUUCAAUUUGGUCCUAAUUCAUCAAUUUUCCUUGGUUUCUAGAUCAUUCCACCCUUAAAAUAUUUGCACUAUUAGUCCUUCAACUUUUCAUAUUUACACUUUAAUCCUUCAAAUUUUGAGUAUUUACUCUUGGGCCACAAAACUUUUCUCGCUUUUACAAAUUAAUCCUUUCUUGAAUCAAUAUGUCAUAAUAUACUUCCCAAUAUUGACAUAACUCAAAAUUUCCCUUUUUGUCACUUUAUUUUCUUAUUUUACUAUAUCACGGAUAAUAUUUUACUAUAAAAUUUUUCGAGGUAUUACAUUUCUCUCCCCCUUAAAAUAAAUUUUGUCCUCAAAAUUUUCUUGUUUUCUUUUGAUCAUGAAUUUCAUUAUUUCUAUAAUUUCAUAGUUUCUUUUUGCACAUAUUUACCUAGUUUAUCAUUUAUAUCCAUUCUCUAUCCUUUCAUCUUAAAUUUUAUUUUCAAUUCAAUAUUUCACAUUUGCCUCUCAGAGCUUUUACCAACAGAAAUAGAAGAUAAUAUCAUAUGCAUCUUAUUAUCAAGUGUUUUAUCACAUAUAUUGGCUUGGAAAACCAAAGAAAGAUAGAGUAGUACCACUUGUGAAUCAAUCAGACUUGUGAUAAUUUCUGUCUAUUAGCAUAUUUAUCCAACCUUUCCAUAUAUUGAUUAUAGCAUCCAAACAUGAACAGUUGUAUAUACCUCUGAAAAUAUCAGUACAUAUAAAAUACCCGUAUAAAAUCUCCAAAAAAUUUUACUGUAAUAUACCUAUUUAUAACAGCUAUAUUCAAAUAUUUAAUUUAUUUACCAAUCCAUUGACUAGUAAAGUCAUCAAUAGUUUCACAUCAUUCAGUUCACUGAAGAAACUAAUUGGGAAGGAAUUUUCAGUUAACCAUUCUGUAAAUACCAUAUUUGAACAAAUCGAUUUUCCUAUAAAUAAUUUCUUUAUUUAACAGUGGUACUGUAUAUCCCAGCUAGUUUUUAGAAAAAUUUUGAUGUAUCUAUUUAGAACCCAUCUUUACCUAUUAACUCAUUCUCAAUUCCGACUAUAUUAUCAAUUGUUCAACCAUUGAACUUUUCACUUUCCACUUCUGAACUUAAUCAAUAUAAAUCUCAUGAACUUCAUUGCAUAUAACUGUACUAGUAAAGGGGUAUAGAUCGUAAAGUCUCAUAAUUUAAUUGUCAUAUAUUUACUCAUAUAACAUUUAUAAUUCUCAAGUACUAUAAAACAUUUAUUCGUACUUUUAUGAGUUCUGCUUCAUCAUAACUAACAUUUUUACUCAGAGAUAAUCAUUUACCUCGUAACGAAAAUUGUUUACCUUUUACUUAGCAGAUACCUAGUAGACUAGAUAGAACACUUCAGAUAUACGGGACUUAUACAGAGGUGCAUUAUUAUGCAUUAUUAAACAGAGAAAACUGAAGUGCUAUACAGAGAGUACGAAUGUGCUGAAUGUGCUAAUAAUCAGAGAGCACUAACGUGCUAGUAAUUAGAGAGCAUGCUGAGGUCCCUUAAUAUCCUAGUAGUUUUAAUCUUGUCUACUUGGGAAAAUUAUUUCAUGCACGCAUAUCACUUUUACACCUUUCGUAUAAUACUUUUACAUGCUUUAUAAUUUAAUCCUUGUGCCAAUAAUCCGUUUAUUUAUGUCUUCUUUACCUUUAAUACAUGUAAUAUUUUUCAAAAUUCAUUAUUCAUCCAUAAUUUACUAAUAAUCCUUAUCAUGUACUUCAUAUACCACUUUUAUAUAUUUUGCAAUUUAGUCAUCAGCACAAUAUUUCAUGUAGCAAUAUAAUUUAUAAUAUACAUAACAUUCAUCAUCAACAUGUAUUUAUUCAUACCUUUAUGAAUUCCGAUUCAUUCUAAUAAACUUUUUACUCAUAUACUUGAGUAUUGUUUCUAGUAUUAUCAGAAUUAUCUUGGGUUAGAAAGCAUCUCAUUUUAUAAGUAAAACAAAUCUCAUCAGAGUUGGCAGAUAUCAUACUUAUCACAUAUUAUAAUGACAUGUGUUUUUAGACUUCACAUAUACUACGUUUUGUCCGAGAACCGACUAAACCGUAGCUCUGAUACUACUAAAUGUAACACCCCCUACCAGUAUCUAUUGCCGGAAUAGGUACGAGGCAUUACUGGAGUUUACUGAACAUUUUCAGAUAAUUCUGAGUAAUUUAUUAUUCAUAUUUUGAAAAUAAUCAUAGCAUCUCUUUAUUGAUCCCUCGAAGCCCCAAACACACAUUAAAAACCAACCAGAAUUAAAUCGGGAUCAUAAAAAAAAUUCGCAAAAUCUUAAAUUUUAUUUUCAUCUAAGUACUUACUAUUUCAAUACUUCUUAUAAUUAAACAUGUUACCAUUCAAUCAAUAGCUUGACACUUGUCUAAGCGUCAAGCCACAUCAUUGUUAGUAUACCUGCACAUAUUUCAUAUAAAUUCAACAUUGAUAUACUUAUUUUCUCGACAUGUCACACUUGAGUUUAAUAAUUGUCUUUACUUACAUAAUUUCCUUGUAUCAACAUAUCAAAGAUAAUCGUAUACGUACAUGUCAUGAAACAUAUCAUUCUCUUACCAUUUCUUCAUAAGUAUAUAUCAAUCAUUUCAUUAUAUCAAUAUUUCAUGCUGCAUCAUUUCCAUAUAUUUUAUGUAUAUUUAUUCCGGUAAAAUUUAUAUCAAACUUAACAUAAAUUAUAUUCCAUGUACUUAUUCUUAUUUCGUUUAUCGAUCUUCAUAAUUAUUUCAUACAACUGUUUUGUACAUAUAUUUCCAUAUGAACAGUUCUUGUAAACAUUUCACACAACCAUUUUAUAUAACCAUUCGUCAUCUGAUGCAUAUUUCCUGAAUAUUAAUUGUUCAAUAGAUGUCAUCGCGUCUCCCAUCCACGGUCUUAUUUAUCUUUGACAUGAUGCCAUAGUGUCUUUCAACUAUGGUCUUACUCAUUUUCUGUCAUGUUGCCAUGGUAUCUUUCAACCAUGGUCUUAUUCAUUUCAUAUCACGUUGCCAUGGUAUCUUUCAACCAUGGUCUUAUUCAUUUCCCGUCAUGUUUCCAUGGUAUCUUUCAACCAUGGUCUUAUUCAUUUCAUAUCACGUUUCCAUGGUAUCUUUCAACCAUGGUCCUUCACAUUUCAUAUCAGGUUGCCAUGGUAUCUUUCAACCAUGGUCUUACACAUUUCAUAUCAGGUUGCCAUGGUAUCUUUCAACCAUGGUCUUACACAUUUCAUAUCAGAUUGCCAUGGUAUCUUUCAACCAUGGUCUUACACAUUUCAUAUCAGAGAACACACUCCCGCGAACCUCAUCCUUACAGUGGGAUUACCAGCCCAGGCUAAAUCCCCUAUAAUAUAAACUCAUAGAGUAUUGUCGGGAUUACCAGUCCAAGCUAAAUCCCCUGUAACGACAAUUACUCUAAUGAGCUUGGAUCUGAAUUACCAGUCCAGGCUAAAUUCAGACCCUAAUUCGGAUUACCCGUCUGGGCUAAAUCCAUUUUCCACAUAUUCUUCGGGAGGGUAUAUCGGGGUAGGAUCACCCAUCUGGGCUAGUUCCUUUUUACCGUCAAUUCCUUCUCAGAGAUCCAUCGAAAUUUCUUUUCAUUCAACCGGGAUUUCUUCCCCUUUUUAUCAAAUAUAUCAAUGUUUAAUAAAUUUUCAUACAAUGAACUUUCAAAUCAUAUUCACAUCAAUAAUAUACAUUUCAAGCAUUUAAGAAUAUAAUUCAAGUUAUACGAACUUACCUAGCGAAAUUGCAAAAAUAUCAAGAUUUAGGGACAUUUUGGUAAUUUACAAUUUUCCCAAUUUUCACUCGAUCUUAAAUUGACAAUUUCAUUCAAUUUAUUAAUUUGGAUAAUAAAACAAUUCAUUCCCUUCAAUUUGGUCAUUUUGACAUUUUUAUAAAUUUGCCCCCUGAAGUUUUACUUUUAUUCAAUUUAGUCCUUAAGCCUAAAACAUGCAAAUUAGCCAUGCUAGUUGAAUAUUCAUAUAUAUUUUCCUCCUCCUCCUCCUCUCCAUUCCACAUCCUUAAUGUAUAUAACACACUUGGAAGUAACAUCAUCUAUAAUUUUUAUUAUUUACUUUUAUGAAUAUUCAAACUGUCCAUCUGUGUCAUAGUCACUAAAUUAUUUAUAUCUGGAGCUAUAGAGCUCCAAAUUAAGAUCCGCUAAUUUUCCCUCAAACUAGACUCUUAUAUCUUCUUUCCUUAAAAGUUUUAGAAUUUUUGGUUUAGCCAAUAAGUACAGUUUAUUCUUUAAAUUUACCCCUAUUCUGUUGUCUAACAGUUCUGACCCUUCUUCACUAAAAAUUAAUUAUCUCCUGCACAGAAUUCAAAUGAUAUUCCUGUUUAUUUCUAUUGAAAAUAGAAGAUUCUAAAAAUAUAAAUUUAAGCCACUAAUUAUUUCUAUCCAAUUUUUUAUGAUUUUCCAAAGUUAGAACAGGGGAACCCGAAUUUAUUUUGACCUUGUCUCACAAAAUUCAUUAUAUCUCAUGAUUUACAAAUUCAUUACUUACACCGUUUCUUCUAUAAAAAACUAGACUCAAUAAGCUUUAAUCUAAUAUUUUAUUCAUCCUAUAAUUUGAUUUCUACAAUUUUUGGUGAUUUUUCAAAGUUAGACUACUGCUGCUGUCUAGAACUAUUUUAGUGCAAGAUAUUAAUUACCAUGUUAUAACACCCUUAUUUUCUUUUUCUACACCAUUUCUCAUCACUUUCUCUUAUUUUCUCUUCACUAACAUAUCAAGAACACAGGACCUUAUAUAAGAAAACUCUACUAUAACAUUUAUAAUAACAAACUUAAAAACAUAUUGAAAUCUUGAUGUACUUACCUUUUAUUAUUGACUUCAAUUUUUAACUUGAUUUUUCUCUCUUCUCCAGCUUCUAUUUCUUGAAUCCAACUUGAUAUUCUUGCUCCCCAUCAUCUCCUUGCUAUCUUUAUCUCUUGAUGGCUAUGGAAAUUCUUUCAAUUUUUAGGUGAAAAUAAUGAAUUUUUGGAGGAAGGACUAAAUUGUAAGAAAAUGAAAACUUUCUUUCUUCUUCUUCUUCUCACGUUAGUUGCAUGAGAAAGGUGAUCAUAUCAUCCUCCCCUUUUUGUCCUUUCAUAUAUAUAUUAAAUAAAAUAAUAAUAAAAUAAUAAAAUAUCAUUUAAAAAUUAAUUUUUAUUUAAUUUAUCUAAAAUAUCUCCAACAUCAUCAUUGUCUCUAGAUUUCUCUCUCUUCCAAUUGACCAUUUUGUCCUGUGUGAUCUUUUAAAAUUCCAUUCUUGAGUCAUCACUUAAUUUGGUAAAAUUACAAUUUAGUCCUUCAUAAUUCUUCACCUAUUCAAUUUGGUCCUAAUUCAUCAAUUUUCCUUGGUUUCUAGAUCAUUCCACCCUUAAAAUAUUUGCACUAUUAGUCCUUCAACUUUUCAUAUUUACACUUUAGUCCUUCAAAUUUUGAGUAUUUACUCUUGGGCCAUAAAACUUUUCUCGCUUUUACAAUUUAAUCCUUUCUUGAAUCAAUAUGUCAUAAUAUACUUUCCAAUAUUGACAUAACUCAAAAUUUCCCUUUUUGUCACUUUAUUUUCUUAUUUUAGUAUAUCACGGAUAAAAUUUUACUAUAAAAAUUUUGGGGGUAUUACAACUACUGGUAAAAGAUUCGGAUGUCCUAAAGACAACUUUUAAAACCAAGAAUGGACAUUAUGAGUUUCUUGUGAUGCCAUUUGGUUUGACAAAUGCACCUACAGUGUUUAUGGAUCUGAUGAAUAGAAUUUUCAGCUCAUAUUUAGACAGGUUUUUGGUGUUAUUUAUAGAUGAUAUUUUGGUUUACUCUAGAAAUGAAAAUGAGCAUGCUGAGUAUUUGAGAAUAGUGUUGCAAACUCUGCAAGAGAAAAAAUUAUAAUCCAAAUUUAGUAAAUAUGAAUUUUGGCUACGAGAAGUUAGUUUUCUUGGGUAUAUAGUAUCUGCUAAAGGUGUCAGAGUAGACACGAAUAAAAUUUCAGCUAGUUAAUUGGAAGCCACAGAAGAAUGUAUCUGAAGUCUGAAGUUUUCUGGGACUAGUUAGUUAUUAUCGAAGAUUUGUAAAAAAAAAUUCAAUGAUAGCUUCUCUAAUGACUAGUUUGCUACAGAAAGAUGUAAAAUUCGAGUGGACUGAUAAAUGCUAGUAGAGUUUUGACUAAUUAAAAGCUUUAUUGUAACAGUCCGAUUUAGACCCUAAUCGGAAUGGUGGUUUAGGGACCACGAAUUCAAGUCACAAAAAUAUUUAACUAUUAUUUUCCAUGCUUAUUAUAUGUUAAUUAGCAUGUGUGAAAGUUUCGUAUGAAAAUUUGAUUGUUUGUGUGCUUAAUUAAAUAAAAGGGCUUAAUCGCGUAAAAUGAAAACUUGAUAGUUAAAAGCAUAAGGGACAAAUUGGUGAUGGCUUUGUAUGUUGAAGUAUUUAAUUGGUAAUUUGACCAUGUUUCAUUAGAUGGACGGUAGUCACCAUGUAAUAUGAUGGUUUUAUAUUAGUGAAUAAAUGUUAAAUUUGUAAUUGAAUUAAAAGCUUAUUAUAUUACAAAACAUAAAAAAAAUUAAAAGCCAUGGUUCUUUUAUCUUUGCAUGACCGAAACUAGUAAAAUAAAAAGAAAAGAAAAGAGUUAGGCAUUCGGCUACUUCUCAAGCUAAAUCAAGGUAUUUUUUACUUCAAUUUUUGAUAAUUUUUACGUUUUUGGGAUCGUUGCUUCGAAUACUACCCGACCCAUGCUUGAAUUUUUUAUUUUGGUGAAUAUUUUGUGUUAAUCCACUAAUGAAUAUUUUUAUUUUGUGAUGUUUGAUGAUGAAAUAUCAAAAAUAUGUUUUAGACUAACAAGUUUUGUAUUGAAGUUUUUGAUGAUUUUGAGUUAAUAGGACUAAAUUGCAAAAAUAAUAAAUUAAAGGACUAAAAUUUAAAAUAAAUUAAAUGUAUGGACUAGUAUGAGUAUGUUGAAAAUUCAGCUCAACUAUGUUGUUGUGAGAUUUGGUGUAUUUUGUGUAUUGUGCAAUUUGGACUAAAUUGUAAAAGUAUGAAAUAUCAGGGGUAAAAUGGUAAUUUUCCCAUUUAUGUGUUGUUGGAUUAAAUUGAAUAAAAUUGUAUUUAAAUGAGAUUAAUUUGAAAUUAUAUAGAUCAAGAACAAAGGAAAUCAGACUUGGAUCGGGGAAAAACAAAAAUAGUCGAAUAGCCGAUUCGUAACGUCCGUCGAUAUUCGGGGUAAGUCUUUAAGUAAUUAAACAUGGUUUAUUUUGAACAUAGAAUGAUCUACUAUGAUGAUUCAAAUUUUAUAAUGUAUUAGUAUGUUAACCGAAUGAGAAUUAUCAAUGAAUUAAUGUGAUUGAGUUGUAUUUGAAUGAUAUCAAAAUCUCUGAAAGUGUGUAUGUGUUACAUGGAAUAUUAUAUGAUUCGAUAUAUGAAAUGUUAUGGAAUGAUUUUAUGUUUGUGAUAUUCCGACCUUGAGCCUAGCAACCUUGUGCUGGUGACUUUGAUCGGGCUUUGUGCCUAGCAGGCUUAUAGAUUUUAAGUCUAGCAGGCCUUGCGCCGGUGUGAAAUUCAGGCUUAUGCUUAGCAGGUUUUAUACCAGUGAUUUGCUUUCAAGUCCAUGACUAUAAGAGUUCAAGUUAUUGUGAAUAUUGAGCUAGUGUAAUUGAGCUAAAUGACAUUGUGUAUGUUCGGCCACAUAGGUAAGUAUAGGUAAGCUUAUAUUCAACUUGAUUAUUCGAUUACAUGUGAAUUAUAUUGAACUUAUAUAUUCGGUUUUAUGUGAAUUUAUUUUGAAUGUGCAUAUUCGGCCAUUUGUGAUGUUCUAUUGAAGUUGAACUAUAGGUUACAUUUGAUGUUUUAUUUAACUUCUAUAUUCGGCCAUACCUAUAAGUAUCUAUGUGAUGAUACAUUUGAUGUUGUAUAAUCGGUUAUAUAGGAAAUAUUUAUGUGGUGAUAUGUAUUUGAUAUUGAACAUUCAACCAAGGUAUCCUAUGGUAUAAAAGUAUAAUAUUAUUGAUAUAAUUUGUUUAGUUUGAAUGUUUUGAUUAUUCAUUGAGUUGUUUAAUUUGCUUAAGCCUUACUAAGCUAAGUUAGCUUACUCUGUGUGUUUUUGUUACUCUAUUUUAUAGAUUUUGGUUGUAAGUUACGAGCUCGGGGAUCGUUAUCGAAGUCAUCCACACUAUCGUCAACUUUCGGUACUUUUAAAAGUUUAUUUUCAAACUUUUGGCAUGUAUAGGCUAAUACAUAUUAUGUUCAACUUUGAAUAUGUAUAUAUUGAGCCACGCGAAUAUGGCUUAGCUUUAAAGCUUGAUUUCGGUUAUGUUUGGUAAUGGUUUAUUCUAUUUGAUUAUAACUAUAUGUGAAGUGAAUGAAAAGUAAAUGUGAAUGGUAUUAAAUGUGUUGGUAAUAGCUUGAGAUGAUAGGUGGAAUUGGCUGUGGUUGGUCACUCGAUUUUGAUAUGUAUAAAUAUCAAUAAAUAUGGUUUGAUGAUUUGAUUUUGAUGUAUGUUUAUUCAUUUAUAAACAUGAGCUCAGGUGUUAGCAUGUUUAUGUAUAUUAGAAAUGCAUGAUAUGAGGCAUGCCUAUAGUCGAAUAUGCAAAGAUAAGUUUAGUUCGGUUUGCAUGGAAAAAUGUAUAAGUACUAUAAUUAGUUAUAAGUUUAUUAAUGGUGAAUUAUUGAGAUUAUAUUGUUUAAUAAUGCUUGUUAGUGAGAUGUUGAUAAAUGACCAUUUGAAUAGUGAUUUUAUGUAAUAGUACACUAUGAGCAUUAUAUGCAUUUUUGCAAAAUUGAUAAUUAUGUGUACGUAUAUACAUGUACUUUGAUUGUUAAUUCGAAUGAUGGUUUGGGUAUAUAAUGAAAGUAUAUGCUUAUGUUUAUAUUUGUUAAUGAAAAUGUGAUUAUUUGAAAGGUAUAGAUUCGGUUGAAUUCUGAGGUAUGAUUCGUAAAUGCAAUAUGAUAAAUAAAGUAUGUUUAAUAUUUACUUAGCCAUGUGCUUAAUAUAUUUAUAAGUAUGACUAGUAUGAAAUUGUGAAUGUUUGGAAUUUUGUUGUUGUUCAGUAAUGCCUCGUAACCCUAGUCCGGCAACGAAUACGGGUUAGGGGUGUUACAUUUUAAAAUUGGUAUCAAAGCUACGAUUUAGUCGAUUCUAGGACUAACGUAGCGUGUGUGAGUUUAGCUAUACAUGCCAAAAAUUAUACUGCGAUAGUGUGAUGACUUCUGACAUUUGAAAAUGUGCUUUCAUAUAGUAAAUGGAUCUCGAUAGAGCUGUCACUGAUGAUGUCGAGAAUGUAGUGCCUGCUCCCGUGCAUGGGACAGUGCCAGUUGAAUCUCAACCUAUCUCGAGUAGCCAUGAAGGGGAGGCUAAGCAAGCCUUCUAUCAAAUGAUGAACAAUUGGUUUACUCAGUAUAUCCGGACUAAUCCGGCUAUACAACAACCUCCACCCCCAAAUAAUCCAUCUUCGAUACCUGUGAUACCUUCAAUGAUUGAUCCGAUAAGACUUAACAGGACUCUUGUAGAUAAAAUCAGAAAACACGGGGCCGAAGAGUUUAAGGCUAAUGAUGAUGAUGAUACUGAACGGGUUGAGUUAUGGCUCGAUAAUACUAUUUGUGUAUUUGAUGAGUUAUCAUGUACUCCAGAUGAAUGUUUAAAGUGUGUCAUACCUUUAUUACGAGACACUUCAUAUCACUGGUGGAAUACACUGGUAUCGGUGGUCCCGAAAGAGAUAGUGACUUGGGAAUUCUUUCAAACGGAGUUCCGUAAGAAAUAUAUCAGCCAGAGAUUUAUCGACCAGAAACGUAAAAAAUUUCUGGAAUUGAAACAGGGUCGUAUGACCGUAACUGAGUACGAGCGAAAAUUUGUGAGACUUAGUCGAUAUGCUCGUGAAUGUGUUUCAACCGAAGCUGUUAUGUUUAAAAUAUUUGAAGACAGUUUAAAUGAAGAUAUUAAAUUGCUGGUUGGUAUACUUGAAAUUAAAGAGUUCGUGGUACUUGUUGAGCGAGCUUCCAAAGCCGAAGAGCUCGGGAAAGAGAAAAGAAAAGCUGAUUUUGAAGCCAGAGAUUCCCGUAAAAGAUCAUGGAGAAGGACUUUUCACUCAGCAUCAAAGAAGUUCAGAGAUGAUUCUAGUCGAUUUAAAGCUACUUCAGACUUUUCUAGACGAGAUCAAGACCGACCUCCUGUGAUUUCACGAGCUACUUCAAUUGCUAGUGUUUGAAAUGAUCGACAGAAUAGACUCGAGUGUAAGCAUUGUGGUAAAUGGCAUUCUGGAAGUUGUAGAUUGCAUGAUUGGUCUUGUUUUAAAUGUGGAUCGAUGGAUCAUUUCAUCCGAGAUUUCGAAUGUUAGCCGAGCAAAACAUUGUUCAGAAUGCGAGAUCGAGCAACAUGUCAGCACGAGGCAGACCACCUAGACAUUCGGUUAAUGUGAGUGGUAGUCAAAGAGGGACGAAAGAUACAGCGGUUCAAUCUGAGGCUCGUGCACCUGCCAGAGCAUAUGCUAUACAAGCUCGCGAGGAGGCUUCUUCCCCAGAUGUUAUUACCGGUACUUUCACUCUUUAUGAUACUACUGUUAUUGCAUUGAUUGAUCCUGGUUUGACUCAUUCAUAUGUGUGUGAAACAUUAGUAUCCAGUAAGACUUUGCCUGUUGAGUCUACUGAGUUUGUAAUUUGAGAAUCAAACCCCCUGGGCCGGUGUGUUCUGGUUGACAAAGUGUGUAAGAAUUGCCGUUGAUGAUUCGGGAUUCAUGACGAGUUCGAUAUAAUUUUGAGUAUGGACUGGCUGACUUUGCAUGAUGCAGUUGUUAAUUGCAAAAGAAAGACCAUUGAUUUGAGAUGUCAGAACAACGAGAUUAUUCGGAUUGAAUCUAAUGGUCUGAGUGGUUUACCAGUAGUAAUAUCUUCGAUGUUAGCUCGGAAGUAUGUGAAAAAAGGUUGUGAAGCUUACUUUGCUUAUGUGCUGGAUAGUAAAUUUUAAUUUAUUUUAUUAUAUGGUCCGUAUUAUGAUUGACAUGUCGUGUGAAAAUUUGAUACGAAAAUUUUAUCGAUUAAGUGUUUAAUUACAAAAAGGACUAAAUCGCAUAAAAUGCAAAAGUUGAGUUCUAGUAGCUAUAAGGAUUAAAUAGAUAUGGAAUUCAAAACUAGAGGUCCUUAUAUGGUAAUUAGACCAUUAAAGAAGUAUGUAUAUAUUUUUUUUGAUGACUCAUCCAUGGAAAAAUUAAAAAGAGUAGGGACUAAAUUGGAAAUUGAAUUAAUUAAUUAAUUAAUUAAAAGAUCUUAUACGCAAACAAGUGUCGAGGUAAGUUCUUGUAACUUAAUCAGACUUGUAAAUAUGUUUAAUUAAAUGUUGUGUUUAUAUAUAAUUUGACUUAUAUUCAUAUGAAUUAUUUGAUUGCUAUAAUGAAUAUUUAAAUGCAUGCUUGAAGAUGGUGAAAAAGGGUUAAGUCCCGAUUAAAUAUUGAAUUCUGAUGAUUAUAUGAGCUUUCUCGUAUCUAAUAAGGUCCUGCAUUUGUUGCGGAUGGGAUUUAGCUCGAACGAGUAAUCCUAUUGACUUUGUUAUAGAAAGGAUUUAGCCUGGACGAGUAAUCCUGAUAUAAUACCUCUCGAGUAUACAUUAUGAUUAGGGUUUAAAGGAUUUAGCCUGGACUGGUAAUCCUGUUAUACGAUAUAUGACUCGAGAGCGUGUUCCUUGGUUAAGUGCCCUAAGGGGUACCCUCGAAUAAGAAUUAACGAAUUAUUGAAUUGUACACCCCGAGUGUACCACUUGAGUAUUAAUUGAAAUUUCAAUGAUUCAAUGGACAUAAAACUCUUGACAUGUGUGACAGCUCUAAUUUGGCCCUAGUCGGAAAGCGGUUUCUGGACCACAAAACCAAGUCACAAAAAUAAUUAAAUGUUAUAUUCUGUGAUUAUUACAUGUGAAAGUGCAUGUGUGAAAAUUUAAUGCUUUGAUUUUUCCAUUUGUGAGUGAAAUUAUGAAAUAGGACCUAUGUGAAAUUUUUUGAAAAUGCUAUAGGCUAAUUUGUAGUGGCCAAAAAAUGGUAGUGCAAAAUAGGAGGAUUUGCAUGUCAAACUCCCCAUUUUAUGUGUAGUGGCCGGCCAUGAUGUUGGUGGGAAGCAACAUGUGCAUUAGAUAAUAAUAAUUUAAGACAUGAAGUUAUGGUACUAAUUGAUAUGUGUCAUUUUAUGUCAUAAAAUAAAGACUAAAAAUAACAAAAUGAUGGAAGGGAAAAGUUUGUCUAUCCUUGUUCUUCAUAGCCGAAAAUAGGGGAGCAAGAGAGGGGAGAGCUCUUGAAUAUUCUGUCACUUGGGGAACAAAAAUCCAAGGUAAGUCCAUAGUAGUUUGCUUCUAUCUUGAUGUUCAUGGGUUCUUCUUGAUUCUACCUUAACCCAUGAAGCAUAUUUUUUUAUUUUUGGUUGUGCUGUGAGCAUUCGGUCAUGAAUGGAAAAAAGGAAAUGGUUGUUUUUUCAUGUUCUUUUGAUGAAUAAUGGAAGAUAGGUGAAGUUGAGCCAAGCAAAUGAGCAUGCAUGUGCCUUAGAUGCUAAGGGGGAAAAUCGGCUAACAUGUUGUGUGUAUUAUGGCCGAAUGUGAACUUGGAUAAUAUUGAGUAAUGUUUGUGCUUUAAAAUGAUGAAAUGGAGCUUAUGCUUAACUAAAAUCAUAGGUAUGUGAUGAUUGAUUUGUGGUAUGCAUGUUUAAAUAACAUGCAUGCAAGGUAUGUGUGAAAGAGUGAUUUGGUAAUAAAUCUGCUUGGGACAGCAGCAGUAAUGUGAUUUUAGAAAAUCACCAUAAAUUGUGGGAGAUGAUUUAGAAGCAUAAUAAAUUAUUUAAUUAAAGAUUAAUGAGUCUAGUUUCUUAUAAAAGAAACCGUGUAAGCAAAAUAAUUUCCGAUAAUGAGAUAUUUGAAGUUAUGUGGGACAGGGUCAAAAUGACUUCUAGAUCCUCUAUUCUGUUUUUAUAAAAUCAUUAUAAAUUGUAAAAAAAAUUUAAUAAGAUGAAAUUUAUAUGCUUAGACUCCUUAAUGAGUCUAGUUUCAAAUGAAAUAAACUAGAACAUAUUUUGAAUUCUGUAAAAUGAUAAAUUUGAUUCGUAGUGAAUAGUGGUCAGAUUAGUCAAAUAGUGAAACAGGGGAAACUUUAAGAAAAAUCUGGUAUUGAUUGGCCAAACCAAAAAUUCUGAAACUUUUAUGAAUAGAAGAUAUAUGAGUCUAUUUUCAGGGAAAAUUAACGUCAAUUGAUUCGGAGUUUCGUAACUCCGAUUAUAAAUGAUUUAGUUACUGUUGCUCAGGAAGACAGCUUACAGUGAAAUUUUGAUUAUGUGGUAAACAUUGACAAAAAUUUGUUAAUGAGUUGCUUAUUGAUUUCUUAUAAGCUUACUAUGAUCUGUAGAUGUGAAAUUCGAAUAUAUAUAUACAUAUAUUAUAUUUUGAAAGUGAUGCUUGAAUAGUCGAAUAAUGACUAGUUUAAAAUUGUUGAAUUUAAGCUCAAGAGCAUAGAGGGGCAAAUUCGGAUAAGGGAAAAGAGAAAGUAAUCGAAUAGCCGUUGUAAUCGUUCGGCAACAUUCGAGGUAAGUUCUUAAAUGUUUAAGCUUGAUUCCUUUUUAUAUGCCUAAGAUUUAAAUUAAUAUGGCAAAGAGAAUGUAAAUUUUAUUUAGUUAAUGUGCCGAAUAUGUAAUGAUUUAAGGCUAUAAGUCGAUUAUGGCUAUUAUGCUUAAGUUGAAUUGGAUUUGGAUAUUUGAUGCACUAAAUGAGUGGUACAAUGAAUAAACUAUGCCGUAUAUGUGCUGGUAGAGAUAUCACGAUUUGUGAUUAUUAAAUAUCUAAAGGAAACCAUGAUGUGUAUAAAAUUAUUAUUAUUAGUCAUUUGUGGUAGCCGAAUGUGGCUUGGUACUAAAGUGAUUAAAUGUGAACUUCGAUGAGGUAACUGUUAGUGAUCGAUGAUAUAAGUUAUGCAUUAUAAUAUAUAUUUGGGUUUCAAACCUAGCAGGCGUAAUGCCGAUGAAAUGACAUCGGACUUAAAGGUCUAGCAGGCUUAUGGCCAGUGAUGAAAUCAGGUUAUUACCUAGCAGGCAAAUUGCCGGUAAACUAUUAAAAGUGUGGUGCUAUAAGACUAUGGGCUAAUACGAUAUGUGGAUUCAUUCCGUAAAGUAAAUUAUUCAGGUACGAACAACCUAAUUAAGUACAUGUGAAUUAGAUUAAUUUGAUGAUUGAUGUGAAUCGAACAUAUAAGAAAUGGUUUCAUGUUUAUGUUCAACUAUGAGACCUUGUGUUAAAUCGACAAUCGAAUUCGUUCAAUACAUUAAGUUGGUCAGGUAUGCGAUAUGUACUUAUGCAUGUUAAAUCGAUUGGAAUCGAAUCAUGAAUGUGAAUUGAGAAGCAUAGGUGAAAAUGCCUAUGUCAUAUAUGUGAGUAAAGGUAAAACCAUCGUAAAUUAUCGAUAAGGAUGGGCUAUAUACGGAACCAUCUUAUAAUUGCUAAUUUGAAUAGUUGUGUGCGAAUCAGUGAGCAAGAUGUAUUGUAUUGAGAUGAUGCUUCAGUGAAAAUAUACAUAUGUUCUUUGUGUUGAAUGAAUAUUAAAUUAAAGUUAUGAGCCGUAUGUGACUAGCAUAUCUAGUCGAAUUUGAUACUAUUAAAUGAUGUACUAAGAUAUGUGUUCCAAUGUGGAAAUUAAACCCUAUGUGGUUGAAAGGAUGAAAAUCUUUGUUCAUAGAUAUGUGUUUCAAUUAUACAUGAUUGAAGUAUAAGUUAUGAAAGUGGGAAAGAACAAGUGAAUUAUUUAUCGAAAAAUGAUGUCGAACUUCGGGCCUAGUAGGCUAUAAUGCCGGUGAGAUAUUAUUCGGGCCUUUGAGCCUAGCAGGCUAUAAUGUCGGUGAAAUGAGAUGUUAUGUGAAUUCGGUGUUCCUUGUAAGAUAGGGAUUUAGCCGAAUGUUAAAGAUGAAAUGAUAGUGUAUUGUAUCAUGCUUAUAUGGCCUAAUGGCAAGUAUAACAUGUUGGUAAAUAUGCAAUGUGCUUUUAUAAUCGAAUGAUAAGUUUGAAAUGAAUGUGAGUGAAAUGUUAUGCAUAAGCUAUCAAAUGCUAAGUGUGAAAUUGAGAUGAAAGAAAAGUGUUUGAGAUGUAUAAUUAUAUACGUUCGAAUGAUGUUAGUACUUAAUUGAUAUGAAUAUGUUAUAUGGAACUCGUUGAUUUGACUAUUCGGGCCUUUGAGCCUAGCAGGCUAUGAUGCCGGUGAGAUAUUAUUUGGGCCUUUGAGCCUAGCUGGCUAUGAUGCCGGUGAGAUAUUAUUCAGGCCUUUGAGCCUAGCAGGCUAUGAUGCCGGUUAGAUAUUAUUCGGGCCUUUGAGCCUAGCAGGCUAUAAUGUCGGUGAGAUACUAUUCGGGCUUUCGAGCCUAGCAGGCUAUAAUGCCGGUGAAAUGAUAAUCAGGCCUCGAGCCUAGCAGGCGAAAUGCCGAUGAUUUGAGAAAAGUCUAAGACUAAGGUACCUCGUGUUAGAUUGACAAAUGAAUACAUUCAAUACGUUAAGUGGGUCAGGUACACAUUAUGUACUCAUAUGUGAGUUUGAUUUGAAGUGAAUCAUAAGUGUGUAAUAUGAUACAUACGUGAAUAAAUGUUUUAACUAUAUCUAUGAUCAUGAUACACCUAGUCAGGGUGUGAAAGUAUGUGAAAGUAUUUGAUUUAAUUAUGUUAUAUGAAUUCAGACUAAGUGUGAUAAGAAUGUUGAACAUGCAUUAUGUGCUUGUGUAUAUUCAGCCAGAUGGCAAUAUACCUAGAAUAUGGCCUCUUGAGAAAUUGAAUAAUCGAAGUAUAAUUGCAUUUAUUUGUUUACAUUGCAUAAAAAUUACUAAACUUAUGAAAGCUUACUCCGUUGUUACAUUCCUCUAUUUUAUAGAUUGUUGGCUCCAGUUACUUGCUCGGUUUGGAGUUCGUCGGAGAUAUUAUCACACUGUCGAGCUCACGCUAAUGGUGUAAGUAGAUCCUAGUAUUUCGAGUCUAUGGCAUGUAUAGGGUUUUAAUGUUGAGUAUGUGAUAUUAUAAUUUAUCCAAAGGUGGUGGCUUGUAUUGAUAAAGUGUUUUGGCCAUGUAAAUUGGCCUAUGUUGGCUAGUGAUGUUUUGGGCCUCGUAAGCCCAUAUAUGGAACAGCUUGCAUGUGAAAAGAAAAGUUUUAAAUUGAUUGAAAUUUUUCGGCAGGGUUUUUGUGUGAUUGACUGAGUUUAAGUCAGGUAACACCUCGAACCCUGUUCCUGCGAGAGAUACGGGCGAGGGGUGUUACAACAUGGCAUGAGAAUUAUGAGAUGAAAUGAUAAUGUCUUGAAAGAAUAAUAUAUGAUGAACUCAUCUAUCCUUACUUAAUGUACAUGCAAACUUUGUGACUAACAUGUUUGAUUGGAUGCAAGUGUUUAGGCAAUUUAGCCAAAUGGACGGAAAACUUGUUAUUGUAUGCUUAGAUUUAAUAAACGGGAUUGGUAUGUUUAGUUUCUGUUAUACGAACUUACUAAGCAUGUAAUGCUUACUCCAUUUUAUUUUCCUUGUUUUAUAGUGCUUGGAAGCUCGUAAAGGUUGGAGAUCACUAGAGCAUCAUCACACUAUCAACUAGUCAUUUUGGGUAUACUUAGUAAAAUCAUUUUGGUAUAAUGGCAUGUAUGGGACAACUUGACCAAUAGUGUCUUGAAAAUGAUGUUUUGUAACCUAGCCAUUGAAAUGGCUAGUAAAGGCUUGUUUUGGUAUGAUUAAGUAGGUUAUGAUGAUAUAUCCAUAUGUGAUAUGUUAUGUAUAUGUGAUCAAAUAAUGCUAAUGCUUAAGUUAAUCCAAGGUAAGUUUAUAAACACAUGCAUGUAAUGAUAUGCCUUGUUGAAUGAUGAAUUUUGUUAAAUUUGAAUGCUUGAAAUGGUUGGUAUUGGUUGUGUGUUUAAAGCGCAGAUCUUGGGUGAAAUUUUGGGUGAAAAAUGAAGCUAGAAAUGACUUCAUUUUGUCCAUACGGGCAGACACACGGGUGUGUGUCUAGACCGUGUGUGACACACGGCUUGGUAACAUGGACAUGUGGUUAGGCUGUAUUUCCCCUGCACCUUAAUUUUGAGAAAUAGAAUGCUCAGAAUUGAGCACACGGGUGUGUAUCUCAACCGUGUGUGCUACACGGCCUUGAACACGGGCGUGCAUUUUGGCCUAGUGAAACCUGCACCUAAUUUUGAAUUAAAUUAAUUAACCAUACAGCCUAGCACACGGGCAUGUGGCAUGGCAGUAUGCUCAAGUCAGAGAGUUACACGAGGUCAAACACGACCUACAGCACGAGCGUGUCCCAGAGUCACACGGACGUGUCCUUUGGGCCACACGGGCGUGUGAGCCCUGCACCUUGGAAAAUUCUUGAAAUUUCGUAAAAAAUUCUUAGAGCUCCCGAUUAAGUCUUGACUCAAUUCUAAUGCUCGUAUUGGGCCUCAAGGGUUCAAUUAAGGGACAUUUUGAAUGAUCUCGAUUAAUGAAUAGUAAUUUACAUUAAUUAAUUAUAAAAUGUUUUGAAAGUUUUGGUAAUGCUUCGAAACCCUCUUCCGACAUCGGAUACGGGUUAUGGGUGUUACAAUAAAUGACACACUUCACACACUUAUGACACAAACACAUAAUUAGCAUAUAAGAUGUAUAAAUGCAUGGCUUAAUUAAAAUGAAAACUUAUUUAACAUAUGAGUUUCAUAAUGCAUGACAUAAUUAAAAUACAAUCUUUAUUAACAUAUUAGAUGCUUUUAUGAUUGACUUAAUUAAAUGCAAAGCACUUAAUGCAAGACAUAAUUAAAUAUGCAAACACUUAUUAAACUAAAAUAAAACUUAAAAAUAAUAAAAUUCUUAUAGUUGACCCUUUAAUUAAUUCAAACCCAACACUAAAUAUGUCCAGACUUAACCCAAUUAACCAUCAAAGGAAUUGGGCUCAACCUAAUUUGAAUGAUAAGCUUCAUUUUGUUCAUGGGCCCUUCUCGUUUGGGCCAAUCUUGACAUCUUCAAAUUGCAACAUAAUUUGAUGUGAUCGGAAUCACAUCAUUCGGCCACUUUAAUUUUCUUUGCAUGUGAGUGAAUUUCUCAUCUUUUUCUUAUAAUUUUUAUAUUUUUGAAAUCGUUGCAACUAGAUCCAACUAACUUAUACCUCCAUUUUUGAAACUGUUAAAUGUUUUAAAAUGUGUCAUCGAUGAGUUUGAGGUGUUUGUAAAAUUUUGUGAUAGAUUACUUAGCUUGGUUGUUAAAUAGAAUUAUUUCGUCAAGUAAUUUUUGUUGAUUUUCAUGUUAAAGGACUAAAUUAUUUAAAAGGUAAAAUUUCAUAGUAUUUUUGUAAAAUUAUGUUAAAUAAAGGGUUUUAUACAGACCCUAAAUAUUCAGCCGGUAUGGGUUGUGUCCUAAUAAGGUUAAUUUUGUAUUUUUUCAAGUUUGGGAUUAAGUUGAAUAACGUGUAAAAGUUUGGUGCAAUUGUGAAAUAUUGUAAAUAGAAUGGAAUAUGUAUUAAAUUGAAUGAUACAUGAAAUUGAAGCUAAUAAUGUGCAAUAAACUAUUUUAUAGAUCAAGAACAAGUAGAUAAUCGAGGAAAAGAAAAAGUUGAUGAGUAGUCCUUGAACUUUUACAAACUCUGCAAUUUAGCCUUGGUAAGAUCAUUCGAUUUAUUUUAACAUAUUUUGACAUGUACAUUGAUUGUGAAAUUGGUUAUUGAAUAUUUUAGUGAAUGCUUGAUUAUAAACUAUUGUAAAUUUAGAAAAUAGUUGCUUUGAAACUUGUUAAACGAUAUUAUGUUGUAAGUCGAAUGAACAUAGGAUAGAGUACGAUUGGUAUGCUAAUAGGUUAUAGUGUACACUGUACAGGAUUGACUUGUGAUAAGGCAAUGAUUCCUGAUUUGUGUUUAUACACUGAGUAUAUCAUGCUUUAGCAUUUGUUGCGAACUAUCAUGUUAUAUUACUGUGAUUCUGGCAUGUUACCUAGGGCGGAUGUAAAGCCUUCGAGCUUGGCACUUAGUGCCCUGGUGUGUUUUUGGAGCGAUGUUAGCCUACGGGCUAGGCACGUGGUGCCAAGGCGUGUUUUCAGUUGGAUUGGCUCAUUUGAGCUCAUGGCAUGUUUCAGAUGGAUAGUUGUGUACUCAUAUUCGUAUACCGUUCAUCAAGCAAUAUCUCUAGUGUUAAUUAACUUGUUAUUGAAUUGUUUGAAAGUUGUCCAUGAAUUUCCUAAUAGCAUUGUGGCUUAAUAUUGAAUGAUCUCAUAUGAUUGUAUUAAAAUGUAACUCGUACAUGAUUGUAUGUAUAUACUCACAUGUUAAUGAUUGUGGUUGACAAGAAACAUUGUUUAUUACUCUUGUUAUUAUAAAUGUUAUGUUUAUUUCGGUAAGUUUUAUCAUUUAAAUCGUUAAACUUACUAAGCUUUAUAGAGGCUUAUACAUGUUAUUUUCUUGUUUCCUUCUAGAUAAAGUUUUGUGGAAUUGAGUGAUCGGAUCAACUUCAGGAUCACACUAUCCAGUUACAUUUUGGUAGUUUUUGAAGUUAACUUUUGGGUUAUAUGGCAUGUAAUAGGUGAAAUUUGCAGAUGUUUGAUAUGUAAAUUAUUUGGUAAUUAUGAAAGUGAUGAAUGAUGCCUAUGUUUAGUAUUAACUUGUAUGUGUUUAUGUUCAUGUCAUGUUAUUUGGUCAUUUGGUAUAAUUUUUAUAUAGGUGUUUGAAAUCAUGGUAUGAAUGUACAUGUUUGAAUGAGAAAAGUAAUGGUAAGUUUUUAAAUAAGAUGAUUUAUGGUUUUAAAGUUUGAAUAAUUACUUGUUAAUGUGUUUGGUGUAUGAAUGUGACAUGGAGAAUAGCCUUGAAUUUGGUUAGUUUUGUAAUGUGAAUUAAGGUGUCAAAUGAUGGCAUAUUGGUUAGAAAUAGGUUGAGUGAAUUUGACAUAUUUUUGGGUGUGAUUGAAUGUGUUUGAGCAUGAAAUUGUAGUUGAAAAUAGCUUGGCUUGGUGUUUGAGUUUUGGCAGAAAAAUGACUUGAAAUGCAUGCCCUUUAAGGUGCACAUGGCCUGGGACAUGGGCUACCACACAGUUGUGUAUCACCUUACACAGCCGUGUGUCAUAUUUAUUUUAGGUGCAGGUUUCACACAGUCGUGCACGAUCUGACACACGGCCUGCAGAAUGGAUGUGCGGCCCUAUUUCGAAUACCCAAAAAGGUGAACACAAGGACUGAGACACGGCCGUGUGUCCCACACUUUGAAUGCUCACACAGUCCAGGUUAUGUCAUACAGCCGUGUGACCCAUAUUUUUAAAAAUUUUUAAAUUUUCCAAACUUUUCUGAUUUUUUUCAAAACGAUCCCCGAAUGUUCCCAAACUAUUUUUAGGGCCCUAUAGGCUCGAUCUAAGGCCCAUAAGUGUAUUUCUAUCUUGAUUAAAAUGAGUUAUUGAAUGUGAUUAUUUAAUUUUCAUAAUUGUUUCUAUUUGAAGUUAAAUGUUAUGAAUUGUACUAUAAUACUCUGUAAGCCUAAUCUGGCGAUGGAGACAGGUUAGGUGUGUUACAUUUAGUGGUAUUAGAGCUAUGAUAAACGGUUCUCGGACUGAACGUAGCAUAUUUGAAAUCAAGAAAUUUCAUGCCAUAAAAAUCUGUGAUAUGUGAUAUUUAUUGAUCCAAUCUAACCCUUGUUUUUCUUAUAGAUUUUAAAGAUGUCAGUAGAAUCUAAUCAUGCUACCACGUAAGAAGUUAAUAGUAAUGUCCCCACUUUUGAACAAGAAUCAAGUCGUAGUUUACCGAUUUCAAAAAUGUUAGAAAAUGAAGUCAAAAAUAUUUUCUUUAGUUUAAUGGGUCAGCGGUUCACAGAAUUUAUGAUAACAAACCCUGUGGCUCAACAACAUCCUUCCCCUGUUAUACCCCCAGUGGUAACUUCAUCACCUCAAACGACUAAAUCGAGUCGAUGACCUCCAACUGAUAAAAUCUGAAAAUACGGUGCUGAAGAAUUUAGAGGUAGGUCAGAUGAUAGUCCUGCUAAAGCUGAAUACUGACUCAAAAAUAUCCAACAAGUCUUUGAUGAACUCGCCUGUUCUUCUAAUGAUUAUCUGAGGUAUGUCGUGUCGUUGCUUAAGGAUGAAUGAUCGCGAUUUUCAUGUGACAGGUUUUAAAUAUUUAUAAAGAAUCAUUAUUGAAACUAACUAUCAUCACGAUGUAGGCAAGUGUACCUAUCGAACAGUAGUAUAGUUUUAGCAAGACUGGAUUGUCGAACCCAAAGGAACUAAAAGUACUAGUAAUGACUGACUUUUUAUUAUCUAGCCUAAGAAUAAGGGGGUUUUGUUUUAACUAACUAAUUAUCUAAACUAAAAAUUCGCAGAAAGUAGAAUUGAGGGAUUACUUUUGGAAAAUGAUUGAAUUAAGACAAUACCUAAGGAAAAAUCCGCUUAGACUUUACUUGUUAUUCUAGCUCUGAAUCGGACGAUUUAUUCAUUUAACUUGUCCCGUAAAGAUUCCUAAGUUAUGUUAUUAUCCCUACUCAGGAAUAAUAACGUCUAAUCCCUAGAUUUAAUAAUUGAGACUUUUCUCUAAUUAACACCCUAGGGUUGCAUUAACUCCAUCUAUGGAUCCCCUUAUUAGGUUUCACCCUAAUCCGGUAAAAUCUUGUCACCCUAUGUCUAGGAGCGCAAUCAACUCCGCUUAAUUAUGACAAAUGUACUCUAUAGACAGGGUUUAUUCCUCCUCUGAAUAAGAGCUUAUCUUGAAUCAAUAUCCUAGGAUAUCAAAACAAGAAUUAAGAACACAUAAUUAAGAACAAGUUAAAUAUUUAUCAUACAAUUCAAAAAAUAAUAACAAGAUUCAUCUUAGGUUUCAUUCCCCUUAGGUAUUUAGGGGAUUUAGUUCAUAACUAAAAAGGAAAAAAUCUCAGAAGAAUAAUGAAUACAAAACAUAAAGAAAACCUAAAACUCCUGAAGGGAAAUUGAGGGGAGAUCUUCAGUCUUGAUGGUGACUCCAGCUUUUGAGAUGGAUCAAUCAGCUUCCCUUGAGUAGUUCCCUACCUCCUUCUCUUUGUGUUCCCUUUCUUCUUCCUCUAGGGUGUAUUUAUAGGCUUUGGAAUGCCUAGGAACCCUCAAAAUUAGCCUUUUCCAAGUUGGACUCAACUUGGACUCGGUAGGGACACGCCCAUGUCACACGCCGUGUGAGUCGUGCUUCGAUUCUGCCAAAUUGACACGGCUGUGUGGUAUGCCCGUGUGAGGAAGUCCAGGCCGUGUUGAUUUCGUACUUUGGCCCGUUUUCUCCAUUUUUGGCUCAUUUCUCGUUCUUUUCACUCUCCUAUGCUCACCUAAGUAUAAAACAUGAAAUUAAGGCAUUAGAAGCAUCGAAUUCAUCAAUUCUAAGGAAAAGUCAUCCACAAAAUGCGUUAAGCACGGGGUAAAAAUAUGUAUAAAUUAUAGUUUAUCAAAUACCCCCACACUUAAGCAUUUACUUGUCCUCAAGCAAAAUUCUCAACUCAUAUUCAAAAUAAAUUCUUCUAAACCUAUAAUUUCUAUCGAUAAUAUCUCAAAAUAAUCCAUAGGUAAUCAUACAUUGAAAAUUCAACUAAAAGAACAUCAAAGUUUCAAACAUUCCAAGUUGAGUAUUUAAUCAUGCAAAACUUUAGGCAUCUCCCCUUAUCUAAGUGGUUACCGCGAUUCAAAAUCUCACGGAGUUUAACAUCCGCACUAAAGAUUCACUCAAAGUGUUUAAGGACAAUGUAAGUAGCACUCAUCAGUCAAUAUGAAAAGUUAUUACCAUAGGCUUGCAUGAAAAUCACAUCUCCGCCACUAUAAAUUGAGAUGAUCCAUCAAUCAAAAGGUCUUUAGAGGGUUGUAACGUGGCUUUGGUUAAGGGGUGUGGUCACAAGUUGAAAGAAAUGGUUAGAAUCGAGAUUGAAUUGAAAAAUCACAUAACUAGAAAAAUAUUUAAUCAUCACUUACGUACAACAGAGCUUCUUCUCAGAAUAUGGAAUUUAAAUACUUAAGCUCAAAAACAAAAUAUUACUACUCAUGUGUAUACACAGUUUUUUUUAAGAACAAGUUAAAUAACAUAGACUAACUAUUAAGAACAAGACAUAGCUGAGUAACUAUUUCAAUUCAAAUCUCGACAAAAAUAGGGAUCAAAUUUAAUUUAGGGGAUUUCAACAAUAAUGGGUUAAGGGUUAAUAUUAUGGGUAAUACAAAAAAAGGGUUGUUAGGCUCAAAGGGGUUCACUAGGGGCUAAUUUUGGAGGUAGGCUUUUCAUGGCAUGGGUGGGUUAAUCCUAAGUGCCUUAAUCAUUCUGACAUAUCAAAUCAAAUGGUGUGGUCUUGACAUGCAUAAUCAAGCAAGUUCUAGAAUAACAGUUCAAUACUAACGCACUCAAAGCAAUAAUAAAAGUGAGCAUGAAAGAAUUAAUAGAUGCUCAAAAGGCUCAAAAAUCUCACAAAAUUAUGGCAUUUUGAUGUUUAAAAUUGUGAAUUCCAACUCAAAGUAAUACCUAAACUUUGGGGAAACAAUCUAAAUUUUAAAUUCUUAAAAAUCAACUUAUCAUGCUAUAUUCUCUAAUGUCUUAAAGUUUAAACAAUCAAUGCAUAAAUGCCUACGUUUUAAUUCAAGAUAUAUCAAUAAAAAUCAUAAAUCAAUCAAAAUUUAUCCUAAAUAUGAUAUGAGAGCUUUUCAAGAGAACAAGGCAGUCAUUCAGGGAUUUUUCUGAUAAUGACAUGGAUACUCCCCCACAAUUAAGAUGUACAUUGUCCUCAAUGUAUAAAGAUAGAUAUAAGAAUAUAGAAAUAAGAUAGGGAGAGGAGUAAACUUCCUGAGUGAUGAGUGAAUUUCCUUGAACUGGAGUUUUGGAGAAUAAUUGGCGUAAGGGUGGAGGAGGAUACUCCGGCGAUGAUAGAGGUUCAUUAGUCCAUAAUUCCUGCACCAAAAGAAUAUUAUAUCUGAAGUUGGUUAUGAUCAUGGUCGAGUAGGACAUGGCAGUCGUGGAAAACCUUUCCAAGUGGAGUUUCAAGUUUCUAAGUAAUAGUGAGCUGUGGAGCUCUUUAUAACUGUAACAGAAUUAGGAACUCUUUUAGGAAAUAUAUAAGGGUAAGUACUCAAUAGAAAUUAGCCAAAAUUAAAAAUUGUAAAAUAAUAAUAAUAAGUCCUAAUAAAAAUAAGGUGAAAGAAAAAUAAAAAGUAGUCUUAAAAUAAAAAAAAGUAAAAACAUAAAAUAAUAAAUAAAUGUUUUUAAACAUCUUCAUCGCUAAAUGGUUGGCAAGGUAGGGGUGGCAAUGAGAUGUUGAGUGCUGACAAAUCUGUUGUAGAGUAGCAUCAAUGUUUUCAAAUCGUUGAAAACACUGCUGCUUGAAUCGAGUGAGGCGUUCAGAGAUGUCAACAUAUGAAGCCGCUGCAUGAACUGACGAGAGGGUGGUGGUGGCUGAGACAGUGGGUCCUCGUGCUGUGGAGGGACAUCAUCAGUAAUGUCCUUGUGGGCCUCCUCCUCGGUAGAUUGGGCGAGACAAUAUUGAGGAGGGUAGGUUCCUCGGCGCUUUUCGAUCAUCUUCAUGCUAAGCAUGCUCGAGAUGCCUUGUGGACACAUCUGGCCAAUGAGGGUCAAGGAUGAUUCUUGGGCCGCGGUGCUAAAGAACCCGAAAUGUUAAGCCAAUCGCGUCACAUAGGGGCAAAUGGAGAUGACCCCCUUCCUAUGUCGCUCCGUCUAGUGUUGAAUGGCGAGGACAAUGAAAUAGGCAAGGUCGAUGACGUGCCCGUGCGACAUAAUAGAAAGUAGGCGUCAUGAGUACUGACGACGCCAGUGCUCUCUCGCCUUCCUGUUAUCGUGUGAGCCAAAAUGGUGUGUAGGUACCAUAGAGAUGGAGGGAGAGCCGAUGCCUUCGUGCGGCUAGGAUUGUAGGUGGCCGCACCUAGUACUAGUGCGUCCCAACACUGUGAAAGAGAACGAUGGAUGUGGCAGUUGAGAGCAUGUAAGUCAUUCUCCUCCUUGAAUUCCUCCGUAUAUAAACACAGUGCAGUACCAAAUUCUGGGACACUAAGCUGGAGGACUAAUCCACCUAGGAAAAAUUGCACCGUGCCUGGAUCAUUGUAGUUCGUCAUCACGGUCUAAAGAUGAAACGUGGAGCAUAAUUCCAUCGUGAGCUCGAGAUACGUCGGCUUAAUGAUCCCAAAGAACAGUUCCCAAGGGUCGGUGGUUAGGAGGGUCCGAAUCACAUCAGCCAACUGAACUUGUUCUGCUGCAACCUAGUCGAUACAGUGGCCCACAAUUAAAGGUCGGGCCUGGAGUAUUUGGAAAACUUCUUCUUGGGGCCCGAUGGGGAACCUCAGGAAAGGGUGACAAACUUCUGCGGUAGGACCUGAAGAAGAUGGCGUUCCCUUCCUUUUCUUUGAAGCAGGGACAGUGGCCUUUUUACCACGUGAAGACGACAUUGUUGCCUGCAAUUAGAAACAUUAAUUCGUCUUGAUGAGUAGACAGGGGAAAAUGCUCUAAAUUUGAAGAGGAAAAUCCAUAAAUAUAUUCAGCCACAAUUACUAAGUUUAGCAAAAACAAUAAGUUCAAUAACCUACUUUUGUGGCAUUAGCAUGGUGAUAUAAGUAAAAAUGGCAAAGAAUGGAAUGUAUCAUACUAUACAAAUGAACAUGAAUGCCAACACAAGAGGCAUGAAGUGUAUAGUUGGUGGUCCACGUUGACAGCAGUUGUACUGAGAGACAAGGUUACCUGGGAUUUCUUGAAAUCAGAGUUUAAAAAAAUAUAUCAGCAAACAAUAUCUAGAUUUGAGAAAGAAAGAAUUUCUUGAAUUAAGGUAAGGAAAUAAAUCAGCAGCUGAAUACGAGAGAGAGUUUGUGUAUCUCAGCAAGUAUGCUCAUGAAAUUGUGUCAAAUGAUGAAGAAAUGUGCAUCCAUUUUGAAGAUCGUUUGAAUGAUGAAAUUAAAAUGAUGAUUAUAGGGACAAAAAUACGACAGUUCAUGGUUUUAUCUAAUUAGGCUCAAAAGAUGGAGGAAGUUUAUAAAAAUAAGAAAUAGAAAGGAAGGAAGGCUCGAGAAUUUGGUAAAAUAAGCUUUUCCAAGUCGUUUUCCACACCGCCAUCAAAGAAAACAAAAGAAGAAUUUAAUCAUGUCACUUCAGCAUCUAGAUUUUCAGGUAAAAACAAAUUAAUUAAGUAUGAUUCUAAAUCUCAAGUUAAGCCUACCGAUAGAGUGGGAAGUGUUCAGAAUGCACCGAAACCUAUUUGUAAACAUUGUGGAAAACUUCAUACUAAAGAAUACAGAACCAAACUGGGUGCGUGUUACAAAUGUGGCUCGACAGAUCAUUUUGUGUGUAAUUGCCCAAGAAUGGUAGGAGAUAAUGAAGAACGAAGUGAUAGACAGGUGUCGACACCUCAGAAGAGUAGAUCUCCCCAGCAGAGUAGUAAUACUGGAGCUAAUUAUAUUGAGAUAAAAAAUACAGUUGCCCGAUCUAAAGUUAGAGCUCCUACAUAAGCAUAUGUUACUCGAACCAAGGAGGAAGCUGUUGCGCCUGAUGUUAUUUUUGGUAUAUUUUAUCUCUUUGAUGUUACUGUAUAAGCACUAAUUAACCCUGGGUCAACUCACUCAUAUAUUUGUACUGCAUUAGUAAUGGAUAAAAAUUUACUUGUUGAGUCAAUUGAGUUUGAUGUUCAAGUUAUAAAUCUAUCGGGUCAGAGCAUGAUAGUUAAUUUAAUAUGUCGUAAGUGUCCACUGAAAAUUCAGGGCUAUGAAUUUCUUGCAGAUUUGAUGUUGUUAUCAUUUUUGGAAUUUGAUAUUAUUCUGGGAAUGGAUUGGUUGACAUUACAUGAUGUUGUGGUAAAUUGUAGAUUGAAAUGGAUUGAUUUGAGAUGUCAAACAGGUGAAAUGAUUUCAGUUGAGUGAGAUAGAUCAAACAGUGUUGUAAGAGUUAUCUCAAUAAUUACGGCAUAGAAACUGAUUCGUAAAGGUUGUGAGGCAUUUUUUACUUAUAUACUUGAUACUCAAGAUUCAGAGUCGAAGCUAGAUCAGGUACUAAUUGUAAAAGAUUUUACUAAUGUGUUUCCUAAAGAGUUAACCGGAUUGUUGCUAGAAUGUGAAGUUGAAUUUGCUAUUGAUCUGACACCUGGAACUAUACCAAUAUCGAUCUCGUCGUAUCGAAUGGCACCAGCUGAGUUGAAAGAACUUAAAGAACAGUUGCAAGAAUUGUUAGACAGAGGUUUUAUUCGGCCGAGUGUGUCUCGUUGGGGAGCACCUGUGUUGUUUGUGAAAAAGAGAGACGGGUCGUUGAGAUUAUGUAUUGGUUACAAACAACUAAAUAAGGUUACAAUAAAGAAUAAAUAACCUUUGCCUCAUAUCGAUGAUUCAUUUGAUCAAUUGAAAGGUUCAACCGUGUUUUCAGAAAUAGAUCUCAAAUUUGGAUAUUAUUAGUUGCGAGUAAAAGAUUGUGACAUGCCAAAAAUUAUUUUUCGAACUCUUUAUGGCCAUUACAAAUUCUUGGUGAUGCCUUUCGGAUUAACCAAUGCCCCUACUGCUUUUAUGGAUAUGAUGAAUCGAGUUUUUCAACCUCAUUUGAAUAGAUUCAUAAUUGUAUUUAUUGAUGAUAUAUUAGUCUAUUCUAAAACAGAAUCUAAGCAUGCUCAGCAUUUAAGAAUUGUAUUAUAGAUUUUGCGCGAAAAACAGUUGUACGCAAAAUUCAGUAAAUGUGAGUUUGGCUUCGAGAAGUUGAAUUUCUUAGUCACAUAAUAUCUGCAGAUGGGAUUUGUGUUGAUCCGAGUAAAAUUUCUACUGUUGUCAACUGGAAAGCUCCGAAAAAUGUUUUAAAAGUACGAAGAUUUCUGGCCUUUGAUAAACUGUAAUUUAUACAUAUUUUUACCCCAUGCUUAACGCAUUUUACGGAUGAUUUUUCCUUAGAAUUGGUGAAUUCGAUGCUCCUAAUGCCUUAAUUUCAUGUUUUAUACUUAGGUGAGCAUAGGAAAGCGAAAGGAACGAUAAACGAGCCAAAAAUGGAGAAAAUGGGCCAAAGUACGAAAUCAACACAGCCUGGACUUCCUCACACUGGCAUACCACAUGGCCGUGUCAAUCUGGCAGAAUCGAAGCACGGUUCACACGGGCGUGUCCCUGCCGAGCCCAAGUUGAGUCCAAUUCAAAAAAAGCUAAUUUUGAGGGUAAUUAGGCAUUCCAAAGCUUAUAAAUACACCCUAUAGGAAGAGGAAAGGGGAAACAGAGAGAAAAAGGCAGGGAACUGCUCAAGAAAAGCUGAUUGAUCCAUCUCAAAAGCUGGAGUCACCAUCAAGACUGAAGAUCUCCCCUCAAUUUCCCUUCAGGAGUUUUGGGUUUUCUUUAUGUUUUGUAUUCAUUAUUCUUCUGAGAUGUUUUCCUUUUUAGUUAUGAACUAAAUCCCCUAAAUACCUAAGGGGAAUGAAACCUAAGAUGAAUCUUGUUAUUAUUUUCUAAAUUGUAUGAUAAAUAUUUAACUUGUUCUUAAUUAUGUGUUCUUAAUUCUUGUUUUGAUAUCCCAUGUGAUAAACUGUAUUUUUUACAUAUUUUUACCCCAUGCUUAACGCAUUUUAUGGAUGAUUUUUCCUUAGAAUUAGUGAAUUCGAUGCUCAUAAUGCCUUAAUUUCAUGAUUUAUACUUAGGUGAGCAUAGGAGAGCGAAAGGAACGAGAAAUGGGCCAAAAAGGGAGAAAAUGGACCAAAGUACAAAAUCAACACGGCCUGGACUUCCUUACACGAGCAGCCCACACGGCUGUGUCAAUCUGGCAGAAUCGAAGCACGACUCGUACGGGUAGAACACACGCUCGUGCCAUUCUAACAGGCUCAAACACGGCCUGAAGUAAUCGCUCACGGGCGUGCCACACGGGCGUGACCUUGCCAAGCCCAAAUUGAGUCCAAUUCAGAAAGGGGUAAUUUUAAAGGUUCUUAGGCAUUCCAAUGGCUAUAAAUACACCCUAGAGGAGGAAGAAAAAGGACACACAAAAUAGGGAGUAAGGAAUUACUCCAAGGAAGCCGAUUGAUUCAUCUCAGAGGCCGGAUUCAUCAUCAAGACUGAAGAUCUCUCCUUAAUUCUCCUUCAGGAGUUUUGGGUUUUCUUUAUGUUUUGUAUUCUUUAUUAUUCUAAGAUGUUUUCUUAUUUAGUUAUGAACUAAAACCCUUAAAUACCUAAGGGGAAUGAAACCUAAGACGAAUCUUGUUAUUAUUUUCUAAAUUGUAUGAUAAAUAUUUAACUUGUUCUUAAUUAUGUGUUCUUAAUUCUUGUUUUGAUAUCUCAGGAUACUGAUUCAAGAUAAGCUCUCAUUUAGAGGAGGAAUAGACCCUAUCUAAGAGUACAUUUGUCAUAAUUAAGCGGAGUUGAUUGCGCGCCUAGACAUAGGGUGACAAGAUUUUGCCGGAUUAGGGUGAAACCUAAUAAGGGGAUCCAUAGAUCGAGUUAAUGCAACCCUAUGGUGUUAAUUAGAGAAAGGUCUCAAUUAUUCAAUCUAGGGAUUAGACGUUAUUAGUUUUGAAUAGGGAUAAUAACAUAACUUAGGGAUCUCUACGGAACAAGUUAAAUGAAUAAAUCGUCUGAUUCGGAGCCAGAAUAACAAGUAAAGUCUAGGUGGAUUUUUCCUUAGGUAUUGUCUUAACUCAAUCGAUAUUCCCAAAAGCAAUUCCCCAAUUCUAUUCUCUGUGAGUUUUUAGUUUAUAUAAUUAGUUAACUAAAACAAAACCCCUUUUAUUCUUAGGCUAGAUAAUAAAAAGACAGUCAUUACUGGUACUUUUAGUCCCUUUGGGUUCGACAAUCUGGUCUUGCUAAAACUAUACUACUGUUCGAUAGGUACACUUGCCUAAAUCACGAUAAUAAUUAGUUUCAAGAAUGAUUAAUUAUAAAUAUUUAAACCCUAUCACAAAAUCACACGAUCACCAGGAUACUGAUUCAAGAUAAGCUCUUAUUCAAAGGAGGAAUAAACCCUGUCUAAAGAGUACAUUUGUCAUAAUUAAGCGGAGUUGAUUGUGCGCCUAGACAUAGGGUGACAAGAUUUUGCCAGAUUAGGGUGAAACCUAAUAAGGGGAUCCAUAGAUCGAGUUAAUGCAACCCUAGGGUGUUAAUUAGAGAAAAGUCUCAAUUAUUCAAUCUAGGGAUUAGAUGUUAUUAGUCCUGAAUAGAGAUAAUAACAUAACUUAGGGAUCUCUACGGGACAAGUUAAAUGAAUAAAUUGUCUGAUUCGGAGCCAGAAUAACAAGUAAAGUCUAGGUGGAUUUUUCCUUAGGUAUUGUCUUAACUCAAUCGUUUUCCAAAAGUAAUCCCCCAAUUAUACUUUCUGCGAAUUCUUAGUUUAGAUAAUUACUUAGUUAAUACAAAAUCUCCUUAUUCUUAGGCUAGAUAAUAAAAAGACAAUCAUUACUAGUACUUUUGGUUCCUUUGGGUUUGGCAAUCUGGUCUUGCUAAAACUAUACUACUGUUCAAUAGGUACACUUGCCUACAUCGUGAUAAUAGUUAGUUUCAAGAAAGAUUCUUUAUAAAUAUUUAAAACCUGUCACACGAAAAUCGCGAUCAAGUUUUUGGCGCCGUUGCCGGGGAACUAAGAUAUUAGGAACGCUCAAUUUUUAUUACUUUAGCCAUUUAUUUUUCUUGCAAUUUAAUUUUAAUUUAAUUUUUAUUAUUAUUUAUUAAUUUACUUUUUCUUUCUCUUGGCAGGUUUUUAUAGUUUAUGACUAGAAGAAACCCGUCAGGACCACUACUUUUUAAAGAAUAAAUCGAUCGCACAGUUCGCAGAAACCAAAGAGAAACAAGGUGAAGCUUAAGAUACACAGAGAACAAGCAAGAGGACGAUACUCAAACCCCAACCGGAGAGAUGGCUGGAAACGAAGACAAUCAGGUACCUCUUGCCAUACACGUUGAACUAGCAAAUCAGAAUCCUGCUCCUCGUACUAUGUAUGAUUAUACUAAACCUACUUUAACAGGAACUAAGUCAAGUAUAGUUAGGCCUGCUAUUGCUGCAAAUAAUUUUGAACUAACACCUAACACUAUUCAAAUGAUACAUUAAUUUGUUCAGUUUGAUGGUUGCAGGAUGAGGAUCCGAACACUCACUUGGCAAAUUUCCUGUAAUUCUGCAAUACCUUUAAAAUUAAUGGCGUUUCUAACGAUUCCAUUCGUCUUUGGUUAUUCCUUUUUUCAUUGAGAAACAAAGCUAAACAGUGGUUGAACUCGUUACCACGAGGGUCAAUCACUACUUAGGAACAAAUGACCAAAAAAUUUCUAUUAAAAUAUUUUUCGCCGGCUAAAACGGCCAAAUUACGUAAUGAUAUCUCUUCAUUUGUGCAGAUGGACUUAGAGACUCUUUAUGAUGCAUGGGAAAGAUACAAGGACUUACUGAGAAGGUGCCCUCAUCAUGGGUUACCACUUUGACUAUAGGUUCAAACAGUCCAUAAUGGCCUGAAUCCUUCGACUCGACAAAUGGUUGACGCAACUGCUGGCGGAACCAUAAAUAAUAGAACACCUGAAAAUGCUUAUGAGUUUAUUGAAAAGAUGUCACUGAAUAACUAUCAGUGGCAAGUCAUGAGGACUAAGCCAACUAAAACAGUAGGCGUUUAUAAUGUCGAUUCGGUUAUUAUGCUGUCAAACCAGGUAGAACUUCUAAUUAAAAAGAUUGAUAGUUUACUUGUUUCUACUCAGGUACACCCAGUAAAGAGGUGCGAGACGAAUGGAGGAGGAGCAUGCAUAGAAUAUCAACCCUUCAACCCUAGCAUCAAGGAGGAACAAGUUCAAUCUAUGGGUAACAAUAACUCUAGAUCCCAAAAUAACCCAUAUAGUAACACUUAUAAUGCAGGUUAGAGGAACCAUCCCAAUUUCUCAUGGGGUGGUCAAGGAAAUCAAACACCAUAACAUCCUCCAGGUUUUCAACAACCACCUUAUCAACGGGAAAAGAAACCGACACGUGAAGAGAUGCUGUCUAAAUUUAUCUUGAUGUCAGAAACCCGUUUCCAGAACACCGAGACAGCACUUAAAAAUCAACAAGCAUCGAUCCAAGGGCUCGAAACUCAGAUCGGCCAGCUUUCCAAACUAAUCUCCAAACGACCACAAGGUAGCUUGCCAAGUAAUACUGAACCCAACCCAAGGGAACAGCUCAACGCGAUUAAUGUUCAAGAUGAAGAAGGAUUCGUUGAGCCUAAGCCAGAACCGAGGUAAGAAACUGUGGUAACCAGAGGUUAAGGUGAGGUAGGUCAUAAUAAAAACAAAUUAGUGAAUUUAGAAUAUAAACCUCGUGAGGAAAGACCGCCCAGAUGAACAAUUUGAUAAAUUUCUUAAACUCUUAAAAAAUUACAUAUUAACUUACCGUUUAUUGAAGCUCUAUCGCAGAUGCCAAACGCAAUGAAAUUUUUAAAGGAGCUUUUAGCAAAUAAAUAGAAGUUGGACGAGGUGUCGCAUGUAGAGCUAAAUGCAGUUUGCUCAGCUAUUCUACAGAAUAAACUACCUAACAAACUAAAAGAUCCAGGGAGUUUUACGAUUCCUUGCUUAAUUGGGAGUUUUGAUGUUAAUAAUGCAUUAGCUGAUUUAGGGGCUAGUAUUAACGUCAUGCCCUACAAAAUGUUCAAACAAUUAGGUCUUGGGAAACCCAAACAGACUAUGAUGAGCAUUCAAUUAGUAGAUAAAACUAUAAGAUUUGCUAGGGGUAUUAUUGAAGAUAUGCUAGUUAAAGUCGAUAAAUUUAUAUUUCCCGUUGGCUUCAUUGUUCUAGACAUAGAGGAGGAUAGCAACACUCCUUUGAUUUUAGGAAGGCCCUUUUUAACAAUUGCUAAAAUGAUUAUUGACGUUGGCACAGGUGAACUCACACUCCGUGUGGGAGACGAAACAAUCACCUUUCAAGCUCGCAAUUCUGGUGCCAUAUCGGAAAUUGAAGGUGAUCAUCUAAACCAUUCUACUAAAACUAACAAUAUGGUACAACCUACUUUGCAGGAAAUGAGUCUGAAGAAAGCACAUGAGUCAUUCUCAAACAAUAGAAGAGGACCUAUUCAUGAAGAUCGAAGGCUACAAAUCGAGGAGCUAGAUGAAUGGCAGACGCAUAAACUGAGAACACAUGAUAAACCAAAACUACACCCGAACGAGCUCAACAUCUUCCCACGUCAACUUAAGUUGGAGAUAAAGUCUUAUUAGAUGCCGCAGAUCCUCACAUUGUCACUACCACACUGAACAAAGAAAUCCCUCUUACGGUACUUAGCAUUUUCCCAUUCAAUACAGUCAAGGUAAGUCAUUCCAAGUUCGGCACUUUUAAGGUAAAUAACACUCAUCUAAAACCUUAUUUUGAUGAGAAUGAUAGCAGGAAUGAGGAGUAUAAACUCCUUGAACCACCAUGACCAUUCAAUAGAGAGGUAAGUCGAGCUUAGACUAUAAAUAAGCUCUUCUCAGGAGGCAACCCGAGCACUAACAAUAUUAAUUUCUUUAAAUUUUAGUAUUUAACACCUAACUUACUAACAGAGAUCUCGAAUAUAGGUUUUUCCACACAGACACGGCCAAGCACACGGGCGUGCCUAGGGCCGUGUGAAUAUAGGGGAAAGAUUUCCUCAACACGGGCUAUGAUAAAUCGCCACGGCCGUGAGCGAACCUGCCAAAACAACAUUGGCAUGCGACACGCCCGUGUCUAGAACCCGUGGUCAAGCCUGUUAAACGAACACGGGCAUGGGCCUACAUACACGAGUGUGGGAGAAGCGAACAAAGUCAGGCAUAGUCGUGCGACACGACCGUGUGCACCCACACACCCAAGGAACACAGGCAUAGACUAAAAGUCAGACGCACCCAAAUUCAAAAUUCACAAGUCACACGGGCAAAAAUUGAGGAACACGGGCGUGUUCCCUAGCCGUGUGCCCCAAAAUCUAUAAAUAGGCUACACUAUUCAUUGUCUUCUUCACCCAAAAAAACCCCUAACCUUAGCCGCUGCAAGACCACACGCCCUUCCCACCACGCCCGUGCGCCUCUUCCAACUGCAUUUUCGACACCCAACCUCUCUCCUUUAGCGUUUGUUUACUCCUUUCUCUUUUAAUUCACUAAUUUAUAAUGCUAUUUAUCAUAAUAAUAUAUAUUUUUCAUAUUAUUUUCAUCUUUCUAUCACUCAAAUGUCAUUUAUAGAACAAGUUAUCAUCUUUUUUCUUAUUCAAAUUCUUAUUUAUUACAUGAUUUCUCUACUCCACUUGAUUAGUUAGAAGUGCAUAUAUAUGGUUAGGAUAGUUGAAAUAUUCAUGCCUCUUGUGUUGACAUUUAUGUUCAUUCGUAUAGUAUGAUACAUUCUACUCUUUGCCAUUUUUACUUAUAUCACCAUGCUAAUGCCACAAAAGUAGGUCAUUGAACUUAUUAUUUUUGCUAAACUUAGUAAUUGUGGCUGAACAUAUUUAUGGAUUUUCCUCUUCGAAUUUAGUCGCAUUUUCCCCUGUCUACUCAUCAAGACGAAUUACUGUUUCCAAUUGCAGGCAUACAAUGUCGUCUUCACGUGGUAAAAAGGCCACUAUCCCUACUUUAAAGAAAAGGAAGGGAGCGUCAUCUUCUUCGGGUCCUACCGCGGAAGUUCGUCACCCUUUCCUGAGGUUCCCCAUCGGGCCCCAAGAAGAACUUUUCCAAAUACUCUGGGCCCGACCUUUAAUUGCGAGCCAUUGCAUCGACUGGGCUAUAGUAGAACAAGUUCAAUUAGCUGAUGCGAUUCAGGCCCUCCUUUUCUUUUGGAUCAUCGAGUCGACGUAUCUCGAGCUCACGAUGGAAUUAUGCUCCACAUUUCCUCUUCAGAUCGUGAUGACCAACUACGAUGAUCCCAGCACGGUGCAAUUUGGCCUAGGCGGAUUAGUCUGCCAGCUCAGCAUCCUAAAAUUUGGUACUGCAUUAGGUUUAUAUACAGAGGAAUUCAAGAAGGAGAAUGACUUACAUGCUCUCAACUGUCACAUCCAUCGUUCUCCUUCACGGUGCUGGGACGCACUAGUACCAGGCACAGCCACCUACAAUCCUAGUCGAUCCAAGGCAUCGGCUCUCCCUCCAUCUCUAAGGUACCUAAACUCCAUUUUGGAUCACACAAUAACACGAAGCCAAGAGAGCACUAGCGUUGUCAAUACUCACGACGCCUACUUUCUAUGGUGUAUGUCUCACGAGCACGUCAUCGACCUUGCCUAUUUCAUUGCCCUCGCCAUUCAACACCAGACGGAGUGGCAUAGGAAGGGGGUCAUCUUCAUUGGCCCCUAUGUGACGCGAUUAGCUCUACACUUCGAGCUCCUCAGCACCGCGGCCCAAGAAUCAUCCUUGACCCUCAUUGGCCAGAUGUCUCCACAAGGCAUCUCGAGCAUGCUUAGCAUGAGGAUGAUCGAAAAGCGCCAAGGAACCUACCCUCCUCAAUAUCGUCUCACCUAAUCUACCGAAGAGGAGGUUCCUGAGGACAUUACUGAUGAUGUCCCCCACAGCACAAGGACCCACCGUCUCAACCACUAUCACCCUAUUGUCCAGUUCAUGCAGCAGCUUCAUAUGCUGACAUCUCUGAGCGCCUCACUUGAUUCGAACAGUAGUGUUUUCAACAAUUUGACAACAUUGAUGCUAGUCUAUAGCAGAUUUGUCAGCACCUCCACAUCUCAUUGCCACCCCCACCUCGCGAACCAUUUAGCAAUUAAGAUGUUUAAAAACAUUUAUUUAUUAUUUUAUGUUUUUACUUUUAUUUUAUUUUAAGACUACUUUUUGUUUUUCUUUCACCUUAUUUUUAUUAGGACUUAUAAUUAUUAUUUUACAAUUUUUAAUUUUGGCACAUUCCUAUUGAGUACUUACCCUUCCUUAUAUAUUUCCUAAAAGAGUUCUUGAUUUUAUCACAGUUAUAAAGAUCUCCACAACUCACUAUUACUCAGGAACUCGAAACUCCACUGGGAAAGGUUCUCCACGACUGCCAUGUCCUGCUCGACCACGAUCAUAACCAACUUCAGAUAUAAUAUUCUUUUAGCGCAGGACUUAUGGACUAAUGAACCUCUACCACCGCUGGAGUAUCCUCCUCCACCCUUACGCCAAUUAUUCUCCAAAACUCCAGUUCAAGGAAAUUCACUCAUCACUCAGGAAGUUUCACUCCUCUCCCUAUCUUAUUCCUAUAUUCUUAUAUUUAUCUUUGUACAUUGAGGACAAUGUACAUAUUAAGUGUGGGGGAGUAUCCAUGUCAUUAUCAGAAAAAUCCCUGAAUGACUGUCUUAUUCUCUUGAAAAGCUCUCAUAUCAUAUUUAGGAUAAAUUUUGAUUGAUUUAAGAUUUUUAUUGAUAUAUCUUGAAUUAAAAUGUAGGCAUUUAUGCAUUGAUUGUUUAAACUUUAACACGUUAGAGAAUUAAGCAUGAUAAGUUGAUUUUUAAUAAUUUAAAAAUUUAGGUUGUUUCCCCAAAGUUUAGGUAUUACUUUGAGUUGGAAUUCACAAGUUUUAAACAUCAAAAAGCCAUAAUUUUUGUGAGAUUUUUGAGCCUUUUGAGCAUAUAUUAAUUCUUUCAUGCUCACUUUUAUUAUUGCUUUGAGUUCGUCAGUAUUUAAUUGUUAUUCUAGAACUUGCUUGAUUAUGCAUGUCAAGACUACACCAUUUAAUUUGAUAUGUCAAAAUGAUUAAGGCACUUAGGAUUAACCCACUCAUGUCAUGAAAAGCCUACCUCUAAAAUUAACCCCUAGUGAACCCCUUUGAGCCUAACAACCCAUUUUUUUUGUAUUACCCAUAAUAUUAACCCUUAACCCAUUAUUGUUGAAAUCCCCUAAAUUAAAUUUGAUCCCUAUUUUUGUUGAGAUUUGAAUUGAAAUAAUUACUCAGCUAUGUCUUAUUCUUAAUAGUUAGUCUAUGUUAUUUAACUUGCUCUUAAAAAAAAUGUGUAUACACAUUAGUAGUAAUCUUUUGUUUUUGAGGUUAAGUAUUUAAAUUCCAUAUUCUGAAAAGAAGCUCUGUUGUACGUAAGUGAUGAUUAAAUCUUUUUCCAGCUAAGUGAUUUUUCAAUUCAAUCUCGAUUCUAACCAUUUCUUUUAGCUUGUGACCACACCCCCUAACCAAAGUCACGUUAUAACCCUCUAAAGACCGUUUGAUUGAUAGAUCAUCUCAAUUUAUAAUGGUGGAGAUGUGAUUUUCAUGCAAGCCUAUGGUAAUAACUUUUCAUAUUGACUGAUGAGUGCUACUUACAUUGUCCUUAAACACUUUGAGUGAUUUGAGUCAAUCUUUAGUGAAGAUGUUAAACUCCGUGAGAUUUCAAAAGGAGGUAACCACUUAGAUAAGGGGAGAUGCCUAAAGUUUUGCAUGAUUAAAUACUCAACUUGGAAUGUUUGAAACUUUGAUGUUCUUUUAGUUGAAUUUUCAAUGUAUGAUUACCAAUGGAUUAUUUUGAGAUAUUAUCGAUAGAAAUUAUAGGUUGAGAAGAAUUUAUUUUGAAUAUGAGUUGAGAAUUUUGCUUGAGGACAAGAAAAUCCUUAAGUGUGGGGGUAUUUGAUAAACCGUAAUUUAUACAUAUUUUUACCCCAUGCUUAACGCAUUUUAUGGAUGAUUUUUCCUUAGAAUUGCUGAAUUCGAUGCUUCUAAUGCCUUAAUUUCAUGUUUUAUACUUAGGUGAGCAUAGGAAAGCGAAAGGAACGAUAAACGAGCCAAAAACGGAGAAAAUGGGCCAAAGUACGAAAUCAACACAGCCUGGACUUCCUCACAGUGGCAUACCACACGGCCGUGUCAAUCUGGCAGAAUCGAAGCACGGUUCACACUGGCGUGUCACACGGGCGUGUCCCUACCGAGCCCAAGUUGAGUCCAAUUCAAAAAAACUUAAUUUUGAGGGUUCCUAAGCAUUUCAAAGCCUAUAAAUACACCCUAGAGGAAGAGGAAAUGGGACACAGAGAGAAUGAGGCAGGGAACUGCUCAAGGGAAGUUGAUUGAUCCAUCUCAGAAGCCGUAGUCACCAUCAAGACUGAAGAUCUCCCCUCAAUUUCCCUUCAGGAGUUUUGGGUUUUCUUUAUGUUUUGUAUUCAUUAUUCUUCUGAGAUGUUUUCCUUUUUAGUUGUGAAAUAAAUCCCCUAAAUACCUAAAGGGAAUGAAACCUAAGACGAAUCUUGUUAUUAUUUUCUAAAUUGUAUGAUAAAUAUUUAAUUUGUUCUUAAGUAUGUGUUCUUAAUUCUUGUUUUGGUAUCCCAGGAUACUGACUCAAGAUAAGCUCUUAUUCAGAGGAGGAAUAGACCCUAUCUAAAGAGUACAUUUGUCAUAAUUAAGCGGAUUUGAUUGCGCGCCUAGACAUAGGGUGACAAGAUUUUGCCGGAUUAGGGUGAAACCUAAUAAGGGGAUCCAUAGAUCGAGUUAAUGCAACCCUAGGGUGUUAAUUAGAGAAAAAUCUCAAUUAUUCAAUCUAGGGAUUAGACGUUAUUAGUCCUGAGUAGGGAUAAUAACAUAACUCAGGGAUCUCUACGGGACAAGUUAAAUGAAUAAAUCGUCUGAUUCGGAGCUAGAAUAACAAGUAAAGUCUAGGUGGAUUUUUCCUUAGGUAUUGUCUUAAUUCAAUUGCUUUCCAAAAGUAAUCCCCCAAUUCUACUUUCUGCGAAUUCUUAGUUUAGAUAAUUAGUUAGUUAAAACAAAACCCCCUUAUUCUUAGGCUAGAUAAUAAAAAGACAGUCAUUACUAGUAAUUUUAGUUCCUUUGGGUUCGACAAUUCAAUCUUGCUAAAACUAUACUACUGUUCAAUAGGUUCACUUGCCUACCUCGUGAUAAUAGUUAGUGUCAAGAACGAUUCUUUAUAAAUAUUUAAAACCUGUCACACGAGAAUCGCAAUCAGGCUUAGCAGGUUGUUAUCGUCAUUUCAUUAAAAACUUCUCUAUAGUUGCUUCACCGAUGAACAGAUUGUUACAGAAAAAUAUUGAGUUUGUUUGGUUAAAUAAAUGCCAACAAAGUUUUGAUCAACUGAAAAUCAUGUUGAUAGAAGCUCCAGUGCUGACUCAGCCUAAAUCUGGGAAAGAUUAUGUUGUUUAAAGCAAUCCAUCACUCAACGGGCUAGGUUGUGUGUCGAUGCAAGCCGGAAAGGUAAUAGCAUAUGCUUCUCGUUAGUUAAAGCCACAUGAGAGAAAUUACCCGACUCACAAUCUAGAAUUGUUUGCAAUAGUUUUUGCUCUGAAUAUUUGGCACACUAUCUGUACGGUGAUAAAUUUCAUAUAUUUAAAGAUCAAAAAAUACUGAAAUAUUUGAUGACUAAAAAAGAAUAGAACUUGAGACAUCAAUAGUAGCUAGAGUUAUUAAAAGAUUAAGAUCUGGUAAUUGAUUAUCAUCUCGGAAAAGCUAAUGUUUUCUGCAAAUACCUUAAGUUAAAAAUCAUUGUUCGCAUUAAGAGAGUUGAACGCUCAGUUGACUUGGAAUCGUGAAGGUUUUAUUUUAGUUGAACUAAAAGUUAGACCGUUGUUUCUUCAGCAAAUUCAAGAGUUGCAAAAUGAUGACUCGAAAUUGGUAGUUAAAUGAAAAUAGGUUCACAGUGAUUCAUCUAUAGAAUUUUGUGUUGAUGUUGAUGGUAUAUUGUACUUUGGUUAUAGAUUGUGUGUUUCAAACAAUCUGGAAUUGAACUGAGACAUUUUGACUGAAGCUCAUAAUAGUACGUACAAUAUACAUUCGGGUAGUACGAAAAUGUUUUGUGACUUAAAAUAGAUGUAUUGGUAGCCAUGUAUGAAAUGGAAAAUUUAUGUGUUUGUAGCUAAAUGUCUGGGUUGUCAGCAAGUAAAAUCUUAGCAUCAAAUAUCAUUGAGAUUACUACAACCUGUCAUGAUUCCUAAAUGAAAAUGGGAGCGAGUCACGACAGAUUUUGUAUCUGGGUUACCUGUAUCCCGAGAAAAAAAGAUUUGAUCUGGGUUAUUGUUGACAGAUUGACAAUGUCGGCUCAUUUUAUUCCGUUCUAAACAGAUUAAUCUCUUGAAAUAUUAGUUGAGUUGUAUAUGUCUGAGAUCGUCAAAUUGCACGGAGUGCCAUUGUCUAUUAUUUCUAAUCGAGACCCAAGAUUUACCUCUAGAUUUUGGGGUAAAAUUCAUGAAGCUUUACAUACGAAACUCAAUUUUAUGAUAGAUUUUAUUCGCAGAUAGACAGACAAUCAAAACGAGUGAUACAGAUUUCAGAAGACAUGUUAUGGUGUUGUAUUCUUGAGUUUGAGGGUAGCUGAGAAAAAUAUCUGUCGUCAAUCCAGCAUAAAAAUGGCACCAUUUGAAGCUUUAUAUGGAAGGAAAUGUAGAACACCACUAUACUGGUCAGAGUUGAGCAAAUCUAAGCUAGUGGGGAUAGAUUUGAUUUGUGAAACUGAAGAUAAAGUUUGUGUUAUUCUUGAUUGUCUGAAAGUUGCAUCUGAUCAUUAGAAGUCGUACCCAGAUUUGAAAAGAAAAGAUAUAUAAUUUUUCAUUGGCGACCGAUUAUUUUUGAAAGUUUCAUCAUGGAAUAAAAUACUACGUGGCACAAAGGGAAAGUUGAGUUCGAGGUUUAUCGGGUCAUAUGAAAUUAUUGAAAGAAUUGGUCCAAUAGCUUACAGAUUGGGUUUACCUCCUGAACUUGAAAAGAUUCACAAUGUUUUCCAUGUUUCAAUGCUGAGAUAGUAUAGAUCAAGUCCUUCACAUGUGAUUCCUUCUAGUGAAAUUGGAUUACAGCCGAAUUUGUCGUAUUCUGAAGAAUAGAUAAGAAUUUUGGCUCUUGAAGUAAAAGAACUUCAGAAUAAACAGAUACUGUUAGUAAAAGUUUUAUACAAUUAGCACAGUAUCGAGGAAGCUACUUGGGAGACUAAGGAAUUGAUGAAAUUCCAGUAUUCGGACUUAUUCUCAGGUAAAAAUUUUGUGGACAAAAUUUCUUAAGGAGGGAGAGUUAUAACAGCCCGUUUUUAAUGUUUUUAGAAACAAUGGUUUUGGGACCAUAAUUUUGAUAUGUGUGUAAUAUUUAUGAAGUCCUUAGGGUCGAUUUCAAUUUUGGUUAGGAAAUUUUAACAUUUAGAUAGUUAAUUAAACAAAAAGGACUAAAAUGUGAAAGUUGUAAAAUCUAGCUAUAAUUGAAUUAUAAUGAUUAGAUGGUGUAAAUCAAAUAAGUGGAAUGGUUUAAAGGGAAAAUAUACCAUUUCUUAAUUAGCAUGGACAGUUAAGGCUAUGCAAAAAAUGUAUGUUUAAUUGAAGGGCAAUUAUGUAAUUAAAUAAUAAAAACUUAAGUAAAAUAAAACAAAAAUAAUGUAUCAUCUUCCCAAAAUGGUUUUGACUGAAAUUGAAUAGAAGAAAAAACCAUUGAGGGCUUGAAGGUUUGGCCACCUUAAUUUCCUUUACAUGUGAGUGAUUUUUUCAUAUGUUUUUUGUAAUUUUUAUGUUUUUGAGAUCAUUGCAACUAGGUCCAACUAAAUCAUACCUCUGUUUUUUGAAACUAUAAUGUUUUAGAAUGUGCCAUGGAUGAGUUUAAGGUGUUUGUGAAAGUUUGUGGUAGAUUACUAAGCUUGGUUGUUAAAUAGGAUUAUUUUCUAAAGUAAUUUUUAUUGAUUUUCAUGUUAAAGGAGUAAAUUGUUUUAAUGGUAAAAUUUCAUAGUAUUGCUGUGAAAUUAUGUUAAAUAGAGGGUUCUGUAGAAAUAUUCAGCUAGUAUGGGUUGUGUCCAAAUAAGGUUAAUUUUGUAAUUUUUUAGGUUUAGGGAUUAAAUUAAAUAAAGUGUAAAAGUUUGGUGCAAUUGUGAAAUAUUGUAAAUAAAAUGAAAUAUGUAUUAAAUUGAAUGAUACAUGAAAUUGAAGCUAAUAAAAUGAAAUAAACUAUUUUAUAGGUCAAGAACAAGUAGAUAACCAAGGAAAAGACAAAGUUGCUAAGUAGUCCCUAAACUUUUACAAACUCUGUAGUUUAACCUUAUUAAGUUCAUUCGGUUUAUUUUAACAUAUUUUGAAAUGUACAUUGACUGUGAAAUUGGUUAUUGAAUAUUUUAGUGAAUGCUUGAUUAUAAACUAUUGUAAAUUUAUAAAAUAGUUUAUUUGAACCUUGUUAAACGAUGUUGUGUUGUGAGACGAAUGAACGUAGGAUAGAGUAUGAUUGGCAUGCCAAUAGGUUAUAGUGUACGCUGUAUGGGAUUGACUUGUGACAAGGCAAUGAUUCCUAAUUUUUGUUUAUACACUGAGUAAAUCAUGUUUCAGCAUUUGUUGCGAACUAUCGUGUUAUAUUUCAGUGAUUCUGGCGUGUUACCAAGGGCGGAUGUAAAGCCUUUGAGCUUGGCACUUGGUGCCCAGGCAUGUUUUUGGAUGGAUUUUAGCAUACGGGAUAGGCAUUUGGUGCCAAGGCGUGUUUUCAGUUGGAUUGGCUCGUUUGAGCUCAUGGCGUGUUUCGGAUGGAUAGCUCUGUACUCAUAUCUAUAUAUCGUUCAUUGGGCAAUAUCUUUAGUGUUAAAUGACUUGUUAUUGAAUUGUUUGAAAAUUGUUCAUGAAUUUCCUAAUAGCAUUGUAGCUUAAUAUUGAAUUAUCUCGUAUGUUUGUAUUAAAAUGUAACUCGUACAUGAUUGUAUGUAUAUACUCACCUGUUAAUGACUGUGGUUGACAAGAAACACUGUUUAUUACUCUUGUUAUUAUAAAUGUUAUGAUUAUUUUGGUAAGCUUUACCAUUCUAACAGUUGAACUUACUAAGUUUUAUAGAGGCUUAUUCAUGUUAUUUUCUUGUUUCCUUGUAGAUAACAUUUUGUGGAAUUGAGCGAUUGGAUCAGCUUAAGGAUCAAACUAUCCAGACACAUUUUGGUAGUUUUUGAAGUUAACAUUUAGGUUAUAUGGCAUGUAAUAGGUGAAAUUUGUAGAUGUUUGAUUUGUAAAUUAUUUGGUAAUUAUGAAAUUGAAGAAUGAUGUCUACGUUUAGUAUUAACUUGUAUAUGUUUAUGUUCAUGUCAUGUUAUUUGGUCAUUUUGUAACAGCCCGAUUUUGGGCUAGUCAGAACAGUGGUUUCGGGACCACUAAACCGAGGUUGGAGAAAUUAUUUUCUUUAUAUUAUUUCAUGUGUUGUGGCAUGAUUAUAUGAGAGAAUAAAAAUUUUUGUGAAUUAAUUUUAGUGACUGCAUGCUUAAUUAAGAAAAAGGACUAAAUCGCAUAAAGGGUAAAAGUUCUAUUUUACUUGAUAGACAUACCAAAUAGGUAGAGAGCCAUAAUUGGAGGUCUUUAAAGGGCAAUUAGACCCCCUCCAAGAGGCAUGGCCGGCCAUAGGGGCAAGGAAAUUAAUGGGUCAAAUGGUUAGGUAAUUUGAUGACCUAAUUUUAACUAGAAUAAAAAUAAAAUAAAGAGAAAAGAUAUCAUCUUCUUUUCUACCAUCUUCUUCACCAAAAAUUCAGCCAUUUUAGGGGAUUUUGAGCUUCAAAAAAAAAUUCAGCCACUCUCUACUCUUGCAAGUAAGUGACUUUGAUGGCUUUUUUUGAAAAGUUUUACAUUUUUAGAACCCUUGUAGCAUGAGCUUUCAAAUGAGGGGACUAUUUUGCAAAGUGGUUGAAAGCCUAGGGUUUUUCCAUGAUAGUAGACAUGUUUUUUUUCUAAAAUUUUAUGGAAUAAAAUGAACCAUGGUUGUGAAAUAAACAACUUUUGUGAAGAGAUUUCUCAAGAAAACCCUAAAAAGGACCAUUUUGCAUAAGUUGUAAAAUAGGUGACAAAGGUGUGAAAUAUUGAGAAUUUUGGACUGCUUCUAGUGUAAAAAGUAAUCGACUAGGCUUAAGAUAUGAAGAAAUUCGAUAAAAAUCGAUUUUCGGACCUAGGGGUAAAAUAGUCAUUUUGCAAAAGUUUAGGGGCAAAAUGGUCAUUUUGCCCAAUUUUAAAUUGUUGAGUAUCUAGAUUAAUAAAAUGAUUAAAUUCGUAAAUUUUUAUCAUUCUAGAUCAAGAAUUACAAAAUUCGGGCCUAAACCGGGGAAAAGCGAUACAAGUGGACAAAGCCGAACUAGUCGUCCACAUUUUGUAAUCUGACGUAAGUUGUAUGUAAAUAAUACAACUACAUCGUUAUUAUAUGUGCUUGAAUUGAGAUAGCAUGAAUUGCUUGUUUGUGGAAAUAAUCAUGUAUGAUAAUAGAGAUAAUAGAACACCCGGAUGAACCUUAGGAACAAAUCGGAUAUUCAUGCCAUGACAUUUGGGUCAUUCGUGCGCUAGUGUAAAACAUGUCUAGGACAUGCUUCGAUCACAUUAUAAGAGCCAGUGUAAGACAUGUCUGGGACAUGGCAUUGGCAUUAAGACGAGAGCUAAUGUAAGACAUGUCUGGACAUGCAUCGGCCUCGAGAUGUAAGCCAGUGUAAGACAUGUCUAGGACAUGCAUCGGCUAAGAGAUGUGUCAGCCUAAGACCAUGUUUGGGACAUGGCAUCGACACGUAUAGAGGUGUCAGUGUAAGACCAUGUUUGGGCAUGGCAUUAGUACGGAUAUGUGAAAGCUAGUUAAGACCAUGUUUGGGACAUGGCGUCAACCUCGAUUUUGAUAGUUAAUGUAAGACCAUGUCUGGGACAUGGCAUCAACUUGAUGGAUGAGCCAGUGUAAGACCAUGUCUGGGACAUGGCAUUGGCAUUAUACCCUAUGUUGAGGCUUAGUGACUAUCCGAUAGUAUUCCAAAUGGUUCAACGGUGAAAAUUAUAGUUCAAGUUAAACGGGAAAAGUAUAACCAUGUUGUGAGGGAUACAGGUAUCCAAAUGAAAUGCAUGAGAUGUGAGCUUAGUAUAUGUUAUGUAAAUUGCGUUGGAUAGUGACGAGUAAGUUGUGCUUAUGCCUAUUUCAGUGUUAUGAGCAUGAUGAUGAAUGGUAAAGUUGUCGUUAUAUUUAUUUUCAUGCAACUUACUGAGCUUUAUACUUACCCUAGUUCUUUCCAUUUUCUUAUAGUGCCGCCUAAUUAACUCGUGGAUCAACGGACGUCAGAGGCAUCGAUCACACUAUCAAUCGAAGCACUUGGUAUAGUUAGAUCUAUUUAUUUUGAUUAUGGCAUGUAUAGGAUCCUGACUUUAGAAUUUUGUGUCGUCGUUAAUUGGCCAAAUGUGUUGGGUUACUUUAGCAUUUUGAUUCAUUUUAUAUAAGGCCACGGAAAUGGCUAAAGUUGAAAGUUGUUAUAUGAAUACAAGAAGUUAUUUCAUGAAUGGGUAAUUUGUUGGUUGUUUUAGUAAAUAUGAAAUGUGUAAAGGCCUUAGAUGUGGUUGUUGGGUUGAGGAAUCAUAUUAUGAUGAUCUUUAGCAUGAUGGAUGUUGUUAUUUUGUGUUUCAGGGUGGCAAAAGGCUUGAUAAAUAGCCCUAUGUUGUCCACACGAGUAGACACACGCGGUCGUGUGUGACACACGGCCAGCUCCAUGUACUUGUUGUCCGAGCGUGUGUCCCCUGCACGUAAAAAUUUCAAGUCAGUAUGUAUGGUAGUAAACAAACGGGCAGAGCCACGGCCAUGUGUCUCAGCCGUGUGAAGGGCACAGCCUAGCACAUGGGCGUGUACCCUGGCCGUGUGACCCUUAAAGAUUGCUGACAUCAGAAACAGAAUCUCAAGAUUUUUAGACACGGGCUAGGACACGGGCGUGUCAUGGCCGUGUGAGAGACACAGGCCAUGGACACAGGCGUGUGUCAGGCUGUGUGAAAACCCCUGUAGGUUCGAAUUUAGAAUUUAAUUCAUAUGGGCAUGGGACACAAGUUUGUCCCUAGACGCUUAGGCCGUGUGUGUCACACAGGCCAUCAGCACAGCCGUGUUAUAAUGAACAGACGGUGGUGUUACCCUUCCACACUGAUGUGUGCCCUGUUUCAAGGGUCAUUUCUAUUAAGUCGGUUUAAGGACCCGAGUUGGUUUCGAAUUGUUUCCAAUAAGAGUUUGAGGCCUCGUAGGCCCACAUUAAGGAGUUUAAACAAGGUUAGAAAAAUUUUUAAAUUUUAUCAAGUCUUGGUGACUCAAAAAUGAUUGUAUGCAUAUGGUUAAGUAUGGUAAUGCCUCGUGCCCAGUCCCAGCCUCGAACUCGGGUAAGGGGUGUUACAUUUACUGGUAUCAGAGCUAUGGUUUAGUCGGUUCUAGAACUAACCUAGCAUGAGUACGAGUCUAGCUAUACAUGCCAUAGUUGUAUAUUGAUAGUGUGAUGACUCCUGAAGAUUAUAAAUUAUGUUUUUCAUAUAGUAAAAGGAUCCUGACGUAGCUACGGUAGAUGACAUGGAAAGUAAUGCACCGGCUCCCGCUGAAGGGACUGCGCCAGUUGAUAAUGGGCUCGUGACGUUGCGUUAGGGUAGAGGAGCUAGAGAAGCUUACCUCCAUAUGGUGAACGUGUGGUAUUCGGAGUUCAUUCGUGCGAAUCUGAAUUCUUCACCUCCCCCACCUCCUCCGAUUCUUCAGUAUGCCCCUGUAACUCUGCAAGAAGUGGAUUUGGUUAGGAGAGAGAAACCCCCAGUAGAUAAGAAACGAAAUCAAGGGGCCGAGGAAUUUUGGGCUAAGAUUGAUGAUGAACUGGAGAGAGCAGAAUUUUGGUUAGAAAAUACCAUUAGGGUAUUUGAUGAGUUAUCGUGCACGCUUAAAGAGUGCGUAAAGUGCGCAGUGUCACUCCUACGAGACUCAGCCUAUCAAUGGUGGAACACCCUUGUGUCAGUUGUACUAAGGGAAAAGAUUAUAUGGGAGUUCUUCCAGGAGGAGUUCCGGAAGAAGUACAUUAGUCAGAGGUUUAUGGACCAGAAAAGAAAAGAGUUUUUAAAGCUGAAGCAAGGUCGUAGAACAGUGAUUGAGAAUGAACGUGAGUUUGUGAGACUCAGCAAAUAUGCAUGGGAGAGCUUAUCUACAGAAGCCAUUAUGUGCAAGAGGAUUGAGGAUGGUUUGAACGAAGACAUUCGUCUAUUAGUUGGCAUCUUGGAGAUAAGGGAAUUUGUGGUGCUCAUGGAGAGAGCAUGAAAGGCCGAUAAAAUUGGCCAAAGAGAAUAGAAUGGUUGACAUCGAGUCCUGAGACUCAAGGAAAAGACAACUGGGGAAAUCACAGCAGACCUCAUCUAAAAGACCAAGAGAGUUUCCUGCCCAAUCAAACGCAUCAGUAGGGUUCUUGAAUAAGAGAAAGAAUAAGAAACAUACGGCGUCUAAAGCCCAAACCACUUCUAUCGCGAGUGUUGGUAGUGCUUGGCCAAAUAGGCCGGAAUGUUCACAAUGUGGUAGACGUCAUUUCGGUGAACGCCGAACGAAUGAAAGAGGUUGCUUAAAAUGUAGAUCUUUGGACCACUUCAUACGAGACUUCCCUGAAUUAGAUAAAAAAGAGAAAAAACAAGACGUGAGGGCGAGUAGUCUCCUACGAGGGGAGCCUACAAAAGAACCCAGGCAGUGGGGCUAGCAAUAGAGGUGCCCCUAGAUAUUCAUCUGUGAUGUCCGAGGGUCAUACGGCUGCAAGGACUUAUGCCAUCCGUACUCGCGAAGAGGCAUCUUCACCAGAUGUGAUUACGGGUACUUUUUCUCUUCAUGAUAUCUCUGUUAUUGCUUUGAUUGAUCCGAGGCCUACUCAUUCCUUUGUAUGCAUGAAAUUAGUACCCAGUAUGAAUAUGUCUGUUGAGUCCACCGAAUUUGUGAUAAAAGUGUCAAACCCGUUAAGCAGGCAUGUGAUAGUUAAUAAAGUGUGUAGAGAUUGUCCUUUGAUGAUUAGAGGUUAUUGUUUUCCGGCUAACCUCAUGCUACUACCUUUUGAUGAAUUUGACCUAAUUCUUGGCAUGGACUGGUUAACUGCUCAUAAUGUGAUAGUGAAUUGUGGUAGCAAGUUCAUUGAAAUGAAAUGUGAGAAUGGGGAUAUUAUUUGAGUUGAAUCAGGUGAACCGGAUAACUCACCAGUACUGAAUUCGUCUUUGACUGUCGAGAAAUAUUUGACAAAAGGGUAUGAGUCCUACCUAGCAUUUGUGUUGAACACCAAAGGGUCGGAAGUGAAAAUUAAGACAGUGCCGGUUAUAUGUAAGUGUCAGGAUGUGUUUCUGAAAAAGUUACUCGGAUUACCUCCAACCAGAGAAGUUGAGUUUGGCAUCGAGUUGGUCCUUGGUACGACACCUAUCUCAAUUGCUCCGUAUAGAAUGGCUCCAACGGAGUUAAAGGAGUUGAAGGCUUAGUUACAAGAGUUAACGAAUAAAUGUUUUGCAAGACCGAGUUAUUCACCGGGGGUGUUCCAGUACUUUUUUGUGAAAAAGAAAGAUGGGUCGAUGAGAUUGUGUAUAGACUACCCACAGCUCAACAAGGUAACCGUGAAGAACAAGUACCCCUUGCCAAGGAUCGAUGAUUUGUUCGAUCAGUUGAAGGGAGCCACCGUGUUUUCUAAGAUAGACUUAAGGUCGGGCUACUAUCAGUUAAGGGUUAAGGAGCAAGAUGUACCAAAAAACACGUUUAGGACGAGGAAUAGGCACUAUGAGUUUCUUGUUAUGCCCUUCGGUUUAAGAAAUGCUCCUGCUGUGUUUAUGAAUUUGAUGAACCGUAUUUUUCGGCCAUAUUUGGAUAAGUUUGUUGUGGUCUUUAUCGACGACAUACUGAUUUAUUCGCGUGAUGAGAGUGAGCACGUGGAGCAUCUAAGAACUGUUCAAACCUUGAGAGAUAAACAAUUAUAUGCCAAGUUUAGUAAGAGUAAAUUUUGGCUUAAAGAAGUUGGAUUCCUAGGACACUGUAUCGGGAGAUGCAAUCAGAGUUCACCCAAGCAAAAUCUCGACCAUUAUUGAGUGAAAAUCACCGAAGAAUGUGACAGAGGUUCGUAGCUUUUUAGGUUUAGUUGGAUACUACAAAAGAUCUGUAAAUGGGUUAUCAAUAAUAGCUACUCCGAUGACAAAGUUGUUACAAAAGGAUGUCAAGUUUGAAUGGACAGAGAAGUGCCAACGAAGUUUCGAGAAAUUAAAGGCCUUGCUGACCGAGGCUCCAAUUCUAGUGCAACCAGAAUCGGGGAAAGAAUUCAUGGUUUAUAGCGACAUCUCCUUAAAUGGAUUGGGGUGCGUACUCAUUCAAGAAGAAAAAGUGAUAGCAUAUGCCUCGAGACAGCUAAAGCCACAUGAGAAGAAUUACCCGAUGCACGAUUUAGAGUUGGCCGCCAUUGUGUUCACACUGAAAAUUUGGAGACACCAUUUGUAUGGCGAGAGAUGUCGAGUGUUCACUGACCAUAAGAGUCUAAAGUAUUUGAUGACUAAGAAGAAGCUAAAUUUACGGCAAUGAAGGUGGUUAGAGUUGAUAAAGGAUUACGAGUUGGUGAUUGACUACCACCCCAGAAAGACGAAUGUAGUCGCCGAUGCUUUGAGUAGGAAAUCAUUGUUUGCCCUGAGGGCUAUGAAUACUCAGUUGAUUGUGAUUGAUGAUGGCUCGAUUCUAGACGAGAAGAGAGCUAGACCUAUGUUUCUUCAAGAUAUAUGUGAGGCUCAGAAAAGUGAUGAGGACUUGCAAGCUAAAAUGGCCCAGUGUGAGAUGGGAAGUGAAUCAGAAUUUCAUAUUAGUACCGAUGGUUGUAUGAUGUAUCGAGACAAGAUCUGUUUACCCAAGGAUAAGGAGCUCAUUCAGAAGAUUUUAUGAGAGGCACAUAGUGGUUGCUUUUCUAUCCAUCCAGGUAAUAUGAAAUGUAAAAUGACUUAAAGAAAAUGUACUGGUGGUCGGGAAUGAAAAGAGACAUUUCUGAGUUUGUCUCUAAGUGUCUAGUUUGUCAACAAGUGAAGACUGAGCACCAAGUACCCUUGGGUUUGCUUCAGUCUGUGAUGGUUCCCGAGUGGAAAUGGGACUGAGUAACCAUGGAUUUUGUGUCAGGGCUGCCUUUGACGCCAAAGAAAAAGGAUUCCGUUUGGGUCGUUGUUGAUAGACUUACCAAGUUGGCACAUUUUAUACCGGUGCGUACCAGCUACUCCCUUGAGAAAUUGGUUGAUUUGUAUGUUUUAGAGAUAGUGAGACUUCACGGGGUGCCCUUUUCGAUUAUCUCAGAUAGGGAUCCGAGGUUUACCACGAGGUUUUGGAAGAAGUUGCAAGAAGCUUUGGGGACAAAGUUGAAUUUUAGCACAGUUUUUCAUCCGCAAAUCGACGAUCAGUCAGAAAGAGUAAUUCAGAUAUUAAAGGACAUGUUACGGUGUUGUGUUCUCGAGUUUCAAGGUAGUUGGGAAAAGUAUUUACCGCUAGUCGAAUUCUCCUACAACAAUAGUUAUCAGUCAAGUCUGAAAAUGAUGUCUUAUGAUGCUUUAUAUGGGCGUAAGUUUCGAACAGCUUUAUAUUGGACCAAGUUGAGAGAGAAUCAGAUUCAUGGGGUCGAUUUGGUCAAAGAAACCGAGGAAAAGGUUAAGGUGAUUCAUGAUUGCUUAAGAGCCGCAUCAGAUAGAUAGAAAUCCUAUGCGGACUUGAAACAAAAAGAGAUCAAGUUCCAAGUCAUAGAUAAAGUGUUUUUGAAAGUAUCCCCGUGGAAGAAAGUCCUUAGAUUUGGUAGAAAAGGCAAGCUGAGUCUGCGAUUUAUUGGACCUUAUGAGGUGACUAAGAGAAUUGUGCCGGUAGCAUACCAAUUGGCCUUGCCUCGUGAACUAUAGAAAAUUCAUGAUGUAUUCCAUGUAUCGAUGUUGCGCCGCUACCGAUCUGACCCCUCACACAUCAUUUCACCAGAAGAAAUUGAAAUAAACCCAAAUAUGACCUAUGGUGAAGAACCGAUUAAGAUUUGAGAUCGAGAGGUCAAGAAUCUAAGGAAUAAAAGUGUAGCACUCGUAAAGAUUUUGUGGCAUAGACAUAGAGUCGGGGAAGCAACAUGGGAACCCGAAGAGACUAUGAGAGAUCAAUACCUAAACUUAUUCGCCAGUAAUAUUUUCAAGGACGAAAAUCCCUAAGGGGGAGAAUUGUAACAACCCGAUUUUGGGCCUAGUCAGAACAGUGGUUUCAAGAACACUAAACUGGGAUUGGAGAAAUUAUUUUUUAUACUAUUUUAUGUAUUGUGGCAUGAUUAUAUGAGAGUAUGAAAAUUUUGGUGAAUUAAUUUUAAUGAUUGCAUGCUUAAUUGGGAAAAAGGACUAAAUCGCAUAAAGGGUUACUUGAUAGACAUUCCAAAUAGCUAGAGAGCCAUAAUUGGAGGUCUUUAAAGGGUAAUUAGACCCCCUCUAAGAGGCAUGGCCGGCCAUAGGGACAAGGAAAUCAAUGGGUCAAAUGGUUAGGUAAUUUGAUGACCUAAUUUUGACUAGAAUAAAAAUAAAAUAAAGAGAAAAGAUAUCAUCCCUUUUCUACCAUCUUCUCCACCAAAAAUUCAGCCAUUGUAGGGGGUUUUGAGCUUCAAAAAAAAAUUAGCCACUCUCUACUCUUGCAAGUAAGUGACUUCGAUGGUUUUUCUUGAAAAUUUUUACAUUUACAAAACCCUUGUAGCAUGAGCUUUCAAAUGAAGGGACUAUUUUGCAAUGUGGUUGAAAGUCUAGGGUUUUUCCAUGAUAUUAGACAUGUUGUUUUCUGAAAUUUUAUGGAAGAAAAUGAACCAUGGUUGUGAAAUAAAUAACUUUUGUGAAGAGAUUUCUCAUGAAAACCCUAAAAAGGACCAUUUUGCAUAAGUUGUAAAAUAGGUGAUAAAGGUGUGAAAUAUUGAGAAUUUUAGACUACUUCUACUGUAAAAGUAAUCGACUAGGCUUAAGAUAUGAAGAAAUUCGAUAAAAAUCAAUUUUCGAGCCUAUGGGUAAAAUAGUCAUUUUGCAAAAGUCUAAAGGCAAAAUGGUCAUUUUGCCCAAUUUUAAAUUGUUGAGUAUCUAGAUUAAUAAAAUGAUUAAAUUCAUAAUUUUUUAUCAUUCUAGAUCAAGAAUUACAAAAUCUGGGCCUAGACUAAGGAAAAGUGAAGCAAGUGGACAAAGCCGAACUAGUCGUCUACAUUUUGUAAUCUGAGGUAAGUUAUAUGUAAAUAAUACAACUACAUCGUUAUUUUAUGUACUUGAAUUUAGAUAGCAUGAAUUGUUUGUUUGUGGAAAUAAUCAUGUAUGAUAAUAAAGAUAAUAAAACUCCCGGAUGAACGAUAUUCAUGCCAUGACAUUUGGGUCAUUCGUGCACCAGUGUAAAACAUGUCUGGGACAUGCUUCGUCCACAUUAUAAGAGCCAGUGUAAGACCAUGUCUGGGACAUGGCAUCGGCACGAUAGAGGUGUCAGUGUAAGACCAUGUCUGGGACAUGGCAUCAGCACAGAUAUGUGAGAGCUAGUGUAAGACUAUGUCCGGGACAUGGUGUCGGCCUCGAUUUCGAUAGUUAGUGUAAGACCAUGUCUAGGACAUGGCAUCGACUUAAUGGAUGAGCCAGUGUAAGACCAUGUCUGAGACAUGGCAUUGGCAUUAUACCCUAUGUUGAGGCUUAGUGACUAUCCGAUAGUAUUCUAAAUGGUUUAAUGGUGAAGGUUAUAGUUUAAGUUAAACGAGAAAAGUAUAACCAUGUUGUGAGUGAUGCAGGUACCCAAAUGAAAUGCAUAAGAUGUGAGCUUAGUAUAUGCUAUGUGAAUAGUGUUGGAUAGUGACGAGUAAGUUGUGCUUAUGUCUAUUUUAGUGUUAUGAGCAUGAUGAUGAAUGGUAAAGUUGUCGUUAUAUUUAUUUUCAUGCAACUUACUAAGCUUUAUGCUUACCCUAGUUCUUUCCAUUUUCUUAUAGUGCCACCUAAUUAACUCAUGGAUCAACGGCAUCGGAGGCAUCAAUCACACUAUCAAUCAAAGAACUUGGUAUAGUUAGAUCUAUUUAUUUUGAUUAUGGCAUGUAUAGGAUCCUAACUUUAGAAUUUUGUGUCAUUGUUAAUUGGCCAAAUGUGUUGUCUUUCUUUAGCAUUUUGACUCAUUUUAUAUAAGGCUACGGAAAUGGCUAAGGUUGAAAGUUGAUAUAUGAAUACAAGAAGUUAUUUCAUGAAUGGGUAAUUUGUUGGUUGUUUUAGUAAAUAUGAAAUGUGUAAAGGCCUUAGAUGUGGUUGUUGGGUUGAGGAAUCAUAUUAUGAUGAUCUUUAGCAUGAUAGAUGUUGUUAUUUUGUGUUUCAGGGUCACAAAAGGCUUGGUAAAUAGCCCUAUGCUGUCCACACGGGUAGACACACGGGCGUGUGUCUUCACGGCCAGCCCUACGGGCAUGUUGUCCUGCUGUGUGUCCCCUACACGUAAAAAUUUCAAGUCAGUAUGUAUGGUAGUAAACACACAGGUAGAGACACGGCCGUGUGUCUCAGCCGUGUAAAGGGCACGGCCUAGCACACGGGCGUGUGCCUUGGCCGUGUGACCCUUAAAGAUUGCUUACGUCAGAAACAGAAUGUCAAGAUUUUUAGACACGGGGGUGUCAUGGUCAUGUAAGAGACACGGCCCAUGGACACGGGCGUGUGUCAGGCCAUGUGAAAACCCCUGUAAGCUCGAAUUUAGAAUUUAAUUCAUACAGGCAUGGGACACGGGCGUGGCCCUAGAGGCUUAGGCCGUAUGUUUCACACUGACCAUCAGCAUAGCCGUGUUAUAAUUAACAGACGGACAUGUUAUCCUUCCACACAGGCUUGUGCCCUGUUUCAAGGGUCAUUUUUAUUUAGUUUGUUUAAGGAGCCGAGUUGGUUCCAAAUGGUUUCCAAUGAGAGUUUGAGGCCUCAUAGGCCCACAUUAAGGAGUUUAAACAAGGUUAGAAAAAGUUUUAAAUUUGAUCAAGCCUUGGUGAUUCGGAAAUGAUUGUAUACAUGUGGUUAAGUAUGGUAAUGCCUUAUGCCCAGUCCUGGCCUCGGACUCGGGUAAGGGGUGUUACGCAUUUGGUAUAAUUUUUAUAUAGGUAUUUGCAAUUAUGGUAUGAAUGUAUAUGUUUAAAUGAGAAAAGUAAUGGUAUGUUUUUAAAUAAGAUUAUAUAUGGUUUGAGAGUUUGAAUGAUUACUUGUUAAUGUGUUUGGUGUAUGAAUGUGACAUGGAGUAUAGCCUUGAAUUUGGUUAGUUUUGUAAUGUGAAUUGAGGUGCCAAAAGAUAGGAUAUUGGUUAGACAUAGGUUGAGUGAAUUUGGCAUGUUUUUGGGUGUGAUUGAAUGUGUUUGAGCAUGAAAUUGUAGUUGAAAAUAGCUUGGCUUGGUUUUUAGGUUUUGGUGAAAGUCUCACCACACGGUUGUACGAUGGAUUCACAUUAUUGCUACAAAGCUUAUACUAAGACCCGCAAAAUCAUCAUCAAUGGCGAGGCAUAUAUUGGUUUCACCCCUCGAUCAUUGGGGUGGGGGAUAGUCGAGGGUACUUGGUCACCGAGACUACGACACACCCGCACGACAUUCUGUCAAUACCUUUGAUUUUAAUUUUGGCACCCCAAUGUUCAACACUAGUAAGACUCAUACAGGCACACCAUCAAGUUACUGGGGUGGAGUAAAUAGAAGUGAUUUUAGGGUUGACAUUGAAUUUAUAAGAAUGAAUGAUCUAAUCCCAACAACCUCGACUGGUAAGGGCACAUCCAACCCUGGAUUUGCAACUGGGGUUGAUAACAAAGAAGGAGAAGAGAACGAGGAGGAUGAAGAAACAGAUAAUAACCCAAUAGAGGAGGUGGGGCUCGAUGGUACGAAAAUGGCUAUAAUUUCAAAACCAGAUCCCAAUCCUAUUGAACCAGAAGAAGGAGGACCUAACGGUGAAGCUACGGACAUUGCUCGAUUGGAUGACCCGUGUUUCACGGCUUACCAACCCCCACCAGUAUGCGAACUCUUGAUCUUACUACUAAGGGAGGUUUAGAAUUCCAAGACCUCUUUCAUAGAAGACUAGGGCAUGCGUCUUCGUCAACAAAUUUCAGCCAUUUAGAGGUUAGGAUGGAGUUUGACUCCAAAGAUGCUUUUGUAUUACUAUCAAGCGAUAUAACAUUCAACUACUUCACCGUUACAUGCUCUCGGUCCGAGAAAUAUGUGGCAAAGUGCACGAUGCAUGGAAAAUGAUAGCCAUGGAAAAUCAUGACAUCUGUGAGGAAGAAUUUGUCGUUUUAGACAAUCCAGAAGUUUUCUACACCAAAUACAUGUGUUUUAGUUGGUAUGUAUCAUAGUUAACAACAUCGACUCAAAUUCUGACUUUUUUUUUUACAUUCUACUACAUAUGGUGACCCAAUUUAUUGUUUUUAGGCAUGUCAAACAAUCAUUCGAAACUGGACUCGGAUAUGAUAUCUAACUUUAUAUUACCAUGGUCAAAGCGAGUACUAAGAUUUCUAUCCUUAGUUUGAUCGUACACAUCCGCAACGAGUUCGAUUACACUGUGUCCUACCAUAAGUCAUGGUUGGCAAAACAGAAGGCGUUGGAAAAGAUGAACAACGGGUGGGAGAAAUCCUACAAUGAAUUGUGGCAAUGGUUUUAGGUACUAGAGCAAUACAUACCAAGUUUCAUAACCAAGUUGCAAAUGGAGCUUGCGUAUUACAGUGAUCGCUUGGUCCUUGGAAAAAGAGUUUCCUACCAUUUUUUCUAGACUUUCAAGCAAUGCGUAAUUGCAUUCCAGUACUGUAAGCCACUUGUCCAAAUUGAAGGCACAUUCUUGUACGGGAGAUACGAGCAUAAGUUGUUAAUAGUUAUUGCAUAGGAUGGUAACCGAAUAAUUGCUAAUAGAAUUUGCAAAAACUCUGGAAGAAUACUGUGAUGACUGAGAUUUCUUCUUAACUAACCUGUGAAGGCAUAUUGUACUGCAGCCUGAGGUGUGCAUCAUUUCUGAUAGAGGCACUGGAGUACAGGUUGUAUUUGAAUGAUGUUCAAGCCUAUGGGAUCGUGCACACCAUAGGUAUUGUUUGUGUCACAUAAGGUCUAACUAGCGACAUGUCAUUAACAUAGGUAUAUUAUGCAUAGAAUUGGUUUCCUGUAAAACAGUUUGACAUAUACAUUUUGGGUCGCUUUUCUUGAAUGCAUUGUUGAUUGUCAUUGACAGGGUACGAGUUUGUCUAACAUCGAUUUCAUGAAAUGUUGGAGAGACUACAGGCUGUAAACCAAUUGGGUGUACAAUACCUUGAUGGGAUACCUCUAAAGCAAUGGACGCAAUCGUAUGACGGAGGAGUAAGAUACAGGCACAUGACCUCGAACCUAACGGAAUGCACUAAUUUCAUACUGAAAGGGACGCGUCAUUUGUUUGUAACCUAGGUGGUCAAGGAAAUGUAUUUUGGAUUAGCAGCAUUGUUUCCAAAGCGGGCUGAGACAUACACGGGGCAAUUAAAAGGCGGUCACGUUUGGUGCAAGUCAGUGUUGAAGGAUAUUGAGGAAAAUGUAGAAAUCACUAACUCAAUUACUUCAGUGUGUCACUCGGGACAAAAUCUAAUAUUUCGAGUUAAGUAGCCCCAUAGACCCGACCAUGAAGUUAUCGGUGGAGCAUAUUGCGUAGACCUCAGAGAAAUGACCUAUGACUGUGGGAGAUUUCAAGCACGUUGUUAUCCAAGCACACAUGCAAUUGUUGUAUGUGCCUCAGAACGUAUAGAUUGCAUAACCUAUGUUGAUGACUACAGCAAAAUUGACUUUUAGCGGCAUUUUUUUAGGCCUUUAGCGGCGCUUUUAAGUGCCGCUAAAACUAUUUGCGGCGUUUUUACAAGCACCGCAAAUAUUACUAACGCCGCUAAAGUUUGCGGCGUUUAUUUGAAAAAACGCCGCUAAAAAUCAUGACUUUUAGUGACGCUUUCCCUACAAACGCCGCUAAAAGUCAUGACCUUUAGCGGCACUUUCCCCACAAACGCCGCCAAAGAUCAUGACCUUUAGCGGCGCUUUCCCCACAAAUGCCGCCAAAGGUCAUGACCUUUAGCAGUGCUUUUCUCAAAAACGCCGCUAAAUGUCAUGAAAUUCAAAAAAAAAUAUUAUAAAAUAUUAUAAAGGUCAUGAAAAAUUUAAAAAAUUUAAAAUUUAUUAUCAAAAUAUUGAGAAGAAUAAUAUCCAUGAUAUAAAUAUAAAAAGUUUCUAUUAAAAUUUUAACUUUAAAACUAAAUACAAAAAUUAAUGAAUUUAAAUUUAGAAUUUAAAAUAAUAAAUUAAUAACACAAUUAAAAUCAAGGAAAUGCAAUAUCUGCUGCUUCCAACCUCUUUUCUCAACCUCUUUAAUAUCUGCUUCUAAGCAAGCAAUAUCUUCCAUUAAUUUCGAGGCAUGCUUCUGCUUUUUCUCUUUUGAUAAACCAAGGAAAUGCAAUAAUAAUUCUGAUUCAGUAUCAUCUCGGUUAAUGGAUGACGACAGUUCUUCUGCAAAUACUUCUUGGAAUCUAUUAAGUACUUCGGAUUGUAGGAUAUCCCUGAUAAAUAUCAACAACUAUAAACUUAGAAUCCUAUAUUGAAUUAUAAAUGGACAUCAGGGUCCUAACAUUUACAAAUACAAGCACAAAGAAAGCAAGUUUAUACUAACGUAAGCAUUAAUGCUUAAGACUUAGCCAUAAAAUAAUAAAGCCGAAAAUGGUUUCAUCAACAUACCAUUACCUGAAAUUUAAUUCUAUGCAGAUCUCCAAGAUGACUACUUCACAUUUUUGUUUUUUAUAGUUUGUUAAUUUUCUAUUCUUGUUCUUUACACCAAUAAUAAAUGGAAUAUAAUUCUCCAAUCAAUUCAUCAUCUAAUUCACUGAUGCUUUUUGCAAGAUACAUAGGUUAUCAUAGAGAUAUAGCUUACUAUAUAUAUAUAUAAUUAUCAUAGUCUAAUCACUAAGGCAUUUAAAAUUCUAGCCUACACAUUGGCAUGCUACUUCUUCAAAGUCUCCAUAUCCAACAUCAAUUAUAAGAUUCUAGAGCUUCACAUUUCGCACUGAUGAACAAUUUGUAGUACCUGGUUGUUGGGCGCAAAGAAGGUUCUGGGUGAAGUAGUCUAAGACAAAAUCCAGCUUCCUUGAGAUUUUCUGAUAGAAAAGUUGGAGUAAAAAUCCUAUGGCAUAGAUCCAACAUUGCAGCAGCAUGUGCUCUCUCAGAUUCAAAUUGACAAAGCAACUGAAAAAAACAAUCAAAUUGCUUUUUAGAACGAAUACAAAUAUCCACUCUCUUCCACGCAGAUAAAAAAUAGAUAAGAAAACAAAUAAAAGAUAGAAGAACAAUUUGUUUUUGUACCUCAAAAAGCAGCACACCCAAACUGUAUAUAUUAGAUAAAAUUGUGCAAACACCUUCAUUGAUUUCCUCUGGACUAGCAUACCACUUCUCUUCCAACUGCUCAUUCACAGAGACUGACUGAUGCUGAGCUGAAUUAGAAGAAUGAGAGCUUCCAAAAUUGCUAAAUUUUGUAUGGGAGGCAUUGCUCAGUCCUGUAAAUACAUCCAUCCAUGACAAAGAAAUAGGAAACUGGCCUGUAAAGGAGGCAUUGCUCAGUCCUGCAUUAAUUAAAGAUAGAACCAUAAAAUUAGCUUAAUUCUGUUGGGAAAAAUUGCCAAAGAUCAGAUAAUUAACAUUUCCAAAUACCCAAUUGCCAUCUUUAAUAAAAAUGGAAACUUGGAACUUUGCAGAGCAAGUAGCAUAGAGAAUGCUAAUACAAAGCAACAAACAUAAUAGAAAGAAAGGCUAACAACAGCUUGUCAUGCAUGUAAGCAUUCAUAAAACAGGCAUGAGUUUCAACUUUCAAUAAAUAGCUGCAUAACUACCAAGCAAAACCCCAUAGCCAAGGAUAUGGUGUUCUAUUAAUUGACAACAGAAGCAACAUUGAUAAAAACGCUAAGUGAAAAUAGUAUGCCUUUGGGGGAAAAUUAUGUGAUUAAAGUGUAACAAGAAAGAAAAUUAAUUUAAUAUGAUUAAUUAGUGGAUAUUAAACUUUUAUGAUAAAAAAAUUAAAUUGAAAAGUUAUGAAAAUUUAUUAAACAAAUAUUUGAUAAGUGAAGAAUGUAGUAGAGAAUGUAACAUCUUAAUGUUUUGAUCCGAUGUUCAGGUCAAGUAUGAGGAUAUUACAGUGGAUAUAAUCUUAGCAGUUUGAAAAAUAUCUUACGAAAAAAUAUUUGAUAAAAUAUUUUACAGGAAUAAAGAGGUACUUUCACAUUAACUGAAAAAUCUUUUACCUUGACCAUCCUAUUUUACUUUAAACAAACAUUCAAAAAGACAUUGAAAAAGACAGAAUAUUUUCCCUAAGCAUAAAUGUUGAAACCACCUAUAACUAGUGAAAAACCUUGUUUAAUAGACAAAAGUGGAUAAUAAGGGUAGUGGCCCUGUAUACUUUUAUAUAAGCGCUUUUAGCGUGAAACAAGAUCGAACAUGGCUCAAUCUGUUACAUCAUUUUUUUUCCUCCUAAACAGAGAGUGGUUCAAAGAUGAAAAAAAUCAGUUGUCUGUAGCAUUUAUCAGAUGAACUUAACUAGGAUGCAGAAUGCAGGAGAAUUGAUAGGAUCGACAUUUUGGAUAUAGAAUAACAAUUAACAAGGAAUCACUUCUACACAUGCAUAAAAAAUAUAUUCAAUAAUAAUAAUAAUAGAAAUUCUAUUUUGCAUGUUCACAAGAAAAUGUGGCUGAUGUAUAAAUAUUAGUAGUAAAUGACACAAAUGAUUUUCAUAAUGAAUCCAAUACAGAAGUUUGUCCAGUAUUGUUCUUCAACAAGAUUCUCAAAGAAGAAAAAAUCAAGAAGAUGAGGGAGAGAUAUUGAGAUCCUGUCAAGCAGACAUCCUGAGAUAAACUUUUUACUUUUAAUGAAAAAUAUAUAUCAUAACUGAAUAACAAGUAUCAAACAGGCAAGACCAUGAAAGAUUAUUGAAUUCUUAGCCAAAAGCCUAUGGACUAUUUGUUAGGAUAUGUGAAAAGCUUUAAGUGGCUACAGUAAUUGUCUAAAAUGGGGAUGAUAUCCAGAAGAGUCUGGAAAUUGGUGUUUAAGAAAAACUCAUAAAGUCAAUUCCUAAAAGGAACUAAGAAUUUGAUACAAAAAACAAUGAAAAAAAUAUAUAAGAAAUCAGACAUUACCUCCUCUUGGAGCAAAGUUAGGAGACAGUCUACAGAUGUAACUCAUAAAGAAGGAAUUAACUAAAAAGAUAAAUGGUAGUUUACUGAAAGAUAAACAAAUAUGCCCAUCAUACCUUGAGUGCAACCCUUCCUUUCUCCUCUUUACUUAAAACGGUACUGCCAUCAUCUUGUCUCCGAAUCUCUACAAUCCACUUGAUGAAAUCCCUCAAACUAGAAGGUGUUGAUCUAAAUACCAUACAUAAUACAUCAUUAACAUCUUUUAGAUUCUUGGAAGUGAGCAAAAGGGGAAGAUCUUCCGUUAAGUACUUAGCGACUACAUUCCAAUUCUCAUGUUUACAGCUCUGCAUUUGAUACACAAUAGUAGUACCAGUUAUCACCUCUUUGAACAAUAAAGCUCUGGCAAACAUAAAGAACAUAGAAAAAGUAAAUCCGAAACAAAUAUUUUUUUAUGAUCAACAGCAAACCCUAGAACCAAAUAGCUAAGUCUGAAAGCUAAAAUCGUAAAAAAUCGAAACCAAAGUAAAAGGAGAAAGAUAAAAGAGUGUUAGAAUCGUAAAAUUACAUCAUCAGCAUCAUCGGCGUUUUCUUCAUGGACGGCGUCAUCAUCUUUGUCGGAGGCGUCGGCGGAACGAGCAACAGCUUCAAUUUCCUCCUCAUCGUCUUCUUUGCCGUUGACAUGAGCGUUCAUUUGCUCCUCUUCGAUGAACUCGAAGCAUUGUACAGUUCUUCAUCGGAGGACGCUGGCUUCAACGAUUUUGCCAUCUAUUCUUCAUUCAAGUUUAUCAGAACUUUUUUUUCCUCUUUUAUUUUCUGUCAAUGAUAAAUGAAAAUGAAAAUGAAAAAAAAAAAGAGAAUCAAAGGGACUUCGGCGAAAAUCAAAGGUAUUUUGAUUUGGGGAUUUUGGGAAACCGAUUUGAGGAUAUCGAAUUGGGAGAAAUUUUAGGGGAUUUGAAGAUUCAAAGUUUGAGGAAUCAGACAUUCGGGGAUAAUCUGAAUUGGGGAAAGUAAAGGGGGAUGUUUGUGGCGUUUUUUACGAAAACGACGGUAAUUCAUAUCUUUUGCGGCGUUUCUAAAAAACGCCACUAAGUAUGCAGCCCAAUAAUUUUUUCUUUCUUUUUUUUCUCUUUUAUUAUUAUAUUAUUAUUAUUAUUUACUAAAAUGGUUAAAUUUUAAUUUGGUCUCUCUAAUAUAUUUAAAUUUCAGAUUUUUUUGCAUAUACUUUAAUUUUUAAUAUGAUUUAGUCUAUAUAUCUUUAUAAUAUUAUUAAUUUAUCCAAAUAGUUAAUAUUAUUAACUUUUUGAUUAAAACAUUACAAGAUAAAGUAUAAUUGGAUAACAUGAACUCAACCUACAACUUUACGCACAAUACCAAGACUAAUACCAGAAUUUAACCAAACAUAUAUAAUUGCUAUCAUUUGAGUGAUCAUGACUAAAAUUUUAAAUUUUGAAAAAAGCACAAAAGAUAAAAUUGAUCGAUUUGAAAAAUACAGGGACUAAAACUAAUCAAAUUAAAAUAUAAGGACUAAAUUUUAAGUUUAAAUUUCGCUUAAAUAAAUUAAGUGUAGAGGAAUUAAUUUGAAUUGAAUUAUUUUUAAUAUAUCAAAAUAUUUUUAGAUUAAAUCUUAAACCAUUUAAUAUAUAUAUAUAAAGUUUAUCUAUUAUCUCUUAAAUAAUUUAAACUAUAAUCAUAAGUUUAAUAUAUUCAAAUUAAUAUUAUCUCUUUUACAAUUAUAUAAGAAAUCAUUUAAUAUAUAAAUAAAAAAAAUAGUAAUUAAUCUAAACCCUAAACCUCUUAACCCUUAUCCCAUAAACACUAAACACUAAACCCUUAACCCUUAACACCAAAUCCUUACACCUUAAACUCUAGCCCUAACCCCUAAACCCUAAAUCAUAAUUCCUAAACCCAUAAUUCAUCAUAAACCUUCAAAUACUAGUUAACUCAUAAACUUUAAACCCUAAACCAUAUAUCUUAAACCAUAGUUAACUAUAAUGAUAAUUAAUUCAAUAUUUUAAAUUCAAUACUAUCUCUUUUACGAUUAUAUAAGAAAAUAUUUAAUAUAUUGUAUAACCAUAAAUUUUAAUAAUUAUUGCUUUAGGGGUUAUAGAUUAGUGUUUAUGAUUUUUUUGGGGUUUAGGGGUUAUAUGACUUUUAGUGGCGUUUUACCAAAAGCGCCGCUAAUGCUCUAUUUUUUAGUGGCAUUUUUUACUAAAGCGCCGCUAUUGCUCUAUUUUUAGCGGCGUUUUUGGUAAAACGUCGCUAUUGCUCUGUGUUUUACAAUUUUUGCGGCGUUUUUUGAUAAAACGCCACUAAAAAUGUAACACCGCUUACCCGUAUCCGAGGCCGGGCUAAGGUACGAGGCAUUACUAGACAAACAUACAAACAUUAAACUAAAAUACGAGCCAUAAAAUUUUAUUGAUAUUUCAAAGCGUUCAUUCUCUUACACAUAGUCCCUUAUUUGAGUCUAUGGAGCCCAAAACAUACUUUAGAAAGGGUUUGGGACUAAACCGAGAACUUACGAAAAUUUUAGAAAUUUCAUGCUUUAAGGCUCCACACGCCCGUGUCCCAAAGUCGUGUUCCAUACACGGCUGAGACACAUGGUCGUGUCUCUGCCUGUGUGGAAUAUACCUAGGCUAUUUUCCAAGCUUUGGUCAACCUUGAUCUCUUACACACUUAUACAAAAUCAAAAGCAUAUAACAUGGUAUUCAUUUAAUGAUUAAACAUCCUCAAUUAAACCACAAACAUAGCAUUUGUAUGUCAUCAUACAUGUGUCUCUCAUACUCAUUUUACCUUGUUUAUUAUAGUACCACUUAUACAUUUAUACCAAGAUUAUCAUCUUACCAAAUAUCUUCAGCUUAAUCAUCAAGCAUUCAUAUUUAAAGCUAGAUCAUAUCUUUAUAAAAUACCACGAUUCAUAUGCGCAGAAUAACAUGUUUGCCUGAAACAUUUCAAUUCAAUUCCAUACCCAACAAGCAUUACAUUGAGACUAGUCAUAUAUAUAUACAUGUCAUGAUACAUAACAUUCUCUUUUUGUUUUCUUAUAAACACAUAUCAUUUAUUUCAUUAUAUCAAUAUUUCAUAUACCAUAGUUUCCAUGUAUUCCACAUAUAUUUAUUUUCCUCCUCCUCCUCUCCAUUCCACAUCCUUAAUGUAUAUAGCAUUCUUGUAAGUACGAUUUCACAAUUUACUAAUAAAUGUUCACAUCAAACUGUCCACACGAGUCAUAGUCACUUAAUUAUUUAUAAUUCGAGCUACAGAGCUCCAAAUUAAGAUCUGUAAUUUUCCCUAAAACUAGACUCACAUAUCGUUCCACCAUAAAAUUUUCAUAAUUUUUUAUUUAGUCAAUUAGUACAGUUUAUUCAUUAAAAUUUCCCCUGUUUCACUUUCUGACAGUUCUGACCUCUCUUCACUAAAAAAUAAUUAUCUCACAGUACAGAACUCGGAUAAUGUUCUUGUUGAUUUAUCUUGAAAAUAAACUCAUUAUGGAUUUUAAAAAUAUAAUUUUCAGCCUCUAAUUAUUUUUCUCUAAUUUUUUGUGAUUUUCCAAAUUCAGAAUAGGGCAUCACGUAAUCAUUCUGAAUCAGUCUCACAAAAACAUAAAUAUCUCAAAAUAUAGAACUCCUUUUCUUUCUAUAUUUCUUUUAUAUGAAAAUAGACUCACUAAGCUUUAAUUUGAUAUCUCAUUAAGUCUCUGAUUCAAUUUAUACUAUUUUUGGUGAUUUUUCAAAAUCACGUCACUGCUACUGUCCAAAACAGUUUUAUUGCUAAUUCACUCUUUCACACUUUCUCUGUAUUAACCACAUUUUAACAUACAUAUCACAAAUCAUUUUCACCACAUUUCAUACAUCACAAGUAUAGGCCCAUGAUCACAAGGUCACCAUAAAAUCAUCCUCAUGUAUAACUUACUUGUUUAUAACCUUACCACAUCCUGGUCACUUAAUGAACACAUCAUUCACAUAACCAAGUUCUUGCACUUAUUCAUCACAAAACUCACAAAGCAAUACACAGAGAGUCUCUCGUUGAACACUUCGGAUCAAUCCUCGAUACUUGGUGGUUUCAGCACAUAGCUCCACCCAUCAUAUAGUUCGGCUCUCUUGUACACAUGGUGAACACUUAGUACCACCCAUGUGACCUAGCCAGUUUAUCUUGUAACUCUCUUGUCUACAUGGUGUCCUUCACUUGGAACCACGCUUGCGACCUAGCUACAUAUAUCCCGUAGCUCUCUUGUCUACAUGGUGUACACAUAGCAUCACCCAUGUGACCUAGCUACAUCAUAAUGUCUUGUAGCUCUCUUGUACACAUGAUGUGCACUCAGCACUAUACAUGUGACCUAACUACAUACCAUCUGUAUCAUCCAAUCUUUCCGAAGGUUCAACCGGGAUUUCUCUCUCUUUUCCAACAAUUUCACCAAUCAAGUAAUUAUCCACAAACAUAUUUCCAAUAUUUUUAUAAAAUAUCAUAAUACAAGUAAUAGUGAUGUAUUACUUACAUAUAAACUUACAUCUCAUGUAAUAUCAACGCAAUAACAUUAAAUUACACAUUGUCUUAUUAAAAAUCAUAUGAACUCACAAUUUCCCAUAAUAUCCAUAAUCAUAGAAAUCACAUUUAUGUAUGAUAAUUCAAUGCACUUCAUGUACCAUAGACAUAUUUUUAAAUCAAUUCAUAAACUUGGCACCAUAAUCAUUUAAUUUAACAUAAUUCAAUUAAUUCACUAAAUUUAACUUUCAAAUAUAAAUUACAGCAUUAUUGUUGUAUUAUUAUCAUACCAACUUACAUACUUUCAACACCUCGGAGAUCAUAGUAAAUAUAUCAAUUUUACAUUGAAACAUGCAUAAAUUAAUGCUUAUUAUACAUAUGAACUUACCUUGAUAUUAAAACGGCCAUUUUACCAACUUUCCCAAUUUUCGAUUUUUCUCUCAUUCUAGGUUCAAAUCUCAUUUUUCGGGAUCUAAAACAUCAUAUUUUACUUAUUUAAUUAAUGUACUAUUCAAAACAGUCCUUAACUCAAACUUUGGAAAAAUUACAAUUUUGCCCCUAAACUUUUGCAUAUUUACACUUUUUCCCCUAGGCUUGGGAAUUAAACUUCAUCCCUUUUUAUGACAUGCUGAUCACUUUUCCCUUCUAUGGAAACAUCAGAUUCUCACUCUAACAUAUACUUAUGACUAUUAGGUAUUUUUACCGAUUAAGCCCUUUUGCCCGUUUUCACUUAAAACCGAGUAGCACAAGUUGUCUAACAUAAUUUAAAACCUCAUAUUGUAUCAUAAAACACCAGAAUACAUAAAUUUUACCUAUGGGUAUUUUUCCAAAUAUGAACCCUAGGUUGAAUUAUUGAUAGCAUAAGUUAAAUCAAGUUACCGGGACUCCAAAAACGUAAAGAACUUGAAAAACGGGGUUAGAACGGACUUACAAUUGAGCUUGGGAAGCUUGAAAACCCUAGCCAUGAAGUAUCCAUUGGUAUACACGUCCAUGGUGAAGAAGAUGAGCAAAAUUGACUUUUAAUUUUGUAUUUUAAUUCCUUUUACCCCUAAAUGACCAAAAUACCCUUACUACUAAACUUUCCAAAAAUUCCAUCCAUGUCCAAUUUUUGUCCAUAACUUAGAAAUUGGUAAAAUUUCUAUUUAAGACCUCCUAAUUAAUAUUUCAAAUCAAUUUCAUACUAGAAACUUCUAGAAUGUAAGUUUUGCAACUUCUUCAAUUUAGUCCCUAACUUCGAAUUAAGCACUUUAUGCAUAGAAUUUCUUCACACAAUCAUGCAAUCAUAUCAUAGACCUAAAAAUAAUCAUAAAAUAAUUAUUUAUAUCUCAGAUUUUGUGGUCCUGAAACCUCUGUUCCAACUAGACCCAAUUUUGGGCUAUUACAAAAAACGCCGCUAAAGCCCUAUUUUCCUGUAGUGUGAAGUUUACAAACUUGAAUGUACAUAUAAUGUUUGAAAAUCUGAAUUCCUACCUAUCCCUUAUGAAAGCAUAUGGUCGCCUACCUCACACGCUCCUUUCGAGUUGGUACCAAAUAAGAACUCGUGAUGCAAGCUAAAAAGUUUGCCGAACUCCACUCGAAUAUGAGGAAAUAUGGAUAUUCAGGAGUGGAGAGACACACUGAGGUUAUGCACAUACUAUAGGAACCCAGGGCAUAUGAAUCCAACAUGUCCACACAACUCGGAAACACCAAGGAGAAGAGCUAAUUAAAACAUUAACUUAUUCAUUUAUUCAUUAUUCUUUUUGUAAAGUGUAAAUAUUAUUACUUCUUCAAGUAAGAUAUAUUACAAUACGCAAGUCAAAGUUUUAAUCCAAAAUUGGGAAGCUUCUAAUCAAUUCUUUAUUUUGUCAAAAUAUUGUAUCUAACAAAUCGACAAAAAAAAACUUAAAUGAAAAAGUAACAUAAAUAAUUGUAAAUUUUAAACUCACAAUAUGAUAUGUUCCAAAGUAAACCAAUUUAAUAAAUUUGUUUCAUAUAUUGUAAAUAAGUGUACAUUUAAUAUGUAAAACAAAUUACACAAUUUGGUACUAAGGAAAACGCACCCUGUAGGACGUGUUUUCCUUUCUCUUUCCAAAAACAAUGUAUAUCAGUAAUAUUUUAGAAUUUCAGCCUAGUUUCUCAAAUCAUUUUUUCAGCAUAUCUGUAUAAACUAACCUAUAUUAAUAACUAAAUUAACCAUUAAAAAACUAAAUUUAACAAUUUGACUAAAAAAGACUAAAUUACCCAUAAAUGCCUAAAAAUUUUAAAAUUUACUAGAUUAGGCCAUUUUUUGGAAGAAUUAAUGUAACACCCUGAAUUUGGGCCUAGAAGUUUUGGGCCUUGAGCAUUGGAGCGGUUGAAGGCAGCUUAUAAUAUUUUGUUGGGCGUGUAAAUUUCGCUAAUGAAGGCUUGUUUUAGUGGUUAAGUGUGUUGAGAAGUGUUGGAGAAGUCCUGGGUUUAAACUUGGACUCUAGCAAAAAAUUUGGUUUAAGGUGAAUUAAACCCUGGGUGUAGUAGGUAGGCCUUAAGAAUAUUGUUGGAGAAAUUGUGACACAAAAAGCCUUGUGGUCUAGUGGCAAAGUAGCGCCACAUAAGAGGCAGGAAGGUUGCGUUAUAGAGGUGGCAAGGAGGUCCAGGGUUCGAAACUCAUGGCAAGCAAAGAGCAUUUAUUUUGCUAACAAGGGGUGACAAGAGUUGGUGUUGAAUUUAAACUCUGAUGAUGGAGGGAUCCCACAUCGAAAAGCUAACAUAAGAGUGGAUGCGAAGUUGGCUUUAAAUAGAGAGAACCAUGAGGAGAGUAAAGGUACCUUUCUUGGCUGAUCCCUUUCGCUGUAUAGCGUGCUCGUUUGGGUUGGGCGUCGGCUAAGAGUGCUCGAAGCGUGGAUUAACUCUAGUCUUCUAUCAGGUGUGUAUUUCUCACUACUCUAGCUAUAGGAUGGCUACUUCGGGCCGCGAUGGGCCAGAAAGGGUCAUGUGGGCCCAAUUGGAUAAGUUGUUUGAUUGUGUAGUAAAUAUUGGACUGGGCUAGGUGAAUCUCAUAUCUGUGGCUAGAUUUGGGCUAAAAGGGCCACACGAGCGUGUGGGCCCAUUUGGGCCAAGAAUAGGCUUUAGGCCCAUUCGUAUUGUUAUCCCUGUUUAGAAUACUUUAGUUUACCAAAUUACUGAAAUACCUUCGACUUGUAAAAUUACCAAAAUACCCUCGAUUUAUAAAAUUACCCAAAUAUCCUCGAUUUGUAAAAUUACUGAAAUAAGAUAGAAUUACCAUUUUACCCUCGAUUUACAGAAUUACCGUUUUAUCCUCGAUUUAUAGAAUUACUGUUUUACCCUCGAUUUACAGAAUUAUCGUUUUACCCUCGAUUUAUAGAAUUACUAUUUUACCAUCGAUUUACAGAAUUAUCGUUUUACCCUCGAUUUAUAGAAUUACCAUUUUACCCUCGAUUUAUAGAAUUACUGUUUUACCCUCGAUUUACAGAAUUACUGUUUUAUCCUCGAUUUACAAAAUUAUUGAAAUACCCUUAGUUUACAAAAUUACCAAAAUACCCUCGAUCAGUAAAAUUACCAAAAUACCCCUGGUUUGUAAAAUUACUAAAAUACCCCUGGUUUGUAAAAUUACUAAAAUACCCCUGACUUGUAAAAUUACCGAAAUACCCCUAUAGGGUAGAAUUAUCGCAAUACCCUGUAGGGUAGAAUUACCGAAAUACCUCUGUAGGGUAGAAUUACCAGAAUACCCUUGUAAGGUAGAAUUACCGAAAUACCCCUGUAGGGUAGAAUUAUCACAAUACCCCUGUAGGGUAGAAUUAUCGGAAUACCCCUGUAGGGUAGAAUUACCGUAAUACCCCUGUAGGGUAGAAUUAUCGCAAUACCCCUGUAGGGUAGAAUUAUCGGAAUACCCCUGUAGGGUAGAAUUACUGAAAUACCCCUGUAGGGUAGAAUUACCGAAAUACCCUUGUAAGGUAGAAAUACCGAAAUACCCCUGUAGGGUAGAAUUACUGAAAUACCUCUGUAGGGUAGAAUUACCGAGAUACCUUGUGAGGUAAAAUUACCAUUUUGCCCCUAGGGUGUUAAAUGACUGUUUUGCCCUUGUGGGCAAGUGACUGACUUGGACUGUGUGGUUGACGAAUUUGAUUGUGAAUAUAUGUUGGUGAUAUGAAUGACUUGACUAUGACUGUUUGAUUCAAAUAUGGGCAGAUAUUCUGAUUCUGUAUGUUGUAUGCCAUGACAUUUAUAUCUGUUGCAUGGGUUAUGGGUUAUACUGAUGGAGGAAGUACUGAAAGUGGCUUGUCCACGUACUGGAGGCUUUGCCUCAACUUACUGAUAUUUGAGCAGCAAUGCUGCAACUGUGGAGUGUAGGGCUGGGUGGGUUGAGCUAUUCCCCACAUGGAGUGUAGGGCUGGUACGGGUGGAGUGUAGCGGUUGGUUAUAGGCUGGGUUGGGAUUGCAUUCACAUUCACAUUCUGAUUUUGAUUCUGUUACCUGAUACUGAUUCUGAUUCUGAUUCUGUCACCUAAUUCUGAUUCUGAUUUUGAUUCUAGUUCUGAUAAUGUUUCUUAUUCUGUAAUGGGUUAAAGCCCAUCUGGUACUGUCUGUUAUAAUGGGCUAAGGCUCAAUUGGUACUGAAACUGUAAGUAAGGCUGGGGCCAGACGUUUAAUUCUUUUAUAUGACUGAGUGUUCCUUUUUAUAGUAGGGGAUUUCACACUGAGUUUUCAUAAACUCACCCCGUUUAUUAACCUUUCAGGUAAUUUCCAGCCUUAGACGGAUCGGGGCUACGAGGGGCUCGGAGGAAGCCACACACACUAUUUAUGUUAUAGUUUUGAUUAUUGCUUUUAAAUGUUUUUAUGUGGGUUGUAGUAAAGCCGUUGUAAUUUUCUGGAUUUCAAAUUUGGAAUUUUAUUUAUUAUUCUUAUAAUUGCUAGUAUUAGAACACGAUUUUUCAAAGUAACUACUGUUGUUCAAAACAUCACGUAACCGCAAUUGUUUUUAAAUUAAGUGUCCGCAACUGCCAGGAUUUUUUUUACAAAGUUGUUAAGAAUAAUAUUCAGUUGAGGUUUUCUAACAAGGUUUAAAAAGGGUACAAGUUUUUAAUUACUAAGAAGGGUUUUUAAUGGAAACAUGGUUUCCGAAAAACAUUUCAAUGUGACACACCAGAUUCGAGCCAAACUUCCAGGCCGGGUUUGGGGUGUUACAAUUACGAGAAUAGGUCGAUUUUACGAAAACGCUUGCAGCUAGAAGCAUUUUCAGGUGAAAUUCAGAAAAACGCAUCUAGGUGGAAGAGUUUUCAGGUGAUUUACAGGAAAAUGCUUCCAGCUGAAAAUGCUUUUUGCCACAUUGUAGUGUAGCCUUUAAUAUUAUGUUAUUAGUUGAGAGAGUAAGCAAUCCCACAUUGUCUAUGAGCAAGCUAUAAAUGGAUUAUGAGUUUAUAUAUAUCCAUAUUUCACAUCCCACAUCGCUUAAGCAAGGGAAAUAAGACUUCGGGUCUAUAUAAAGGUCUGGUUUUGUAAGUUUAUUUUCACAUUAAUAGGUGGCACCAAAAAUAAAUAAAAUUUAUUGCUAUUUGCAAAUCAACUGAAAACGUCCAAGUGGACGUGUUUUUCUGAAUUUUAAAAAAGGCCUAUUCUCGUAAUUCUUCCAAAAAACGGCCUAAUCUGAUAAAUUUUAAAUUUUUUUGGCAUUUAUGGGUAAUUUUAAUCACUAAAAAAUAAGGUAUAAUUAUAUUUUAAAAAUAAAAUAUAUGAUAAAAGUAUUUGUUUCAUAAAAAAUAAAAAAUAAAGCCAAAGGAAAAAAAUUUAAAAAUUAUAUUGAAAAUUAUUUUUCUGAAUCUACUAUGAUUCUAUAUAAUAAUAUUUUCUAAAAGUUGACCAGAAAUAGCGUGUCUCAAUAUCCACCUUUGUUAAAGUUGAACCCUUCCCAUCUGACUUUUCUCUAAAACCCUUUCAAUGCAUUAUAAAGGCGAAGCUUCUCAUUUGAUUUGCCAUGAUAAUCUCCUCCACCUUCCGCCAUGGCAACGCCACCAACACCGCUCUUAAAGAUCAACCUCUGGACCAUCCGGUCUGAAUACUGCCGGAUAAUCAAAGCCCACUCCCGCCACUUCCUAGCUCUCUCACUCCUCUUCCUCCUCCCUUUCUCUUUCUUCUUAUCCAUCUACCCCUUCAUCGCCAUUGAAUUCUACCUCAGCUUCCUUCAGCAAGAUCCCUCCAUCUUCCCCACUAAAACCUUUAUCCUCUAUCUCCUUUACAC
rnacentral:lncRNA from 1 species